CAGGCUUUGACCGAUAGUAACCCCUGCGCUCGGCGCAGCCGAAUCUAUAAAAGGAACUAGUCGCGGCAAAACCCAGUAAUUCCGAGGGAGAGUGAGUGGGGCCGGGACCGGCCGAGCCGAGCCCACACCUCUCUUCCCCUACGCGCGUGGGCAGGGCAGGGGGCUCCGCAGGACCGCGCAGCAGAAGCCCAUUUCCAGGGGCGCUUUGCUCCCCGUUUUCCCACACUUCUUUCUCUGCCCUUCACCGGAACGGUUGGUCAAGGGGUGGGGGAAAGAGACGCAAACACAAAAGUGGAAAACAGGUAAGAGGCUUUCUAGAGACUCGGACAUUAUUGUUUUGCUUUGGGGCGGAAGAGGCUUUGGGAAGUACCCGGUUUCGGGGACUCUGUUCCCGGCCCCCACAUUCCCACUCCUUGCAAUACAAAUGGGGUAGGAGCGGCGUAAAGGGGGAGAGGAUGCCUGCUGUGCAGACCCCGGGUCGCCGCACUGCUGCUACCCCCGGGGCUCGCCCUGUCAGGGUGUCCGGAGAGCAUCUUUGGGCAUGGAGAACCGGGAGCAGUACCUUGGGCGCAGUGAGGUCGGGGUUUCCUGGGCAUGCUGGGGGCGCUGCUACUGAGGUGGGGAGAGUGGCAGAUCGGACGCAAAGCGCUUCCCUUUGUUUGGAAGCGCUGGGGCCGGCUGGAAGCCCCUCUAGCUGCGAGUGAGCCGGCGCCCACGGGGACAAAUGCCAGCUUUGAGUCCUCACUCCUUUCUUAAGAAACUGGUCGGUGUUGAGCUCUGAGCUCGGGAUCAGCUCAGCGCCCCAGGACUGGAGAGGCUCGUCGUUGUAUCCACAGAACUGGAGUAGUUGUGUCCCAAACGGAGUCGGAUGUGAUAUGGCUCGCUUGAGGCCCGGGGGCUUUGUUAGACCUGGGGGUCCUGCCUGCAGUUUCCGUGCGCUCGCGGAGCUGUUGUCCCUGGCACAGAGGGUGGGGGUGGGGGAAUGAGUUUUGUUCCUUUCAAGACUUAGAAGAGCCUGCGGAAACCAGAGCCGGGGGACCCAUUCUGCUUCACCUUCUGCCCCAUCUUCUGCCCUUUGCUGCUCGUCCCUUGGGACAGCUUGAGGACCGGCGCGGGUGGCAAAGCUGGGGCGAGGUGGUGCAGCGAAAUGACCGCGAGUAACCCCAGCGGGCGGCGCAGAACUCGGAGCUGGCGGCUGGGCUGGGCUGGGCUCUGCGCGAGGAGAUGGGGGCUGGGCGCCGGCUGCCAGUGGCCCCUGGAGAAUGGCCCGCAGCGCCUCCUGGCCGGGUGGUCCAGGUAUUGGCCCGUGGCUGGAGCAGGGCGGCCUCCACAGUGGUGGGCUUCACUCCCGAAUUCAGACUGUGAAUCUGGUGAAGACCGGUGGUUGCAGACUGGAGGAACCCGGAGGCUCAGGAGAAAGAAAGCCCAUCUGAGAGAGAGGAGAGAGAGAGACAGAGAGAGAGAGAGAGAGAGAGAGAGAGAGAGAGAGAGAGAGUGUGUGUGUGUGUGUGUGUUCGCCUAUUUCUCGACUCCCAGGCCAUUGCUAAACCAGAGGUUUUUGGAGAGUUGCCUGGAUCUGGGUUGUGUGUAGAUGCCUGUUUUUAUCAGCACUUAUCAGAAAGAAGGAAAGAAAUAAGAUUAAAGUUAAAGAAGAAAGAAACAAAUAUCUGGCACUAGAUAAUUGGCCUUCCUCUAUUUCCAUGGAUAUCACCAGCUUUUAAAUCCUCAGAUUUUUCAAUAAUACUGCACAUAAGAAGUGGAUGGUAUAUGUAUUCAUAUAGUAGAGGACAGCUUUGGUAUUUUUAAAAAAUUUCUUUGGUGAUGGGAAUCACCAUAUCACUAUUUUGGCUCAGUCCUCAUCUCCUACAAACAUCUGAAAGUUUUCUCCCCAAGAGCAGAGUUUGACUCUUUUACAACCAAGUUCUGAUUUUCUUUUCAGACAAAAUUUAAAUGCCUACUAAAAAAAGUACUUAGUUUCUCAUCUCGCCUUUUAUUUCAGCCUGCUUUUCUCAAACUUACCACAAAAAUAAUGGAGGCUUUCUGUUGUUUGUAGCAUUCUUUUAAGAAACUCUUCCCACAUUAAAGAAAUAUUUGGAGAAUAUUCCUUAAUAGAACAUCUUCAGUUACUAAAGUAAUUUUUAAGUACGAAAUUUCCAUUUUUUAGACUGUUUCCCAUAUGUUCCCAUAACCCAUUAAAAUAAUUCAGGAUGAGGAAUUUUUGGAAAACCCUGGUUUCACAGAGUGAAUCAGUAUUUAUUUGAAAACAAGCAGUAGAAUCAGAGGAACCAGGGAAGAGGGUCUCUGGCCUUCAUGAUGACCACAGUCCCUUUAUGGGACAAGAAUUGCUACUAUAGUCAAAGUAAUUAAAGAGUCCCUUUGCAAAACAGCAUUCUCCCAAAAUGACAUAUCUGACUAUGACCCAAGAUAUAUAUGUCUUGCCUAUAGAUGAGCAUUUGAAAUCUCAAUUCUUAAAAGUAUUUUGAUUGGCAUCUAAAUGCAGGCUUAUAAUGGACCUUGGGCACAUUUUGGCUUAGAGGGUAUUUACAGUUCAUGUGAGACAAUGCAUUAGUCUGGAAUUGGAAAAGAAUACUUAGGGCUUGGUUGUUUCCAACCUCUGCUCAGGAAAAGUUCCAAUCCAAACAUUAUUAAAAAUGAAUGAAACUCAGCAACUCAAGCUUUUUAUUAUCCUUUGUAGUACCUACCUUAUAGGAGAGGGGGUUGGAUAUUUUUACAUUUAAACUAUUUGAGGGGAGGGUAUCUUCUUCUUCAUAAGCCAGGAUGCAUGUGCUUACUAUAUUUGUAGAGGCAAAUUAUUAGAUCUUUGCUAUUUCAAAUUUUAGCUAUUAAAAUAGUUAAAUGGACACUGGUCUCAAACUCUUUAUAAUCAUGAACCUUUGGCUAUCUAGAAAAUACCAAAAUGCAUGUUGUUUUUAAAUUUCUGAAACACUCUAAGUCUAAUAUUAACGAACAAAAUUAUAAUGUCCCAUAUGGUAAUUACUCCAGCAUCAAAUUUUUUUGGGGGGAGGAGUACUAGUGCUUGAACUCAGGGACACUCAACCACUGAGUCACAUCCCCAGCCCUAUUUUGUAUUUUAUUUAGAGACAGGGUCUCAGUGAGUUACUUAGCACCUCACUGUUGCUGAGGCUGGCUUCAGGUAUUUAAAUGUGGAAUGUCACAGACUUGCCACAGACCUGUAAUCCUCCUGUCUCAGCCUCCCAAGUCACUGGAAUUACAGGCAGGAACCACUUCUCCUGGCCAGCAUCAACUUUUAAAAGAUCAUUCUGAAUGCUUGUUUUAUGUAACUGUGCUGAGAGAGGGCCUACACUAAAAACUGAAGCCAUCUUCACAUCUGCAAGUGAAACUAGCAUGAAUGCCCAAGUUAUUGCAGUGUUUAUGUAGUAGACACUUUAUAUAGCACUGUGUCAAGUACUGCUCUAAAUGCUUCUCAAAUACUAAUUUAAUCUUUACAACAAACUCAUUAUCUUAAUUUUGCAGAUUAAGAAGCUCAGAGGCUAAAUUGUCCCUGGCCAUACAGCUUGCCGGUGGCAAAGCUUAUAUUUGAACUCAGUUCCAGAGUUCUUAACUCCUACAUUAAGUAGACCAAUUUCAGCUUCUAUGAGAAGGGAACUUUGAAAGAUGCCCAGUGUGGUCUCUUUGUAUAUCCAUCUGCUAUAGUCCUUAUCAGAAUCUACAACAUUUAUUAUAUAUUUCCUUGGCUGCCUUUAGUGGGCCAGCCAAAUUCUCUUCAGCUUGUUGAGACCUUAGUUGCAGAGGGAUUGUGACACUGCGUGACACACAGUGACAUUUACUCAACUCUAAUUUUUUAAACUUGGUUUAAACUAAAAAUUAUAUGAUUGCUUUAGCCAAUUAUUUGUGAAUAAUCUGUAAUCUCAAAAGUGUUUUUCUGUGUGAUAUACAGUAUAGAAAAUGGAAUGGUGGAGUAUUUGGCUGCAAAUGUAAGGAACAAAGAAAAAGGGAAGAGAAAUGUUAGCUUAGCUGUUAAUCCUAGCUUUGGUGAAUUUUUAAAAAAUUGGUUAUUAUACUGUGUGAUUCUUACUUCACUUACCUCCUAAAUGGGUUGUGAACCUUUUGAAGUAAGCUGUUUCUGUUACUGCUAUUAUCGUCUAGAAAUGAAAUCAGCUUUUUCUUAGGUUUAUUCUCUAGAAGUAAGUACAGUUUCAGAGUCCGCCUUAUAAAAGUGAAAUAGAACAGAACACUGCAUUUCUUCUCAAUUGGUGUAGCAAAUUAGAAAUAAACUCUUUGAAAACCCUUCUCAGUAAAGCAGCUUGUAUUUACUCUUGACUUAGUGUGUGCUGAAUGUCCUUUCAAGGGUUUUACAUGUGAUAACUCAGUUCAUGCUCAUGUGAACCACAUGAGAUGGGUCCUAUCAUUAUCUUUAUAGAUUGGGAAACUGAGUUAACUAGCCUGGUUAUGGUCCCAAGUUAUCUCCUAACUAGUUCCGCUUGCAUGAGUUUACCAAUCUUGGGGUUAAAAACUUUGUUAAAAUAUAAAAAAGUUUUGAUAAAUGAAGUACUAGCAAAAGGAAAAAAAAUAUGGAUCUUCCUUUUGAGUAUUUUCACUUGAAAAUAGUGUCCUGAGUUACCAGCACCGAUGUUAUUAGAGCUACACUUUAGAAAUACAUGAAGCUAGUGGAUGCAAAUCUCAUAUAUAAGUGUUUUCAAACCAGGGCCUUCAGUUACUCUGCAUCCCAUUAAGACCAUAAACUAUUAAAGCAAAGAGCUUUUACUGUUAACCAUGCAGGAGCAUCACAUUUGGUUCCCAAGACAAACUGCAGUUAGAAGUCCUAUCUUUUUUCCAUUCUGAAGAGGAACUUGGAUUCAAAACCCUGAGAAGUUUUUGCAAACCUGCUUUAAGACCUGAUUUGAACAUCACCAUCCUCACCUGGGUUCACACUUCCCUUCCAACACUGAGUUAAAAUUAGUUAUCCCCUUCUUGCCCCGCUGUACUCUUCAUGUCCUGUAUUUAGUAUUUUUUAAAAUUAUAGUUAACAUUUAUUUGUCUUUCUUUUGCACGCAUGCUUCUCUAAAAAAGGUCUUUGACUCACUCUCCCCUGUCCUUAAUCAUUCCCAGUUAUACGGAAGGGGUUUAAUAAUAAGUGGUGACUUGCACAAAUGCAACAGGGAAUGGAACCUCAUGCUUGUUUCCUGUUUUCUUAAAGUUUUUUGAGUUGAUGGGAUAACCACUGAAAAGCAUUAGCAAUAAAAUUACAGGACAAAUAACUGUAGUUUAAGCUAGGUUUAUGAUAGAUAAAGUUUAGUGCGUAUUUAAAUUAUUUAGGCAAGAUUACUUCUUGUAGAACAAACAAUUCUGUUUUGCUCAGUUUCAUUUCCCUUUUGGAGGCAGCUGUGAUUUGAGAAAAUGUGCAAGUCUGUGACAUUCCACAUUUAAAUACUUUGAGUUGUACAUUGAUUUAUUUUUAUGGAGAAGAAGGAGAUAACUCACCAAGUAAUUCAGAGAUUUAAGCACUUUUUUAAAAAACAAAAUAACCUGGUGUGCAUCGGAUCUAUUCCUUUAUACUUUUGUUUUUGUUUCUGUUUUUUGGUGUUUGCUGAACUGUGCAAUGUUUUCUAUGCCAAAUACAACUUCCAAGAAGCAUUUGGAAGUCAAAGAAUUUUAUCUGGCUAGUCUUAAAAUCAAGAUGUUUUAUCAUAACUGGUAUUUAUUAUAUGCCAUUUUCUAGGUAGAAUUUGCUGUUAGUGAUCCAUUUAUAAAAUACUCUUUUGAGGCUAUCUUUAGAAUAUUUAUUUAGUUCUUUCUAAACAAGAAAACAGACAUAUUGUUUCAGGGCAUCUUGAACUACAGUGCAGAUAUUAUGAAAAUGAGCAUGGAUAUUAAACUCAAAUUAACAUAUAUUGGAAUUCUGGUCCUAUCAGUGAAUAUAUGCAUUAGGCAAGUUGCCAGUCUCUUUACCUCAUAAUACAUAUUUAACCUGUUAAAUAUGUAUUUUUUUUUGUGUGUGCAGGGGGCGGGGUACGCGUUUAUAUAGUGUUAAGCAUAUGAUAUGAUGCUUGAAAUAUUGCUAUUCAUUUUACACUGAUUUUUAAAAACUUGAUUUUUAGUUUACUUCCACCUCAGACUGUUUUAUUGCAUGUUACUUGCAUUGAUAUCUCACACAUGGAAAAAGUAGAUGAUAAUUAUUGAAUUAGGUUUUAAUCUUACUAAUGAUUAUCAUUUUGGGGGACAGGGGCUCCUUAGAUAAUUUCCUUAGGAUGUGUUGAAAUUUAUGGAUUCUCUCUUAAGAAGAAACGUGCAUGGGCUCAUAUACUCCAGAUUCUAUGUUUAAUUACAGUAUAUUCAGAAACUACUCCAAAAUCACUAAGAAACCAUGAGGCUCUGGGAAAGUCAUUUUACUUUUCUGAGAUUUAGAUUGUGGGCCUAUGAUAUGAAACUUCAUGACUUUUAAAAAGCCCUUCAAGCUUUUAGAUCCUCUGACUCCAGGCCUGUACAUAGGAGAAGGGGCAGUCUUUUGAUUUUGGACAUCUAGAGAUGUGUUCUAAGGGACAUAUUCAGCAUUAUUGUAAUGCCUCGUGUGAUUUGGAGUGGUGGGGAAAAGCACCCCAGAAAUGCUUCAGAGCAUUUCUGAGGAAGUGAGGAUGAAAGAAAGGAAAAUAAUGGAAGAGGAAGGUGGAGGAGAGAAAGCUGUUGAAUUUGCCUAUUUAUCUGUAUUGAGGGGACAGAGAGUUGGAUCAAAGUCUCAGAAUGAGGUUCUUAUCUGAAAUGCAAAGAAAGAAAGUUGGUUCAGUUUUAAUAAAAUUCAAUAGAGCAAACUUGGUUGAAUGAAGACUCUUGUUUUUCCUCUGAUUGACCAUUUGGAAAACCCCUCCAAAAGAAAGUAUGUUUCCAUCUUGGACAGCUCCAAUUUGGGCAUAGGUUUUGCUUUUUAUACUUAAGCCAGGUCAAAGGAAAAAAAUAAAAGACUGCUAAGACUCAUUCAGCCUCCAAGAAAAUAGCACAGGUGCUUGUGCUGUAUGACAAUUGGGCUAACUUUAUAGGGAUAUUUCUAAAGAGCUUGGAAGAACUUCAUUGUGAGUAGGUGGAUAAGACCCAUUACUUCCUAAAAUAUUUCCUGAAUUUGUUGCUUCAAAAAUCAUAUUAGAACUGGGAGGAAGAACAAAAGGUUCUUGACAGGGUUAGGGGAUGGGGAAGGAGCUGCUAAGAGGUUGCUUGGGUGUCAAAUCCUUGCUUGUUCUCGUUUUGCGAAGUUCCUUUUGGGGACCAGGUUUGGAAUAAUUUAUUUUUAUUUUUAAUUUUAAUUUUUCUCCACAAAUCAAACUAAGCUUGUUUUCUUAAAGAAACGAGUCUCUGGAGGUGGCAGUUUGAAAUCGAUUGGAUCUGGUAUUUAGAUGAUCCAGAUUUGACAUAAAGGCAAUACCGAUGAAAGCAGCAUUAUUGGGAAUGCAGAGAGAAAGCAAAGGCCCAAACUGAUGAGCUCAGAUGACCUGCAGACCUUUCUUCACUUUCAGACACAGGGCAUUGGAAUGGAGGUGGCAGUUUACUUUAGCUGGAGUGUGGUUGAUCGCUGCUGCUGGGAAAAGGAUGUAAGAGGAAUUACACGAUUGACAGUCACAACAACAACUACAAAAUAUUUACGUAUUUUGAAAGUAAAUGUGCUAAUAUCCAUACAGUAUUGUUAAACUGAAAUUCAUUUGUUCGGCAAAUGUUUAUUAAACACCGCGUACCAUAUAAAAUAUUAGGCUCUGAACAAACGUCAAGACGUGUAAGGAUCUGUCACUGUAAAUGACUUCUUUAGCUUGGCAUUCAAGGCUCUUUAAAACAAGCUUCAGAUCUAUUUUGACAACUUUGUCCCAGAUUAUAAGAAGUGUAUUAGAAGGAACUACCUGGUGAGUGACUGACGUAUUGUAUCGCUCAGUAACUGUUAAAUGAAUCUCCCUCUACAGUUUUUAUCUUUUCUCUGACUUCUGCUUUGAGAACUUGUCCCUCCUUGUUGUUCUAGAAUCUCACAUCCAUCUUUCAUGUUUGCCUUUGUUUUCACUGUGUCCUAAACUCAUAUAUUUGCCUACUGAAAUUUGACCCAUCAACCACACCACAUGGCUAAUGAAAGCCCACUGUGAGUUGGGGCUUCCUGCACAUCAUCUUUUUAUCUCAUUUAAUAUUCACCCGGGACAGGUAGCAUUCAAGAUGGCUCAAGUUAUUUAAAUUGGCUUACAUUUUUGUAAUCAUCAAUAUAUUUUAAAAAUUAACAUUCCAUUAAGCCUACAAUUUAAAAAAUGUUGUUGUAAAUAGAAGGUAAUUUAAAAAUAAUUAGAAUGAAAUGGAAUCACUUUUGUUGAUGUCUGUCUAUAAAAUAUUGCUUUCCAAAAGCACUAAUUAACUCAGAAACUUGUUCUCAUUUUCUUAAAAAGGGAAAUUAUCAAGAAAAAAGAGGUGCCGAAGAAAAGACUAAACAAAAACUAUCUCCUUUAUGUAAUUAAGUUUUGAGCUAAAGAAGUGCGAAGCAACAAUAUUUUCCCAUUUUGUGAUUCAGUGUUUAGUACUGUGCCUGUCCAUCUUUUAAACCCCUCUGAGUAUUACUUUAAUCUGUCUUGUGUGACUCUUUCACAUUUGAGGAAAUGUUGAGGUUGUCUGUUUUAGUCCCAUUUUCCACAUGAUGCACCUGACAGAGAGAAGUUCAUGGUUCCUGUAUCUGGCUAAUGGCAGAGCCAGGGAUUCAAAUUCAAGUCUUGCUGAUUCCUGAGUUUGUACUGUUUAACUUGCUGCAUUUGUGUUAGUUUUCUAUCACUAUGACAAAAUACCAGAGACAAUCUACUUGUAAAGAGAGAAGGCUUAUUGUGGCUCACUGUUUUGUGGAUUCAAGUACCUCAAUUGGCCCUGUGGCGAGGCAACACGUCAUGGUGAUAGUGGCAAAUAAAAUCACUCACCUCAUGGCUAGGAAGCAAAAGAGAAAGAGGAAGUCUCUUAAGUCUUUUGUGUCUUUAGUCCAGGCUUCUUUCUACUGUACCCGUAGAGUAUUCUUUACAGUGCCAUGUGGGAGAGAAAAAAGAAUUUGUAUCUAUAAAUCCUGUCCUUGUCAGCUUAAAUUGAAACGGAAAUCUUAAAUAUCAGGCUGGUCUCAUUUUUUUUUUUAUUCUAUCUGUUGGGCCAAUUUGAAUGAGAAGGGAAUAUUUGUAGAAAUCCUGAAUGUUGAGAAUUUUCAGGCACUGUUUCUUUAUGCAAAAGUAUAAAAUCCUGUGCUAAUUUUGCCUGGUUAAGAUUAGUUGUGAUUUGAGGCCAGAUAUGUGUGUGUGUGUGUGUGUGUGUGUAUAAUAAUUUUGAUGACUGUGUUAAUUGUAGUAAAGGACCUUGAGUUCAAAAUAAAGAAAGCUUUUGGUCAAGUAGUAUUUAUUCAGUUGUCAGUCUUGCUGCAGGAUUUGCAAAUUUAAUGGAAUUAGUGUCAUUUUCCAGUUUAUAGUGCCAGUAACAUUUCACAUGGUCACAGCAUGGCUUUCUCCUCUGGGGAGCAAAUGGAGGGUUGUCUGACACUUGGUUCAAAUGGCUUCCAUUAAGGGGAGUAGAUUGCCCCAGGAGCCUGCAGAGAGGAACAGAGUUCUUGUCCUCAGGCGGAGCUGCAUCUGGGGAAGUUGGCGGUCUCCUGAAGUAGACACUUAGCACACUGUUACUUAAAUGCCACCAUAAAACCACAGUUGAAAAACAGGAGACUAGCAGAAGUUCCGCCUAAUAAUUUAGUUCCAUUUUUCCUUGAGAACAUUUUCUUUGAUAUAUGGAAUAUUUGACUUGUGAAAAUCUUAACCACAUUGGCACUUUUUACAAGGAAUAAACAGAAUCUUUGAUAAUACUGGAGUAAUACAGGUGUAUUUCCUUUUGUGGGAUCCUCCCAGAUCUCAAAUAAUAGUGUUCAUGUUGCAAUUUUUUUUUUUUUAAAGCUGAAAGCCUUAUAAGUUCUUGUUUUUCAGAAUCACAAGUAGAAUGUGGAUUUAAACUUAUGAUCUGAUUCCUCUUUCUUCUCUUAACUUAGGCUGCCAACAAAGUGGCUUGUUUUGGUUUACUUUAGAGGAGGACUUCAGUUAUUAGGCUUGGAGGGCAGGACCUGUUCCUCUGUGCCCUGCCUGGCACCUUGAUGAAAUCCUCACUUAUCUCGUCAGCUGGCUCUCACUGGACUGUGAAAACAGAGGUGCCUGGGACACAUGACAUCCUGCACUGCCUCAAAAGCCGGCUGGUAAAAGAACCCUCUGGAGAAGGGUCCUGGUAGUGGUCACACACUCUCUGAGCUAGAACUAGAUGUGAACCUGGAGAUUAGAUGACUCAGUUUGGCCAAAGUGGAGGGAAUAAAGUAUUAUUACGGAAAAAUCUUAUACAGGUGUCAACAGCUUUUGAGUGAGUUCUUGACUUGAGCCUGUGGGUUUAGAGUUCAAGCUCUUGAGCAAGACUGAAAGUCUUGUACUUUAGGGUGAGCACCUAGGGAAGGGGUCUCUGUCAUGUUCACAAGGGUUCCAGAGCUUCUGCCUGGCCAAUUCCAUAUUCUCUCUUAUUCUUACAAAGUUAAUGAAGAUGAAUGACUUUCCCAACAAACUACAGACACUUUGAGGGAAAUUGAAUAAAAUGUUCUUCUGUUUAAACUUGCUUCUUUGAACACAACUGGAAAUAUUUCGUGGUUUUGGGUACCUGAACCUUUUCUUUCAGUGAAAUUUCUGGUUUGUUGCUGUAGUAAAUCUACCCUGUUUUCUCAUCCCUGAGGUUUUUUCCCAAGGGCCUCAUUCUACAAAUGUUUAUGUAGCACCAGGUCAUCCUUGGGCUCAGGAUGGCAGAGAAUAACAUAUGGAGACACACUAGCUUGCUGCAUACAGCUUAUAAUUUAGUACGGCCCAUCUGAUAAUUUGAUCUGUUGAAGAUUAUUAUAGAUAUCUUUAAAAAAGUUGUAGGAAUUACAAGGCUCAGAUUUCUAAUAUAAGGAGUGGAAAACUGAAGUAUUUGCUGAAGAUUUGGAGGAAAGCAGCUGUGGGUUAGGAAAACAGGAGCUGAGGGCUGGGUUGUGGCUCAGAGGUAGAGCCCUUGCCUAGCAUGCAUGAGGCACCAGGUUCAAUCCUCAGCACCACAUACAAAUAAAAUAAAGGUAUUGUGUCUACCUAUUACUAAAAACAAAUAGAUAAAUAUAUAUAUAUAAAAAAAAGCAGGAGCUGAACGCCAUGAAAGUGUGGGGAGAACAGUACAGGUGAGUGGGGACCCCUGAAAAGGAAUUUUAUGGUAAAACAAUGGCCAAAAGUGAUUCCAGGAUACCCAGAUAACACUGUCACUUCUUCCAGUGAGUUUGCUGGGCAUUGGAGAAAGCUCCAGUUUGCUCUGGAAAGGCCUUUAAGGGAAAUGAUAUCCUGUGAAGACAAAGAAGAGAGAUUCCUUUACUUAAUGCCCCACCCUCGCUGGGCCCCACCCUGGAUGACAGCUUCACUCUGCAGGUCGGCCUUUCUCAUCACGGUAAUAGCUACUGUGUGCUGUACUUACUCUGUUACAGGAACUGGAUAAAUGCUUUAUACAUUAUUAGCUCAACUUUAUGGAGAGGAUACAGGGACUCAGAGUCGCUAGGCCCAGAGCCAGUGAAUAGGAGUGUCGCGAUUCAAAGGUGGUUUCUCUGACUCCAGAACUGUCUUUCUUCCUACUGGACCAGUUGAUUCAGGAAAACAGAAGAAUUAAGGAUUGGGGGAGUUUGCUGCAUAGCAGAAUAAAUCCAAAGGAAAGGAAAGGGUGAAAGAUUUGGGUUUUCCUAUCCCUCAUAUCUUUGAGCAUUUUUAAAAAUAUACGCUCUUUUAGGCUUGGGGAAUGCUGGAUGUCUGAAGACCUUUCAGAGAUUAAGCCAAACAAAUAAUUUUUGCUAAAAAUCAUUUUCCUAAAAUCCUAUUGGAAAACCAUACAACAGGGAAUAUUAAGCCAUCAAGUCUUUCUGCAGCUCACAGAUUGCUGAGUGGGGCUUGUUUGCUGGUGUUUCUAUAGCUCACGGUGUUUGUAAAUGCGAGAGUCCCUAUUCUUUAGGUUGCCUUUAUUCUGGCAUUAUCAUUAUGGUUGGAAAUGUGAUUUUUUUUUCUUAUGACCUAAAAUGCUGAUAGUUGUUUCUUUUCUAAGAGAAAAUUUCAUUUUCUUAUGUGCUACAUAGACUCACCAAAGAAAAAGCAAAUAGUUGUUUUGUUUGCUGAAAUCUUCCUUUGAAGGUCGCUCUGUGGAAGGGGAAAAGGGGCUCUCUUAAGAAUUCUCCAUAAUUCUACUACAAUGAAACAAGGAUGUGGGUUUAAAACAGGCCUUCUUCCACAAAGCCUGACUCUUCAAAGAUUUGUAGGUCCUAAGACCAUUUAGCUGGUAGCAUCUGGAUUUUUGAGAGUAAUGCAUAGAAUCAUUGGUUGUCUGUCAAUGGCAUGAUAGAAACAGCUUUAAACUUUCAGGAUCUCCUUUAAAACAGAAUUGUUGAUAACAUGAGAAAUUAUGCCUCUCAAGCACUAGUUACAGCCGGGCACGGUGACACAUGUCUGUAAUCCCAGCAACCUGAAAGGCUGAGGCAGGAGGAUUGCAAUUUCUAGGUUAGCUCCAGCAACUUAGUGAGACCCUGUCUCAAAAUAAAAAAAAUAAAAAAUAAAAAGGGCUGGAGAUAUAGCUCAGCGGUAAAUUGCCCUGGGAUCAAUCUCCAGUACCCCCAAAAGAAAGGCUAGUUAUAGAUUUAUGCACUAUUCUUGGAUUUCUUCUUUCUUUUUUUGUAUAUUCACUUCAUAGACACUUCAUAGAAAAUUGGCUAUUAACAAAUAAUUUUGUCUGGAGAAUUGGAUAUGUAUUCCUGAGUGAAAGAAGGGUGUGCAGUUAUCAUAUCUUAUUGUUACUAAUAAUCAAGUAUGCAUGAUGAAUUUGGUACUUUUAACCCCCCACCUCAUGUUACAGACAGUUAGAAUUAAUAAAAUUCAUUGGAUCUAUGUAUUUUUAAAAUGGGAUGUGUGUUGGUAGAGCUUCUUCUAGAAUGAUGGAAUUCUUCUGGAAUGGUAGAAUGACUUCAUUUUAUCCUUGACAUUUACCUUGGAUGAUUUCUUAGCCCUUGUUUUCUCAAAUUUGAGUAUUAAAAUCACAAUUUAGGGACACAAUUUCAGGGGGACUGAGUAUCAACCCUUUAUACCAUGGCCCUUUGGUAGCUCUCUUUUUAAUUCAGGGUGAUGUCAUUGGAAUUGACGGUCCAUGGGAUGGUUGUAGAAUUUAUAGGGUGUGUGUGUGUGUGUGUGUGUGUGUGUGUGUAGGGGUGCAAUUUUAGGGGUACUAGCAAGUAUGUCUUUAAGGACAGAGAGCCCAUUAGCUUCUGGAGGCCAGAAGAGUUAAACAGAGGCAGUCAGAGUAGCCUAAGGCUUGCUAAAGCUGAAGGGAGAAAUCAGGGAUGACUCAAAAUCCUCUCCUGCCCCCUUGGCAGCCACAUUCUGUCUUCAAUCAUGGGUGCUGAGCCUGUUUGAGCCAGAUCUUCUGGCCUUUAGUAACCUCAUUAGACUUUUCCCUGAAGAUGGCUACUGAUCCAGAGAUGGCCAAUUCAGAGAGGCAAUUAGAGAACAGGCCUUUUCCAAAGCAGGCAUGCUCUGCUGGGCUUACAAGUUUCAUAUCCUAAUAUUACAGGACCUUGUACAUCUCUCUGGAGCCUGGGCACAUGAUUCACAUCUGUGAUUCUUGCUUUUGCAUCAACAUUUCAUAAAUAGAUGGUCAGUUGAGCCUUAGCACCGGCAUCUUUCUGUUCAUGUCUAAUGUCAUUUACAUUAAACUCUUGCUUUGUAGUUUACUGGCUAGUUGUUUAUUAACAUAAAACAUCUAGAACACUAUAAAUAUGUACACUCUUUGUCCAUUUCUUACCUCAAGUAAGAAAAGGAUAUUUAUGAACAGUUUCAUCAAGAGAGAUACUGAGCUGUUGUCAGAAAUUGCAACUUCUGUCUCACUUCUGGUAAUGAUGUGGACACUUGUCUUAAAGCACAAUAUUCACAUAUACAUUUCUCUCUCUCUCUUUUUUACUUUUAGUUUAGAGAAAUAGCUAUCAUAUAAUCACUGGUUUUGAAGAGUGAAAUUAACUGCUGCCUGUACAUUCUGGAUAUGUGAACUGUUUGGAUAGAACUCAUAAGAGAAAUGUGUUCAGAGGAAUAAACAGUCAUAGGAAAAAUAGCUUGGUGGGAAGGAGUAGUGCGAGUCAUUGAAAAAGUGAUCUCCUGAGCUCCCUUGGAGCAGCUCUAAGUCACUUGCUCUGGGUUCUUAGCUUCUCUAUCUACAUGACUACAUGACAUGUGGUAGGAUUGGGUCUCCAAAAUCCCAAGGCCCUCCAUCUACUACUAAUACAGCAAUCCGACAGAGUAUCAACUUGGGAAGGCCCUUCUCUCCUGCCCAGAAGGGGUGGCUUCUGUCUCCUUGGGACCUGACAUUGAUGUGGUCCCUGCCUGGAGAUCUUGUUCCUGGGAACAUGCCUGAUUAAGGCACGUAUACUGACUGCCACCCUUCAAGAGGAGCCCGGUACCAGAGCUCUCAUGCUGGCCAUUUCUUGCAAGAAAGAGCAAGACCAGAUCAGCCUUUUGUUACAUGUGAGGACGGCUUCUGGUAGCAGGGCAGUCCUGCACAAGUUCCCUUCCUCCUUUUCCAUAGACUGCGUGCUACAGAGGGUAGAGCUCACAGGAAGGAGUUCCUGUUUUUCUUUCUGCUGUGCCAAAUUGGGGGAAAAUAAAUCCUCCUCCCACCUUGACUUUUUAACUCUUCCUUUCUUCUUUUUUAAAGUUAAAAAUUUUUUUUUAAACUCUUCUUUCGUCUCUCUUGGAACUGGACAUGUCAAGUUCAAAAGGGAAAAAUGUUUUGGUGAGAAAGGGAGGUGAGGAGAAUAGCUUGGAGCCCAGGGUCAUCAUUUCUCCUGUCUUACCAAGCUUCUUGUGAGCUAUUCUUCUUCUUAUUAUUAUUAUUUUAAAAUUAUUUUUAUAUUUUAUUUUUUAAAUUUUUUCCUUUUGCAGCAUCACUGGGCCUGACUGACAUUCCAAGUUCUGGUCUAGGGAAAGUAAAAAGAAUGUCUGAUACUGGCUGUUAUUUCAAUGACCUCUUUGUGGGUAGCAUAUGACUGGGCCACUGUCACUUCAUUAUCCUCAAGAUGCUUCCUCAGAGGAGUUAUUUUCCUUUCCCUGUUAUGCUCUGUGUCCUUCCUCUUCCUCCUCUUCACCCACUGUCUUGGCAACCCACAGUUAUUGUCUACUUUCCAUCUUCUCUGCUAGAACAGAGAUCCAAUGAAGGCUGGAAGCUUGUGUCUCUUGUUCCUUGCUGAACCUCUAGGGUCUUGCAAGCACCUGGCACAUGAUAGAUGCUCGACAAAUAUUUGUUGUGGCUAAUGGGAGCCUUUCGAGUUAAGGCUGCAGUUGUGUGUGGAAUUAAUAAGUAGUUAUGAAUGUUUAUCUACUUUUUCUUUUCUGAGGGGAUCACACAAUAAUCAGGCUUUCUACUCUGUGGUUCUUAGAUCUUCCAAGGUGUAAUUUGACCUUUAGGCAUGUUAAUUAUUAUAGCAGAAGGCAGAUUUUUUUUUUUGGUGUUGGGUUUAUUGAUAUAUAAUUUAAAUACAGUAAAAUUCACCCCUGUAAACUAUGCAGUGUGAUGCGUUUUCACAGAUGUACUACCACCACUCUUCUAAUAGAGAACAUUUCUAUGCCCCUACACAUUCUAUCCUCUUCCCCUGCCAUAACCCCUGGUAACCAUUGUCCUGAUUUUCGUCUCUUUUGUUUCACCUUUUCCAGAAUGCCAAAUAAAUGGCUUAUUUCUCCUAGCAUAAGGUAAUUGAGAUUUAUGCAUGAUGUUGCAUCUAUCAGUAGUUGGUUCCUUUGUGUUGCUAAGUAGUAUUUCAUUUUUAUUUAUUCUCCUGUUGAUGCACAUUUUGAUAGUUUGCAGUUUGGGGCUACUCUGUAUAAUACUUCUGUAAACAUUUAUAUUUAUGUCUUUGUGUGGACAUAUACUCUCAUUUUUUGAAGGGUAAAUACCUAGGUUGGGAUCGGUGGGUGAUGUCCCGAGUAUAUGUAAACCUUAACAAGAAACUGCCAAACUUCUUAAAGUGUCUCUUUCAUCGUGUAUUACCACAAUCAGUGUCCUGAGCUCCAAUUACUCCACAUAUUCCCUAGCACUUUUUUUUUUUAACUUUCAAUGGAUAUGUAGUGAUAUCUCAGUGUAGUUUUAACUUGCAUUUCUCUGCGAUGUGUGAUGUUAUGCAUCUUUGCUUAUUGGGAUGAUUCUAUUUUUAGCAAUCUUUGGUAUUCUGUAGAUAUGAAUAGCUUCAGAAUAUCAGUGGCAUUUGAAGUGAAAAUUUCAGAAAAACAUUUGUCACAUUUGAGUAGUUACUUCUUCCAGAUCCAUGAUGCCCCAAACAAGUUUGAGAUAUGGAAAUUACCAAAUUCUGGCCAGGAGUGACCCACCUGAGUGACUGAUGACAAGACCUAGAGAGCCCGCCACUAGGACUUGAGUCUGAGGAUUGGCAGAAACGGAUUUCAGCGGUCCCUGUGGCUUCGGGAGGGUUGCUCAGUCCGUAGCUAAGCCUGAUGUUUAAGCGAAGCAGAUUUAGAUUCAAUUACAGUUUCCAGGAUGCCCCAGGAGCCACCUGGCAAGCUCAGCAGUCCUUUGUGACCCUCUUCAGUGUGAGGUGGAAGGCUGCUGUACACAGAGCUUCCUCUCUGGGGACAAUUUGUCUGAAUCAGUUAGUAAAGCUUAUGAAAUCAGUUACCACAGGCCCGUGAAUGUCACCACCCUUGAAUGCUGAGACCCUAUUUCUCAUGUCUAUCAUUUUCUUAAUUAAUUAAGUCAACAUCCCCUGAGUUUUGCCUGUAUUGUCUUUGAAAAUAGUCAUGAAGGAACCGGGACCCAGAAGAGGAAUACUCGUAUAAGGGAAAACAGAGGUCUCCCUGGGGCCACCUAGGAAGGGGAGGUGAUCAGGAAAGGAAGCUGAGGAAGUGAUGACUAAGUGGAGACCCAAGGUGGAGGAAGACUUGGCCAGGGUGACAGUGCUGGAGAAAGGACAAGGGAACACACCCGAGAAUUCCCAGCGGUCCUUGAGUGUACCACAGCCGGAGCCUGUGAUUCAGAGCUCCAGGCAUUGCUGAGCAGGUGGGGAAUGGUGAGAGAGUAGGCUGGAGUCCCAGCCAGGAGGCCAGAGGCUGGUGAACCUUGUGGAGGAUUGGACCUCAUCCUCAGGGCGGUGAGGAGCUGGAAAGGAUGGUGGAAUGGCAUAUUUGGUUUGGUCAAAGAACUUAGGUGCUGUGGGUCAAAGGGAUGGACAUGGGGCAAGACUGGAGGAAGGGAGGCCAGUAAAGUGGCUGUUGUGGUUCUCCAGGAGCAAGAUGAGAGUAGCCUAUUGACUGGUGAUGAUUGUGAAGUGGGAUCCUUUCCAGCCAGUAACUGGAAAUGUGUAGAAGGGCAGGAGUGAGCCUGCUAUGCUUUGAAACAUUGAGAAAUCCAGUACAUUACGUAGUACUGGCUUUUUUUUUUUAUGGUUUCUGGUUUUGUUUGUUCACUUCCUUGGAAAACUGAUGUGGUAAUGUCCCUUUGGCUUUGUUACCUGGGCAGAAGGGUUCAGGCAUUGACAAACCCUUCUCUUUGGAGAGACUUGCUCCCAGCCUUGAUCAUUGUGCUCUGAGACGGGGGCGGAGGUGGGGGAUUGUGUAGGAGGCCAGGAAAUGCCAAGGUAGGCGGGAGGAAUUGGGGCAGGAAGCCUGCCUGUUUGCACACAGUGAAGCCAGAGUAGAACUUUCUCCUGCUGCCCUGGGCUACUUCUUGCUAACCAUCCGUUUGUCUCUUUAGGGUCUGUGGGGUCCGCACCCAUGUUUGAAGACCUAAAAAUGCAAUUUUAUAUAAAUGCCGUCCAAGAAACCCCCUCCUGGUUUUCCUUUCCUCCUUUUCUCAUGAGCAUUCUGGUGGUUCUUCUCUUCCUCUGAGCUUCUCCGUGCAUAGUUGAGGGAAGGAAAUUCUAUACUUGGGUUCAGCCCUGGAGACCCUGGCUCUAGGCCACUCAGAUUUCAUCCUUCUUACUUGAUCUCUCCUUCCUUUCCAGGAACUCACAAUGGAUUUGCUAGAAAUAAUGGAAUGACCAGUUUGAACAGGUUGGAACCAUUUAUCUGGGUUAUACUAAAACAGAGAAAUAUAAGUAGGAAGAUGGGAACUCAUAUUUCUUUGGCAACUUAGGUUUUGCCUUGGACUGUUUUGGGAACUUAUUUUAUCUCAUUUAGUCCUCGGAUUGCCACGGCAGGCAGGUAUUAUCACCCCCUUCAGCGACCCUGAAGCCUUGGCCAUGGACACAUGCUUGGGAAACUGGGGCUAAUUCUGCUUUCUGUUGGUUAGUUUUUCCUUUUUUAAUAGCAAACUUUGUUCUAGAUUCCUCAAUGUUACCUUGGGGAUCUGAAAAGGUUCCGGUAGUAUAUAAAUCAACUAAGUGAUUCCCUGAGAGAAGCUUUCUGCAGGAGAAAAAUCUAGUUAAUCAUUUAUUUUUUUGGCAGUUCUGGAGUACAAACCCUGUCCUAAUCCUUAGCCAUUUACAAAACAAUUUGAGAUUAUAAACGCGGGCCUCCCGAUGCCUUUCUGGUUCUCAUGCCACGAGUCCAGUUGACAUCUUUAAACAAGGAACUGCAAACCAGUGUGAUAGUUCUGGUUUAAGUCUUUCUCUUUGUGGCAUGAGAAACUUUGGAGGUUUGUGUCUAUUAGCAGUUUGCUGAACAAAUAAUAAAGAAAAGAAAGUCUUGACUAUCUCGAAAGAAUUCCUGUUUUAUUGAAUUGCUAAAGAACGAAGUAGAAUAACUUAUGAUAGGUCAUCCUUUCUUCUCAGACACUGGAAAUUUCCUCCAGUCUCUUUGCUUUCCUAGAAGAUUUUAAUCAGAGUCUUUGUAGAGUGGGGAACAAAGGAUAAUAUUCUACUGCAGGGUGACCUUUGCACACUGAGAGCUCCUCUGGAUUCAAGGAUUUUUGGUCCAGUUUUUGGUUUCUUAUCCAUAAAUGGUUUCUACAUCCUUAGCUCCUUUUGCUGUUGGUUCCUUAGGCCUAAUGUCCCACCCUGUGCCACUAGAAGCCACAAUCAUCAUUUAUUUAUUUAUUUAUAUCAAUAAAGUUUCUGGUUCUGUUGAGGGUUCAUGACUACCAAGUACUGACAGGGUACGACUUUAACCUGUGUGUGCCACACUCUUCUCUCUCUCUCUUUUCACUUUUCAUUUUUUUUGCCUCUUUCUCAACUUUAACUUUAGCAUAAUUCCUUGUGAUUAUUUCAGCAUUCAAUAAAUACAGCUAUUGGGUGGACAGCUGGAACACACAGAAUCUUGUAUCUCCAGUUUAUGAGAACUCCUUGUCCCAGCGUGGUGAAACCCUUCUCCAAAGGAGGCAGCUGUGACACCUGACAAGGAGUAGUCAGCCGUGCACCCAGGUGCAGGUUGAACAGGGCCAGAAGUGUGCAUAUGCCCGGGGCCGUGGGAGCUUGUCAGUUUCACAGACGCUGCGCUGUAUCUGCCUCAGCAGCCCUUGCUUCUCUAUGGGAUGUUGUUUUCUUUCCACAGAGACACAGCUCUCGGGUUGUCUUUAUCACCCGGGAGCCAGAUAUUGUGGCAUUUCUUUGGUGCUUAUUCACAGUCAUCAAAGUCACGUUGAGGCUUUCCAGACAGGGAAACUGCUUUAUUGAUGGUGCCAUUUAUCAUUUGAAGGACCCAACUUUGUGGCCACAUGAAAAUUUUGUCUGCAGUGAAUUUUAGGAAAUAGCAUAAUAGUCACGCCAGGCUUGAGGCAAAAUUUAUCAGUGCUGCUGACACUUUAUGUAAGGGGAGCUACUUUCUUAGAGAAGGGAAACAGGUCUGGGAUUCCAAUGUGCCGUUUCUGUCCUCGGUGUUUUGAUCACCUAAGUUUGCUCCCUUGAAUCUGUUUUUCUGAGUGCAUUUUUCAUUCCCAAAUGAUCACACCAAUGGAGUUCAAAUGAUUAGGACUAUAAUGAUUAGCUCCCAGUCUGCUGCCAGAAAGCAGCAGUUUGAAGCCCUGUUUGCUGGAGUAUCCUGAGGCUGGCUGGAGUCCAGGAUACCUGACCAUGGAGGAGCAGUUAGGACGUAGACUUGGGUUUUGGCGGUCUCAGGUGAGAGGGCUGGAGCCACGGCCCUCAUUGGUGUAUGACUUUGCAUCAGUAACUGACGGCUGUCUCCUCUUCUGCUUUAUCUUUCAGUUAAUGACCAGCCACAGCGUCUGCUGUGAGCUUCGGCCAGUGCCUCCAGGGCUCCUGAGCCACACACAGGUUGCUUUGGGUGCCGGCUGAGGUAACAUGGCUUAUUGGCCUCAGUUGAGGUUGCUGCUGUGGAAGAACCUCACUUUCAGAAGAAGACAAACAGUAAGUGUGGGUUUCUCUGCGGGACUCUCUCAUGCUUUCCUCCAUAGCGGGUUAGAGGAGGGAGGGAAGGGAGUAUUCUGGAUUUCCAGAGAGAUUGAAUGGAUCUGGCACUUGUGGACCCAGGACUCUGCGAUCCUGAUGUGGCCUUGUGGCUUGGCAUAGAGGGAGGAUUUGCAACCAGGCAGGAAUAUUGUCUUUGGUUUGUGCUAGCCCCUAGACCCAUGAGUUCUGACUUCUGAAACCUAAUAGAUAAUUGCCACUGGCCACCUCACACCAGUAUUUCCUUUUGCUAUAGCCCUGGGAGCUUCCUGGCUUUCUAAGAGCAACACAUGGGCCCCUGUAUUUCUGGGAAUUGGGAGUGCAGUGAGAUAAUGGCACAGCUUUAGAGAUCAAUUCCUGGAUCUCUUGGUGUCAGACUGUGCUCUGUCCUUCCAACUUUGUAGGCCUGGAGGAAUAUGAUAAGCAAGGCCUGUCUUAUUUCUGUGGAGGAUUCUAUGCCUUUCACCUCCCAGAUAGGUCAGUAAUGCCUUGAGUAAUCCUGAGGAGGUCAUCUUUAAUGCACAGGUGCUUGGUAUUUUUCCAAAGGAACAGGAGUGCUAAAAGGCAGGGUGAGCUCCCUGAAGCUCAGGCAUCAGUUCUUUGCUGCUUUACCUCUGGCUACCCCUCCUUAGUGAUUCUAUCUAGUCCUCCUGGCUUAGCUACAUCUCUCUGUAGUUGGUUUCUAAAUCUCUCUUUCCUGUUCUGCCUAUUUCCCGAAUUCCAAGCCUGCAUCCCCACUUCACUGUCUUAAUGAAGCUCAACUUAUCUGGAUCCAAAAAAUGUUCAUCUUUCAGAAACACAAAUAGCAGUAAAUAACCUUGGAGAGAAUUUAUUUCAGUGUUUCUCAAAGUAGAGUGAUGCUUGGACCUUCCUUAAAAGAACAAAAAAUGUCAGGAUACCCUUUUGUUCAUGUAAUUUUGAUUUUAGUGUUACUUAAGUCUGCUCAUAUAUAUAACUAGAUAUAUAUCUUUUAUAGGCUGUGAUAUAACUAUAUGACCCAUGUGUAUUUUUACAAAUUAAAUGCAAACAAAAUUGCAAAAAAAAUACAAUUAAAAUUUAACACAAUAAAUGUGAUAAAACAACUGACUCUGUUUAGCUAAAAUGCAUAUUAUAAGCUGCAACGUGAAUAUAGUAGUGGGUGGUACAGGACUGUUCCUUUUGAGUUUGGCAAGUCUGUAUUUCUGUGUGCUAAUUAUUCAAAUCUCUGUACAUUUUCCUGCAUGAACAAGUUUCAUUUGAUGUCAUUUGGUUCAUUCCCAUCAUUCAUAAAUCGAGUUUCAUCUGUUCCUUUCUCAGUCCUCUACAGUAAUUCUGAUGCCAACACAAACGCAUGCACGAAUAUAAACUUGGGCUUUGAAGUCUUGUGCCAGCACUUGAUUCUAAAGUAAGCAUUCAGAAAAUCCAGAUACUUUAUCAGGAUUUGUUUAGAUAAUCAUUGAAAUGAAAACACAAAAUGUUUAAAAUCCUUGCAGAGAACUCACGUAUAAUGCUUCCAAAGUAUGCAUACUGCUUCGAGAUUGAGAAACACUGAUUUUGUCCAGCCUCUCAUGUUACAAAUGGGGAACCUGAAUCCCAAGGUCACUAGUAAGAGAGCAGGGACUAGCUCUCUAAAUGUAUCCUGUCUGUUUUAGUCAAAAUAGUAGUGAAAUAUAAUGCAUAAUAUUAAUAUAAAAACAAACAUAAGCAUCCAUGUUUCAGGCAUGAAGUGGAUUAUUAACUGGAUUAUUCCUUUUAAGGCCUCAUAAAGUGCUGUUUUUUCUCAUAGCUGUCAUUUCUCAUGUUAUGAGGGAUUUGAUAGAGAUGUUAAAGAGAGGGAUUUGAUAGACAGAGUUCCACAUUGCUGACAAGGAACACAGGUAAGGUUCAAAUCCAGAUAAUCUCAUUCCAGAGUUGAUAUUCUACACCACUGUGCCAUCAUUAUUAGUAACAACAUUAUUUUAGUAAUGAUUAGUAGCAUCAUUAUUUUUCUAUCCUCCAUCGAAAAUCUUGAAGUUUCUGACUUCUUCCUUGCCUUAACUCCUGCCUCUUGCAGUUGUUCCCAGUCUCUGAUAUUUCCAUUUUCUAGUAGGUUUGUCCUUAUCUCUUCAUUUCUUAGCUACUAUGUGGUCCAUGUUCCCCGCUUCUUUUCAACCUAGUGGCAGCGCCUUCUUAGUGGGAAAUUAUCUUUGCCAUGGUGUGUCCAUUAGUGAGUCAUGGAACGAAUCAUAUUAACAGUGAAAGGGGGCCGGGAUUCAAGGACAGUCCAGUUCAAACUUGUGGUUUUACAGAUGAGAAAGCUGAGGCACAGAGCAUGGGAGGGAUCCCCCCAGUCAUCAGGUAGCACCUGAGCUAGGACCAGAGGCUGUGAUUUUCUCAUUCCGUCCAUCACAGUUCUUUCCUUCUCUCUUCCAAAUGCUUAGCAGCUGCCUAGCAGUGCCCAGCCUGGGAGAGGAUUAAAUGGCAGGGAAAAGGUUUUCUGUGCUUGACCAGGAAAGGAAUCAGGGAAAAGAGUAGAACAGGAUGUGGGCUGGAUCCUCCCGUCUGGGCCAGUCUACACUGGUUUUGAGCUUGUUUUGAGCUUUUUGCUCAAUAUUACUUAUGUCUUUACAGGGGUUGGGAUUAGAGAGAUAGGGAGGCUUAGUUAAAGGCAAUUUGUGCAGAGUUCUUGUUGAAGAAGGAAGUAGGAACACGGUCCCCUGACACAAAAGGCCUUUUUUAGACUCUGUGCCAUUACCUGCUAGCCUGUUUGAGUUACUUCUCUUCCAAGAUUUCUAAAGGAAUGCCAUUUUGUUGAAUCAGAAAGAAAGGUGGUUUAUUUUAAGUCACAGAUGCUCAGAUUGUCAGAUGGGGCUGGAGCUGGAAAGAUCUGACUUGCCUCUUGUAUAUUUGAUGGAAUUAGGGUUUGGAGGGAUGGAGGGGUCCAGAGAGGGUCCAUCAUGAAAGCAGCACCAGAACUAAUCUUCUGGUGGCCUCAGUUGGGUACAAAUAAUAAGGCUGGAUCCUUCUUAGCAGGGUUUAUUUUAUCGACAUGAAAGUUUUUAUAUUCUUGAAUCUGAGAUUCUGACUGGUGGAUACCUCUCAAUCCUGGCUUGAGUUUUUACAUUAUAUUGUGUAGACGUUGGAACCUGCUAAAGGUUUUGGUGCCACUUUGUUAGCUCACAUAGUCAGAGCCAGCCCUGACUAUGAUACCUGCAUGACCAUGAUAUGACCAUGAUAUCUGCAUGAUAGCUCUUGCCCACAAUAAAUGCCCAUAUUGCAUGUUUCCUUGCUCCUGAGAUCCAGGAAUGCAUAUACUUGGUCCCGAAGCCCAGCACAGAACCUGGAACUUGGGACAUGAUUAAUGAGAGUUUGCUGAAUGAGCGGUCAAUGUAUUCCUGGUUCGUUAGUGUGGAUCUUGAGGAGGUCAGGGGUCUGGUUCAGGGGUCUUGUUUGUUGCUUCCAGGAGGAAUAGAGAGAUCAUGUCAAAGCCCAGAACUGAGCAGUACAUCCCAGAGCAACCUUGUUGAAAGGUAGCUUUGCCCUUCUUGGUGUCCUUGUUUGCUGAUGUGUCCCAAGGACCCCUGUCCUGGGCCUUCAUUGUGCAGACUCAUGAGGACCAUCAGUCAGGGUUAGUUUUCCACUAUUUCUGUUGGGCAAAGAGUUCACUGAAUUGAGUUGCGAAAGUUGGGUGCAAAGCUCAGUUUGGGUUCAAAGUAACAGUUAGCUUGUGUGGGUGGCAGUCAUUCAGUGCAAACAGGUUUUGGGACAGGAAGGGGGAGGGCCUUCAGAGCUUUUAGGCUCUUCAUCUGGUGUUAGGCUGAGCCAGAGGCCAAGGUCUCCGUGGAACAGGUGGGACAGAGUGAGGGUGACCAUGUGGCCUCUUUCCUUUUUCCUUUACCAUUACUUUUUUUCAGUUAGAUCACUUUUUCAAUCAUGUGGCUAAGAAAAUAGAUAAUGUUUUUUAUAACUUAGAAGUACUACUAUUUGGGUACUCUUUAAUAUUAAGGAAUAAAUUAUCAAUCAAUAAAUAAAAUUCCUCCUUUCUGAGCCAUUGGAGAAUUUUACAGUGGAUGAAUAAUCUGUACCCCCUCCCGACUUCCAGUUUCACUGACACAUUUUUUUCCCCUGACUUUAGUCUUAGCCCAGCUCCAGUGGCCAUGAUCUAAACUCACCUUAUCCACUGUGUGCCUCAGUGGUCAUUUCUUCCAAGCUUUAGUUCUCUCUUCUAUGGAAUGAAGAAAAUCAGAACAAAUAGCUAACUGUUGUUUCAUUUGGAUAAAUAUUUAUUUAGCAUCUAUUACUUUUGGGAGAUUAUGCUGGGUAUAUAUUGAUAAACCACAUAGUCAUGGUCCCUGUCCUUGCAGAACUCCCAGUUUAAUGAGGGAGGCAGAUAUGAAACACAUUGCACAAAAAUAAAAAAUAUAAUCAUAAACUAUGAUAAGUGUUAUGAAAGACACAACCAAACGAUGGUACUAACAGGAGUAGGGACUUGAGUUAGAAUGGAAGGUCAUGACAUUUAACUUAGAUAGAGCCCUGAAAUUUGAGCAGCAGUGUUGACCAAUGAUCAGGGGUUCUGAGAUCAGAGGCCCUGCAUUCCAGGCCAAGAGACUAGGGGUAUAUGUUCUUGGAUCAAGGAACAAAAAGAAGCCAGUGGCACUGAUGGAAUGAAGGAAAACUGGCUGGGGAAUGGAUGGAAAGAGGCAGGGCCAGAUCAUACAAUGCCUUGUAGCUGUGAUUUUAUGUUCACAAGGAAUCUUUGAUGGUGGGCUGUGAUCUCUAGGAUCAGUCUUGUGGUUCUUGACACUUAAGGAACUUGAGUGAGAAGAGCCCCAGGGGGUAAUUAUAAUCAUUACAUACAUGUGUACCAUCUUAUGCUGUUUUCUUCUUUAGUUUAACAGUACUUAUUGUGUAUAAUCCCAUGUUUCCAAAUAAUCUUUAUAUUUAUAAUAAAGAUACCUGAGGGUAGGCUGUGUUUGGUAGUAGUGGAAGUGCUUUUAUACCUAUUAUAACUCAGUUUUCACAGUGAUGCUGAGAGCUGUGCAUUGCAACUUCUGUUCCACAGGUGAAGAAAGUACUGUUAGUAAGUUAGUAGGAGGAAAGGCUGGACCUUUGGCUCCAACCAUAGGAUGACACCAUUUAUGUUCUCUAGUAAGCCAUCCAUGCAGUUUUCAUUUUAUAAGCUCAAACCCUAUUGACAACAUUUAAUUUGCUCUCAGCAUUUGCUGUUACAAUUAAAUUACUGUAAAGAUUUUAUAGACUUAGACUUUUCUUACUUUUGUAUUAUUUCCUCAGGCUAAAAUCUCAGGACUAGGAUUACCGGGACAAAGGGAAAUGGUCCUUGAAGUAUAGGACCAGAUGUCCUUCUAAAGGAUAGACCCAAUUUAAAAAGCCAUUAUCAAUGUAUCAGGCUCAGUAGUUCCAGGAGGGCAGCCUGGUUUUAAAAAUUGUAUUUCCCUCUAGCAUUGGUCUGAUUUAAUCUUUCAGAUUUCACUUCAGUUUUCCCACACCUCAUUGAAACAUACACGGUGUUAGGAAUGGGUCUAAAAUUAAUUUUUCUUUACAUUCAUAUAAUGUUAUCCCUGUAGCUUUUGUAGCCUAGUUAUUUUGGGGACAUUCAUAAGACCUUAUGUCUGUGGGGGUCUAUUCUGGAGUUUUUUGUUUGGUUGACAGGUGUUGGUUACCUGUGUGUUAAUAUAGCCCCAGGAGUGUCCUUACUUUGGUGACCAUUCUGAUACCUGGGGGAGCUUGUGUUAUAGGUUCCUUUGAUUUGACCUCUUAGGAUAUCCUUUGUUGUUUCCAUCCAUUUCUUUUUCUCAUUGAAUCUUAUUUCCAUAUGAAGUUCUAAAAAGUAUCACUAUUUCAAGUGAAAUUAUGUUAAAUCUAUAAAUUGGUUUGGAAAAUUUGGAUAUUAAAUGUUCCCAUCAAGAAGCAUGGCUUAGCUCUCAUUAAUUCCCAUCUUCCUUUAUUUACCUCACCAAAGUUCAGGAAUAUUUAACAUUAAGAGAAUGUCUAACUUUUCUGUUUAUGUGUCUGUUCUUGCUGUGAAUAGUAAUUUUUUUCCUCCUAUCACAUAUUACUAAUUUAGCUGAUUAUCACAGGCCUCCAGAAAUACCAUUAUUUAGAUUUACCUUGGUUCUGAUUAAUUUACCCCUAUUUUCAAUUCAGUUUCAAUUUCAGCUUUUUAAUAGAUUUUGUGGGCUUUCCUAGAUUUGUGACCAUGCUGUAAAUGGAAAGGACAUUUUCAUCUCUGCAUUUCUGAUGUAUAUUCUUUUUGUUUCUUGUUUCAUGCCCCAUUGAAAUCUCAAGCAUUUUUUAACUCAGUACUAAGAAACAGUGAUUUCUUUUUUCAGUAUGAAGCGAAUUUUUUGGGCUUCCAUUAUUCAGGAGACCUUUGCCUAAGGCCAAACUUUAUUUCACUGGUUUCUGUGUUCUUUAAACAUGGUCCUUGCUGUGCCCAACUUUGAAUUAAUAUGCAUAAAUCUUGAGAAUUCAGGAGUUCCAUGACUGUCCUCAGGCUAGGUAGCUAAAUGCUUUCGCAGAGUGACUGGAUUGUGGUAUAUGAACUUUUGCAACCAGCAGCAAUGAACACUCAGGGGACAGUGAACAUGCAUAGUGUGUGAGGUCUUGGCACAGUUCUGAAUGAGGAUUCAAAAAUGGCUUGAUGCAUAUUGAAUAACAUGAUGAUCAUAAUAGCCAUGACGAGCUGGACUGUGUCCUCAAUCCUUUACAGGAAAUGAUAUUUAAUUUUCACAGUUACUCUAGAGCAGUGAUUCUUAUCUAGAGGCAAUCUCCCUCCCCCACCCUGGGGCUUUUGGUAGUAUCUGGAGAAGUUUUUGGUUGGCACAAUCCUGGGCAUGUGUGUGCUGCUGGUAUGAAUGGGUGGAGACCAGGGAUUCUGCUAAACACUCUACAGUUAGUAGGAGAGUCUCCCACACAGUUAUCAGGCUCAAAAUGUUGGUGGCACCACUGUUGAGAAAUCAGGCCCUCAUGAUGAUGAGGAAUAUCAAUGGGAAGUACACAGUAGUGCUCUGGCUCUCCCCAGAGCGUCUUAGACUUUGGUGAAAAACACUUUUUUGGAAGCAGUGUUCCUCAUCUUCCCAACGCCGUGGUGGGGAGGUGUGGAGUUUGGUGGUGUACCAAAGCAAGACUUAAGUUUUCUACAGAAGUGUAUUAUGGUAAAGGGUUAUGGUAAAGGGUCCACUUUUAUUUAUAAGUUAUUUCUGAAAGCCUGUGCUUAAUAAAAGUACUAAGCUUAGUGGUGGAGGAGAAAUCUGAUUUUGAUGAGUGGAGCAAGAACUGCAUUUCUUUUUUUUUAUUUUUUUUUAUUGGUUGUUCAAAACAUUACAAAACUCUUGACAUAUCAUAUUUCAUACAUUAGAUUCAAGUGGGUUAUGAAUUCCCAUUUUUACCCCAAAUACAGAUUGCAGAAUCACAUCGGUUACACAUCCACAUUUUUACAUAAAGCCAUAUUAGUAACUGUUGUAUUCUACUACCUUUCCUAUCCUCUACUAUCCCCCCUCCCCUCCCAUCUUCUCUCUCUACCCCAUCUACUGUAAUUCAUUUCUCUCCUUGUUUUUUUCCCCAUUCCCCUCAUAACCUCUUAUAUGUAAUUUUGUAUAACAAUGAGGGUCUCCUUCCAUUUCCAUGCAAUUUCCCUUUUCUCUACCUUUCCCUCCCACCUCAUGUCUCUGUUUAAUGUUAAUCUUUUCCUCCUGCUCUUCCUCCCUGCUCUGUUCUUAGUUGCUCUCAUUAUAUCAAAGAAGACAUUUGGCAUUUGUUUUUUAGGGAUUGGCUAGCUUCACUUAGCAUAAUCUGCUCUAGUGCCAUCCAUUUCCCUGCAAAUUCCAUGAUUUUGUCAUUUUUUAGUGCUGCGUAAUACUCCAUGGUGUAUAAAUGCCACAUUUUUUUUUAUCCAUUCAUCUAUUGAAGGGCAUCUGGGUUGGUUCCACAGUCUAGCUAUUGUGAAUUGUGCUGCUAUGAACAUCGAUGUGGCAGUAUCCCUGUAGUACGCUCUUUUAAGGUCUUCAGGGAAUAGUCCGAGAAGGGCAAUAGCUGGGUCAAAUGGUGGUUCCAUUCCCAGCUUUCCCAGGAAUCUCCAUACUGCUUUCCAAAUUGGCCGCACCAAUUUGCAGUCCCACCAGCAAUGUACAAGAGUACCCUUUUCCCCACAUCCUCGCCAGCACUUGUUGUUGUUUGACUUCAUAAUGGCUGCCAAUCUUACUGGAGUGAGAUGGUAUCUUAGGGUGGUUUUGAUUUGCAUUUCUCUGACUGCUAGAGAUGGUGAGCAUUUUUUCAUGUACUUGUUGAUUGAUUGUAUGUCCUCCUCUGAGAAGUGUCUGUUCAGGUCCUUGGCCCAUUUGUUGAUUGGGUUAUUUGUUAUCUUAUUGUUUAAUUUUUUGAGUUCUUUGUAUACUCUGGAUAUUAGGGCUCUAUCUGAAGUGUGAGGAGUAAAAAUUUGUUCCCAUGAUGUAGGCUCCCUAUUUACCUCUCUUAUUGUUUCUCUUGCUGAGAAAAAACUUUUUAGUUUAAGUAAGUCCCAUUUGUUGAUUCUUGUUAUUAACUCUUGUGCUAUGGGUGUCCUAUUAAGGAAUUUGGAGCCCGACCCCACAAUAUGUAGAUCGGAGCCAACUUUUUCUUCUAUCAGACGCAGAGUCUCUGAUUUGAUAUCAAGCUCCUUGAUCCAUUUUGAGUUAACUUUUGUGCAUGGCGAGAGAAAGGGAUUCAGUUUCAUUUUGUUGCAUAUGGAUUUCCAGUUUUCCCAGCACCAUUUGUUGAAGAUGCUAUCCUUCCUCCAUUGCAUGCUUUUAGCCCCUUUAUCAAAUAUAAGAUAGUUGUAACUUUGUGGAUUAGUCUCUGUGUCCUCUAUUCUGUACCAUUGGUCCACCCGCCUGUUUUGGUACCAGUACCAUGCUGUUUUUGUUACUAUUGCUCUGUAAUAUAGUUUGAAAUCUGGUAUCGCUAUACCGCCUGAUUCACACUUCCUGCUUAGAGUUGCUUUUGCUAUUCUGGGUCUUUUAUUUUUCCAUAUGAAUUUCAUGAUUGCUUUAUCUAUUUCUACAAGAAAUGCCAUUGGGAUUUUGAUUGGCAUUGCAUUAAACCNUCUGAGUACCAUCCAGAGGAGGGACUUCCAGCUCAGUUGGUAGAGACGUUUAUUUUGAGUGUCACGGCUUUGUUCUGGCAGAAAGGAUAGUUUUCUUUUUUCCCUCCAGCUUUAUUGAGGUGUAAUUGACAGAUAAAAGUUGUAUAUAUUUAAGGGGGGCAAUGUGAUAUUGUGAUAUACAUAUAUAUUGACUUAAAAAUUAGUAUGAAAUAAAGAGACAUUAAUAAAAAUUGGUAUGAAAUAAAAGGGAAGAAGCUGAAUGUCAUUUGCAAGCUUGGACAUUUCAGUGUGUUUUGUCUUUGGGGGAUUAUUUACAGAAAUAUUUAGCAAGGCCAACCCUAUCUUGGUCUUGGUAACCCCAUAGUCAGAAUGUUUUCUUCCAGAGAUGGAUCCACUUGCCUUUAUAGUUUUAUGGUGAUAGUGUUUUUUUUUUUUCCAAUUAGAGAACUAAUACAGGGUUAUUGUGGAAAAUUUAGAACAAUAAGAAGGCAUUUUUUUUUAAAAAGUCACACGUGUUCUUAUCACCCUAGAACAUACAUGGUUAUCAUCUUGUAUUUCCUUCCCCAAAGAAGAUUUAAUGAUGAGUUUAAUGGAAACCAUAUCAAAGUUCUUGGGAAAUUAAAAGUCAAUUAUUUGAAACAGCAAAAAAUCCAACAACAAAUAAUCAACAAAACAAACCCUCCAUUAAACACUCUGAAGUACCAGCAGUAGCAGAAAGGUUAAAUUAUGAUCUUGUCAUAGAAUGGAAAUAUGAAGUGGCCAUUAAGAGCCAUAUUUUAAGAGAAUAUUUUCUGCAAUGGAAAAUGUUCCCAGUGUGAUGUUAAGGCUAUGGUGGGGAAGCCAGUGAUGCAAACAGGUGACUUCAAGGGCUCAUAGAGAUGCACUGGGAGGAGUGUGCCUGGGUUACUGGGGGGAGCCCAGGAGACUGGGCUUCUCAAACUGAGAAUUAGUAAAGGACACCAUGGUUGAGUCUUGAAGACUAAAUAGAAAUGAGCCUGAUGAAGCUGGCAGGGAAGCAUCUUUCCUGACUUAAGCCAUGCACAAAGGUGUGGAAUGGAAUGUUACAAGGUGAGACCUGCAGACAGUUCAGUGUUAUCAAAGCUCAUGGAAGGAGAGGCUGCAGAAGAUGGUCAAUUGUUAAUGAAUUUCUCUGUGGAUUUUUCAGAACCCAGUAGUGUUGGGUAUCACUACUUUUUGAAUUCACAUUGCUCUGUCUUAUUUCCUACUCAGUGUCAGCUCUUGCUGGAAGUGGCCUGGCCUCUGUUUAUCUUCCUGAUCCUAAUCUCUGUUCGGCUGAGCUACCCACCCUACGAACAACAUGAAUGUGAGUACCUGUGGGUCAUGCCUGAGACUCACUUCUCCCAUGAAAAAUUCAGGCAAUAAACAUGGUCUGAGUUUACCUUUCCCAAAGACUCCAGGAAACAACACAAAUAGCUUGGCACAGAACAUCUAGUCUUCUAAUAGUUUGAUUUUGAUCCCUAGUGAAUAGUGAUAAGAGUAAUGACAACAAUCGCUACCAUCUGUUUCAUACAUUUUUAAAUCAUGAAAAUAAAGUAACUUUACUUUAUAAAUAGAGUUCAGACAGUGGCCACUAAAAAGCAUCCUUAAGGCACUGCUCUCUUUGGUCCUGCUGGUCUUUACCACUGUAUUAAUGUCUUAAACAUGCAGUUAAAAUUAUAGAACAUAUAUUUUUAAGUAGCCUUUGUGCAGAACAUCUGACUGAUAUUAUUUGACUGAUAUUAUUUCAUUUGAUUCAGUCACAACCCCCUAGACUUUAUUAUCAUUUGUUUCAAUUUCUUGCUAAGUAAGUUAGGACUCACACAGAUGCAGGGACUUGGUAAUAAGGAUAGAGAUGGAAUCAGUUCAGGUCGUCUCUCAGUCAUGUGUUUUGAAGGACAGCCCUUUACAGUGAGAAGUGAUGAAGAAUGCAUGGUUUUCUGGGUUUGAAUCCUGGCACAGCAUUCACUAGGCUUACAUGGUGGGCGAGUAACUUUACUUUCUUGUAAAGGAGGCAAUAAUAAUACCCCUGUCAUAUUAUUGUUGUCUGUGUUGUCACCCACAGCCAUAGUCUUUCUCUGUGGCAUGGCUCAAUGGGUAGAUUGACAUGGCAGAGCAGUCCAAGUCUAAAGGACCGACAUUUAUGUAGGCGUUUAGCUGAGUCCUCAGCUCCACUGUCCUAGGGACUUUUCUUGCCACUAGCCAACUGUAUCUAUAUCUCCCACCAGACCCAUAAAUUUAUAGGACUCUGUUCUCCUAGGAAAGCUGUGGAGGCCAAGGCUACUUUUAAUUUUUUCUCUUGGUCUGGCCUCAUCUCUCACAGCACAGAGCAGAAGUUAUUUACAUGCUAAUUUGCUAAUACACCAUCAUACAUAUUCAAGUUACACACACAUACACACACACACACAACUGAAGAACUCUCCCUCAGGCAUGAUUUUCUUACUUCACCAGAAAGGAAUGGAACAUCUAAUGAAAUCUAUACUCAAUUUAUGGGCCUGUGAGGUAAUUCUGCUUUCUCUUUUACAAUCUCAAAGAGAGGUUGAUUGAUUAGCAAAUGGAUAUUUGGUUUUAUUUAAACAUUACCCUGAGCCCCACAGAAGUAUGUUUCAGGGCGUGCUCAGCAUUUUCAUCCCCUGGGCAGUUCUCUUUCUGGAAUGAUCACAAAGAGGGAAGGUAGUGUAAUGGAAUUGGCACAGACUUUGGCACCUGACAAAUGGGGUUUGUGUGGAUGCUGCCUCUGCUGUGCAGUGGGGUUGUAAUCUUGAGUAAGUCGUUGAAUUCUGACCCAAAGCCCUCUGACCCCAGACCAUAGAAUUUUGGAAAUCUGUGAAAUUCUUGAACAUAUGGAAGACAGAUGAGACUUUGCCCAUCCAUCCAUGUCCUUCCUGUUCUCACUACCUUCCUAGGGACCUAGUUAGAAAGGCAGGUUGAAAGCUAAAGUGAAGUGCAUGGACGUGUCUUGUCUUUGCAGUGGGAGGAGUGUGCUUGGGUUACUUACUAGGGGAGCCCAGGACAGUGCGCUUCUCAUUCUCCUGAGAAGACUCUGUCCUUGGGAACAAAGGGCUGGUGAUACAAUUCUUCCCCAUAAACCUCGGUUCAGCCCUAGUCAUCAAGGUCCCAUUAACUUCCCUGGGUCCUAGGAGUCCCUUAUGCUGUCAUCCUGUGCACCCAGUGCCUAGUCCUCAUCUUGCUUUGUUUGCAAAUGAGAUAGAAGACAACAUGCCAGAAAGGGCCUUUGCUUCCCCCACGGAAGGACAGCCCCAAAUACCUCAGGGCCUUGUGCUGCCUUUGGCUGAACCUAUCUGUUCUUAGUUCCAGUAUCUUCCGGAGUUGAAAGGGGAGAAUCCCUGGGUCCUUGGAGUAUUUGACUGGAUUACAUAAAUCUCUGAAUGAGGAGCAGCUGACUUAGGCAAGGGGCUUUGUUUGAUUUUCCUUGAACUGUUAACAGGGAGAUAAAGAGAUUAACUAAGUAAAUGUUCAACAGGCCAGAGUCCCUGCAGAGAGUGACUGCAGGGAUUGGAUCCUUGCUUUGGAUGUUGUCUCUGGUUGGAGUAUGGAGAGAAGAAAGAUAGAAGGCCCCUGAUUCGAACAUGCCAAGUGCAGCAAGCUCUGGCUUUGGGUUAACUUCUGGGAAGCCUCUGUUAGCCCAUUUGCAUGAAAAUAGAAGGAUGAAUAAAAUGAGGGUCCUACUUUGGAGGAAGAAGGUAGCUGUGAGACUGAAGGAGUAUUCUGGUUUGGCAACAGCAGAGGAACUACUACUGCAGGCUCACACCACAGGGCCUCCAGAGUCUGCACAGACCUAUUUGUUGAGCUUUUGUUCCGUGCUAGGCACUUUGCCAAAGUGCUCUACCUAGAAGAGCUCAUAUAAUACUUAGCACAUGCAUUUUUAUCACCAUUUUACAGAUGAGAAAACAGAGGAUUAGGGGGUCUGUCAGGGACUUGACCAAAGUUGUUGCUUAGCAAGUUGCAGGGACCCAAUGUGAAGCCCAGUUGGUCUGACCCAGAAGUCUGUGAAACUACAAGCUCUUCACUACCUAAAGCUGUGGUUCUUAAUGGCUGCCAACUCUUUGAGGGUCACAGUUAAUCCUGAGAAUCUGAGGAUAGCUGCAGCCCUGGCCUUUUUGUUCAAACAUAAAUAGGCCCUUGGGUUAAGAGUCCCUGAUCCAGGGCACAUUUAUCUUGAUCCCCAUAAGCAGUAUCCGUGGGUGACUGCCACAUGCUAACCUGGGCCUUCAAGACCUCGGAGCCAGCCCAGACAUGCCCAUUCAUCCUGUUUGUAAGAAGCUCCCACGAUGAGGGGAGAGGCAGGUGAGGAGCUCACCUGGUGGAUGGGGCGUCCUUAUUUUGACAAGUGACAAAACAAUAGCAGCGAAACAAAAGUUGCUUCAUGGAUGACAUCUGCCCCCAAGUCAGCAUGUUUUCGAGGUGCCCUUGAGAAGCUUUGGAGCUGGCAGAGGAGCAAACUGACAGACAUCUGGCAACCAAGGAGAGUACCAGAGGGAACUGUGGAGUAGAUUACAAAGAAGGCCACAGUGUGAGGAGGGGGCUGGGCCUGGGAUCAUGGAGAUGCAGGUUCCGCUCCUAGUUGUGCUCCUUGAGGGUUCUUCAUUGGCUGUCUGUCUUGCUAUAACUUCCUCUCAGAGUGUAAAGAAAUUGGACUAGGUCAUCCCCCAGACCCGUCUGGUGGUCCAAGGUGAACAAAUGGUGGCAAAACACUUGCUACUUGGUCGGCACUUCCUGUGCAUGGUCUAAUCUACUCCUCUCAUUACUUCUCCAAGGCUGAUGUUGUGAAUCCCACUCUACAGACAUGCCAUGUAGAUCAAGAACCAUUAUCUGAUACCAGGUUUCCAGCUCAGGGUCAGAUUAAUCCAGAGGAGGCAGGUCUCUGGGAUGAGGGGAAUGGGACACACAGAAUAUGGGACAAAGUAUUGGGUGGGGGGAGUCUCAAAAUGGCUUCAAGGAAUUAAUAUUUCUCCGUGUGUUUUUUUCUUCUCCUUGAUUUCAACAGGUCACUUUCCAAAUAAAGCCAUGCCCUCUGCAGGAACACUUCCUUGGGUUCAGGGGAUUAUCUGUAAUGCCAACAACCCCUGUUUCCGUUAUCCAACCCCUGGUGAGGCUCCAGGGGUUGUUGGAAACUUUAACAAGUCCAUGUAAGUACCAGAUCAGGUUUUCUUUCUCAGACUUGUCAGUGAAUACUUAUCCUUCCCUUCUUGCUCUCUGGAGAGUUAUGAAUGGCUGGAUUUGAGCAAAGUUGCUUCUGUAAAGGUUUGUGUGGAAAAGUCUGCAGAAUGAGGGAAGGGAGGCUCACUGCCAGGAUUUAAGACUGUGGGACCUUACUUUGAUGUCUUUUUGGAGUAACAGUAAUAUGUAACCUAAGCUGUCUGGUUGGAGGCUGUUCUUCUGCACAAAGACUGGUAAGUAAUGAAGGGACACACAGUACACUGGCGCCAUCUCAUAGUUAAUCUGCCUCACUCAGCAGUAUUUACUGCACAUCUCAAAUGGCUGGUUCUAGAUUUAGGGUGCAGGGGCAGGCACCAAGGUGCCCCCUGGAUGGGUUGUGACCUCCAAGGAGCUUCAGAUCCAGACUGGCAGAGCCCUUUUCUAUGUUCUCAGAUCCAUGCUCUUACCUCUUUCACUGCGUCUCAGUCCUCAGUGUCACUGUGUCUGCAGGUCUUUCUCUCCUGGGUGGGAGAUCCUGAGCACAGGAUUCUACCUUGGGUUUAUAUUCCUGGCUUCAAUGUGGACAUAAGUAUGAAAUUAAUAAAGCAUCUAACAAAUGAGCCAUUGAAGAUUCUUGAGAUAUCUGGAACCUUGACAUGAGUUAGAGUGUGCUAAGGACCCACUUGAAGACAAUUCUGAGGGAGCGGCAGCUGGGGCAGGCAGAGCCACAUUAUAAAGAUCAUGGACCACAGGCUUUGGGGCCUUCACGGGCCCUUUCGUCUGUGAAAAAAAUAUUAAAAAUUCCAUUUUAUGACUGUUGGCAUAAAAGCAAAUAUAAUCCAGGUAGAUUCAUUACCAAAUGUGCUUUCUUAUUAUAUUCAUUUAAAAUUUUGAUUUUUAUAAAAAGCGAAACCAUUUUCAUGAUCCUUUAAGAUUAUCGUGAGCUCACUGUGCCUUGUAGAUAAGUCUGCCCUGGGGGCACGCUGGUGUGUGUGUGUGUGUGUGUGUAUGAGAGAGAGAGAGAGAGAGAGAGAGAGAUGGGCUGGGCCUUUGAGGUUGAUUUGGGUCAUAGGAAGGGCAUCUUGAGGCAGGGAUGGUGGGUGGGAGCACAGGUUGUUAGUGAGGCCAGGCAAGGGGAGAGGAUGGGAUUGGCCUGUAGAGGGCCUGGAAACCAGGCUGGGGCAGGUGUAUGGUAGUCACUUUCUCGAAGCAGCAGCUGACCUAACCAGGGCUUUUCCACUUUUCUUGUACUCUUUACAGUGUAUCUCGCCUGUUCUCAGACGCUCGGAGGCUUCUUUUAUACAGCCAGAGAGACACCAGCAUGAAAGACAUACACAAAGUUCUGAGGACAUUACAGCAGAUCAAGAAUUCCAGUCCAAGUAAGCAGAGCCUUCCUGCGUAGCCUUUGGAAUUGGACAUUGGCCUGCCGUGGUGGCCUGGGGCUUGUUCCUUUUAGCUCUUCUUUAAGAGGUUUUUCUCAUCACUGGCUGGGAGCUAGGGCUUCUCUGAGCUGAGGGAGGCACUAGAAACAAAACUAGGGAAGCUGGUUGCCACAGUGAAUGGACUGGCCUUCUCUGGGAAGAGAAAUCCCUAGACAGGACAGCACAGGCUUGGUGAGAGGGAGUUAGGGGUGCAGGUUGCUGCCAACUGCAUUUUUUUUUUUUUUUGAGUUGGGCCAGUCAUAUGGUUGCUGUGAAUGGACAUAUUUACAGACAGGGGAUGCUUCUGUGUAUAUAAGCAGUGAGAGUUGCAACUUGAUACAGGUAAGGGAAAGUUGAGUGUUUACUUCUUAAAGGAAAACGCAAUUUAUCUUCCCUGUAGUCAUUUGAUUUAGUCUGUUAGGCAUUUGAACUCUGAUCUUUAAAAAGUGAAAUCUUUCCCUCUGAUCUGGUAAGUGCCCAGGCGGUUUAUUGCAUGCCACUGAAGUGUCCGAGGAGCAGGCGGUCUGCUGACCCAGGCAUUGGCCGAAGAAGUCACAGUGCAACCUCCCAGUCUGUGGCCUGCCAAGGGACAGAGGCCAGUGAGAACAGUCCACUGAGGGCAGGCAAGAAAGGCAUGAUGAUCUAGAGGAUUCAGAAGCAAUAAUGAAGUCUAGUGAAAGCUGGUUGGCUUUUUGUUAUCACCAUGGACAGUGGUUCCAAACCAUGUCAGGGAUGAACAGUCCUGGCCAGCAUGGGCCAACCGCUGCCUCUGUUCCAGGGAGGUACUUUUUACUUUUUUUUUUUUUUUCGGUGUCCGAGGAGAGAAUGGAGUAAGUUGACUUUUGCUGAGGGGUUCCCAGUUUGUGAUUCAUUUUGCAAAAGAAAAAAAUGGUAUAGAGUUUAAACCAGAUUUUUCUUGGGCAGACAGAGGUGUAUUCUCCUUGGGCAGGAAGAGGCAGUGGGCAAAAUGGGACCUGAUGACAAAGGGAAGCAAAGCUGUCUUGGGGAUGGUACAGAGGAUGUGUUGCUCCACAGUGGAGAAAUGUGGCUGUACUUGGGCCCCUGGGUCGGCUAUAAGUGGUUUCCCACUGGACCAUUGCUGACUCUAUGGAUGGAUCACCCUGGGUGCUGUUUCCUUGACCUGCAGGCCACUGGUCAAAGCCUCAGUCCUUCCUGAUGUACUAGAGGGCCCCUAUCUGGUUGACCAAGGGUAGAGCUGGGUUAUUUCUUGUACCACCCAGGGACAGUGUGUCACAGAGGAAAGAGUGUGAGCAUACUUUGCUUUGUAGCUAUGUGACUUUGCGAAUACGUUGGUUAGCCCCUUUUGGGACAUUUCUUCUUAUCUGUAAAAAGGAGAUAACAGAUAACCUAUCUAGGAUUGUUAGGAGGCAUAAAUGAGAUAAAACAUUUUAUUGCUUGAAAAUACGAUUUGACACCUAGGAAGUACUCAGUGAAUACGAACUAUGAUUGUUUUGGAUUGUUGGCAUCUCAGAUCACAGAUCUCUUUAAGACUUAAUUUUUUUUCAGCUAUAAAAUAACACCUAUUCUUGCAAUGUAACAUGUAAAACCCAAUACAAUGUCUGGCACUUUGGAGAUGCUCAAUAAGCAGGAGCCCGUGUUACUCUUAGAUGACAGUGAUGCCUUUUGACCUUCUGGUUGAGCUCUUCUGCCCCUCAAUCCAUGGGGCUAUUGAAAUUGUCUGAUGGCCUGAGUUGUCCAGCAUUUUCAGAUCUAGUAGAGACAACCUUAGAAAUGGAACUAUUUUUCUCCUUUGAGCAAUAGGAGAUAUGAGUUAGGUUGGAGAGGAGAAUGCAUGGCUGUACAGAGAGAACGUCUCCUGCUCCUCCCUCUUCUCCAGCUUGUCCCCUUUACCGCCCUGCAGGUACUUCUUCAGUUCCUACCAUCUUCUUUCCUUUGUGUUGCAAUGAAAAGCCAGAUCUCGUUCUACUGGGUAAUGCACAGUCUUGCUACUUCUUUCUUCCUAGAGGAAUUCAGUGAAUGUGUAUUGAUUUUGAAUAGCACUCUGUUUCAGAGAAAAUCUGCAUUGGGGAAAUGUCAGUUUUGAUCCCUUUGGGCGUGUGUUUAUCUGCUCUGACACCCUGGUCCUAGCAUGAUGGGCUUCACCCUAUGUACCAUUCCUCUCAGAGCUGGAAAGAUCCUUGGAGAUGAUCUGGUCCGGAGCUCUGCCCUGGUUCACCUUCUCUACCGCACAUAUCAUUUCCUGAAAUAGUGACCUAUGUCUCAGGACGAAGUGCAUUUUGGUGUCAACAGCUCUAUCAGAAAAUAUUCACUACCAUGUUAUCAUUCCAAGGGAACAAGUCCAAUUUUACUUUCCUUGGAAAGUUGAAGACGGCUCUACUGUUUUUUCCUUUCUUCCUGGAGCCUUUGAAUUUUCUAGGCUAAAUGUCCUCCAUUCUUUUUUGGAAUGCUUUUCCUUCCAAAUUUCUGCCUGUUCUCUGAUGAUGUCUCCAUUGUGUUUAUCUUCUUCUUAAAGUUUACCAGAAAUUACAAAAGUAUUCUGGUGUGGAAGAGAAAGGGACUUUUGGCUCCUUUGUUCUAAGUGCUUUGCUUCUGUUCACGCAAUCUGAGAUUGCAUUAGGCUCUUUGGCAUUCACCGUACCCAUUGACUCAUAACCCAUGUGUGGCCAACCAAAAUGGCAGAUUCUUUUAAAUACAGAAUUGCAAGUGGCUUGUUCUCCUUUUCUAAAUUGUGCAGUUGACUUAUUGAACUAAAGGAAGAAUAUGUAUCUUUUCUAAUUUCCAUUUUAGAUUCCCUGUGCCAUCUAAUCCUACCUCAACUAUUUUACAUUCUGAUUUUUCCAUGUGUUACAUCUGUUGCUGCUUGUGUCCUGUUGUCUAGGAAUAUGAUGAAUAACUCUCUUUGUUCUCAUUCAAGUCAUUGAUUACUCUAGGACCAAGGUUUGAGGCUUGGAUCAGUUGCCUGGAGAUUAUCAAACCCUUCAGACACUACCCCUAGAAUCUUAGAGAACUACCAGCUUUCCUUGUUACCAGUGUUGGUGUCACUGGGUCCUGUUUUUGGAGGAUUUACCUUUUCUUCAACAUACAUCUGCUGAAUCCAGUGGACUAUCCACAGAUAAGUUGUGGAUAUGGAAGUCUCUCCUCAAAUACUCUCUUCUAAUCUCAUGGUUUCCUGGACUAGAACAUCCUUUUAAUUUCCAUCUUUUGAAAGAGACCUUAGAGGCUGUUUAAUUCAUUCAUAGAUAAAUGGGUUGAUUGAUUCAAUCAUUCAACCAUGCCAAUCGCUGUUCAAGAUGCUGAGAUAGAGAGAUGUACAAAACAAUGUAAAACUUCUGUUGUGGAGAGUAAUCGUAUCCUAAAAGGUGAGGUGACUUCUCCAAGUUUGUACACCCCUGUUGCCCAUGCAGUUCUCCUUCUACAGUGCUAUCAUGUGCUGUUGUGAUAAUCUUCCAUUUGGGAAGGCCUCGAGUUUUGAAGAAUUAAUUCAUAGACGAAUCUUCUAAUUGUUCUGGAAGUUGUACUCAUGAGAAGCCCAAGAAAGGAGGCUAACAGAGGUGGCUAACCUAGUUUUCUUAUCAUGAGAACUUUUUGGUGAACUUUUUGGUCAUCUUAUUUCUGAACCAGAGAAUAACCACAAGGUUGAGGGGUGAACCAUUGAUGUCUGGGAGUCAGUGUAAGAAGAAUUCAUUCUUCUUAAAUUCCUGUCAUGACUGCAGCUCCAAGGAAAUACAAAAAAUGGCUUAAUUUUCAGAAACCCUAGAAAUGUCUAGAUUCUGAUCCUGUGAGAUGGAGAUCAACAAAGAACUCACUUCUCUGAGUGAGUUCUGAGUGAUAGCUGAGAUGAUUUCAGGCAGUGCAUGGAUGAUAUCUGUUAAUUCCAACUUAGACUGUAGUUUCAUAGAUAUUGUUACUAAAAAGGAUGUUAAAUAGGAAGAAAGAUAAUUAAAGAAAACAUCAUCUUACAUGGAUAUGGUAAAGUUUGCGAGAAUAAUUUGUGAAUCAUUGAAGACUGGAAAAUACUGGUAAAAGAAAGAGUUUUGAGCCCUGUGUAAAGAUUGUUUUGGUAACAAAUUCAAGCUCUAUCCCUCAUUAAAUAUGAACCUUUGGCAAGUUUAGAUUAUUUCUGGUGCUCUAUUUACCUAAAAUGUGGAGAUUAGCUAUCCUGAGGAUGGUUGAACGUUAAAUGAGAUGAUUUCUGUGGCUAUCUGGUAGAGAGCUCCUAACCCGUAGUUGACUCAUAAUUAUAAGUCUGAGCUGCUCCACUUCCCUGUUGUUCCUGGCUGUUUGACCUUGGCCUUGGCUAUACUUUGCCUGGACUACCUUCUCUGGGCCUCAGGUUUCCUUGCCUCAAAAUUGAGAUUUGGCAAAACAACCCAAAGAUGCUUGGAAACUUGGGAGGACAGUCAGGACCAAACCGUGUGCCUGACCUCUAGACUCUGUCCCCUUCAUAGGCCCUUUUUCUGGUUUUAUCCCAGGCACAGCACAAUAGCAGGUAGGGUAGGCAAUCAGUUCAUCUUCAUGGGAUGAAGCUAAGAGAAAAUAAAAUAGCUGCCCUUUCUCCUUCACACAGUGUUGAAAGGGUCAGGUGAAAUUGGUUACAAAAAUAAGAAAAUCCAGCACAUGUAAUAUUAGAAUUGAUUCCCUUGUAUGAACCCAGGUCAGCAGGGCUCAAAGUUAAUACUAGUAAUAGAAAUUCUUAGAACAGUCUCAACUUUCUUUCUUUCACAAAGUUUAUUUUUCAGAACUUUACCUUGAACCCAGAGGCAUAACGUGCAUUUACUGGGAAACUGUUUCACUUUCAUGGCCCCCUUGCAACCUGCUCUGAGGAGUCUUAGCAAUGUAUUUACACAUUCUUUCAUAAAGUCUGCCCCCACAUUGUGUCAUUUCUGGGCCUCACAAACCUGCAUCUACUCCUGCCAGGACACUGGGAAGGAGGAAGAACUGGCUCCUUCCUCAGCCUUCUCCCUGGCCCUGCCCUUCAGCCUCAUUCUCCACCCACAGCCACCUGCCUCACUGUGUCCCUGCUCCGAUGAAUCUGUCCUUUCCAGGCGGGAUUAAUAGCAGAAACUGGCCCAAGCUAAGGCCUUCCUGGUGGGGCUGGUGCUUCCAGAAUCAGGAUGGGGCUGGAAAAGGAGGUGUCCUUUUGUCUGUAAUGUCUUUACUGCUACUUUUCCUUUUCAGUGACUCCAAGUGCAUUGCUUAGUGAUGCCUAAUGGUCUCAUUACCCUGCUUCCUGCUGAGCAUUUCUGCUCAGGCAUCCAUUUGUCCCAGUGCUUGCUCCUCUCCCAAAUCCUGGAAUCUUGACUUCAGGCUCCCCUUCAACUCCAGGUGGCUCCAUGGACACAGGCCCCACUUGAGUGGGUACCUCUGUGUAGCGGUCAGGGCUUUCUGCUAGCCCUGGAAGUUGGAAAAUGCAUAUGCUGGGGCUGAGGCUUCUCGCCUCUCUGGGGUGGAUCAUCCAUCCUCUCGGUCUCUCUAGGAAGUUCCUCAAAUCCCCUACCCCCUGUUUCCAUAAUUAGCUGGGCUCUUGUCCAUUGCUGUGUCCCCCAUGGUGGCUCUACGAGUCUCACCAUUGCUUAUGCUGAUCUGGGGAUAGUUCCUGAGCGUUUAUGGGUCCUGUGGAGUUUUUCCAUCUUUUAUCGCUGUGACCAUAUGGAUAGGGCCUUGGGUUCUGUGAUAUGGCAGGAUGCCAGAUAGCCAAUCUCCCCUAUGAGUAGGACUCAGCCAAGAUCUUGGCUCUUAGUUUUUACAGGUGUCUGGCCCUGUCCCAAGUUAGGGCAACACAGACACCUUUUAACUACAGAAGACCAUUGGUUACUUUGUGGGAUUGCAGAUCAUUUUCUGCACCUGUGGAAUUUGGCCAUGAGGGUAGAUGCGUCAGCUGAAGGAUGCUUUCCAGCUAUACCCAAGGCUGGCAAGUUAUACAUUUCUGGAUGUGCAUGUACCCCAUGGUGCAUGUGAAUGGCACUUUCCAUGAGAAUUGUACUCUACAUGGCAUUUUUUUUUAAAAUUUUUUAUUCUAAUUUUUUAUACAUGACAGCAGAAUGCAUUACAAUUCAUAUUACACAUAUGGAGCACAAUUUUUCAUAUCUCUGAUUGUAUACAAUGUAUAUUCACACCAUUCAUGUUUUUGGUAAUGAUGUCCAUUUCAUUCCACCGUCUUUUCUACCCCAUGCCUUCUCCCUUCCCCUCCCACCCCUCUGCCCUAUCUAGAGUUCGUCUAACCCUCCCAUGCUCCCCCUACCAACCCCACUAUGAAUCAGCCUCCUUAUAUCAGAGAAAACAUUCAGCAUUUGUUUUUUGGGGGAUUGGCUGACUUCACUUAGCAUUGUAUUCUCCAGCUUCAUCCAAUAAAUGGUGUUUAUUGAAGGGCAGCGCCAUAUGGAUCCCAACAUCCUGAUUUUUCUAUCUCUUCAGCUAGGUUUUGUGUUGAGUCAAUGGAGUGGUUGCCAUUUUCCAUAUAUUCAGCAUACAAUCUGGCUUGUUUGACCUUUCUAAUGGUGCUCAAUUCAAGGUUGUUGUACAAGUUUUGCUGGACUUGACUUAGGGAAAAGGGUCAUAGUUUUCUGCCUGUCAAUCUAGGUAACACCUAGAAAUCAUGGUAUGGGCCUUUGAUUCUGCUUUAAUCUUUGAAAGCCUAGAAGAUAUGAGUUCCAGAGGGCCAGUGGAUGUGGUGACAUGGCAAGGUAGUUGGCUGUGGUCAGCAUUUGAAGAUAGGGCUAUAAAAUUAACAUGGUGUAAAUAUCCCCUAGGCUGUACAAUUUAGUGAAUUGACAUGGCAACGAGGCUGCCAGGGUUCAAAUCCUGCCUCUGGGUGCUGCUUACCAGCUACUUGCCCUUGGAUAAUUUCAUAACCUCUCUGUAUCUCAGUUUCCCCAAAAUGAGAUAACAGCACCUUCCUUGGGGAUGGUUUAGCAAAUAAAUGUAUUAAGAAGGGGAAAGCACUUAGUACAUGGUUACUACUAGGCUUCUGCCUUGAUUUACUGCAUUUUCACAGUCAUCAUGGAAUGUAGGGGAUUUAAUUUUUUUUCUACUCAAAUGAAGGAGCUGAAGUUCAGAAAGGCUAAGUAACUUGCCUAAGAAAGCACAGCUAGCAAGGGGCCACAAUAGGAACAGAGUUCUAGUCUUAAGUGCUGUGCUGUUUAUUAUAUCCUAAAGAGAGUUGCCCGGGAGAGCCAGAAACUUCUCUGAGGGGUCACAGGGCACUGGGUAUGAACAGGCUGUGGUGAGAAAGGAGACAGAGGGCCAGACUUCCUCCCCUUCCUGGUUCUAUGGGUAACAGGCACGGGGACGGGUAACAUGUCCCAAGGCCCAUCUAUAACGAACUUCCUGUGACUCAUAGCCACUUCUCCUUUCUUGCCUGAAGUCCCUCAUUCCAUUCAAGCAGCGGCUGAAGUUGAGGUUAUAGUUCUAAACUUCAUUUUCUGUCCUUGGGUACCCACCCCAUGUGUCAUCUCAUAGGGAGAUCUGAUGACAUAUGUGUUAGAAUUUGUCAUCAAAAUGGAAAUCCCUUGAAAUCUUUGGGUGGUUGCAAUUCAUAUUCUGCGUGCACUUGUCAAAAGUUUAGGAUGGAGGCCUUAAGAAUUUCAUGGUUUGAAACCUUUCCACCUACCAUGAGAAGGUUUUCCCAGACCUGUCAAAGCCAGGGCUGUGUCCCUGAGUACAGGCCAUUGGUUUUCAUCAGGGCAGGAGCCUGGCCCCAGCUGGGCUGUAAGCAGGGGGGUGCAGCGCUCCACUGCAGUGUUGAAAUAUUGCUUGAACUAAAUCAAAUCAAAGGUCAGCUUUACCCAGACGAGAAUAGAAAACACAAUUGCAUUCAAUUACAGAACGGCAUGUACCCCACCAAUAUCAGAUUGCUUUAAAACUUUUUUGAAUUGUUAACAUCAAAAACAGUGUUGCAUGUCCCCUGCUUUUCCAGUGUAAGAUUUCUUUACCCCAUAGGUGGCAAAGAGCCCCUGGGGGUCCGGUUUAUUUCUUGCUGAGAGCUUCCCCAUUUCUCAUUCUUCCAUCACUGUUGCAUUGAGGCACAAAAAGACAAUCUUAGAGCGACUCUUUGUACAACAGACCAGGUUGCACCAGGUAAUGAUGCUGUUUUAUGUCUUAAAUGGAUUAUUUAAUUAAAGGCUUAAAACAACUGGUUGGUGGUAUCAUCCCCAUUUUAUUGACCAUGAAACUGAGGCUUUAAAGGGUUCUGUCUGCCACCCCGGACCACAGAGUAAAGUUGUAAAUUGAAUCCAGGUCUGUGUGAUUCCAAGCUCAGCCUCUUUCUGCUAUGCUGUCAUGUCAUCCAACACCAGGAAAUGUGGGCAGCAAUACUAGCUUUCAAUUAAGCAUUUUUAGAGAGUGAAAAAUUCAUUUAAUUGCUAAUAAAGUGGAAGGGACCAAAGCUUUGUAGCUGAAGCUGUUUGUGUUGAAAUAUGCCACUCUCUGGUUCUGUGACCUUGAGCAAGAUGUUAACUUCCAGAUCUGUUUCCUUGCGUGAGACAUGGGAGUAAUAAUACCUUUCUUAUAAUCUUGCUUUAGGGAUUCUGGAGAAUAAUAUAAGGUGUCCAAGGCUUAGUAAAUAUGAAUCACCUUUCUUUCUCUGCCCACAAAAUACUACCAUGUCUUUAACAAGUGUUAUUAAUUUUAGAAAUUAGGAAAAAUUAAGCUAUUUGUACAUUAUGUAUAUUAACAAUUCUUCCUAGACCAGCCCUGGACAAAAUUCCAUUGCAGUCCCUAAUUUGUAGACCCAUCUUUCUUUCCUUCCUUUUGUUCCCUGGACCUUGCAGGUCCUCGCAGGAUAAUUCUAGCCCUGUGUUAUGUGGUGUUUGGAGUUCUUGGCCCCAUGUUUAGUCAGAGCAUCUCACCUGUGAGAACUGAAUGCCUCUAACUCUUUCUUCUCCCCAGCUCCUCUUCUCUCUGCCCCCUUCUGUUUGAUUCAGCCUUUCUCAUUUCUGGACUCUGCGUUUCUUCCUACUUUAGACUCUUACCCUCUCUUCACCCCUUUAUCUUCUGGGCUUCCUCUUUCCUCUCUCUGCCUCUCUGGUCUUCCCAAAGGGUUCUCUGCGUAAAGUUCUCUUCUCAGCUAUUGUGAUUUGGACCCUUGUUUCUUCCUGUCUUUCUGUUUAGGUUCAGAACUCAUUUGGGCUCAUGUGACCUCCUCAGUAUUAACUUUCUUUUCCUCCUGGGCUUCCCCCACCAGCCUGAGGGUGCUCACAGCCUUCUGUCCAGUGUGAUUUGUCAGAUUUAAGCCUUUCAGAUAAAGACUCCUUAUAGCCAUUCAGGUUCUUACCAGUGGACAUCAGUCGUUAUUCCAGUGGCUUCCAACAACCUUUCCUACCAGUCAGACCUGGGUAUUGUCUUAGUCGGUUUGGACUGCCAUUACAAAAAUACCCCAAACUGAGAAAUUUUACACAAUAGAAAUUUAUUUCUCUGGAGGCUGGGAAAUCUGGAAUGAAGGUGUUGCAGAUUCAGUGUCUGGUGAGGGCUGCUUUCUGUUUCCAAGAUGGCACCUUGUCACUGCAUCCUAUGGGAAGGACAAACACUGUGUCCUCACAUGGCAGAAGGGACUGAGGGGGACAUAACCUACCCUGAUAUUGAAGGUUCUGCCUUUAUGACUUAUUACCUCUUUAAGGUCCCACCUCUUAAUACUAUCACAUUGGUGGUGAAGUUUCAACAGAGGAACUUUCCAAUGUUCAAAUUAUAGCAGGUGUGUUACUGUCUUAGGAGAUGAAUGUGGGGAAAAAAAAUGAGGACACUUUCUACCCCUGAUUUCAGUGCUGCUGACAGACUACAAUGGCAGAUGGGGCUGGAGGCUCACCACUCUGCUUACCCUCUGCCUACCUCUUCUUGGAAGGGAAGGGAUUGUGCCUUCGUAGGACACCUCUUUUGUUACAGGGGCCUGUCUUUGGGCAACACUGAAAAAGGUCUCAUUCCUUUCAACCAAAGCACUGGGUACAGUAGCUAUUUAGGAGUUGGUUGAAUGAGUAUACAUUCACAUGCGUAAAAUUCUUUAAGAAACAUAUGGUUCUUAAGGCUAUAUCACUUCCAUUGGUCUAAAGAGAAGACUCUGGCUUCCCUAGUACGUUCUGCAAAGAUUCGGGGCACAUAACCACAAACAGUCUGGUUUCUCUUGGGAACUCUUCACAUAAUUGUCAUAAUGACUUUAUCAACCUUUUUUUUGAGCAUAUUUAAUUUUCAGCCUGAUUUUCUCUUGCAUUACAUGUGAGUCAGUAUUUAGGGUAGUUAACACACUUGGGUGCUAUUAAUGCUUGCGUAACCCACAAUCGGAGGAAGGUAGACCUUCAUUUACAAAUACAGAGGCUCAGAGAGCCUAACAAGUGACUUUCCCAAGCCCAUGAAACUGGAAAAUUCUGAAACUGAGAUUCGAACCAGGUUAGCCAGACUCCAAAGCCUGAGUUCUCUCAGGCCUUGAGAUUCCUCAGCAAGCCUUUACUGUAGAGAAAGAAACUAAUUCAGGUCCCAGAUGACCAGCAGGGAGCUCUAAAGGCCAUGUGCCCCAUCUCUGUGUGCUCCCUGUCUCCUGCCCCUGCCUUAGGGAGUCACACCAGGGAGCAGCCUGUCACUGCCUUUCCCCUUCUCUAGCUUGGAACAUCAAGGUCUUCCCAGAGAGGGCUCAGUCAUCUCACCCCCUGAAGAAAGUAGAGCCCCUGCAUUGGGAGAACAAACCAACAGAACACAAGGAUACCCUAGAAGACAGCAGAGCAUAUUUGUUGCCAGCCCCUUUGUAGCAGAGAAAUGUUCCAAGGUCUUGGUUUUUAGGCCAGACAAGUUUAGGCACAGCCAGCCUGUCUCCUCUGUGCCUUUCCACCCCUCCCCUGGCCAUAGUCACUGCUCAUCUGACAUGGCCAGGUCUGGGAGACCCAGCCACUCCAGUAUCUGGGCCUCCAGUGCUGAGUGAUCUCUUUCUUUGCUUCUCCUUUUUAAAAUUUGCCUUCUCCACCCUCUUCUCAAGCUGCUGAUUGCUGUGGUUCCUUUUCACGUGGAGCCCAAGGCUGGGGAGAUCUUGAAACCUGAGCUGGGUCCUGGAGGGCAUUGACCGCUAGUAACCCCAGCCAGCUCGCCUGCCUGAGGACGUCCCUCCUCGGCUUUCCGCUGCCCUCCCUUGUCCCCCUCCUCUGCUCCUCCCUCCCUCUCUUUCUGCAUCCCUUCUCCCUCAUGGCUCUCUGUUUCAGAGGUGGUGGCUGGCCUUGGCUGGGCAGGCUGCCUGGAGAGAAGGGAAAGAACACUAAGUGGCCAAGAAAGCAUCCCCUGGGGCAGGGCCUCGCCUCUCCACACCCCUUUUCCUGCCUGUGGAGCGCUUCCUUAGUGUGGGCAGAGAGGCCCGGCCUCUAUGGAUGGCGAGGAACUGAGGAUUCUGCCUAGCUCUUCCCCAGCCCACAACACACACAUUUCACCUGUUUGUUCUUUGUAGACACUGAGUUCUUUUUGGUUUUGCUUUUCCUUGCUCCUUUCCUUUGCUCUGCCACACUGCACUCAAGGCAAAAGUUUCUGGGGAAUUGGUAGGCCCCUAUUUGCUCUUCCAGGCAAAACCAAACCAAGAGGGCUGAGCUCAGUGGUACUUUGGUCAGUACUGAAGACACUGUGGUAGGAGAGCUGUCUUGGCCCUCUGCUGGAGAGCGACUUUCAGUCUUCCCUGAGGGAAGCAGGGACUCAGGUUUAUUUUAGCAAGUAUCCUGGCUCCCUGUCUCUGCGUCUGUGACAGUGGUCAUACCUUCUCAGUUUCCCAUGUAAAUACGUGAAGCCAGUCAGCCCUUCCCCAGAGCCAAGCACUUUCAUAUUUCUGAUUUUUGGUUUUCACAAUAAUUUGUGGAUAUUAUUAGCUUCAUGUUUACAUCCAAGGAAACUGAGGCCCAGAAAGACCAAGAAAAGGGGGAAAAGAGUUUCAUGUUACAGUUCAGCUCUUCUGAUGCUCUCUCCAGUUUUAAUUUGACCUUGUACUCCUCUCAGUACCACAAGUAAGAAUACCUCAGAGAUCCCACCCACAAGUUUUAUACACGACAAAAUCCAGGUCCAUGUUUGAUCAAACUUAAGUGACCUAGUACUGUCCUUUGCAUCAAGUAUUCCCAGUCGGCUGGGAAUGGCUGGUCUUUCUAGGUGGUCAUCUUCUACCUGUCUCCAUCCUUGCAGAGACCAGCAGAUAUGAUCGGUAGGAGUUGAUUCUCUGUAAAAUGCUAGAUUUAUUUGUUCUUUUAUAAAGUCCUGAAUAGACAAAUCAGUCUGCUUCAACCUUUCCUUUGCCUUGUAGACAGUAUCACCAGCAAGAAUUCGUCAAUUCUAUCAGCUCAGGAACUCAGCCAGGCAAAUACAAAAUGUGCCCGUACAUAUGCACACACAUACGUGUAUAAACGUAAUUGGACCAUGAAUUCAGCACGUCAGCAUAUUUGGCAGAGUCACUUCUCUGUUCCCAUCUCUUCUGCAUAUGCUUCCCUGACCUUCCCACCCUUAAACUAGGUUAGGGACCCUGUUCUGUGCCCCCAUAACAACCUGCAUUUAGGGUUAAUUUAGGUUUGAAUUUAGGAAUGAUAUUGGUCAUUCCUAGAAAGGCUGAUAAUAUCAUCCAUUCUUUUAUGGAGCAUCUUACUCAGUGUCAGGAACUAUCCUGGGCCUACAAGUAUGUUCUGUCAUUCGACCCCAAGCUCAGCCCAGUGAGGCAAAUGCCAGUGACAUUUUCAUUUCAUCAUGUAUUGACUCAGCCUCCCUCUGUUCUGUUCUCCGCUCUGCUCCCAGCUACUACUUAACCCGAUGUUUCUUCUCUUGACCUGCACUAAUGUGACCCAGUGGGCUUAGAGGAACUUGAGUUCCAUCUGCGGUAGCUUUCCCUCCAACCCUCCACAGUGGCAGUUUCCCAGAUCACAUCAAUUCAUUAAUUUAUUCACUCAUUUGUAUUUGUUCGUUUGUUCAUUCAUUCAUUCACCGAGUGCUCCUCUGUGCCAGUCAUUGCUGGCUUUGGAGUUACAAAUCCUGGUCUUCAACACAUUUUUAGUGUUCUGGGAGAAAGAUGUACACACAACUAAAGCUUUAGACAACUAAAGCUUGAUCUGUACAGUAUUUUGGGAAAAUGAAGUUGCUGUCAGGAGACAGAAGAGGGUUGCUAACCUAGUUUGAAGGUGGGAAGGUGGGAAGUUCAGGGAAGGCUUCCUGGAGGUGGUGACUCAUGGGCCCAGUCAUAAAGGAGUGAGAGAAGGAUGGCCGCUUCAGACAUCUGGUGUUCACACUAUUCUUGGCUUCCCCACUUGUUUUCCAGUAGGUACAGAGCCACCCUGCUCUGUCCUCGCACACACACCCGUCUCCUCUCUUCUUCCUCCCUACUUCUGAAAUCUUAAGUUUUGAGGAAUCUCUUCUCUUUAAAUUUAUUUGCUAUUUUAUUCAUUCAUUCAUAAACAAUUAUUGAGCACCUAUUGUGUGCACAGCACUCUGAGUACAUGAGUACAGGAUGACUUCAUCCUUGCCAUCAGGGGAGAUCUUACUCUUUCCUUAGCAGCUUCUGGGGAUUUUGGGCUGUUGGGUUCUUUCUAGAACUUGUCCCCUGCAAUUCCCAUGAAGCACUUGCAGAUAAACCUCACCUUGGACAAAUGCUUCUAUUAAUUCUCUUCCUUGGGCUUUCUUAUCUCUUCUUUUGCUCUCUCGAGUCAAAUGUGCCUCUUUGUCUUCCUCAUCAGCCCAGAAAGUUCCUUGAAGGCAGGACUGUGUCUUCGUCUUCUUUACAGUGCAUCGUUGUACAGUGGUAAACCUGAAGGAAAUCGUUUCUUCAAUAACAAAAUAUUACCACUUAUUAAGCACCUGUCAUGAGCCAGCUGCUCAUUAUUCAUGCUUUACAUAUGAAUCUCUCCAGUCCACACGUCUUCAAUAGGUGGGGGCUGUUACAUUCAUUCAUAGGCAGGAAAAUUCCAUCUCAGGAAGCUAAGUGACCUUCUGUGGUCAUAUAGCCAAUUCAUGGGAGUGGGUACUACUAAAUUUAGGCUUUUCUAGUUCUAACCCCUGAUUUUUUCCCCUCUGAAUAUUAUUGUUUUUCAAACUUGGUCAGAGUCACCUAGAAAGUUUUUUAAAAAUUCUGAUAUGCCUGAGUCUUACCCCUGGCAGUUCUGAUUAGGCAUUCUGGGGUGUGGCCUAGGCUUUGGGAUUUUUUUUGUAAAGCUUCCAGGUGAGUCUAGCAUGCAGCCAAGACUGAGAAUCAGCUUACAGUACCACGUUGCCUUCCUGUGUCCACAUGAGUGCAGCUGUCAGGGGCAAUGUGAGACUGAGCCAGCAUGUGUAGAUAUCCAUGUGACCAGACUGUGAGUUCUUCAUAGCCAGGGCUCUUUGGCCCUCUGUGCCGCUUCCCCACCCGGCCAUCCUCCCACACCACGCACGUGCACUGACAAAGGUUGUUGACUAUUUAACCAGCCUCUUGGUUCUUGUGCCUCGUCCAGGGGAUAGGCGGUUAGAGUUUGAUCACAUCCAGCUGUUUUCAUCCUCAGAGCCUGUUGACAUAACAGAAGAGUCUUAUAAACAUGCUGAGCACAUUUGCUGGUCCCAAGAGUGUUGGUGGAUGACCUAGACCCAUUGAAAGUGCAGUCUGGGUCAGCCUCCCACAUUUCUGCCGCCCUUUGUGGGAAGGAGGGGGUUGUUCUGCAGUUCCUUGGCACAGUGCUUGUGCGCUGCCCUGGCUCUGCUUGGGAGGAGUGUGUGGCUGAACCGGUUGAUGAGUUAGUUCACAUGUUUAUUUUGUUCUGUCAAGGGUUUAUGGGGACUCUUUUUGGCCCCUCAAUUUUGGGAGUAAGGCAGUGCAAGCACAACUAGGUGAAAUGACCUGGUAAACAAAGAUGCAGAACCCCCCAGGUUUCUGACUUGCUGGUGGUUUUUUUUUUUUUUUCUGUUGCUGUAGGAUAGUCGGUGUUGGCCUUCUCAUGCUAGGCCUCAACUGAAGUUGCCACAUACCUACCACUUUCCUUCCUGUUUACCCCUGUCACGGGUAAACAGGAAGUCCUGGAUCACUUUCUGUCCCUAGGAAGGCUGUUCUAGUGGCUCAAGGUCCUGGGGUAUGGCUUCGGGAUGGUCCUGACUUCCCUAGGCUCUUCCUGGGCUUGCUCAGAGAUGGAAGGAAAUCUGGGCUGUUGCUCAGAUACUUGUGAAUCUUUUCAGUCCUAAUCCCAUCUCCUGGUAUUUAUUAUUUAGCUGUCAUUCACUGAACGGUAAUUCUGUGCUGGGCCCUGAAAUGGGAAUUGGGGACACUAAUAAAACACAUAUUCUUUGACCUUAUGGGCAUGGUCUAGUGGAGAAGCAUGUAAGUAAAACAGUGUUUCUUAAAACAUGGCUCUCCGACCCCCUUCCUUAGAAGUACUAGGCAGUUAAUUAAGAUGUAGACUUGUGGGCCACCCUCUCCAGAUCCAUUUUUAGAAUCUGUAAGGAUUGGACCCCAAAACUGCAUUUUAGCAUACUCCCCUAAGUGAGUUUUAGGUGCAGUCUGCAUCAUGUGUGAGGGGGAACACCAGGCUGGCGGCAGUUUGCAGGAGAACCUAUUCUGAGAAAGACACUAAAAGGCCCAGGAAGCUUCUGGGGGUCAUGAGGAAUCCCUAGGAGCUGGUUACGUAGGUGUCAUGGAGAAUCAUUUCUCUAGAGAUGCGAAUCUUUCUUAGUUAUUUUUCUAGAACUCCAUACAGUAUUACUGAAAUUUGCUUAAGGCAGAACAUGCCUGGAUCACACAGCUCUAAUGGAAAUCAGCAUGAUAUGUAGGGUCCUAGCUGCUACUUUAUGUCUGGGCUUGACCCUCUUAGUGUAGGAUUAACUCACUAAGCCUCACACUGGAACCCUGUGGUCAGAUCGGACCUCUUCAGGUGAAUCAUUUGUGUUUGUAAAGUUUGCCCCCUAGAGGUCAAUUUAUGUCUGGGCCUGGGCAAGUGACUGCCCAGCCUGCCUUGAGGUCAUGAUGAGCUGGUUUUAUCUUGAUUGCAAACAAGAAUUUAGACUAUUAGGAGGAUGGGGUGGAAAGAGAAGAGGUAGACAGUCAAAUGAAAUAAGACUGGGAAAGUGAUAUUAUUUCAGAGUCAGAGAGCCCCUCCAGGCAUCUGCUUAGAAAUCUCUUGUUUUGGAGGUGAAGAAACUAAGGUUCAGAACAAUGGCCUGAAAUACCCAUGUGACAUGGUAUCAGAAACAGCCUCCAAAUCUAGGCUCUAGAAUUCCGGGUUCCUGACCAGUGCUUUUUCUGAUUUGCAUCACUGGAUUGAAGCUUUUUCUAAAUGUACCUGGCUGGAGAGCUUAUUGUUUAAUAGGAAUCUAUAUGAAACCCUUUAGCAAGUGAAUUAUUUGGUAGGGUGGAUUUAAAAAUAUAUGCCUAUGUAUUGUUCUAAGGCAUGGCAAGCCUGGGCUUUAGAGCCUAACAUCACAUGUUUUGUUUCUAAUUAAAAUGGGACCAGGAGAGUGCUUUGAUAUGCACCAUGUGUACACCAGUGGUCCCUGGCAGGCAGCAUCAAAUAUCCCCUGGAAGCUUGUUAGAAAUGCAGGUUCUCCAGCCCCAUCCCAGGUCCACUGAAUCAGAAAUUCUGGGGAUGGGGUCCAACCGUCUGUUCUGUCCCACUAGUAAUUCUGAUGCACAUUAAAGUUUGAGAACCAUUGCCAGCUCCAUGAGAUCUGCCCCUAUGGCUUAUGGAAUAAGCCUUUAAAUGGCUCAGAUUUUAGCUAUGGGAGAUGGUUCCGGGGAGACAGGAGUGGUGGGGGUUGAUGUCUCAAAUCUCUGGUGGAAAGGAUGAGAUCAUUUAAAAGAUUGGGCUUUUUGUUUGUAAAGCAAGGAGAGGCUGUGUGUGUGACAGCACUGUGGCACUGUGUGAGUCUGGGAGCAAGACUCCACUAUCAGAAGGCAGUCUCUUCCUGUCUCUCCUGAUAAGGCAGAGCUCCCCUAGCUCAUUUCGCUGUGUGCUUAAGCCAGAAGCCUGUGCUCAUCAAUCAGUUUAAAACAAGGCAAUCAAUAGUAUGAUAUUUUUCUCCACCUGCCUCGUAGUGCUUUUUGUUUUGUUUUGUUUUGAGUUACUUAUUAAAUGAAAACAAAACACCAUUUUUUUUUUUUUGAUAGGCUUGAAGCUUCAGGAUUUCCUGGUGGACAAUGAAACCUUCUCUGGAUUCCUGAAUCACAAUCUCUCUCUACCAAGGCCAACUGUGGAGAAAAUGCUGGGGGCUGAUGUCAGUCUGCAGAAGGUAAGUGGCCGCUUCACUUCCUCAGCCGGCUGAUGGCAGUUACAUUGUUUGCCUAGAAAGAAAGGAAUAAACCUCUCUCUUUAUAAUGAUGGUGAAGGAAGAAGUUAGCUCGAAUUCAUCUUCACCUAAUGUGACUUCUGGAGGAGGCUGGGCAUCAUGAAACCCUCCAGAGAGCAAAAUGUGCAGCCUGGCGUCAAGGGCCGGCUGGUUGAAAUAAAACUGAUUUACUGUCCGUUGGUUGGCAUUUAUGAUGACUUCCUCCCAAAAGGGUUACAUUUUAAGUUCAGAUGAAUUAAACUUUCUAAAAAAAUAAAUUUCACAGUUCUGAGAUAAGAACCAGGGUUAAGGAUUUUUGACCUGGAGAGAUUCUGUCUAUAUAAUCUAAGACAGGAGAUUUAAAAAGCAUAAUGCUGCUUUGAAAGAGAGCAAAGAUAUAUAAGGAGAGUUUUCUUUUUAAAUGUAUAAAAGCAGGAAGUAAUAUUAGAGUUUAUACGGAAUUUUAACCUUAGAUUCUUCGAGAAAGAACUUCCUGUGGCAUCGUUAAUUCUCAUGGAGCUCCUGCGCAGAUGACCUGGUAUCGAUUUUUCAGAGAUGCUUCUCAAGUGCAUUCUCUGGCAGGAAGGGAACUGCUUUCUUACCCGGUCUCAUGUCUGCAUAAUAUCUUGUCUUUACAAUAAGCAGAAGUAGUGGAAAUGUUUAUGUUUGAAAGUAAGGUCUUUGCUUCACAAGAUCCAGAAUUUUUAAAAUUAGAAAAAUGUGCUUACUGCUUGCCCUUAUGAAACUAGGAAAAUAUGCCUUGUGUUUACCAAUUGUGUGGCUGGGAGGUGGGCCAGAGGCAGCAAGCUUUUGAAAAUGGUUGUGUUUAGCACAAUUUCCAUUGUCCCCUGCCAAUUCCAUAUCUGUCACAUCCCAUCAGUUUAGAAUAAGGGGCAUCCUAAGCAUGGAGGUGGUCCACACAUGGUGGUUAGUAUUUCUGAGUUGUUGGUGUUCUUAAACACAGACACUAAAGGUAGACUGGCAGCCUGGCGGCAAGAAUUGGUUAAAGAAAGGAGUAAAACAGAAGUGCACUUGAGGAUCUGGCAUAGGUAAAAAUUUAUUGGAAACCGUGGCAGGCCAAAUACUCUGCAGUUUAUUUGAGAAGCUUUUGGCCCAUCACUCACAUUAGGUUGUUCUAUUAGCAAGACAGGCUGCAUUUAUUUAAACUAAUAGGGAAGUUAGUAACUCUACAUAUAAAAAAACAGCCUGUAUCAUUCAUUCAUUCAUUCAACAAAUCUUUAUAGACUCUAGUGUUCCAGUUCUAUGAAUACAAAGUCAGUACUGAAAGUCAAGGCCCUGCUUUUUACAAAGCCUUCUGUCUACAGGGGAAUAAGGACCAAGAAGCACAAUUUAUUCAAGACUAGGACAGCUAAUUAAGUAAACAAAAAAAUGACCAAGGAGAGGCUUCCUAGUGGGUUUGCUAUUCUGAAUAGAUAAGAAUGACUUAAACUGGCCUAUCAAUGAGAUGAUAGGAGGUCCAACUUUCCAAUAAAUUCCAGUAAAUUUAUUUUCCAGUAAAUUCCAAAUUCCAAAUUCUGCCUUUAGUUCUGUGCAUUGAUUAAAUAUCUAGACCUGUAGACAAAUCAUAUUUUUUUUUCAGAAUCCACCCCAAUCCCAGUUUAAGAAAUCAUAAAUUCCAAAAUAGCAAGGAUGUUUUACUCUAAUAAAAGUGGUUCCAGGAGUUCAGAUUCUGGAUUCCUAUUCACUGAAUCAUGUGUCCCAGCACUGAAAAAAAGAGUUGGAUUCAGAGUUGGAUUUCUCUCUGCAAGAGGGACGAGAAUGUGGAAGAUACUAAGUCAAACACAUCAUGCAGGUUUAAAAUGUGCUGUCAGAUCAUGCCAUGAUUUAUUCUGAAAUUCAGAAAAAAGACCCGAUGCCUUAAACUAUCAUCAGCAGUGCUCCUUUUAAGACCUUCAAAGCUGUACCUGUGGGAAGCACCCCAAGGGCUUCAAGGACCCUGCUUCCCAUCUUUGUAAUCCCAUUUCACUUGUCUCUCUUUGCAUGAAUAUUUCCAGGUAUUUUUGCAAGGUUACCAGUUACAUUUGACCAAUCUGUGCAACGGAUCCAAAUUAGGAGAAGUGAUUCGACUUGGUGAUGCAGAAGUUUCUGAGCUUUGCAGUCUACCAAGGGAGAAACUGGAUGCGGCAGAGCGAGUGCUUCGUUCCAACAUGGACAUCCUGAAGCCAAUCGUGGUGAGUGGACUUACUCUGUGGAAAAGAAGCUUCACGUGCUAAUAAUGCUAUUGGAAUGUGAACUUUUUCCUUGGACAACAUGUCUUUGUUUUUGUAGAAACAUAGGGCUGGCUGGGAGUUUGUGAUACUGUUUAGCCAAGUGGUAUUUUAAGUGUGAAUGAGGGAAGGAUGUGCAGGGUGUGGCUAAGUCCAAGCCCAAGGUCCCUUGUGCCCAUUUCAAUCAGAGAAGACCUGCUUUUUCAUGUUUUUCAUACUAUAACUAUGAGUCAGAGUUCUUUUGAAGAAAGCGUUCCCUGGAUUUUUUUUUAAGUCUCAAAACCAUUGAUGGGAAGAUGGCUAUUUAUAGGUGCUUUAAAAACACUCAGAAAGGAGAUACAGUAGGCUGUCACAGUAAAACCCUGGAAUUAGAGGGGACCACACCCAGUAAUUAGCUUAAUCAAUGACAAAAUUGUAUCCAAAGGAAAAAAUCCCAACAAAAUUUGAUCAGCUCAGGAAUCCAUUGUUCAGAGAAGCACUCCAUGAGAAUACACAUUCCUUUUUAACCAAAUCAUGUGGAUGAGCAUGAGCCUGUAGAUAGGAAUUCAAGAAUAAAAAUGUCUCUGGGUUUUCUGAGAGUUCUGGUGAAAUGCCCAGAUAUCACUUAAUGUUCAGGAUUCAGGUUUCCUACUUAACAGAGAGUAAGCUGAUUUGUCAGUAAGUUCUCUUAAAACCAGGAAAAGAGCCCUGGAAUAAGAAUGUGCCUGAAAAGAGAGAUUCUUUAUUAUUAGAAAAUGAAAUUAUAAUUCUCUUGGACUUUGUGUGCCAUGACUUCUCUAUAGAGAGUUGGGUCUUCCCUGGGGAGGGUGGUCCUAAGAAUAUGCAGUUUCUGGACCCUGUGCCUUGGAUGUGACCUUAGAAACACAUCUCAGGUUAUGGACUCUGGACUGACCAUUGAGAAAUUCUUAUAUACUGCUCAACCCUAUGAUGCUGCAGCCCCUUCCUGAGGAGAAGGUUGUAGGAACACUGUGAGGUUCUAGGUGCCUCUUGGCGGACACUCAGCUCAGUCUUUAUGACCAGCUUAUGCCUGAUGCUUAAGAACACCUUUUAUUUUAUUCCAGAGGUAGUACAUUCUAUUUCAGUUAAAAAAGAAAUAAGCUUAGUGCUUUGUUCAAUGGUCUGUGAUUCUCUUGGCUAAUGUUUCUAUAUUAUAAUUUCAAGUAAGAUCUAUUUUUUUCUUUUCUUUUUUGGUACUGGGGGUUGAACCCAGGGGUGCUUAACCACUGAGCCACAUCCCCAGCUCUUUAUUAUUUUUUUAAAUGUAGAUAGGGUCUCGCUAUGUUACUUAGGUUCUUGCUAAAUUGCUUUGAACUUGUGAUCGUCCUGCCUCAGCCUCCCAAGCCAUUGGGAUUAUAGGCGUGUGUCAAUGCACCUGGCUUGAUCUAUUUCUUUAUGGGGAUGUUUGAAGCCCCAAGUAACAUCCCUAAAUUUUAGAUAAGCUCACUUGUGCAGAGAUUUGCAGCUUACUAGCAUUUUUCACUGUGAGACAUAGAAAGUCAGGGUUAUUACAAAUGGUACAAAAGGUUGGGGUACAAAACCUUUCCUUGGACUGCUUUUGGCUUCUUCACUUCACUACAAGACAGGAAUGUUCAUCCUUCAUAUUUUAGAAAGAUGAGUGUUUUUACAAGACAUAGUAAUUUAUUCUGGUGCUCCUUCAUUCUGUUUUACUUCUGUUUACUCACUAAACACCUGUUGUAUACACAACCCCAGUACAGAAAUCCACCCAAUCACAUAAUGUCUGAAUUACACUCAGAGAAGAAUGCUGACAAUUAACAGCUCAGCUUUCAAGUUGAAAUUCCUCUCCAUUUGGGACAAUCAGCAACAUGACAAGUACCUGGAGAGGGACCUUCAAACCUGUCAGCCGCGUUGCAUCCCAUCUGCUUGUGUGGUGGCUGUACAGGUGUUGACUAAGGUGGCUGGAGGACGCUUGCAGCACAUCUCCUGGGUGUCCAGAACAUCUGGGGUUCUGCUUCUGCCCCUCUGCUCUUGCGGAGAAACCUGUCUUCAUAAAGUCAGAAGAUGGGUUAGUGAUGAGUUAUUCUGAGUGGUUUGGAUUGUUCUGUGGAAAGAUGAUUUUGGAGGUUGCCUUUGAAAUAAAAUGACUUUCUAACAUUUUGGGAUGUUAUUUAUUGAAUUAAGCCCAGUGUUAAUUGGAGUCCCUGGACUGAUAUUUGAUUUUCAGUAAGCAGGCUUUUCUUCCUGUCACUUGGUUGCAAUUUUAACAUUUGUGAUGGUAGAUGUAUGUGACACGUGACAUCAUCGAACGUGGCCAGUUAAUUAUGCCAAGAACUACAACAGAAGCAGCAACCAGAUGCCAGGGACAGCAUCAUGGGGGGAAACUUCUGUCGAUAUGUGUUUCUGUACCAAAAGGGAAUCAUCAGGAGGGACAUAUUUUGAAACAUUUUUUCUCAUUUAAUUAUUUUUUAAUGUGGGUGUUUCCUCAUUUUUCAGCCAAGGGUAUUCUGAGUCUUUUUCCUGGGCCUCUUCCAGUCUCUGAAUGACUUCUGGAAAAAUAGUGUUGGGACAAAAUGGGGAAGUGUGGCAGAGUUGGAAGGGCUGUGGGCUUGGGGUCAGCUCACCUGGGCUCAAGUGCUGCUUCUGCUGUUUCCUGGAAUUGACCUUGAAAAGAUUAUUUUAACCUCAGUAGGCCUCAGCUUCCACUCCUUUUACUUGUAGAUAAAUAUAUGCUAAUCUUUGCUGUGAUUAUCGGCCACAUAUAUGAAGAGCCUCGAAUGGGACUUGGUACAUAAUAGGUGUUCAAUAAGUAGAAACUGAUCAUUUAAUUGACACAAUAUUAAUUAUGUGCUGAAAAUAAUUGCUGGUAAGAUAGACAUUUCCUUCCAUAGAUCAGUGUAGGGAAUCAUAGUUAUACCAAGGAAGGUGAUCCUGGAGAAUAUUUCCAUGAAAAACACAUUUUUUGUCCAGAUAUUACCCAAACCUCUCACCCUAUAGAGCCUUAUUUAUAUCUGUGCUGCAAUCCACACCUCACAUGAAAAUGAAUCCUGGAUGGUGGAGUGCUUCAAGUUUUCUACGGUUAAGAGAUGUUUUUAAUUAAUAUUUUUCUAUUUUUUACUUAAAAAAUAUUCAUUCAUAGAGUGAUAUUUAUUGCUUAUUAUGUAGCUGGAUUAGCUGAGAUCCUCAAAAAAUAUGGCUUUCUAUAUCAAUGUUUAUAGAAACAUAAUUCACAGUAGCUAACCUAUGGAGCCAGCCUAAGUGCCCUUCAACAGAUGAAUGGAUAAAGACAAUGUGGUAUAUAUGCACAAUGGAGUAUUACUCAGUCAUAAAGAAUGAUUUUAUGACAUUUGCCAGUAAAUGGUUGAAGUUGGAGACUAUCAUGCUAAGUGAAAUAAGCCAUUCCCCAAAGUGAAAGGUAGAAUGUUUUCUCUGAUAUGCAGAAGUUAAUCCAAAAUAAGGGGGGUGGAAGAUUUUAAAAAAAAAGAAUAGAAGAAAAAUCGGUGGAGUAGACAAAAGUGAAUGAAGGGAAGGGAGAAGGAAUGGGAUAGGGAAAGACAGUGGAAUGAAUCUAUCCUAACUUUCCUAUGUACCUAUGUGAAUGUACCACAGUACAUCUCACCAUAUAUGCAUCCACAAGGCACUAAUUUAAAAAAAAAAACUAUAAAAAAAUAGAUCAGUAUCGGAGAGGGAAAGGAGGAGGGAGGAGGGGAAGGAAAGAGGAAGUACUGGGGGCUGAAUUAGAACAAAUUAUGUUACAUGCUUUUAUAAUUAUAUCAAAAUGAAUCCUGUUGUCAUGCAUAACUAGAAAGAACCAAAAAAAGAAAAAGAAAAGAAAAGAAAGAAAGAUGGCUUUCUGAUGGGUGGGUUCAUACAUGAAAUAUUACCUCUGGGUCUAAGGAAGGCUCAUGUCACUGAGUGUUUUUCCUGUAGUAGGAGCUCAGAGCCACCUGGCAACCACAGGUGGCCUUCUCCCGAGGUCCUUCCUGAAGCAGCACACAUCUUUCCCAGAGAGCAGACAGAAGUGUUUGUGGGGACCUCCCUAUGUUGCCCCUCAGUCACCUCCACUCCGUUUUGGAUGGCGGGAAGGAGCCAUAAUAGUGGGUCAGCAAAUUUUAGGAGGAGUGAUUUAUUUGUUUCUCUUGUUGAGGUCCUUGCUGGUUGUAUUGGUUUAUCUCUUGCUGUUAUAAUAAAUUAGCAUACACUUGGCAGCUUAAAGCUAUUUGCAUUUAUUCUCUAACAAUUCUGAAGGCCAGAAGUCUGGAUUCGGUGGAGGUCCACCUGUGAUCAGUUAGGAUCUCACUGACUGAAAUCAAAGUGUUCUCAAGGGCUCUGCUCUUCUCGGAGACUCUGAAGAUGAAUCUGCUUCAGAGCUCAUUUAGCCUGUCAGCCAAAUUCAGUUUUUGGUUGUUGUUUUUUUUUUUUUUGUAGCUGUAGGAAGCAGUCCCUGUUUCCUUGCUGGCUGUCAGCUGGGGGGCUGGGCUUUGCUCCUGUAGGCACCAGUCCCUUCUCAUCCUUUUCAUGUGGCCCCUAUUCAGCAGGUGGGUUGAAUCCUCUCACACUUUAACUCUUACUUCUCCUUCUGCGGAAUCUUUCUGCCUCUAGUCAGAGGAAGUUCUGUGCUUCUAAGUUUUCAUGGGAUUAGCCUGCCCAUCCAGAUAAUCCAGGAUACUCUCUUUAUUUUAAGGUACACACUUCAAGUACAUCUACAAAGCACAUUUUGCCCCAUAAUGUCAUGCAUUCACAGAUUCCAGAGAUUCAAACAUCCUUGGAGGAACAUUCACCUGUCACAAAGGCCUUUUGAUUGGAGGGUGUAUCUCAUUAUGUCUUUGAAGUGUUCCUCCGUGUCCUAGACUUGUACUGAUUCCUUGUCAGCUCUCUACUUUUUCUUGCCCAUAUUCUGAGAGUGACAAAUUCUACCCAGUAAGGUUUUUAAUGCACAGAACAAAGAGAGGUGGGAAGCAGAGCAUGAGAACCAGGCAGGAGAUUUUCAACCAACAAAACCCAACGAAUGUUCCUGGGAUGCUGCUUUGCACCAGGCACUGUUUAGGGACUGAAGGUACAGCCAUGGAAAGGCAAGUGACACACAUAUGGACCCUCUAGUAGGCACUGAGAACUAGCUUUAAGGCUGCAACUGGGCAUUUGAGGAAUUCUUCACAGGUUUUGGGGGUGUGAUUGUGAGGACUGCCCUCUCACUCUACUUUCAAUGAUGACCUCCCAGCCAACUCCCUGAUGGCAGUCUUUGACAACAUGGGACACUGAGAUGCAGCGGGAAGAAUGUGGGAUGGGAGUUAGCCAGGUUUGGGUGCUGGCUCGCCAUUGUCUCCAUGAUGUGAAAAUGGUGUCUGAUCCCUGAGGGUGGAAGGACAGAUUUAAAGAUUACCGUCCUUCAUUGCAGUAACAACUCAGAUAUUGCACACACAACUACAUGCACUGAUUGCCUUGACCUCUGUUGGUACCUUCUGCCUUUUUAAAAGGGAGAGUUUUGCUUCUUUGGAACAAAGAGUUCUGUUGGAGUGUCCUUUGGUGCCAGCAGCCCACCCCAGCAGGGCAAAAGGUGUCUCAUAAGUGAGGGUCCCCUGAGGCCCCGGGACCAGUGGUCUCACUGCUGGGCUGUGGAUAGGUUGAAGGGGUAUAUGGGUAAGGGAUGGAUAGUCAUCCUUUUCUUGAGGGGUCUUUGUUCAGACUCUUCUUUACUCUUAGACAAGGACUUGGAAUCUAGAUGGGGCUUGGGUUACCUUCUGUCUCAUGGCUGCCCAGGGCCAGAUCCCUCACCUUGUUACAUGGCUUCUUGCAGGGGAGAACACUUGCUUUUCCUCUCCUCCUGCCUGAAACUCAGAUACUUGUGGACAGGAUCAGAUUUUGUUCGGCUUUGUUUGAUUUUACUGCCCACCUGUUUACAAAAUAGGAUUUUACCCUGGAAGCAAUUGCGGUCCUCAUCAUUGGGUGUCUGGUGCAGCAACAUGCAGUGUGGAUUUAUUCCUUAGCCUCUGUGUUCACCUGAUUCCCACGGGAGAAGGAGAACAAAGAACUGAGGGAUGAAGUGGUGAAUUCAGCAUUUGUGUUGGUACGACUACUCAACACCAUCUGCACAUUUUUGCCUCAAUUACAUUAUUUUGGUCCUUGAAAAAAAAAAACCUAUCAUUUAUAAAAUAAAGGUUUGAUUUUUGUCUUGAAUCAUGCUGGUAAAUACACCUAAUCGUGUUUAGAAGCAGCACAAAGAUGAAAUAUUUUAAUGCAUGAAGUACCACAAAGGUAAAAGUUGAUAUUUAAGUUGUUGAGUUGUUUUUUGGAAUAUUAAUACCUUCCUCAGACAUGACUUUUAUCAUUUCCUACUUUAACUAAAAAAAAAAUUAAGAUAUCCCUCAAAGGAAAUUUUGCUGUCAUAGAAAUCAUUGGAAAGAGACAGUGACAGUCUUUGUACCUGGUAGGUGACUGACUUAUUUUCAUUUUGAACUAAAACAUAUUAAAUCCUAGCCCUAAGUCGGAUUUUCUGCAUAUGGAAAAAAAUAAGAAGAGAUUUGCAUUUAUUUUGUGAAGGUAUUUAAGGGAAAUUGGAAAUGUCCCAGUGAUCACAUUGUCAUGUACGAUUAUAGGAGGAAAACAAAAUUGUAUUGAAAAUAUGAUUCAAAUAUAUGCACACUUACAUCUCACUUUAUUUAGUAGCGGAGUUUCUGAAAAAUUGGGAUGUGGAUAUGAUUUUGUAAAUUGAAAAUAGUUUUCGAUUGCAUUUUAAUUUCAUGGAUGUUCUGUCCUCUAUUUAUAUUUGUGUGACUUCUAAUGCAUUGGCAAUAUUCUUUUCCAGUUUUCAUUUUAUGUAGUGGUAAUCUGUAAACAAGUUCCUUCAUUCAGCCAACAUUUAUUGAGUCCUAAUCAGUGCUGUACAUGGGGCCGGGGAGGCAGUGGUGUGGAAAUAUAGCUCUCUCUGAAUUUCUGUUCUGUGGGACAGACUAGGAAACGAGCCCAUGCUGUGUAGGGCCACCGGGGCUCAGCUAGGCGCUGUACAGGGCCUCUUAACCCAGCUGCAAAGGAUCAGGAAAGAAGCAUCCUCUACUUAGGCACCUGAAGAGUAGAUCUUAGCUGGGUAAGGAACAGGGAAUAGAAUGUUCCAGGCAAGGACCUGGUAUACACAUGGGUCCAGAGGGAGAGGGGAGAGGGGAGAGAAGGUGGCUUUCAUGGGGAGCUGCACAUGAGAAUGAAGAAGAUGUAGCUAGGGAAAGCUUGUAGCCAGGGGAAGGUGGCACAUGGCAGUUUGAAGCAGGACUGGCACCAGCCCAUCUAUCACCUCAUCGAGGUACUCUUCCCUUCCUUUUAACUUUUCUUCUGCCCCCAUUUGCUGGGUGCCUGGCUCUGAUACUUAGGUGAUGUGUCAACGGCCCUAAAAUAAAAUAUCCACUCAAAAUAUAAAGCAAAAUCGACUUUGCUAGGUUAUUGCCUUCUUCCACUUUUCAAUCUUCAAUGACUUAACUGUUAAGCUAGUGAGGAUAGGAAGAAUAUAAUGAAGUCAGUGGUGAGACCCAGGAAGGAUGGAGCACAGUGGCCUUUGUCAUGUUGGGGCAUGGUCAUCCUAUUAGUAAAUGUUAUUCUGUUGUGAUGAACAUAUUUUGAAGAAGCGGGUGUGGAUUUUUGAGUAAUACAAUAAGCAUUUGUGUUUUAUUCCCCUGAAGAUAUUAUGGUGUUUAGUUAUAAUGUAAAUAUAUUAGAUAAUAUACGAAUUCCUGUUAGCACAGGAAGUAUAGUCCAUACAUAAAGGUCUUGUUCCCCCUAAUCCCCUUUCUUUACUCCAUACAAGAAAAUCAUUUGCCUCCUGUGCACAGUGAGACCCCAUGCAUGAGUUCAUAGCGUAGAGAAUGUUUUUGGUUAGGAAAAAAUAACAGGAGGAAUUUCAAGUUGUGAAUUAUUGACCAGAGCACUUUGAGAAUAUGAUUUGGCAUGCUUUGUCCCCUUUGUCAAGGAGGAGUGUGUGCCACAGACCACAGUUAAGAGUGGGUGCCGACAUGAUUCUCGGAUUUUGUUUUGUAAUCUAGUUUCAAGGCUUGAGUUAAUUCCUGGGGUUAAAUUUUCUUCAAGGAGCCCGGCUGUCUUUCAGGUCUGAUGUGUGCUCAGGCCAACAUAUAUUCUUUACCCUUCCUGCGUUCCUAUCCAAGCAUCUUCCUUCUGUUAGCCUUUCAUUGAAUUAAAAAUCAGGAAAUAUUUUAAACCUAUAAAACAGUAUAGAGAAUAAUAUAAAGAAUACCCUUAGAUUACCAUUCAUCAUUUUGUCACCCUUGCUUCAGAUUCUGUUCAAGAUAACAUGGUAGAUUCAGCUGAUUCCACCUGUAUAUAUCCCUGUCUCUUUCUUCAGAGAGAAUCCCUGUCUGAGCUGCGUGUUUUCAUACUUCAUUCCAUAUGUACUUACAUUCUGUCAAUAGUAGAUAAAGCCUUGGCUUGCAUGCAUUCACAUUGGGUAAAUGUGAUAUUGAUCUGCCCUGCCACUGGUCCUUUUUAUUAAAUAUUAUCUUUUUGAGAUUUAUCAGUGUUGAUAGAUGUAGCAUCUGCCUCAUUUUAUCGGUUGCAUGGUAUCCCAUUUUUAUUCUAAAAAAAAUAAAUCCAUUCUUCUAAUCUUCAGUUUGUUUUCUUAGGUGUCUUUGUUUAUGUAUCUUUUGUGUAUCUAUUGUUUAUGGUAUCUUUUGAUGUACAGUUUUUACUUUUAAAAUGUGGAUUCAUUUUUUUUUCUUUUUGGUUGGGGUUUUUAAUAUUUUGUUUAAGAAAUUCUUCCUUUCCCCAACUUCAUAAGUUUAUUAUCUAAUAGUUUUUCCUAUAUAUUUUGAACUUUUCACUUUUACUUUUACCUCUUUAAUCUAACCAAGAAUUUAUUUUUGAAUAGGAGUGUGAGAUGAAAAAUAUUUUAAUUUCUCUUGUACAAAUAGCCAGUUGACGCAGCAGUAGUUAUUGAAUAGCUUAUCCUUGCCCUGUCAGUUUGUAGCAUUCAUUUUGAUGAUUUGUGUCAGCCUCUUCUCUGUAUUUUAUAGUGUCCAGGCACAGAAAAGUAAAGUGAAGUCUUGAGCAAAAUAUCUGAAUAAUCCCAGCUUGAAAUUUGAAUUUUGUCAACCCAUGCCUCUAUAGGUAGCUCCAAUUAGCACACCUUUAAACAUGGAAAUUUGCAUGUAUUGUCACUACUGUUGAAGAAUACUGAGCAUUUUUUCUUAAACAAGCAAUUAGUGUAAAAGGAUCCUUAUAAUGGUGUUGACUGCUCUACCUCAUUAUUUAUGGAUAGGCUCAGACACUUCCUUUGUUUAGAGACCAGAAUCAAAAUCAGUCCAUCAAACAAGCCAACAGAGCAAAGUACAGACUAGUGACAAUAAAACCGUAUCAUAGGACAUGGUUUCCAUAAAGGUCUGACGUCGACAGCAGAUUUAGUGAGGUUCUUGUGUUGAUAUCCAUGGUCAGUUACACUCCUGGGUUGAACAGUCAUGUAGUAGGUCUGCUGUGUGCAUGGAGUGUGCUGAAUUAUGGUACUUUUAAAAUGAGCAUAAGUUAAGGCAUUCAAAUAAAAUCCUUGAAGAAAAAUCAUUACCUAUGAAAAUGUAAAUGCAGAUGGAGAAAACAAAGUCUGAGAGUGACAGGAAGUGCUCACUGAUAAUACCCUUUCGGGGACAGAUGCCUGGUACUGGUGAUAGUGGGCCAGUAUUGGGUCUGAGGUUUUCAAACAUCUUUUGUGUUUGGUGACUUGUACACCUAAUUGGCAUGACACAUAUGGUGGGACCAUCUUGGAGUCUCCUCAGGGCCAGGUGGGCUGACAACCUUUUCUUUACUGCUUCACAGUUCAAAGCAGAUGGUGGUGUGGAAUGCACAAAUCCCACAGUCAUGCAAAAAGCACUCUGAAGGAGAGGCUCUGUGAACGUUGUCCAAUGCUGUGUGUUAGUGGUGCACAUGGAUAUACACAGAAAUGAAGGUGUGUGUUUGUGCGUGUAUAUAUGAUUAGGUAAUGAGUUGUCUGUCAGGGUUUCAAUAGAAAUGUUAACUUCAAUUCAGGGCAGUGUGUGUGUGGGAUAUAUGUAUAUGUAUAUAUAUGGUACAUAUGUGUAUAUGUAUAUCAUAUAUAUGUAUAUUAUAUAUAUGUAUAUAUUAUAUAUAGUAUAUAUCUCUGUGUGUUUAUAUAGAGAGACUCAUAUAGAUAAUGUUAAGUGCAUGAAAUGUGAAAUAUUUUAUCCAGUUAACAUCAUCUUUUCUUCAUAGUUUGGCACACACCGAAUAAAAGACAAGGGCUACAGCAGAGAGGAAGGCAUUUUAGCCCCAGCCUGUGGUAAUUAGGGUGAGGAUAUCUAACUUUGCAGUGAGGAGUGUUUGUAAUUUUAGAAAUAGCACGUUGGUAUGUGUUUGAUGUGCUGUGGGAUGAUAACUCUUGUUCUCUGCAUGGUGUAGGGAGAGUAUCCUAACAGGAAAAAAGGCCUAGUUAAGAAACAGAGGAAGGAUUUGUUUUUUGAAGAACUGGAAAAGUCAGCCUGCAGAUAGGACCCUGCCAGUAUUGACAGUAAUUUGUGUGUGUGUGUGGGUAUCUGUCUGUCUGUCUAUUGGGGGAAGGUACUGGGAGAUUGAAUCCAGAGGCUCUCUACCACCGAGCCACACCCCCAGCCCUUUUAAUUUUAUUUUGAGACAGGGCCUUCAUAAGUUGCCCAGGCUGGCCUUGAACUUGUGAUCCUCCUGCUUCAGCCUCCUGAGUUACAGGCCUACACCAUCACUCCUGCUCCACGGCAAUAAACUUUUGAAGAAGGAAAGAAAAAGGCAGGAGAUGAAAUUGUUUAUAAUUGAGAGGACUUAAUAUGUGCCAGACAGUGUACAAGGUGCUGUGUACAUAUCCUCUAAUUCUGUGUUCCUGAAAACACUGUGAUGCAUGCACAGCAUUGUUAGCUCUGCUAUACAGUUGGGAAUAUGGAAGGACAGGGAAUUCAAGUCAUUUGCUCAGGGUUCUGUGGCCACCCCAGAUCCCCAUGACCUGAGAAUAGGAGACAGGGGUGAGUGACAAGAAAGAAGUAUAAGAAUCUUACUUCCAUUCACACUUGAUAAAAGAAAUAGAUCACCUACCACAUUACAGAUUACACUUAAAAGUCUCAAAUUUUUACCUUAAGUGAAUUUGGCAUAUUUUGUUUUGUCCUGGUUUGCUUUGGUUUUGCUCUACAAUCCUGAACAUUCAUCAUCCUGUAGACCUCCUGGUAAACAUUUUACCUCCUGUCGCUUCCAAUUAAGAUUUCUCCAUUUGUAAGAGUUUCCCUCACUGCAAGUUUUUUGGAGGUUCAACUUGCAGUGUGAUAAUCUCCAGUUAGGAAGUGAACCUAAAGGGGGAAAGUGAAAACAAAACACCCCACUGUUUCUGCUCAUGACUUACUCCCUCUGGAAGGAACAAUCGUGGAUGCCAUCUGCGAGCGGCUGCAGAGAGACCUCCCUGCGUGGAGCAGUUGUGGGAGAUGUUAGGGCCCUCUGGGGACUGAGUCUGGGAACACUGGGACUCUCAUGAAUAAGCCAUUCCACAGGAGUCCCUGCAUCGGGCUGGAAAAGUUCUUACAAGAGAACUAUUAGGCACAUUUUUUUCCAGAAAUGUACAGUCAGGAUUGUGCUUGGAUAUUAUGGUGAUUAAGAUGAUAGUAACCCAACCCUCUGCACUUGGAGAUCUUCUUAAAAGAACACAACCCAGGAUGCUCUUUCUCAUAGUCCACUUCUAGCCAUAUUCUGUGUGGUCGACAUUAUAAGUUCACAGCAAUGUCUGAUAGGACAAAUGUCCUCCUGAUUCAACCUUCUCUAGAGGGUGUCUGAUAUGAUAUCAAAUAAAACGAGGCCCAUAGAAACACCAGGGAGAGGUACGUUUUCCCUGGAGAGUUUUUCUUUCCUCUUUAACAAAUGAGAAAGAUGAAAUUGACCUAAUAUCUUUUUUUAUUUGGAUGCCUAAAAACUCACAACCAAUCUGAAGCUUCUCAACUACAGCUAUUCUGGCUUCAGAAUCUGUACAUUAUUGUUCUUUCUUUUUUCUUUUCUUUUCUUUCUUUCUUUUCUUUUUUGUGGUACCAGGGAUUGAACACAAGUGUGCUUAACAGCCACAUCCCGACCCUUUUUAUUUUGAGACCAGGUCUUGCUAAGUUGUUUAGGGCCUUGCUGAGUUGCUAAGGUUGGCCUUGAACUUGUUAUCCUACUGCCUCAGCCUUCCAAGCCUCUGGGAUUACAGGUGUGUGUGCCACCAUGCCUGGCUGUGUUCUUUCUUUAGCAUAAGCUUGCUGCUCUGACUUAUCUUUCCCUUGAACCUAAUUAGUUAUUUUCUUGUAUUUACCCUGGUCAUAGAUAACAGCAACUAAAUGAAUUAGUAAACAUAAAGCUUUGACUCAAACUAGACAUAAAACAAGUGUUCUACUUUGAAUUUCCAGCGUUACAGUGCUGACUUGAAGAGAGCAAAAAGAGACAAUUGCUUCUUCCCCCAUUUUGACAGCUUUAAGCUUUACAUUUUCUUCCUUUUCUGUGAGACAUCACACACUUGCUUCUCAAGGCCAUUCCCACAUGUGUGUCUUGUAGAAUCGUGACUUGGGACAUUGUGAUCAGAGCACGGUCACACACACUCACGCGAUUUUUAUCCAUUGCACGUUUGAUAGCUCUUUUAUUCUAUAUAUUUCCGCAGCAUUUACAACCAUUUAUCAAAGAAUUAGAAAUUCUUAUCUGAAGAAAAAAAAGUCACACAGACAUACAACUAGAAUAAUUGUUGUGUCCUUUUUUUUUUUUUUGGUUAGGAGUUGGUUUCUUAUUCUUUAAUUCAGGAUUGGGCAUGGUUUUAAUUAACUUGUUUAUUUUCAAUAGAGAUUUCAGGCUUCCAUUUGAACUUAGGAACAAAGCGUUGUUUUUCAUUCCAGACAGGACUGAACUCUACAUCUCCCUUCCCAAGCAAGCAGCUGGCCGAAGCCACCAGGACUCUGCUGGAUAGUCUCGGGAGUCUGGCCCAAGAGGUAAGUCGUGCCUUCCUAGCACCAGCAAGUGGACCAUCCACUGUGGUCAGUUCCAAGUUUGGCUAAGAGGGUCCUUUAGAUUGGAAUAUCAUGUUAGAUGCCUUAGUGUCAAUUUUAGAAAUAUAAGUGAUCAAAAAGCAUCAUCUGUUUUAAUCUUCUUACUUUAGAGAAGAAGAAACCAAGACUCACUGAUAUCUCAGAACUAAUUAGUGGCUAAAGGGUCCAUAACUAGUCUUGAACCCACCCCCUUAUCCCCUACCCCGUUCCCUCAGUCCCUGAUAGUCACACACUUGUGAAGAGAAUUCUCUUCUACCUGCUUUUGUCUGACCAGAAACUUCUCUAUCUCUACACUGUGUAUUCAGUAGCAAGAUCCUUCAGUCAUUUUAUCAAAAUGUGUUUGCUAAUAAUGAGAUCAUGAGCUAUCUCUAAUCCAGCUCUUUCCCUUAUAAAAUAUGGCCUCUGAGCUUCAACUUGGGGAAUAUGGUCUCUUAAGGAACAUUUAGUUGAUUUGGCCUUUUAGGUCCACACAUUGACAGAUGUGUCAGAGUAAUCUUUGUCCUCGGACCAUAGGGCCUAUAGAUGUUGCAAAAUAUUUAACCCUUCUUCUGAUUCUCAGUUUCUGACUCCCAGGCUCAGUUCAAGUUAGACUGGGCAAGGAGGAGCUGUUUGGAGCCAUCAUGCCUAGUGGCUGAGCUGGGCAGUGGUCAUCAACAAUGUAGGCUUUAAUGUAUAGGACAUAGGAAAAGAGUAAUAUGUGGAGACAUUUUUUUCAAACUUGAUCCGGUCUUGUUUUUAGCUGUCUUUGACUCAUUUUUAAAAAUACUUGGACCAUUUUUUCAAAUAUCAUGAUUUAUGUUUUCAGACAACAGCAGAAUUGCAUGUUCAUUGUGGAAAAUACAGAAAACCCCGAGUUACCACAUGCCAACCCUUUAAUGUAUGUCUUUCUUUUAAUUCUGCCCAUGUGUCUCUGACAGCAGAGGCUUGGCUUUCGGAGCAGCCUCCUUUUAGGAGCACCUCUCUUCCCACUUGUUAUUUGUACUUUGGUUAUGAAGGCUGGUGACCUUUGGCUAGGUGGAAAGGCUGUGCCAUCUGGGGCUCUUCCAGGAGACAGAAAGAGAAAGAGAAACUGCUUUGCAAGCCUCAGCUGUUUCCCCAGGGCCCUCCUGAUGGACGUGGACAUGCCCUGCUUUGCUCUGGCAGGUUCCUUCACAGCCCUCCUCUACCCUGUUCAUUCCUGUCCGUAGAGAAAGCAGAGCAGGGGUAGUAACAGGGAGGCUGCCUCGAAACUCAGGGUUUGUUAACAGUUGUUUUCAUUUACAUCACUGGCCCUAGUUUUUGUCUGGGGUAAAAAAAUAGUUGAAAACACAUAAUGUUCCCGUUGCUGAUGUGGUGUCAACAGCCGACAAUGUGCAUUUCCCUUGGCAACUGCUUCCUGGGCUCUGCUUGCUCUGGUCUAGGAUAAGUGAGGGGCACCUGCUUCUCUUAAUAGAACACCUUCAAAUCACUUUGAUCACAAGUUAUUCAUUGUCUAACUUGCUAUUUCUGUGAGACAAAUGGGAAGAAGAUAAAAAAUGCACUUCUGUGUUUGGUCAGUGUUUGGAAAGAAGGUUAGUUAUUUUCACCAAAACACCAGCUUUGAAAGAAAAGAAAAAGGGAUCCUGCAUAUUUUGAAGAUCUGCUUUGGUUCAGGCAUUUUUACUUUAUUUCCCUGGAUGAUCUGCAUGACAAAUGUUAGGUGGAUUUUUUUUUUUUUUUUUUUGGUACUAGGGAUUGAAUCCAGGGGCGCUUAGCCACUGAGCCACAUCCUCAGCCUUUUUUAUAUUUUAUUUAGAGACUGUGUCUCACUGAGUUGCAUAGGGCCUUGCUAAGUUGCUGAGGAGGGCUUUGAACUCGAAAUCCUCCUGCCUCAGCCUCCCGAUCUGCUGAGAUUACAAGUGUGCACCACCACGAGCAGCAUCAGGUGGAUCUUCCUGUACCCAUUAUACAGUUAUGGAACUGAGGCUCAGAAAAAUGAGGCAACUUUCCCAAAGUCGCCCAGUGAGUUAAUUUCAAAAGUGAAAUUUGAAUCCAGGAUUGUUGGAUUCCAAAGCUCAUGUUCUCAUUUGUUCCUUUCUAUUUCAAUAAUUUGUCACAAACCUUGAUAGUAACUAAGAUGGAAAGGAGACUCUUCAAAGAAAGAAGAUAUUCAUUAGCAGACUUGGCAGUUGGGGGACUUUAGGAGUGAGACGUGUUGGGACUGACGUGAAUUUCACACCUGGAUGAUGGGGAAGGUGUGCUGGACAAGAAUGAGAAAGCAGGACAGAGAAGUGGUGUCUGAGACACCCGCACAGUACCAGUCAGGGGCUUGGCAUUGCUAGAUGUUGAGGACUCAGUAGUGAACACAGUAACUUCUCUGUCCUCAGGGGUUUGCAUGGGGUGGGAGACAGAAAUAAUCAGGUCAGUGUGCAGUGUGACAGCAGGGAUAUGUGCAAGAAGAUAAAUCAGGGUAAGGGGCAUAGAGAGCGAUGAGGUGCCAUCUGAAAGGGAGUGAUGAGGAUGGGUGGGGGGACUAUCUGCAGGAAGAAGAGCAGAUGCUAAGUACCUUGACUCCAGGGCAUGCUUAAGCCCUUAGGGACCUGUUUAAAGACCAGGAAGGAGAUCAGUGGGGUUAGAAAAACAUGAGCUAGUGGGAGCAUGACCAGAGAUGAGAUGAUAGAAGCAGUUGGGAUUUUCACCACUCGAGAUGGGAAGCCAGUGGAGGGUUUGGAGCAGAGGGGGCUGUGGUGUGACCUGGGGUUUAUAGACUUGUUUACACUCUGACUGCCAGUCUGAGAAGAAACUGGGGCUGGGGCAAGGAAGAAUGAACACCUUGCAAUGGAUUGAGAAAGGAGGAAGUUGGUGGCUCGUUCAUUCACUUGGGAUGGUUAUUAAACACUGUCAGAUACUAUUGCCAUCUGUGGGCUGGAGGACGAGUGGCCACCCUCCCUGUGAGUCAGCAGGUAGAGGAGAAUGAGCAGGAGUCUGCCCCUAAGGCAAUGCUGGGAAAAACCGACAGUUUGGAAUAACUCAAUAGUUACUCCAUCUUUGUCUCCAAAGGUGUGCUGGCUUUUUGUGGGAAGCAUUUUUGUUCUUGAGGUUGGGAGGUGGCAGUGAGGCAGCCUGUGGAAAGCUCAGUCAGUGGCUUUGAUUCCUUGUAAUUUUAAAAAUCCCUAGGGAUGGUCCAUCGACUGACAAAGGGAAAGGUAGCCUCUCCCUGACUAUGUGUCCCAUACAGGUUAUGAAAAGGUAAAGCAAGGAAUAGCUGUUCCCCUAAUUGUGUUCUUGGGGGAUAUACUAGAUGCUCCCUCUAUGGAGAGAAAUCUUUGUGACAUCUGACCUACCCUGGAGAAGCUGGUUCCCAUCUGGAGGCAGAAGGUAGUCUAGGAGCUACCAUGUCCUAGACUGUAUUACUCACAGGAACCAGCAGCCUCAGAAAGGUAGAAAAACUGGGCAAAUGGAGUUCUUCAGGGUGGGUGGGAUCCUGCAGCCUCUCCCACUGUUCUCCACAGCGCAGUCUUCCCAGGUGGGGAGAACAUACAGUGACCUUUCAAUGAGUUAGGAGUUUAUUAAUGAUUUAUUGUGAAAUAUGUGGAAAUACAAAGUACUCCAUAUAGCAGUUGGGCCAAGAACCCCAUGAGGUGCUGGAGUACAUUUGCAUGUGAGACCAGACACUGGCUAUGUCGCUGAUGCUUAUUGACUAAGUCUCAGUCACAGCCCCUGACUGCCUAGCGCUUCUGACUCAUCCUGUUUGGGACUUUUCUGUGCAAUUAUUCCUUACCAUGCUGUUUUAUCUUUGUUGUCUUGAUGAGAAGUUGGGUCCUCAGAGACAUGCAAUGACUUUUCUAAGGCUGUAAACCAGUGAGGGUUGUAGCUAGGAUUCAGACUCAGAUCCCCCGCCUUAAACUUUUUCCAUUGCCUAUCACGUAACUGAGACCAGGAUAGGGAACUUCAUGCCCUCCCAGAAGAGGGCUCCUCAUUUCCUCACUGAGUCAGCAGCCAACGACGGGACUCAGCCAAUGAUGGGACUCAUCCACCGUCAGGAGUAGCUGUUUAAAGAAAGCGUUUUCUGCUAUAAGUCAUCCUAGGGGCUCCAUUAAUUUCUCUGUUUCUCCAACUUUAAUGGGUAUUUUAAUGGGUCAUUGCUUGGGUAUCUGGUAAAAAUUCAAGUGUGAAUUCUGCUGCGGUGCAGAGGGGUCUUGUAAUCUGCAUUUCAAAUAGUCCAAUGCAGAUGCUGCUGAUUCUAGGGCCACAGACAAGGUAGGAAAGUUCUAGCAAGCCCAUCACAAGGCUUUGAGAUGAUGUCAGACAACGUAUGUUCUGGGACAUGGAUUUUAAGAGGUCAAGAGAAUAAAGUGUUUCUUUCUCUUCUCUGUCCCCAACCCUGGCUGUGCCCUUGGCUUGCCUUCCCCUUCCCUCUCCUCUUCCUGCCUGUCCCUGACAUCAGCUGUUCAGCAUGAGGAGCUGGAGUGACAUGCGACAGGAGGUGAUGUUUCUGACCAACGUGAACAGCUCCAGCUCUUCCACCCAGAUAUACCAGGCUGUGUCCCGCAUCGUCUGUGGCCAUCCAGAGGGCGGGGGGCUGAAGAUCAAGUCUCUGAACUGGUAUGAGGACAACAACUACAAAGCCCUCUUUGGAGGCAAUGGCACUGAGGAAGAUGCUGACACUUUCUAUGACAACUCUACAAGUGAGUGUCUGUGCCACCCAAAGCCUGUCCCCACUCCUCACGUUUACCUUGGUCUCUGUAGCAGCCUUUGACAUUGACGUGUCUGGUUUCUCCUAAUGAGCUCAGGAAGGAAUCUUUUCUUAGACCAGCUCAUUUCCCCUAGUUCUUUGAAUGGGGCCUGACACAUCUUAGGUGCACAGUGGUGUUAAUCAAAACCACCCAAAACCAGUCUCCCUAGCUUUCUGGAGGAUGUUGGAAGGUGGCUCCCAGAGUAAUCAUGAUGAGAUGCUGGCAGAAAGAAAAUUCAAUAUGAUCUCACUUACUUGUAGAAUCUUUGAAAAUCAAACUCAUGAAAGAGUAGAAUGGAAGCUGCCAGAGCCUGGGUGUGGAGGAAUGGCAAAUGUUGGCCAAAGGGUACAAAGUUUCAGUUUUAUGCAAGAUGAAUUUAUGCAAGAUGAAUAUAUUCUGGAGAACUAAUAUCUAGUAGGGUGACUAUAGUUCAUAACACUGUGGUGUAUACUUAAAAUUUACUUUGAGAAUUGAUCUUAAAUAUUCUCACCACACACACACACACACACACACACACACUCUCAAGAUAACUAAGUGAGGUGUGGAUAACAAGCUGAAUUGUGGUAAUUGCUUCACAGUGUAUGCAUAUAUUCAUAUAUCAGGUUGUAUGCCUUAAAUAUAUACCAUUUUUGUUAAUCAAUUAUACUUUGUUAAAGCUGAAAAGAAUUUUUUUAAAAAGGAUGAGAUGAUGGUCUUUUAUCAUUAUUAUUACAAAUAUUACCUUUGAGUUAUGCUUUAUAGUAAAAACCAAAAAAAUCAACCACAGUAAUAGCCGUAACAAUAAUUAUACAGAAUCUAACAUGUAGGCAAAAUUUCUUAUGCAUCAUGCCUUCUUUGUAAAUUAUCUCAUUUCACCCUCACAAUAACCCUGCAGGGAAGGUUCUAUAACCCUGCAUUUCACAGGCUCAGAGAGGUUGUGACUUGGUCAAAACCACAUCAUAGCUAAUUCAAAAGAGCUGGGAUCCAAGCCCAAACUCUCCUGGCUCUGGGCCUUUUCCUGUAAACCACACUGCUUUUAAAAUACCUGUUGGCAUGUGUGUACCAUCACACUUGGGCCGUUUGAUCUGCUGUUUGUUUUGCGUCCGCAGCCACAGGCAGUGUUAAAGAACUUUGUAACUCCAUAUCUGCUUGCCACACUCGGGCAGUUUUAUGGGGAUGUGAGUCUUGCACCAGGGGCAGCAGGGAUCCAGUGUUAGUUUUCAACAAUGGCAUCCUUUUCUCUGAAAACAUGAAGCAACUGAGCCUUUCUCCAUUUCCAGCCACUGGUGUGUCUUUCAGAUAGUGAGUGAGACAACUUUUUGUGCAUUACUGUAACACUAGAACCUUCUAUUCUUCUCUGGAGUAAAACACUCCAGACAGUUGCAAGUUGCUUUACCAGCCCUAAAGAAUGGUAUUAAAACUGCUUUAUGAAACACCACGGCCUCUUCUCUCCCAGCCUGCAAAUCAACUCAGGAGAGGAUUCAUUUGUGCAAUAGUUGUAAUUGGGAGAGUAUCCUCUCCAUAAAAAAUUCUGGGGCUGAGUAUGCAGCUCAGCAGUAGAGCACUUGCUUAGCAUGUGCGUGACCAUGAGAUGGGAUCCCCAGCAUACCAAUUCUAUUAUCUUUGAAGCAUAUAGAAGUUACUUGGUAUCACAAAACCAAAAUGAAAACGAAAACAAAUUGAAAAACCCAGAAUGAACUUUUAAAAAAAUGUCAGAGAUAAACCCCAUUGGUCUGUUACAACUUUGGAUUUUUCAGUUUGGGGUUUUUAUAAAUGUCAGCAUACUUGUGAUGAGGUCUGUUAAUUAAAGGGAUGAUUUUGGCUUUUCUUUGAAAACUAAAGUCUGAAUUCAGGCCUCUGGUUGCUCGUUGGGAAUCUUGUUUAUUUUCAGUGAAAAUAGAGUUCAAGGGCUGGCAUGAGAGUAUGAUUCUAGAGUUAUGAGGUCUUGUACAUGGUAAAAACAUUUUUCUAGAUCCGCACAGUUGUAUGUUACAAGAAGCUCUGAUUAUUUACAAAACAUCAUUUUAGAGGCUUUACUGAAAAUGUCUCAGAUAAUCCUCCCCACAUCUCUACCAAGUAGCUGUUAUGAAGUCUAUUUUUUUACAGAGUAUCAAACUGAGACUCAGACAAGUAACAUUAUGUUUAUGUGACUGUUACAUGGUAGUGCUGGGAUUUGAAUCCAUGACUGUCUUUCUCAUUCCCAAACCUUUGUAAAUUCCUACCAGUAUAUGACCAGGUAUACGAAUGAGUAUCUUCUAUCAUCUUUGUAGCUCCUUAUUGCAAUGAUUUGAUGAAGAAUUUGGAGUCUAGUCCUCUUUCCCGCAUCAUUUGGAAAGCUCUCAAGCCUCUGCUUGUUGGGAAGAUUCUGUAUACACCUGACACUCCGGCCACGAGGCAGGUUAUGGCAGAGGUAAGCUGCCCAGACCCAAGACUCCCUCCCCAGAGUUCUGUUAGAAUUAGGGGCAAAAAUAAUAAAGGUGGGUUCAGAUGGAGUGUGCAUAUGCUCUUGGCCUCUGGGACUUUUAAAUAGUGGAAACCUCAAGUCCGAUCCAGCCCACAGCUGUGUGGGGACCAGCUCCCCAAGCCUAGGUAUUUGAAUGAUAGCUUCAGGCAGGCACUCCUUGGGGAUGAGAGAGGACUGGGCAGGGGCUGCUAUGAUGGAAUGUCUUUUUAGUGAGCACUCCCUCACCAUCUCUGCUUCUCCUCUUCUGUGGCCCCUGGCUCCCUACCUGACUCCAGGUGAACAAGACCUUCCAGGAGUUGGCUGUGUUCCAUGACCUGGAAGGCAUGUGGGAAGAGCUCAGCCCCAAGAUCUGGACCUUCAUGGAGAACAGCCAAGAAAUGGACCUUGUUCGGGUGAGUGUCCCUCUGAUUGCUUUUUGCCUGGCUUGAUCCUGGAGAGGUGAGUUUUCGGUCAUUUUGCCAGAAGCCACUGAGAUGAGAAUUAUUUCAUCGGUUGAGAUGUAGUGAGCAUAGCUCAAUCCACAGGGCUGUCCCCCAUCCAGAAGCAGAGGCCACAGUGUAGCGAUAACUCUGUGCACUUCAGCAUCAAUGCCUCGGGUGGUCAAAUACCUGUUUCCUAAAAAAUGUAGAAAGGACUGAUGUUGGGAAAUAGUUUGGUGAUUGCGGGACCCUAUUUUCAUUUCUGGCUUCAUUCACUGGAGGUAGGUCUUGGAAGGAGGUGUGGGAGCAAAAGCGUCAUCUGACAUGCAGACUUGCUGGAGAUGCUGGUCCCUGAGGUGCUGCAUGAGUGCAGAACUGCCACUGCUGCGUGGAACAGGAAUUGCACUUAAUGCUUCCGAGCCCCUUGAAGGAGAUAAGUGCUCUGGAGACAAUUAGAUUGAAAAGCAGAGCAGCCCAAGAAGAACAGAAUGUCUGCUUUGCUUGAGCCCGAGAGUCAUUUAAUCAUAUCAUCCCUGCCUUGGGCUGAGUCAGAAUCUGUGGAUUAUUUCCUGUUCCAUGGUGAGGGAGUAUGCUUCUUAUUGUCUCUGCUGCCUUUAAGAGGCAAAGGAGACUCUUGCCAGUUUGCUUGUUUUGCACCUCAUUGACCCGAGGGGCGUGGGGUUUUGGAAGCUGUACCCAUCUGGAGGGAACUCCUUUGAAGUUUAGAACUAUCCCCUUGAGGGCAGGUUACUAAGGAAGAAGCAUCCUGUGAUGGAGAAACCCAAACCUCCUGUGCUGCACUAAUCCUGUCACACAUGUGCAAAAUUCUUAUAUUGGGGCCUUUGAAAACAUGGGACUCGAGUGAGAAAAACAUGAACAGUGAUUGAUAUGGGCUGAUACUGAAUAACAGGAAUAGCUCAUGUCCCUUAAGCAUAGCUCUCUGUUGGGCUUCAGUCCAUCUCCUAAAAGGGAGUCACAUGAUCUAUCCACCAGCAGUGCUGUAGAGCUAAGUGUGGUCUCAAGAGUUCUUCUCCCUGGUCUUCUUCUUGGAAUUUAUAUUUCUAUUAGUUGGACUUGUUCUCUCUGGUCUCAGAAUGAUAAAGAGCCCAGUUGAAGGGAUUCCAUGAGCUUUAAUUUGGGGGGUAAGUAGAUGUUUCCCUGCUCUUAAAUUGAUAGUUUGCCUUGGAAUCUCCAACUGCUUGUAAGCUCCCAGUUCUUAAGGCAAAAGACCCUUGUAUACACAAUGGUGGUCAUGUUGGCGUUUGGGGUAAGGUCUGCCCUGCCCAGUGUAGCUUCUUAAGGCAGUAUGGCCAGAGAGGGCAGCAUGACCAGAGGGAUGUGCCCAGUGAGAUUACCAUGUAGCAGCAGAUCUGGGGACUUGAGAGGAUCAGGAGCUCUAAGGGCAGCUUCAGAAAUAUGACCAGGAGAAUCCAAGAUGUGUGAUAGGAAGCAGGGGAGUGGAGGCUGGAGAGAAAGGCAUAGUAUGCCUUGGAGGGCCUUGUGUGUUAUGCUCUGGAUCUUUAAGCUUGCGGGGGGCAGUUAUGAAAGGAUUUUAAGCAAGUAGAGACAUAGAUGAAUUAUUCUGAUAUGACAUGGAUUGAAUAGGCAAGAUGGGAGGAUGGGUAAACACGAGGGCAGUGUCUGUGCAAGUGAGUGGCCAAGGCAUAGAUAGAGAGGGAGGCCUGCUGACUGCUUGGUUGAGGGACUAGGAUGAUUCUUGAUUUCUGGCAGGCUGGUGGGAAUGUCCAGCAGGCUGCUGGCUGCUGGGAUCACAGUGCAGGAGGGCAGUUGGACUAUGGACACUGACUUGGAAGUUGUCAGUCUGUGGGUUGGAAUCACUGGAACCUUGUCCAGUGGCUUUCUUCUCUGGACUUAAGGAGUGUUUCUUUAACUUCACAAGCAUGGGAUUCUCAGUCUUCAGCACCUCCUGCAGCCUGGCCUCUGGUACAUGAGUCAAUGCCUGAGGCUUCUGCUUCUGCUGGGGUAGCUCUUCUCUUUCUGUGGUCUCUGGCUCUGUCUGCUCCUAUUACAUCACCCUGUAGAUCAGGAGGUACUUCUCUUUGUUGAGUGCCAGCAACCUUUGAUGCUGAUUUGCUCUUUACUGAGCUGCCCUUGGCAUUUCAUCUCCAGGCCCUGGUAUGUCUCUGCCUAUGCUCCAAGGGCACUCUUAAGUCUCCUGGUCCUCUCAAGCUCCCAGAACUAUUACAUGGUCAGUGAUGUCACUGGGCACAUCACUCUGCUCUUGCCAUCCUCCUUGGCCAUAUUGCUUUAAGAAGCCACAUCUAAUAGGGCAGGCCUCACCCCAAAAUGCCAUAUCCCUUUACUCUACUCUUAUUUGUCUCAUGCAUCCAAAUAAAGUAGUUUCAGAAUUGCCUCUGUGCACUUCUGGGAGGUACAGUUUUGUAUCUGUUUGCAAAAAUAAGUACUAAUCUUUACUGAUGACAGCAUAAAUUGUUAUUCCUUAUUGAAAACAAUUUUGAAUGAAGGUUUCAAAAACCAUGCCAUCCAUGUACCUCCAUUUCAUAUACCCUCAGGGAUGUAUCCUACAGAAAUCAUUUUAAAGACGUCACCAUAGGAAAGAAAAUAUUAUUGCUGUAAUAAUUGCUAUUGCAAGAAAUCAGAAAUAGACUAAAUGUUCAGAAGUUCAGGAAUAGUUAAUGAAAUUACAGUAUAUGUACUCUGUAAAAUCAUUAUGAUGUGACAGACACCAGGGCCUGGAAAUGAAGGGCCACAGAGGAAAAGCUUAUAAUGUUAGUGAAAAUAAGAUUGACUUUCAAGGGUAGUUUUCAGACCCUCGGAGAGCCAGUCCAGUCCAAGCCAGGGCUUCCUCUUCCCUCUUGAAGCUGUGUUGAAAGCUGCGAAUCUUUGCCAAGCUUACAACUGCUUUAUUUUCCUGGCCGCAUACCUCUGCAGACCUCUGCAGACCUCUGCUCCAGCCCUGCUUGGAUGUGGGUCUGCUGUCUGAGCACCAGAUUGACUUACCCCUCUCCUUCACACUGACCCACACAAGCAACCAACUGGUGAGGGAGGAAUAAGGAAUGGAAAAUGGGUCUCCUUCGCAUCAUGAACCAUAUAUUGCUGAGAUUGGAAAAGACUGCAUUUGUUUUAACCAGCAUCGUCCCCCCCCCCAUCCACUAAAUUAAGCAAUAAAAGUGGGCUUAGUGUAGAUUUAGGGGUUUUAUUUGGGUAAUCAGACUAGUCCUCAAAAGAAGAAGGUAUUCAAUAAAAUGGGUGCACUAUAAUCAGAGGACUUUGCUACUUAUUAACUGUGUCUUUAUAUGAGAGACAAUUUCCCUGAACCCGAGCUUUCCCCUGUGUGAAAUGGGGAGUAUUAAAAAGUUACCUCCUUCAUGGAGCUAUGUGAGAUGUAAAGUAUAUAAGUCACUCAGCAUUGUCUUGCUAUCUCCAUUGUUACAGUUAAUAUUGGAGGCCUGAGCUGUUAGGUACAGUGGGAAGCAUGUGGACUGUGAAUUCAGACUGAUCUGACUUUGAGUCAGCCCCAUGCCUAUUAGCAUGAUGACCCAGCUGUGGUUAAGAUCAUUAUUUUUAAACUUCAGUCUUCUCUCCUGUAAAAUGGGGACACCAUAACAUACCUCAAACAUUUUUUUGAAGUCACACAGAGAGACAGUGUAUAUGCCAGGGUUUGGUGCAUUAUGUAAGUGUUCAUCCAGAUGUAGUUGUAGAUCACCACUCAUACGUUCCCUCUGGAAUGGCAGACGCUGUUGGAUAGCAGAAGCAAUGACCGCUUCUGGGAACAGCAGUUGGACGGCUUAGAUUGGACAGCCCAAGACAUCGUGGCAUUUCUGGCCAAGUACCCAGAGGAUGUCCAGUCUGCCAAUGGCUCUGUGUACACCUGGAGAGAAGCUUUCAACGAGACCAACAGGGCAAUCCAGACCAUAUCUCGCUUCAUGGAGGUGAGGAUCUGUUGUGUGUAUCAUUUAGAAAAAGCUUAUGGCUCUUUUCUUUGAUGUGUUGUAAUAAAGUCAGAGGCAGGAGGAAAGCUUUGAGUUGGUGUCCAGACCCAUUUCCAGCAGUAUCCCUCAAGCCUAACAGUUUGGGGUACAAAAGACAUUCUAUAAAUGUUGGUUAAGUCCAGCUUUAUUCUUGUGUGGAUUCAAGUGUUUCCAUCCAUUUUCUUCUAGGUUUCCUGGCAUCCGNCUGCUGGGGUAGCUCUUCUCUUUCUGUGGUCUCUGGCUCUGUCUGCUCCUAUUACAUCACCCUGUAGAUCAGGAGGUACUUCUCUUUGUUGAGUGCCAGCAACCUUUGAUGCUGAUUUGCUCUUUACUGAGCUGCCCUUGGCAUUUCAUCUCCAGGCCCUGGUAUGUCUCUGCCUAUGCUCCAAGGGCACUCUUAAGUCUCCUGGUCCUCUCAAGCUCCCAGAACUAUUACAUGGUCAGUGAUGUCACUGGGCACAUCACUCUGCUCUUGCCAUCCUCCUUGGCCAUAUUGCUUUAAGAAGCCACAUCUAAUAGGGCAGGCCUCACCCCAAAAUGCCAUAUCCCUUUACUCUACUCUUAUUUGUCUCAUGCAUCCAAAUAAAGUAGUUUCAGAAUUGCCUCUGUGCACUUCUGGGAGGUACAGUUUUGUAUCUGUUUGCAAAAAUAAGUACUAAUCUUUACUGAUGACAGCAUAAAUUGUUAUUCCUUAUUGAAAACAAUUUUGAAUGAAGGUUUCAAAAACCAUGCCAUCCAUGUACCUCCAUUUCAUAUACCCUCAGGGAUGUAUCCUACAGAAAUCAUUUUAAAGACGUCACCAUAGGAAAGAAAAUAUUAUUGCUGUAAUAAUUGCUAUUGCAAGAAAUCAGAAAUAGACUAAAUGUUCAGAAGUUCAGGAAUAGUUAAUGAAAUUACAGUAUAUGUACUCUGUAAAAUCAUUAUGAUGUGACAGACACCAGGGCCUGGAAAUGAAGGGCCACAGAGGAAAAGCUUAUAAUGUUAGUGAAAAUAAGAUUGACUUUCAAGGGUAGUUUUCAGACCCUCGGAGAGCCAGUCCAGUCCAAGCCAGGGCUUCCUCUUCCCUCUUGAAGCUGUGUUGAAAGCUGCGAAUCUUUGCCAAGCUUACAACUGCUUUAUUUUCCUGGCCGCAUACCUCUGCAGACCUCUGCAGACCUCUGCUCCAGCCCUGCUUGGAUGUGGGUCUGCUGUCUGAGCACCAGAUUGACUUACCCCUCUCCUUCACACUGACCCACACAAGCAACCAACUGGUGAGGGAGGAAUAAGGAAUGGAAAAUGGGUCUCCUUCGCAUCAUGAACCAUAUAUUGCUGAGAUUGGAAAAGACUGCAUUUGUUUUAACCAGCAUCGUCCCCCCCCCCCCAUCCACUAAAUUAAGCAAUAAAAGUGGGCUUAGUGUAGAUUUAGGGGUUUUAUUUGGGUAAUCAGACUAGUCCUCAAAAGAAGAAGGUAUUCAAUAAAAUGGGUGCACUAUAAUCAGAGGACUUUGCUACUUAUUAACUGUGUCUUUAUAUGAGAGACAAUUUCCCUGAACCCGAGCUUUCCCCUGUGUGAAAUGGGGAGUAUUAAAAAGUUACCUCCUUCAUGGAGCUAUGUGAGAUGUAAAGUAUAUAAGUCACUCAGCAUUGUCUUGCUAUCUCCAUUGUUACAGUUAAUAUUGGAGGCCUGAGCUGUUAGGUACAGUGGGAAGCAUGUGGACUGUGAAUUCAGACUGAUCUGACUUUGAGUCAGCCCCAUGCCUAUUAGCAUGAUGACCCAGCUGUGGUUAAGAUCAUUAUUUUUAAACUUCAGUCUUCUCUCCUGUAAAAUGGGGACACCAUAACAUACCUCAAACAUUUUUUUGAAGUCACACAGAGAGACAGUGUAUAUGCCAGGGUUUGGUGCAUUAUGUAAGUGUUCAUCCAGAUGUAGUUGUAGAUCACCACUCAUACGUUCCCUCUGGAAUGGCAGACGCUGUUGGAUAGCAGAAGCAAUGACCGCUUCUGGGAACAGCAGUUGGACGGCUUAGAUUGGACAGCCCAAGACAUCGUGGCAUUUCUGGCCAAGUACCCAGAGGAUGUCCAGUCUGCCAAUGGCUCUGUGUACACCUGGAGAGAAGCUUUCAACGAGACCAACAGGGCAAUCCAGACCAUAUCUCGCUUCAUGGAGGUGAGGAUCUGUUGUGUGUAUCAUUUAGAAAAAGCUUAUGGCUCUUUUCUUUGAUGUGUUGUAAUAAAGUCAGAGGCAGGAGGAAAGCUUUGAGUUGGUGUCCAGACCCAUUUCCAGCAGUAUCCCUCAAGCCUAACAGUUUGGGGUACAAAAGACAUUCUAUAAAUGUUGGUUAAGUCCAGCUUUAUUCUUGUGUGGAUUCAAGUGUUUCCAUCCAUUUUCUUCUAGGUUUCCUGGCAUCCGUAAUGGCAGUAAAAAUAUUUCCUUAAAAAAAUCAUUAUUUUUGAAAGAUAGCUGAGCUUUAAUUAGGGACAGAUUAAAUAUUAGAAAUAUAAUCCUGAAAAUUAUGGCAUAUUGUAGGGAUGAAUAAAGAGUUUUGGGGAUCUGUUUAGUUGGUUAUUACUAUGACUCAACAGAGGAAAUAAGAUAUAAUGAUUGCUUCAACUUCUGUUCCCCCACAAAAAUCAAUAUAAGUAACUUUUCUCCAGAUUCUUCCAGCAUUUCUCUUAAAUGUCAGUUAAAAACGAAAAGACCCAUUCUUGGUUAAGACUGGAAAAGUACUUUAGAGAGGUUAGAUCGUGAGGGUUUAAGUCACGCAAUCAGUUCUUGCCUCUCGGGGUGGGGUCUGCCUGGGCUACUGCUUGCUUCCUGGCCCCCAGUGUUCUCAUGAAGCCUGUUUUUCCAUCAGUGUGUCAACCUGAACAAGCUGGAACCCAUACCCACAGAGGUCCGGCUCAUCAACAAGUCCAUGGAGCUGCUGGAUGAGAGGAAGUUCUGGGCUGGUAUCGUGUUCACAGGAAUCGCUCCAGGCAGUGCUGAGCUGCCCCAUCACGUCAAGUACAAAAUCCGAAUGGACAUUGACAAUGUGGAGAGAACAAACAAAAUCAAGGAUGGGUAAGUUGAAUCCCAUAACACUAGCCCAGUCUCGGGGAAGUCAAGACAGCUGUUAUGUCUAGAGCUUCUUUAUUUGAAUUAAUAAUUUAGUAGAAAUUUCAAGGGAAAAGAAAAUCACUGGUUACAGUAUGGUACAUUCAUUGCUGGGGGCUAUGAUUUCGGAGGUCAUAAAAUAUUAGUAACUUUUGAUUCAGCAUUUCCACUCAAGAGAACUAAUCUCAAGAAAUUAAGAUAACAGAAGAAAAGGAAAAAAAGCCUUUAGGUUCUUCAUGCUAACAGUGUUCAUUUUUCUGAAAAGGAUCAAACAACCAAUAAGAAGGAAAUGGUUAAGUAAAUUUUGGCUUAUCCACUCAAUGCAGUGUUAGGCACUAAAUGGAAGGUGGAUAAAAACCAAAGUAGUCUGUUUAUUUUGCUUGUGUCUAUUUAAAAAUAUGUGUACAUAUUGACUGAAACCAGAAAUUAAGUUAUGGAAAUAAAAAGAGUGGCUUGACAAAGGUGGUGGGAUUGUGGGGGAUGGGAUUUUCUUAUUGGAGGUUUCUGAGCAAUGUUCAAUCACCUGUGGUUUGGUUUUAGGUACUGGGAUCCAGGUCCUCGGGCUGACCCCUUUGAGGAUAUGCGGUACGUCUGGGGGGGCUUCGCCUACUUGCAAGAUGUGGUGGAGCAGGCAAUCAUCAGGGUACUGACGGGCACUGAGAAGAAAACUGGUGUCUAUGUGCAGCAGAUGCCUUACCCCUGUUACGUCGAUGACAUGUAAGUUACCAGCAAACUACCAGCUUUAUUUGAAUAUUCAGUUAACUCUGUUCCAGGUAGAGAGAAAGAGAGAGAGAGAGAGAGAGAGAGAGAGAGAGAGAGAGAGAAAGUGAAAAUAACUAGCCAGAUAUAAGUGGUCAGUAAUUCCAUUCACAUGGCAGAGAGACACAUAUGUACACACACUUAGUAAUCCUCCUUCCUUUGUCAUCUGUGGUUACCAGCACUUCUGUUUUUUAUACUCUUUUUUUACACUUUUGGUCAAAAAUUUACCCAAUUUGCAAAAUUUGUCAUGACAAACACAUGCAAAUACAUAUACGCACAUCCUCCCAAAUUCAGAAUGGCAGAUCUGUAAAAGCAGAUUUCCUGUGAAUUUGUCUGCUUCCUCUGAAUGAUUGUUGCACCACAUUUUGAAACAAUGCAUGUGAGACUGAACAAAACCUAUUUAUCUUAGACUUUUUAGAUAGUCUUUUAGCACUUAGUCACUAUGCAGCCAAGUUCUCAUUAUGGGAACUGUGCCCUGGGAGCUAAUGAUUUCUCAUAAAGAAUGGGCAGAGGUAGAUGUAGUUAUUGCAGGCAUCUCAAAUAUGUCAAGUCUCCAAAUUCUGGAUAGUUUCUUAUUCUGUGGUGUGUGUGUGUGUGUGUGUGUGUGUGUGUGUGUGUGUGUGAAGGAGCAGUAUUCCUCUUCUGCAUUUGCUCUCUCUUGCAUUGAACUACCCAUUUCCUUGUAUAAUGAACUCUAGCUUUUCCAGGCCACUAGAAAUUCUGUUUUUUUUUUUUUUUUUAACCUGAAAUGAUUUGAUAGAAUUUUUCAAAGGAAGACUUUUCCAAAGAGCCCUACACCAAGGCUUACUUUAGGAAGGAUGUCUUAGGAUGAGGGUACUGGAGUUCAGAGGUACUAAGGGCCUUUGCCUAUGGACAUGAGUAAGUUCAUAAGCAGUACAGAGGGGAUUUGAGCCUCAGCUUUUGGGAUCCAAAAUCUGUGCCCCCUUACUUUGUAGCACUGUAUUUCCUGUGCUAGUUUGGAAUCUGAAAUGUUACUGACAAGAGCCACUGGAAAUGCUUCCCUGCAGUGUGUUGAGAAUUAAACUAAGCAAGUCAGUCGUGAGAUGACCUUGGAGAUUCUGAACCUCUGUCAGAGAUUGAGUUGGGAUUUUAUUUUUUAGCUUUAGCUUAACACCAUCUCACAGCUAUCAAGUUACUAAAGCAAGUCUCCAAAGAAAUUUGGGUUGGCAAUACUUCAUUAGCCUAGCUUUUAUCUCUAUGUCAAACCUGUAUAUAUUGGAGUCUAGGGGCCUGCCCCAAGUGGUCCAAAUGCGGUGCUUCUCUAGCAUACAGGCUCAGAGGCCUUGGCCUGUGGCUCACACCUGUCUCUUAUUCUUCCCUGCUCCUCCUUGCUACCUUUAGCUUCCUGCGGGUAAUGAGCCGCUCAAUGCCCCUCUUCAUGACGCUGGCCUGGAUCUACUCUGUGGCUGUGAUCAUCAAGGGCAUUGUGUAUGAGAAGGAGGCGAGGCUGAAGGAGACCAUGCGGAUCAUGGGCCUGGACAAUGGCAUCCUCUGGUUUAGCUGGUUCAUCAGUAGCCUCAUCCCUCUACUCGUGAGUGCCAGCCUGCUAGUGGUCAUCUUGAAGGUGAGGCUGCUUCACUGCUCUUCCUGGCCAGGGAACUCCCAAACAGCCCAGUAUGAGCUAAAGGAGGGGAAGAAUAAAAGCCAAAACUCUAGGAGGGAAGGGGGAGCCUUACCUGCCAUCCUCUCAUCUUAGUGUUAGAGAAAGGGAGGUCCAGAGAGGGUCAGUGACUUGCCAGGGUCCACCUAGACGAUUAGUAGCUAAGGUGUACCAGAACCCAGGACAGGCAAACAUCUAACCGCACCCACUGUCUGUUUUACAGUGUAGCUGUGCCUUUCCUUAGAUGUAUUAGGUGGUGAUUUGAGCCACUGAAAAUACUUCUCUGCAAUGUGAUGAGAAUUAAACUAAGGGAGUCAGUCGUGAGAUGACCUUGGAGAUACUGAAUUUCUGUCAGAGAUUGAGUUGGGAUUUUAUUUUUUAGCUUUGAAGUAGCCCACCUUUAGCUUAACACUUAAACUCUUACUGAAUUUAUAAAACCAAUAAUCAGAAGGACAACUGUUGGUGCAGUUAAAGUUGUCUGGAAGCAGAGGCUGAGACAGAGUAUGGCACAUGGGAAUUCAUUAGGGAUCAACAGCUGUGGAAGAGAUGAAGCCUGAAGAAUUGGCAGAGGGAGGAGUGGAGCUGUGAUGCGGGGCCAGUGUCAUGGGGCACUCUGGGGGGGCAUCCAGAUGCAGGCAUCCUGCACUGAGCCGAAGUGUCCGGUUCUUUAGCUUACCCAUGAUGUUACUCAUUGGAUAUGGACCACCCUGGGCAGGCUGUGCCCCAGGGCCAGGUGGCUCUCUCUAGCUGUGACAAACCCAGAGAUGCUGACACCUGGAGGCCACCUUGUGACAGCCAGAUAAUAAACCCUCCCUUCAAACUGACUGGGCAGUGCCGUUCUGUGUUUGUCCCAUACACUAACGUACUUCCCAGUUUUCUUUCUCCAUACUUAUUUAUAUAAUGAUAUAUCAUGUAAAAUUAAAUGUUUGUAAAGAGUGGGGAGUGCAACGGGACAGGAACUAACAUUCACUAUAACACUGACUACUGUCUGUUAUGCAUAAGUAGCUACUGACACCAGACAUUGUUUAAAACACAUUCCGUGUGCUGCCUUAUUACUUUCUCAUUAAAUGACCCAUUUAGCAUGCAAGGAAAGGAGGCUAAGGAAGGUCAAAGCUUCUCCAAGGCCCACAGCAGGACUACAGAAUCAAGAUUUGAUUGCUUUCUCUCUCAGUCAAGAAUGAUGAUCCCGCAGAUCAUGCAAGUGAGUUCUUGGGCUUGUGGAGGCAGCACAUUUAACGAGUCUUUUCCUUUCCAGUUAGGAAACCUGCUGCCCUACAGCGACCCCAGCGUGGUGUUUGUCUUCCUGUCUGUGUUUGCUGUGGUGACCAUCCUGCAGUGCUUCCUGAUUAGCACACUCUUCUCCCGAGCCAACCUGGCAGCAGCCUGUGGGGGCAUCAUUUACUUCACGCUGUACCUGCCCUAUGUCCUGUGCGUGGCAUGGCAGGACUAUGUGGGCUUCACAGUCAAGAUCUUCGCGGUGAGUAACUUUGGCCUUUCUGCAGCGGUUGUAGUCACAGCCACAGCAGGUGUUUGACCUCCCCUGAUGUUGCCCAUGAAUCCAAGCAACAAGCUGUGAAUACAAGAUGAGAGAGUUGUUUUAUAAAAGGACUUGAAUCUUAGUUCUAGAUCCUAAUUCCUUUGAAGGCAGGGACUAUGGGUUAUUAAAUUGUUUAUGUUUAGUUCUCUCCGUGAAUGCUGGUUGGAUUGAAUUGAAUGGAAUGUUUCCUGGAUCAGACUGAACCUUAAACCUGCUGGGGGUACAUUGGGGAAUGGCUUUCGGCAAUAGAUGCCAUCUCCACCCUCAACCUCCCAGUUUUGUUGGCCAUGUUUAAACUGGCUGCAAAGUCGUAGCCACAAAUAGACAUGAAGCUUCUUGAGGUCAAAGAUGGCUCAUUCUUGACUCUUGCCUUCCUCGUGUCCGGUGUGGUGUUUGGCUUGAGUAAUGUUUUAUGAACUGAGGGAGACUUAGGAGCCAGUGCACCACAAAUCCCUGAGUUAGAUAUUUCCUUUCCUUGAACAGAGUAGGAGUAGGCUUUGAGGGCAUGAGAGCCCCUGUGAGAGCAACUUGCCAGCUGCCCCCUGAAUCACUUAUAAGGGAAACUGACUGUCACUCAUAAGGAGCUUCAGGUGCCUCAGUCUGGGCCCCAUAGACAUCUGCAGCCCCAAACAGGCUAUUAUACAAGAUCCUGAAUGUUCCCUGGCUGAGCAGGGAGCCCAUAAAGACCUUGAUGAAUGUCACUAUGGGUAGGAGGUGGGAGUAGGGGACUGGAUAGGUGAGUCUUGGAGCAUCCUUGGAAGCAUAAAAUCCAAAAAUUUCACAUGCUAUCUUGCAUGAAUUUAUAAAAUGUGUGUGCAUAAUGAGUAGUUAUAAAUGGAAUAAUUUAAUAUGCUGUAAGGAAGCCCACUCCCCUAAAGGGACUCUGUAGGUGAAUACUUCUGUAUCCUAUAAUUGAUCUAUUUUGCAAAUUCAAAUUUCUCCAAGUGUGGAAUUUAUAUUAUAAGUUAUGGGAAAAUGAGAGAGACAAGGAAUGAGAUUAAUUAGAUAAGUGACUCUUGCCUCUUUCUCUCAGAGCCUGCUAUCUCCUGUGGCUUUUGGGUUUGGCUGUGAGUACUUUGCCCUUUUUGAGGAGCAGGGCAUUGGUGUGCAGUGGGACAACCUCUUUGAGAGCCCUGUGGAGGAAGAUGGCUUCAAUCUCACCACUUCAGUCUCCAUGAUGCUGUUCGACACCUUCCUCUAUGGGGUGAUGACCUGGUACAUUGAGGCUGUCUUUCCAGGUACACUGAGCCUCCUCCCUGCUUUGGCAUCUGUCAGGGAAAGAAUUCUGGCUGCAGAGCUUCCCUUUCUUUGUGCUGGAAUUUCUUCAUGGCAUGGGGCUCCCUGGAAAGUGGUUUGGACUUUAGACCUACGGCAAACAAAUAGUUCCAGUAGAGGAACCAGUGCUGAAAAGUACUACUACUAUGGCAAUCAUUUCUUGAGUACUGUGUGUUCAGCACUGUGAAGUGUUUGAUAUACUGUGGUUCAUUUAAUUCCCAAAAGACUACAUAGAAGUUUUACUGUUAUAACUGUUAUUUCUCAAAUGAGAGAACUAUGACUCAGAGAAGUUAAGUAACCUGCCUGAGGUCACUCAGCUCCUAAGUUCUGGUGCUCAGAAGUGAACCCAGUUGGGUUAUACUGGAUCAGCAAGCCAGGAGAUUCCUCCCUGUGCUGACUCAAUUCUGUAAUUCCAUGUCUCCAGGGAGGGUAACUUUACUCUGAUUACAGUUUGUGAAUAAUACAAUCUGUUGGCUCUAAGCCUUUACGUGUGAUUAAAAUAAAAUUAAUAUUAAAUAAAAGCUCAUUUUGAUACUUUCAUUAACAAAUCCUCUUGACCAAGUCCAAGAGGAACCAGCCUUGGGAUAUGUUUUCAUACAAGAUGAAACUGUGGGAGAGUGAAGGUUUGCUCCAUGUAGUUCACCUUCUCAUUCUCCUCUGAGGAGGUAGACAUGAGAUGUUUAUCACCCCUUCCUGAACUUCCUUCACUGAAUAUGCAAUUCUGCAUCAUGCAGAUCUGGAUUUGAAUUCUGAGUCCUUCACUCAUUGGCUGAGUGUCCUUGUGUAGGCUGCUUACCCCUCAAAAUGAGGAUGGUGCCUCCCUCAGGGAGUUGUUGGGAGGCCUCAGAGAAAAGCAGAAUGUACACUGUUUUUAGUAGGUUUCAGCGAAGGUUACCUCCCUUUCCCCCCAUUCCAUUCCAGUCUAUUCCUUCUCCAAAGGGUGUGUCAAGGAGGGAGUGGGCUGGCUGGGACACCUGAGGAAUACAGGAAUGGUGCUCAGCUUGGAUCACACCUGUGCUUUGCUUUCAGGCCAGUAUGGAAUUCCCAGGCCCUGGUAUUUUCCUUGCACCAAGUCCUACUGGUUUGGUGAGGAAAGUGAUGAGAAGAGCCACCCUGGUUCUAGCCAGAAGGGAAUAUCAGAAAGUAAGUAUUGCUGUCCUGCCCUCCUCCAACCAAGUGCUAACAGGGGCAAGUGAUGGAUGGAUCCUGCACUUUAUGCUGAAGUCACUUUAAAUAAGCCAGUCCUAAAAAACCAAAGAUCCAAUGAUUUCUCUGAUAGGUGGAAGCUAAACACAACAAGGGGAAGAACACAUAUGCAAUAGAUUAGACAAUGGGGAAGGGAGGGAAGGGAGGGGGGGAUAAGCAAAGGAAAGACAGUGGAAUCAAUAGUUUUCCCAUGUACAUGUAUAUGAAAAUAACACCGUGAAUCCCACCACCAUGUAUAUCCAUAAGAAUGGGACUCUAACUAGAAUAAGAUGUAUUCGCAUUUUAUGCUUCUAUAAUUAUGUCAGAAUGGAUUCUGCUGUCAUAUAUAACUAAAAAGAAGCAAUAAAAAUAAAAUAAAAUAUUCAAAAAACGAAUAAAUACACGAAUGCACAUAAAAAAACGAAAUUACUUUAAAGACAAAGAAAUCUCACACAAUGUAUCCCUUCCAAAUUGUCCCACACCAUUCAUGUCCAAAGCUAUGAACUUGAUGGGUCCCUGGGGAACAUUUCCUGUUUUCUUGGCUCCUUGCAAAGUGUCUUUUGAUCACUGAACUUUCACUUAUUGCUCUCUUACUACCAUGCUGUCCUAACAAGCUAGCAGGAAGAGGUAAAGGAAGCCUCGCUGCCUGCCUUGUCCUGGCAACCCAUAUAAGAGUCUGUGUAGGUGGGCACCAAGUGGCUACCCUCGAGCUCAGCCUGUUUCUUUUUUUUUCUUUCUAUUUUGUUAUUGGAUCUUUUUAGAUAUACAUGACAGUAGCUUGUAUUUUGACAUAAUAUACAUACAUGGAGUGUAACUUAUUCUAAUUAGGAUCCUUUCUUGUGGUUGUACAUGAUGUGGAGUUUCACUGGUGGUCUUUCUUAAUAUUCUCACUGGUCACUACUCGGAGGCCUGCCGCUCCCAGCGGCAGGUGGAGAUGUCCACAGCUCAGCAGAGGUUCUGCCUUCUGGGUUCUCUGUUUAGGUUUGCGCUCAGUGUGGAUCCUUCCCAAGUAGUUAGUAGGUCCCUCUUCAGCUGAUCUCUUGUGUGUCUGUCCCCUGAUGGCCAGUGGUAAUUGUACGAAGCUCCUUCACAUGCCACUGUUCUGCUUCUUCUCCUGUUGUUCCCACUCUCCUUCCCUGCCUCCUCUCUGCACCCAGCUCCUGUCAGCCACUUCUGGAACUUGACACAUUGUUCUCUGUCUUGGUACCUUUGUCUGUACUGUUUCCUCUGGGGGGCACCUUUUCUCCUGCUUUCCUGCUGUUUAAACUCCUAACUCUUCAAGGUCUGGUCAGUAUUUCCUUCCUGGAGCAGCCCUCCUAGAGUCUCCUUCCUCUGAGCUUCUGUUGCGUGUAAAACAACACAUAUGCACACACACGCACACACACACACACACAUACACACACACAUCCUCAACAUUUUCAUAUUAAAAUAAUUGUAGAUUCACUGUGUGAAAGGGUUCCCUUGAAUCCUCCAUCCAGUGGUGGCACCAGGUGUAACUAUAGCAUAGUAUCAAAACCACGAAAUUGACACUAAUACAAGUCACACACCUUCAUAUUCCUCUAGUUUUGACAUGCACUCAAUCGUGUGUGGUUUUAGGUCUGUAUAGUUUUAUCAUGUGUACAUUCAUUAGCUCAGUCAAGAAGCAGAACUAUCCCAUUACCACAAAGCUCUCUCCUGUUAUCACUUAACAGUCCCAGCCAUCUCCCUUCUUUCUGGCUCCCUGACACCUGUUAACCUAACCACUCAUCUGUUUCCAAAUUCUCCAAUUUUUUAAAUUUCCAGAAUGUUAUGGCAAUGGAACCAUACAAUGUAAAUCAAUCUCUCUCUCUCUCUCUCUCUCUCUCUCUCUCUAUAUAUAUAUAUAUAUAUAUAUAUAUAUAUGUAUAUGUAUAUAUGUGUGUGUGUGUGUGUGUGUGUCUGUAUAUAUAUAUAUAAAAUCUCCCAGCAGAAUUUCCUAGAGAUCCACUCAAAUUGUGGUGUGUAUCAACAGUUCAUUCCUUUUACUUGCUGAGUGGUAUUCCAUGGUAUGCAUGUCAUAGUCCCAUGGCAUUUUCAGAUGUCUUUUUAAAACAGCAGUUAGCAUUCUGUAUUUUAAUUGCCAGUCAAGUCUUUCUUCCUCAAUAGGCUGCAAAUUUUGCUUUACCAUUUAAUUCNGAUCCUGAAUGUUCCCUGGCUGAGCAGGGAGCCCAUAAAGACCUUGAUGAAUGUCACUAUGGGUAGGAGGUGGGAGUAGGGGACUGGAUAGGUGAGUCUUGGAGCAUCCUUGGAAGCAUAAAAUCCAAAAAUUUCACAUGCUAUCUUGCAUGAAUUUAUAAAAUGUGUGUGCAUAAUGAGUAGUUAUAAAUGGAAUAAUUUAAUAUGCUGUAAGGAAGCCCACUCCCCUAAAGGGACUCUGUAGGUGAAUACUUCUGUAUCCUAUAAUUGAUCUAUUUUGCAAAUUCAAAUUUCUCCAAGUGUGGAAUUUAUAUUAUAAGUUAUGGGAAAAUGAGAGAGACAAGGAAUGAGAUUAAUUAGAUAAGUGACUCUUGCCUCUUUCUCUCAGAGCCUGCUAUCUCCUGUGGCUUUUGGGUUUGGCUGUGAGUACUUUGCCCUUUUUGAGGAGCAGGGCAUUGGUGUGCAGUGGGACAACCUCUUUGAGAGCCCUGUGGAGGAAGAUGGCUUCAAUCUCACCACUUCAGUCUCCAUGAUGCUGUUCGACACCUUCCUCUAUGGGGUGAUGACCUGGUACAUUGAGGCUGUCUUUCCAGGUACACUGAGCCUCCUCCCUGCUUUGGCAUCUGUCAGGGAAAGAAUUCUGGCUGCAGAGCUUCCCUUUCUUUGUGCUGGAAUUUCUUCAUGGCAUGGGGCUCCCUGGAAAGUGGUUUGGACUUUAGACCUACGGCAAACAAAUAGUUCCAGUAGAGGAACCAGUGCUGAAAAGUACUACUACUAUGGCAAUCAUUUCUUGAGUACUGUGUGUUCAGCACUGUGAAGUGUUUGAUAUACUGUGGUUCAUUUAAUUCCCAAAAGACUACAUAGAAGUUUUACUGUUAUAACUGUUAUUUCUCAAAUGAGAGAACUAUGACUCAGAGAAGUUAAGUAACCUGCCUGAGGUCACUCAGCUCCUAAGUUCUGGUGCUCAGAAGUGAACCCAGUUGGGUUAUACUGGAUCAGCAAGCCAGGAGAUUCCUCCCUGUGCUGACUCAAUUCUGUAAUUCCAUGUCUCCAGGGAGGGUAACUUUACUCUGAUUACAGUUUGUGAAUAAUACAAUCUGUUGGCUCUAAGCCUUUACGUGUGAUUAAAAUAAAAUUAAUAUUAAAUAAAAGCUCAUUUUGAUACUUUCAUUAACAAAUCCUCUUGACCAAGUCCAAGAGGAACCAGCCUUGGGAUAUGUUUUCAUACAAGAUGAAACUGUGGGAGAGUGAAGGUUUGCUCCAUGUAGUUCACCUUCUCAUUCUCCUCUGAGGAGGUAGACAUGAGAUGUUUAUCACCCCUUCCUGAACUUCCUUCACUGAAUAUGCAAUUCUGCAUCAUGCAGAUCUGGAUUUGAAUUCUGAGUCCUUCACUCAUUGGCUGAGUGUCCUUGUGUAGGCUGCUUACCCCUCAAAAUGAGGAUGGUGCCUCCCUCAGGGAGUUGUUGGGAGGCCUCAGAGAAAAGCAGAAUGUACACUGUUUUUAGUAGGUUUCAGCGAAGGUUACCUCCCUUUCCCCCCAUUCCAUUCCAGUCUAUUCCUUCUCCAAAGGGUGUGUCAAGGAGGGAGUGGGCUGGCUGGGACACCUGAGGAAUACAGGAAUGGUGCUCAGCUUGGAUCACACCUGUGCUUUGCUUUCAGGCCAGUAUGGAAUUCCCAGGCCCUGGUAUUUUCCUUGCACCAAGUCCUACUGGUUUGGUGAGGAAAGUGAUGAGAAGAGCCACCCUGGUUCUAGCCAGAAGGGAAUAUCAGAAAGUAAGUAUUGCUGUCCUGCCCUCCUCCAACCAAGUGCUAACAGGGGCAAGUGAUGGAUGGAUCCUGCACUUUAUGCUGAAGUCACUUUAAAUAAGCCAGUCCUAAAAAACCAAAGAUCCAAUGAUUUCUCUGAUAGGUGGAAGCUAAACACAACAAGGGGAAGAACACAUAUGCAAUAGAUUAGACAAUGGGGAAGGGAGGGAAGGGAGGGGGGGAUAAGCAAAGGAAAGACAGUGGAAUCAAUAGUUUUCCCAUGUACAUGUAUAUGAAAAUAACACCGUGAAUCCCACCACCAUGUAUAUCCAUAAGAAUGGGACUCUAACUAGAAUAAGAUGUAUUCGCAUUUUAUGCUUCUAUAAUUAUGUCAGAAUGGAUUCUGCUGUCAUAUAUAACUAAAAAGAAGCAAUAAAAAUAAAAUAAAAUAUUCAAAAAACGAAUAAAUACACGAAUGCACAUAAAAAAACGAAAUUACUUUAAAGACAAAGAAAUCUCACACAAUGUAUCCCUUCCAAAUUGUCCCACACCAUUCAUGUCCAAAGCUAUGAACUUGAUGGGUCCCUGGGGAACAUUUCCUGUUUUCUUGGCUCCUUGCAAAGUGUCUUUUGAUCACUGAACUUUCACUUAUUGCUCUCUUACUACCAUGCUGUCCUAACAAGCUAGCAGGAAGAGGUAAAGGAAGCCUCGCUGCCUGCCUUGUCCUGGCAACCCAUAUAAGAGUCUGUGUAGGUGGGCACCAAGUGGCUACCCUCGAGCUCAGCCUGUUUCUUUUUUUUUCUUUCUAUUUUGUUAUUGGAUCUUUUUAGAUAUACAUGACAGUAGCUUGUAUUUUGACAUAAUAUACAUACAUGGAGUGUAACUUAUUCUAAUUAGGAUCCUUUCUUGUGGUUGUACAUGAUGUGGAGUUUCACUGGUGGUCUUUCUUAAUAUUCUCACUGGUCACUACUCGGAGGCCUGCCGCUCCCAGCGGCAGGUGGAGAUGUCCACAGCUCAGCAGAGGUUCUGCCUUCUGGGUUCUCUGUUUAGGUUUGCGCUCAGUGUGGAUCCUUCCCAAGUAGUUAGUAGGUCCCUCUUCAGCUGAUCUCUUGUGUGUCUGUCCCCUGAUGGCCAGUGGUAAUUGUACGAAGCUCCUUCACAUGCCACUGUUCUGCUUCUUCUCCUGUUGUUCCCACUCUCCUUCCCUGCCUCCUCUCUGCACCCAGCUCCUGUCAGCCACUUCUGGAACUUGACACAUUGUUCUCUGUCUUGGUACCUUUGUCUGUACUGUUUCCUCUGGGGGGCACCUUUUCUCCUGCUUUCCUGCUGUUUAAACUCCUAACUCUUCAAGGUCUGGUCAGUAUUUCCUUCCUGGAGCAGCCCUCCUAGAGUCUCCUUCCUCUGAGCUUCUGUUGCGUGUAAAACAACACAUAUGCACACACACGCACACACACACACACACACAUACACACACACAUCCUCAACAUUUUCAUAUUAAAAUAAUUGUAGAUUCACUGUGUGAAAGGGUUCCCUUGAAUCCUCCAUCCAGUGGUGGCACCAGGUGUAACUAUAGCAUAGUAUCAAAACCACGAAAUUGACACUAAUACAAGUCACACACCUUCAUAUUCCUCUAGUUUUGACAUGCACUCAAUCGUGUGUGGUUUUAGGUCUGUAUAGUUUUAUCAUGUGUACAUUCAUUAGCUCAGUCAAGAAGCAGAACUAUCCCAUUACCACAAAGCUCUCUCCUGUUAUCACUUAACAGUCCCAGCCAUCUCCCUUCUUUCUGGCUCCCUGACACCUGUUAACCUAACCACUCAUCUGUUUCCAAAUUCUCCAAUUUUUUAAAUUUCCAGAAUGUUAUGGCAAUGGAACCAUACAAUGUAAAUCAAUCUCUCUCUCUCUCUCUCUCUCUCUCUCUCUCUCUCUCUACAUAUAUAUAUAUAUAUAUAUAUAUAUAUAUAUAUAUAUAUAUGUAUAUGUAUAUAUGUGUGUGUGUGUGUGUGUGUGUCUGUAUAUAUAUAUAUAAAAUCUCCCAGCAGAAUUUCCUAGAGAUCCACUCAAAUUGUGGUGUGUAUCAACAGUUCAUUCCUUUUACUUGCUGAGUGGUAUUCCAUGGUAUGCAUGUCAUAGUCCCAUGGCAUUUUCAGAUGUCUUUUUAAAACAGCAGUUAGCAUUCUGUAUUUUAAUUGCCAGUCAAGUCUUUCUUCCUCAAUAGGCUGCAAAUUUUGCUUUACCAUUUAAUUCUGACAACAGUGCCAAGAGGGGCCCUAAAUAAAUAUGUAUAGCUUCCUGCUUGCUUAUAAAACCAGAGUGGCUAUGGACAAAAGCUGUUCUAAGAGUCCAAGUGCAGCCCUCUGUGUCUUUACAUUCUACUUUCAGUAUAUUCUAUGGGUUCAUUCCUUUCUCCUCUCUUUUCUCAUAGUCUGCAUGGAAGAGGAACCCACCCACCUGAAGCUGGGUGUGUCCAUUCAGAACCUGGUGAAGAUUUACCGAGACGGCAUGAAGGUGGCUGUUGAUGGCCUGGCACUGAAUUUUUAUGAGGGCCAGAUCACCUCCUUUCUGGGCCACAAUGGAGCAGGGAAGACAACCACCAUGUAAGAAGGGGAAGUGGCCAUAGAGUCUACCACUAGAAGGUUCUGCAGUGUACUUAGAAAUUCAUAGCUGAGGAAAUUGGGGUUGGUUGCUAGGGCAAGGAUAGAGCACAUGAGGGGGUGAUAAGUGUAAAACAUCACAUAAUCACGAGUGUGCUUUCCAAGGGUUAGUCUUUGCUAGAUAUUUUUUUCUUCAGCCUAAAGCAGGGUGGGUGUUUUGAUGACCUUUCCCAGGUAGGGCUCAGAAUUAUGCAGUGUUUUUGGAAUCUGAGGCUAUGACAGCUUUGAGAAAGGGUCUCCUUCUGAGGUGGUUUGGUCAGAACUGUAAAGCAAAAGUCUGGAAAGAAAGAUUAGACACUGGAGGGAGAUGGCAAUUUCCAGGAACUCUGUCUCUAAGCAGAUGUGGGAAGUGGGCUGUUGGCUCCCAUUGUCUUCCCUGGCACCCAUGAGGACCUUCUGCCUGACAGCUUCCGGAAUGGGUAAGGGCCCCAAAACACUAGUUAGCCUCAGUGGCUUUCAGUAUGGCCUCUCAACCAUUCCAAAGGGUAGAUCUUCGAGGGUGAUGUUCUUUUCUUGUUUUUUUUUUUUUAACAUAAAAUCAAUAUAUUGUGGGUAUAGCUGCUGAAUAUUUUUUAAAAGACACUUGAAAAUCUUACCAUCUAACACAAACAUUAUUAUUAUUACUGGUAUCAGGGAUUGAACCCAGGGAAACUGAGCCACAUCCCCAGCCCUUUUUAUUUUUUAUUUUGAGACAGAUGCUGAGGCUGGCUUUAAAUUUUCAAUCCUCCUGCUUCAGCCUAUUGAGCUGCUGGGAUUAUAGGCAUGCACCACUACACCCAAUUUAAAACAGAUAUUGUCUUUUUAUCAUUGAAUAAUUUGUUUUGAUCUGUCUGUUUUUCAUGGAUAUAACCUUAGGCAUACAAAAUACAUAUUUUAAGGCUCACUUUCCAUUGUAUAUUAGAGGAUUCAUUUUCCAAAUGCUCAUAUUUUGCUUUGUUGGGGAUCUAUUAGGGUCCAUCAGAAAGGAAUAGAAGCAGGGUGUUGGUACCCCGUGCUCACCGUGAUGGGCUCUGCAGUGGUGGGGUGGGCCAGCCCUGAUGCCUGCAUUUGUUAAUUUUGUCCUCAGGUCAAUCCUGACUGGGUUGUUCCCUCCUACCUCUGGCACGGCCUACAUCUUGGGAAAGGAUAUUCGCUCUGAGAUGAGCACCAUCCGGCAGAACCUGGGGGUCUGUCCCCAGCACAAUGUGCUGUUUGACAUGUGAGUACCACAGCAUAUUGAGAAGAGAGGCCCCUUUUUGGAUUUAGAAGUCAUGGGUGAAAUGGGAGUUAGGCAUUUUUGCCUUCUUUGGAGAUAGCAGUUCUUAUCUCUUUAGACACAUUGAGAUCUGUUUUAGGCAGGAGAUGUUACUUCAGUCCAGAUGGCUGAUGGGGGAUUGGGAAGCAAUGGACUUCAUCAUGUGCCUCUGGAGGGUCUUUCAUCCCAUCCUUUCCCCUGCUGCACCUGUCCCUAAAGUUCUAGUUCAUUGACCACCCCCGUCUCCACCGCCAAUCCCCUGGCAGGGCCUAAGGACACUUGGUACCAUGGUCCUGUGUUCAUUGAUCAUGACAUUUGCUCCCACUCAGCUUGUCCCAUCAGCAGGUAAGACCCCAGAGAGCCCUUGUAGUUGAUCAGAGAAAACCCAUUUUUUUUUUUAAUCUAAAAUGAGCAGUUUGAGCUUCUGGCUCCCUAGGAACCUGCUUUUGCUCAGAGUCUGAGGUUCUUUGAGAUUCAGGGGACGCUUCUCCAGGUUAAUGCUGACCCAGCAUGGUUGAUGGAACUAUGGGUGAGACGUUUGAGGACCUGAAAAAUAAAUUGCAAUUGCUGAUGCCUGGUGGCCAGCCCUGUGAAGAGUAGGUUGGAAAUGAUCUGUUACCUCUAAGUUUUGACUUCCUGAGAAGCUCAUGUUGUUGUUGUCUGUUGUUCUACCUUGAAUCUUUCCUUUUGAUUAUAUUUUUUAGAAAUUUAAGGGGAUAGUACUGGGGAUUGAUAUGGAUAAAAAUGAUAUAUGCAUUUAUGAAUAUGUCAAAACAAAACCUGCUAUUAUGCACAACUAUGAUGCACUAAAAAUAAAAAUAAAAGAAAUUGAUAAGUCAAAAAAGAAAUGUAGGAAUGAAGUGGGAAAGAAGAAAAACAUGCACAUUGUUUUCUGUUCUGGGUCAGGAGACACUAUAUCCUGGUGUGUCCUGUAGGGCCCAGAGCUGACCUGCCCCUCUGUCCCCAGGCUUACUGUGGAAGAGCACAUUUGGUUCUAUGCCUGCCUGAAGGGGCUUUCCGGGAAGCAUGUGAAAGCAGAGAUGGAACAGAUGGCCCUGGAUGUCGGUCUGCCGCCCAGCAAGCUGAAAAGCAAAACAAGUCAGUUGUCAGGUGAGGCCCUGAGCACCUUCCCUGUCUUUCCCCUUCCUCCUCCACCUAUCCAUACACAGAGGAAAAGCUGCCCAGGGUCCCAGGCAGGGUGGAAGGUAACAGACCCUUUUCCUGGGCUAUGUCCCCAGAUGGGUGCCUGUCUUCAUCUCUCACCCCCUCCUCCUUCAUUCACCAUCUGGGGCUGGUUCUGGAGCCUAUCUUUUGCUCUGUCUUAUAGGUGGGAUGCAGAGAAAGUUGUCUGUGGCCUUGGCCUUUGUUGGGGGGUCCAAGGUUGUCAUUCUGGAUGAGCCCACAGCUGGUGUGGAUCCCUACUCCCGCAGGGGAAUAUGGGAGCUGCUGCUGAAAUACCGACAAGGUAACCAAUGUGUACUCUGAGUCACGGAUUUGGGGAGAGAAGGGUUAUUGAGAAGUAUGGCUGUAUCUCAUGGGGGUAACAGAAUUGCUUCUCAAAGAAAAAAAUGGAACUUUUUUUAAAGCUCAGUGUCUUCUUUUAGUAUGGAUAUGGGAGACCUGGUUGUAAGAUACUUGAAGUUUAUGCUUCAUUACCUAGGGGCCUGCAAGAACAGAAAUGGUAUAGACUUACACGGGUGUAUCGUGAUUAUACUACGCUAAGAUAGAUUCCUGAGAGCAGAGGCUCUGUUCAUUGUUUUGUCCCUAACUUGUUGCACUAAUUUUGUUUGUUGAAAGAGUGGAUGAAUAAAUUAAUGGAAUGGGAAAGGACAAGAACGCGUUUGGCCGUGUGCUUAGAGCUUGUGCAGCCCUGAUGCUUUGGAAAAAAAAAUCACUUAGCUUGGCCCCAUUUCCUUAUCUGUAAUAAGAGUGGUGCUUACCUCAUGAAGGGUAAAAUUAAUUAAAGAAUAUACAUAAACCACCUAAUAUGCUUUCUGACACCUUGCAAGUUCCAAAUAAAUGUGUUGCCAGCCUUGGGGUCAUGGCCAGAGGGUUGAAGUCAGCUUUCAGUCUUUCUUGCCUACACCCCUGCCAGUGUCUCUAUAGUCCUUGCUACUACAAUCAAUGAGAAAAGACAGGACUCACGUGUCCCACAUCCUUGUAUUUGUGUCUGGCAGGUCGCACCAUUAUUCUCUCCACACACCACAUGGAUGAAGCAGACAUCCUGGGGGACAGGAUUGCCAUCAUUUCCCAUGGGAAGUUGUGCUGUGUGGGCUCCUCCCUGUUCUUGAAGAACCAGCUGGGAACAGGCUACUACCUGACACUGGUCAAGAAAGAUGUAGAAUCCUCCCUGAGUUCCUGCCGAAAUAGCAGUAGCACUGUGUCAUACCUGAAAAAGGUGAGCUGCAGUCUCAGUGCUGGGCUGGGCCGGGCCGUCAGGACUUAUUGGCUGCAGAUGGCUUGUUCACCUCUGCCCCAUUCACCCAAGUUGUGGCCACUGUCUCCCUGCUCUGUACCCUUUCACAUCAUACUGCCUAUGUGGAAAGUUCUAGAGCCCUCUGUUCUCGUAGUGCUAGUUUUGUUGAGUCCCAUUUUUCCUUUUUCCUAUUCAAUGAGCAAUGGAGAAUGUCCUUUCAGGACUUUAUUAUGUCGCAGAAAAGAGACUAGCUAAGAGGUAAGAGUUGGCUACAAAAUGUCCUGCUAUUCCUGCUUAUUAUCUUUAAAUCUCAUCGAUCUUUACUUUUAAACUAUAAAACACAAAUAUUUAUGAAGCACUUAUUUCAGACCACACAGACUGGGUGUAAAAGAAAAUAAUGAUAAUAGUUAUUGUUUUGUCACAAUUUUUUUUCCCCAUCUGGCAUCUCAGAGUACAGAGCAAUCCUAGGAAGACAGUACAUGAUUACUAUCCUAGAUGAGGGAAGUGAGACCUGUAGGGAUUUGUUAGCUUAUUACAGGUCAUCUAAAAAAUAAAUAGCAGGUGGGACUAGAACCUCCAAACCAGACAUGUUCUCUCCUCUAUCAUAGUACAUGCCUGAGAUUUNCUCAGCUUGUCCCAUCAGCAGGUAAGACCCCAGAGAGCCCUUGUAGUUGAUCAGAGAAAACCCAUUUUUUUUUUUAAUCUAAAAUGAGCAGUUUGAGCUUCUGGCUCCCUAGGAACCUGCUUUUGCUCAGAGUCUGAGGUUCUUUGAGAUUCAGGGGACGCUUCUCCAGGUUAAUGCUGACCCAGCAUGGUUGAUGGAACUAUGGGUGAGACGUUUGAGGACCUGAAAAAUAAAUUGCAAUUGCUGAUGCCUGGUGGCCAGCCCUGUGAAGAGUAGGUUGGAAAUGAUCUGUUACCUCUAAGUUUUGACUUCCUGAGAAGCUCAUGUUGUUGUUGUCUGUUGUUCUACCUUGAAUCUUUCCUUUUGAUUAUAUUUUUUAGAAAUUUAAGGGGAUAGUACUGGGGAUUGAUAUGGAUAAAAAUGAUAUAUGCAUUUAUGAAUAUGUCAAAACAAAACCUGCUAUUAUGCACAACUAUGAUGCACUAAAAAUAAAAAUAAAAGAAAUUGAUAAGUCAAAAAAGAAAUGUAGGAAUGAAGUGGGAAAGAAGAAAAACAUGCACAUUGUUUUCUGUUCUGGGUCAGGAGACACUAUAUCCUGGUGUGUCCUGUAGGGCCCAGAGCUGACCUGCCCCUCUGUCCCCAGGCUUACUGUGGAAGAGCACAUUUGGUUCUAUGCCUGCCUGAAGGGGCUUUCCGGGAAGCAUGUGAAAGCAGAGAUGGAACAGAUGGCCCUGGAUGUCGGUCUGCCGCCCAGCAAGCUGAAAAGCAAAACAAGUCAGUUGUCAGGUGAGGCCCUGAGCACCUUCCCUGUCUUUCCCCUUCCUCCUCCACCUAUCCAUACACAGAGGAAAAGCUGCCCAGGGUCCCAGGCAGGGUGGAAGGUAACAGACCCUUUUCCUGGGCUAUGUCCCCAGAUGGGUGCCUGUCUUCAUCUCUCACCCCCUCCUCCUUCAUUCACCAUCUGGGGCUGGUUCUGGAGCCUAUCUUUUGCUCUGUCUUAUAGGUGGGAUGCAGAGAAAGUUGUCUGUGGCCUUGGCCUUUGUUGGGGGGUCCAAGGUUGUCAUUCUGGAUGAGCCCACAGCUGGUGUGGAUCCCUACUCCCGCAGGGGAAUAUGGGAGCUGCUGCUGAAAUACCGACAAGGUAACCAAUGUGUACUCUGAGUCACGGAUUUGGGGAGAGAAGGGUUAUUGAGAAGUAUGGCUGUAUCUCAUGGGGGUAACAGAAUUGCUUCUCAAAGAAAAAAAUGGAACUUUUUUUAAAGCUCAGUGUCUUCUUUUAGUAUGGAUAUGGGAGACCUGGUUGUAAGAUACUUGAAGUUUAUGCUUCAUUACCUAGGGGCCUGCAAGAACAGAAAUGGUAUAGACUUACACGGGUGUAUCGUGAUUAUACUACGCUAAGAUAGAUUCCUGAGAGCAGAGGCUCUGUUCAUUGUUUUGUCCCUAACUUGUUGCACUAAUUUUGUUUGUUGAAAGAGUGGAUGAAUAAAUUAAUGGAAUGGGAAAGGACAAGAACGCGUUUGGCCGUGUGCUUAGAGCUUGUGCAGCCCUGAUGCUUUGGAAAAAAAAAUCACUUAGCUUGGCCCCAUUUCCUUAUCUGUAAUAAGAGUGGUGCUUACCUCAUGAAGGGUAAAAUUAAUUAAAGAAUAUACAUAAACCACCUAAUAUGCUUUCUGACACCUUGCAAGUUCCAAAUAAAUGUGUUGCCAGCCUUGGGGUCAUGGCCAGAGGGUUGAAGUCAGCUUUCAGUCUUUCUUGCCUACACCCCUGCCAGUGUCUCUAUAGUCCUUGCUACUACAAUCAAUGAGAAAAGACAGGACUCACGUGUCCCACAUCCUUGUAUUUGUGUCUGGCAGGUCGCACCAUUAUUCUCUCCACACACCACAUGGAUGAAGCAGACAUCCUGGGGGACAGGAUUGCCAUCAUUUCCCAUGGGAAGUUGUGCUGUGUGGGCUCCUCCCUGUUCUUGAAGAACCAGCUGGGAACAGGCUACUACCUGACACUGGUCAAGAAAGAUGUAGAAUCCUCCCUGAGUUCCUGCCGAAAUAGCAGUAGCACUGUGUCAUACCUGAAAAAGGUGAGCUGCAGUCUCAGUGCUGGGCUGGGCCGGGCCGUCAGGACUUAUUGGCUGCAGAUGGCUUGUUCACCUCUGCCCCAUUCACCCAAGUUGUGGCCACUGUCUCCCUGCUCUGUACCCUUUCACAUCAUACUGCCUAUGUGGAAAGUUCUAGAGCCCUCUGUUCUCGUAGUGCUAGUUUUGUUGAGUCCCAUUUUUCCUUUUUCCUAUUCAAUGAGCAAUGGAGAAUGUCCUUUCAGGACUUUAUUAUGUCGCAGAAAAGAGACUAGCUAAGAGGUAAGAGUUGGCUACAAAAUGUCCUGCUAUUCCUGCUUAUUAUCUUUAAAUCUCAUCGAUCUUUACUUUUAAACUAUAAAACACAAAUAUUUAUGAAGCACUUAUUUCAGACCACACAGACUGGGUGUAAAAGAAAAUAAUGAUAAUAGUUAUUGUUUUGUCACAAUUUUUUUUCCCCAUCUGGCAUCUCAGAGUACAGAGCAAUCCUAGGAAGACAGUACAUGAUUACUAUCCUAGAUGAGGGAAGUGAGACCUGUAGGGAUUUGUUAGCUUAUUACAGGUCAUCUAAAAAAUAAAUAGCAGGUGGGACUAGAACCUCCAAACCAGACAUGUUCUCUCCUCUAUCAUAGUACAUGCCUGAGAUUUAUUCAUGGAUUGAAACCAGUGGCACCUAAUACAUCUUAAUCCUAACCUUGAACUCUGUCCACUUACUUACCUUUUAACUAAAGCCUCCUUACUUAAGUGUGGUGUGAGGACCAGCAGCAUCAGGAUUAGAAAUGCAGUAACUUGGGUCCAAUUCAGACCUACUGAGUCAGAAUCUGCAUUUUAAUGGGGUCCUAGAAUGGUUUAACAUAUGUUAAAGCUUAGGUUGCAUUGAAUUAGACAAGUAGCCAGAUAAAUCCCAUGCCUGCAAUGAUUGGCAAAUCCUGGUUGCACCAGGAUUCCUGCCAAGCCACAGUUCUGUUGAUAGCUCAUAACUCACCCCAGGAAGAGAGGCUGUCCACUUGGCACACACAUCACACGGUGGCCUCUAAAGCCCUGGCUUCCAGCUUCAUGCACACCAGGAAAAGCUUUUGCUGCAGUUCUUACACAAUAGAGCUUCUGGAAACCCUCGCUGGCAAAGGUGGUGGUGGCUAUACCUUGCUUGGUCCCUGACCCAUUCUCACCUCCUUCUUUGCCAUCAGGAGGACAGUGUUUCUCAGAGCAGUUCUGAUGCUGGCCUGGGCAGCGACCAUGAAAGUGACACGCUGACCAUCGGUAAGGACUCUGGGGUUUCUCAUUCAGGUGGUGCCUGAGCUUCCCCCAGCUGGGCAGAGUGGAGGCAGAGGAGGAGAGGUGCAGAGGCUGGUGGCGCUGACUCAAGGUUUGCUGCUGGGCUGGGCUGGGCUGGGUGGCUGUGGGAGUGGAUGCAGCUUGGUGGUGGUGGCCUAAUGCUUGCUGGGGGGCCUGGGGCUUGGUCUGGGAGCUGGCAGGGCAGUGUCCCAGAGAACUGAGAUGACUGGGGUUUGGGGAAUCCCUUAGGGGAGUGGAUCUGGCUGGACACCGGAUGAGCCAUUGAGUGUCAAGCCAGCAGGGAGGGAUUUGAGCUUAGUAUAUAAGGAAGGUGAGAGCCCAGGAGAUAAGAAGCAGCCUUUUAGGCUUUUCUUGGCAGUGCAUAUGGGAACCCAGUGUCGUCAGUAGCAUGUGGAACAGAAAUCAUAACCUGGCCAUCUCUGCUCAGUUCUAACAGCUGGCUUUUUCCAGGAAGACUUCUGCUUCUAUGAACUGUUUGGUUAGCCUCUAUUGAGGUAAAUAGAGGGAAGCUCCCUUUGAAAGAAAGCUUAGGAAAGGCUGAAAAAUCUCUAUGAUUUUUCUUACUCAAGUUUUCUACUAAAGAAUCCCAGCGUAUAAGCUGUAGAUACCAGAUCUUCAACCUCAGCAAGUCAUCCAUCCAUCUAUAACACAUGGAGUACCCACAGUGUGCCUAGUUGUGGUGAUAUAAAGUGAAUGAGUUACAGUUCUUGUCCCCUGGAAAUCUUAGAGUUGAACAUGUGGAAUGGCUAAAAUAUCUUGGACAGUAUGGUGUAUAAGCAGCAGGCUUCUGAGAAGUAGGCAAAGGGGAUGACUGGCCUUUGCUGUGGAGCCUCUGAAAUGACUGAACCAUCUUUACACUGUGGUCCUUGCAGAUGUCUCAGCCAUCUCCAACCUCAUCAGGAAGCAUGUAUCUGAAGCCCGGCUAGUGGAAGACAUUGGGCAUGAGUUGACCUAUGUACUACCAUAUGAAGCUGCUAAGGAGGGGGCAUUUGUGGAACUCUUCCAUGAGAUCGAUGACCGGCUCUCAGACCUGGGCAUAUCCAGUUAUGGCAUCUCAGAGACUACCUUGGAAGAAGUAAGUUGGGUGGCUGACUGUCAAAUAUAGCAGCCCCAACCACCUCAAGGUCAGACAGGAAGGAAACAGGAUCACCAUGGGGUUGGUCAUUGAGAUUUUAGGUCAUUGAUAUCUAGGUAAUGUUGGCAGCAGUGAACCAAUUAAGAUCAUAGUGGGAGAUAGCAGGCAGGAAAGAAGUACUAGGAUUGCCCCUGGUGUGGUUGUGUUAACUGGACUUAAUGCAUCAUAAGAAAUGACCAACAUUUAUAGUCUACUAGGGCCAGGUACCAAGCUGUACGUUUUUGGUGUUUCUUUUUGAUUUGCUUUUUUAAAUCUUUGUAAUCUUGUGUAAUCCUCAUAACAAGACAAGAAAAUUAACUAAUCAGGGAUGUUGAGUUGGGAUUCAGCAUGGUAAGUUUGGGCUUCAAAACCCAGGUUGUUUUUAUGAAGUAGUAAUUCCUCCCUUUAGAGACACAUCACAGACUUUGAGGGCUGGAAGGGCUAUAAAAGUUGUCUGGCCUGGUGAUUCCAUGCUAGAUUGUGUAGUAGCCAUGUGAGGAUAUUACUGACAAUAAAAAUUCCAAGUCUCAAUUCUAGUGUCUUUGAAUUAGGAUUUCUGGAAGUAAGGCCUUAACUCUGUACUUCCACUGCAUAUGUCGUACACAGUGGUCUAUAGACAAGAGUUUGGAAAUCAGUGGCCUCAUUCAGAUUCUCCUCUGAUGUUUGGACCUCUGCCAUGAUAUUUCUACUUAUGGGGAGUCCAUGUCUUCCUGACCAUUCUGUCUUGACUAACUUAGCACAGUGCUGUUCUGCUUAAAGAUUUGAAGCCACAGCCUGAAAGAAACCACUUUACUCAUUCCCUAUAGGUUCCUAACAGAUUUCCUUUGUCUCAGUGUCCUGAUGUCAUAGCUGUAUUUUGAAAAUGAUUGUCUGGACUGAUAGUUCUCACCACUAAGGGAAUGUUUUCUGGCAAAAAUACCUCCCAAAUAACUCUGAUCAAGUGUUAUUAAUAAAUGUAGCUUCUACUUUCUUUGUCUUAGAGGUGGUAAUAUGCAAGUCAAUAAUGUAGUCAGGAUAGUGAUGGCUAUUCUCAUAAUGUUGGUACUUAUAUUGUCACCAACUCUAAUUUUUCAGAUAUUCCUCAAAGUGGCUGAAGAGAGUGGGGUGGAUGCUGAGACCUCAGGUAACCCUUUUGAGAGGGACUAUACAGUCUGGCUAGAGUCUUGAGCAGGCAAACUUCACUCACCAGUGUUGUACCUUUCUCUUCAUAUUGUUCUUUUUAUUUUUUAUUUUGUUUUUUUUUUCCCUUUACAUUGUUCUAAUACAGUCCCAUUUUUAGAGUAUAUGUUUGUUACAGGUAGAGAAGGUUUGUUUUGUUUCAAAUAAAGUAAAAUGAGGGAUUCCUUCCUUUUGCCUUCAGAUGGUACUUUGCCAGCGAGACGAAACCGACGGGCCUUUGGAGACAAGCAGAGCUGCCUUCGCCCAUUUACUGAAGAUGAUGCUAUUGAUCCCAAUGAUUCUGAUAUAGACCCAGGUUCGUUUGGGCAAGAUCUAGGUUCUAUUGUUUGAAGAAGAAUUUCUCCUUUAUGUUCUUCUCAGCUGUUUUCUUUUGAUGAACAAGAUGAUAGAUUCCCUGGAGGGUCCAGAAGGAAGUGGAAAAAUGAGAAAAGCCGCUUGUCUUUUUCCAGCUUUGUGCAUGUGUUUAGGUCAAACAUGAAAGAGCCCAUCCUCAUCGUUCCUUCAGUUAGCUGAGAUCUUAAGAUGCACAUAUUAAAAAAGGACUGCUCUUUUAUUGUCUUUUCUGUAGGGUUCAAGUUUCUUGCAUACAUUAAGUGUUUUAUUGUUGAAUAAGUAUUUAUUGAAUGGAUGAAUGAUUUUGAGAAAGUCAGGGAGGGUAAUUUGCUUUCAGUUAAUGUGCCCUUAGAUGUAGGUAUUUUGGAUGACUGUGUCCUUGUGUGUUUGAAAUGAAAAGGAGAGGUAAGAAAUCAAACAAAUUUGAUGUCAGAGUGUCUCUGUUAGGAAUCAUUCAUUUCAGACAAGAAUUUCUACAUAAUUUUUAUGAACAGAGAAUUUUCUCACUGUCCCAGUCCAUGGCACAUGAGCAUGUGGCUCUUAUGUUCUCCCUGACUUCAUGCAUUGUUAGUACUUAGAUCAUUUCAAAUGUGUCCAUUUUUUUAACAAAAAUAUAAAAGAUUAGAGACUGCCAUUGUGUGUUCUCAAGUGUGUUCAUCUGCAUACAUGGCCUGUUCCAUAGAAUAAUCUGUAAGAAAUCAGCAAUGUCUCCACUCAUCUGAAUGAUGUUCGGUAACACCUAGGUAAGAAUAUGUGAACAUCUCUGCAGUAGUCUCAAGGCACCUUCAUUCUUUGUACUCACCAAACGAGGACUAAAAGGCAGAGACUGCUCCUGUUGGACAUGUUGAGUCAUUAGUUUUUCUUGAAUAUAGAGGUAUCAUUAAAACCCUUUACCUCUGUGAGAUACUUUCAAUUUCAAACACAAGCCUCCAAAUGGUUUCUGAAGAUCUUAGAAGAAGGAAUACAUCAUGUCAAAAACACCUAACAUAAUAGGUGACCUUCAGUAUUGGCUUCUUGCAGAAUCCAGGGAGACAGACCUGCUCAGCGGGAUGGAUGGUAAAGGCUCCUAUCAGGUGAAGGGCUGGAAACUCACGCAGCAACAGUUUGUGGCUCUUUUGUGGAAGAGGCUGCUGAUCGCCAGACGGAGUAGAAAAGGAUUCUUCGCUCAGGUGAAAUAUGCUGGUUUCUGGCUUCAUGGGUGGGCUACACACUCUCUGACCAGUGAAAGCAGAAUGCUGCUGCAGUCAAGAUAUAGAUAUUGGAGCUAGAUUAUCUGUAUUUCCAUCCCAGUUCUAUUUCUUGCCAGUUUUGUGUCUGCCAGCAAAUGACUUCUCCAGGCCUCAGUCUCCUCACCUGAAAAAUAGAGAUAAUAAUGUGCCUAUGACACCAUGUUAUCCUGAGGAUAAACAUGAAUAAAUGCUUAGAAUGGAGUCUGAUGCUUGGGUUUAUGGGUAUGUAUGUGUGUAUGUAUGUAUGUCUUUUAUUUUAGAGAACAACAUAAAAGGGUAAGCGUUUAGAAAAACUGUUAGGUAAAUUCAGCUAUCAUAACAUAAGUGAUGUUAUGCUCAGAUGCACUUGACAUAUGCACUUAUUAGAAACAUGAUUUUUCUCUAAGUUGAUGUUUAACUCAAAUGAUAAAAAGAUACCCAGAGAGAUCAGAAUGUAACUGGCAAAUAGAGAAGACUCAUACUACUCCCUUCAAGUCAGAGUUUGUAUGCUCACUUGCUUAGUUAGAAGAGUUAAAAUUAUUUCACUCUGUAAAAAUUAAGAAAUGUGGAGAAAAGUUUAUAGAGAGUCUUCCUUACAGACUGUAUGUAUGAUACUAAGAGUAUGAGUUUGGGACAUACAGACCUGGAUUUGAAGUCUGGUUGUGUUACUAGCUGGCUUUGUGACCAUGAACAAGUAACUUGACUCUCUGAUCUUUAAUAACCAAGUUUUUGGAUAGUGGCAAUGAUAGUAACACCACAAAUAACAGCAUAGGGUAGUAAUGAUAAUUAAGAUAAUUAUCAUUAGAGUACUUUCCAGUAGAAUUGCUCACUUAAUGAUAAUUUUCUGCAUUGAAGCCCAAGAGCCAGAGUCAAUAUGAAUUGACUUUUUAAAGGAUAAGUUUCUCAGCAAUAAAUGGAAAGACCUUUGAGUUUACUUGUAAAGUGUGUAUGAGUCAUUGUUUUCAGAGUAGGUUUGUAGAAAGUUUGAGGAAUUUCAAGAAGGAGUUGCGUAUUUAUGCUUUGAGAGGUGAUCAUGGCAGACAAUGGCUGCUAUUGCUUGUGACUGGAGUCACUGCUUUUAAGAACUGGUUUCAGGAUUAUGGGAUCUGAUCUCUUCUCAGUCCUCAGAUUAUAAUGAGAAUACUGAGGCCCUACAGUGGUGAUGUCAUGUGGGUACACUUGUAUUAGUGUCAGACCCAGGAUUCAGGACUUGUGGCUCCUAGUCCAGGGCUUGUUCACUCAGUUUUCUUCUGAGCUGAACUGCGCUCAUGACCCAUUGUGGUCUUUAUCAUCUUCAUGGGAAGAAAUGCAGGACCCAGAAUUCUGAGUCACCCUAACGUGGGGUUGCUCUUUACUCUGUGAAGUUCCUAGCCUAGUGCUUCUGCCAGGUGACUAGAGACUCUGGCAUUGUGCUGCCAGAUUCUAGAAAGUCCUGGAGGGAAGAUGUUUAGUGUUCAGGAUCCAUUGCUUUCACUCUGCCCACAAGGCCUUGGGCCAGCCAUGGGCCCUGUCACCCUCCUUCUUGUGCUGCCUGGUCUGGGAACCUGGCUGGACUUGCAGGGAUUUGCUCCUUGGACUUCUUUCUAACCUUAUCUUUUCCUGCCAUCCCCCUACCCCCUCCAUUGCCUGGUUACAGAUUGUCCUGCCAGCUGUGUUUGUCUGCAUUGCCCUGGUGUUCAGCCUGAUUGUGCCACCCUUUGGCAAGUACCCUAGCCUGGAACUUCAGCCCUGGAUGUACAAUGAGCAGUAUACGUUUGUCAGGUACGUGUUUGUCUUCUGGGCCCAGGGGAGAGGAGGGUUCGAGUAGAUCAAGGGUGAUCACUGUGCUGAGGGUCAAAAGAAUAGAGUCAAGAAUUGCACAGUGGAAGGGGUUUUACCAGCUGUGCCUCAGGCCCCUAUGUAAGCUACUACUGCAUGCCAAGAACAUCAGUGAGCUACCCUUGACUUAGCAGCUAGUCCUCUCUCGGACAUUUCACCCCUUCUCCUUAUGCUGUGAGUGUCAGGACAACCCUGCAUAUUUUAGAUGAUAUUCCCUUGAUAAAAUCUAAAAUUGUUUUAAAAUAUUUGUAUUUUUAGAGUUAUGUUUUAAUUUUGUUAUCUAGUCAUAGGGCUUCCAUACAGUGUCAAAACAGAAGCUUCACAUUCUUAUUUUCUAUAUAGUAUAAUUCAUGUAAUUAUUACCUACUCUUUAAAUUUAUGGUUUUGGCUAAUGUUAACGUUUGGCAAAAAUACUUUCUACUCCAUAGUAAUCCUAUGCAUGAAAUAAAAGGACAAAGGAAUUUCUGGAUAUUGUUUGGCAAAGGUUUUCUGGGAUUUAUAGGUGUAUAGAUAGGAGAGAUAUAUAAGUGAUAUCUAGAAGAGGUUUAAAAAUGAAAAUAACAUAUACCAAACAUAUGAAUUUGUCUCUUUUUCUCCAAACUAUGCUUUCUUCUUAAUUCAGGUUUACUUGCCUUUUUCCCUUCCUAGCUGUUGACCUUGUAUUGCCUAUAGCUAUAAAAUAUGGCAUGUGUUUGUGACCUGUGCCUAUUAUUUCUUGUACUUUCGAGUUGUCUGUGUACACAGUCAGUAAAAUCUGCCUGUCCUUCCUGGAAAAUACUGGUUAUCUGGGCCAAAUGGGUAAUCAUGAAAGUAAUUUUGAAAUACUGAUCCUUAAUGAGUCUCAUUACUUCAAAUUACAAUAUAUAUGUAAAUGUGUGUAUAUGUGUGCAUAGGUACACACAGGUACACACAUCUUCAUACAUAUUCCAGUUUGGGGUGCUCUAUACUACCCAGAUGCUGAAUAUAUGGCCAGAGUCCAAGCUCCUCAUACCUAGUUUCUGUAUUUUAUUCAUUUUUCUUUUAAGAGCCUAGAAUCCAGGAAGUACUUAAUAGAGUGUUUAAUUUAGAAAACUUUUCUUUCUCCCUGUUCCUGGUUUAAAUGAAUUACUGAGAUGGUUGCUUCCCAUGUACUCACAGUAAUGAUGCUCCUGAGGACACUGGCACCCAGCAACUCUUGAAUGCCCUCACCAAAGACCCUGGUUUUGGGACCCGGUGUAUGGAAGGAAACCCAAUCCCGUGAGUGUCACUUUCGCCAUAAGUUGUCUUCUCAUGCCUGCCAUCUGGUUUGAUUUCUGAUAUACUGCAUUUAUCAAUUGCAUGCCACAUUGUAACCACUAUUAUUUGUCUUUUGAAUCACUUUUUAUUUUUAAAAAGUGAAUAUAAUAACCUAAUCAGACCCAUCUAGGAACAUUUAGAGAGACUUCUAACAUCCUGCAAAGGAAAUCAUUAAAGACAUUUGUUUACUUCUUUAGAACGUUAAUAUUUAAUUUAAAUAGCACUUUAUACUUACUAAAUGCUUUUAUCACUUCUGCCCCCAACUCCUGUAUUUUAGUGCAACAAUAGGCUGCCAUCGUAUAUAAUUUGCAAUUUUGCUCAUCAGCUUCUUCACCUUAACAACCUGAAAAGAUAAAAUAGAUUUUUCUAAGAGGGGACACUUUCUUGUUCCAUUGCAUAUUUUUUCUUCAGGAUAAUGCUUUAUUCUUUUAUUAAACAACUUUCAGUGUAAUAAGUGUAUAUUUGUUAUGUACCAAAUAAUCACAGUUGUUAUGUCUUUCCUUAAUACUCAGAUAGUCCCAUAUUAAGCAAAUGGGAACCCUUUCAGGUUAGCUCCUGUGUCCCUUUAAACCAGUGUCAGUACUUGAACAUUCAGGAACAUUUGACCUUAAUGUAUUAGGUUUACUUCUUAUUUCCUGCCCUAGAUCUGGAACCAGAUAUUUAUCCAAGAUUUUUAGUGCCUUUUAAUAGGAAGCAGUAUUUAUUUUAUUUUAAAUUUUGAUUUGUUACAUAUGACAACAUAAUGCAUUACAAUUUAUAUUACACAUAUAGAGUACAAUUUUUCAUAUCUCUGGUUGUACACAAAGUAGAGUCACAUCCUUCGUGUCUUCUUACAUUUACUUAGGGUAAUGAUGACCAUCGCAUUCCACCAUCUUUCCUACCCCUCUGUUCCCUCCUUUCUCCUCCCUCCCCUUUUCCCUUUUGCCCUAUCUAGAGUUUAUUUAAUCCUCCCAUUGCACCCUGCCCCCCCCAGCAUAUUAUGAAUCAGCAUCCUUAAAUCAGAGAAAUCAUUUAGCAUUUGUUUUUUUGGGAUUGGCUAAUUUCACUUAGCAUUAUAUUCUCCAGCUUCAUCCAUUUACCUGCAAAUGCAAUGAUUUAUUUUCUCUUUUAAUGCUGAAUGCUUAAUAAUAUUCCAUUGUGUAUAUAUACCACAUUCUAUAUCUAUUCAUCUACUGAAGGGCAUCUAGAUUGGUUCCACAGUUUUAGCUAUUGUGAAUUGUGCUGCUAUAAACAUUGAUGUGGCUGUGUCCUUGUAGUAUGCUGUUUUUAAGUCCUUUGGGUAUAGACCAAGGAGUGAGAUAGCUGGGUCAAAUGGUGGUUCCAUUCCCAGUUUUCCAAGGAUUCUCCAUACUGCUUUCCAUAUUGGCUGCACCAAUUUGCAGUCCUACCAGCAAUGUAUGAGUGUGUCUUUUUCCCCACAUCCUCGCCAACACUUACUGUUUGUAUUCUUGAUAGUUGCCAUUCUGACUGGAGUGAGAUAAAAUCUUAGUUUUGAUUUGCAUUUCACUAAUUGCUAGAGAUGUUGAACAUUUUUUCAUAUAUUUGUUGAUUUAUUGUAUAUCCUCUUCUGAGAAGUGUCUGUUUGGUUCCUUGGCCCAUUUACUGAUUGGGUUAUUUGGUUUUUUGGUGUUAAGAUUUUUGAGUUCUUUAUCUAUUCUAGAGAUUAGUGCUCUAUCUGACGUGUGUGUGGUAAGAAUUUGUUCCCAAUUAAUAGGCUCUCUAUUUACCUCAUUGAUUGUUUCUUUUGCUGAAAAAAAACUUUUUAGUUUGAAUCUAUUCCAUUUAUUGAUUCUUGAUAUUAGUUCUUGCACUAUAGGAGUCUUAUUGAGGAAGUUGGCACCUAAUCUGACACGAUGGAGAUUUGGGCCUACUUUUUCUUCUAAUAGAUGCAGUGUCUCUUGGUUUAAUUCCUAGGUCCUUGAUCCACUUUGAGUUUUCUUUUUUUUUACUACCUUUAUUUAUUUAUUUAUUUUUAUGUGGUGCUGAGGAUUGAACCCAGGGCCUCGCAUGCCUUGUGCAUGCUAGGCGAGCGCUCUGCCACUGAGCCACAACCCUAGCCCCGCCCCCAUACACUUUGAGUUUUGUGCAUCAUGAGAGAUAGAGGUUUAAUUUCAUUUGUUGCACAUGGAUUUCCAGUUUUCCCAGAACCACUUGUUGAAGAGGCUAUCUUUUCUCCGAUGCACAUUUUUGGCACCUUUGUCAAAUAUAAGAUAACUGUAAUUAUGUGAGUUAGUUUCUAUGUCCUCUAUUCUGUAUCAUUGGUCUACAAGUCUAUUUUGGUACCAAUACCAUGUUCUUUUUAUUACUAUUGCUCUGUAGUAUAGUUUAAGGUCUGGUAUAGUGAUGCCACCUACCUCACUCUUCUUGCUAAGGGUUGCUUUAGCUAUUCUGAGUCUAUUAUUUUUCCAGAUGAAUUUCAUGACUGCUUUUCCUAUUUCUAUGAGGAAUGUCAUUGGGAUUUUGAUUGUAUUAAAUAUGUAUAGUGCUUUUAGUAGUAUGGUCAUUUUGACAAUAUUAAUUCUGCCUAUCCAAGAAUAAGGUAGAUCUUUCCAUCUCUUAAGGUCUUCUCUAAUUUCUUUCUUUAGCGUUCCAUAGUUUUCAUUGUAGAGGUCUUUCAUUUCUUUUGUUAAGUUGAUUCCCAAGUAUUUUAUUUUAUUUUUUGGUGCUAUUAUAAAUGGGGUACUUUUCCUCGUUUCCCUUUCAGAGGAUUUGUUAAUGAUACAUACAAAUUCCUUUUGAUUUAUGGUUGUUGAUUUUAUAUCCUACUACUUUGAUGAAUUCAUUUACUAGUUCUAGAAGUUUUCUGGUGGAGCUUUUUGGGUCUUCUAGGUAUAGAAUCAUAUCGUCAGCAAAUAGUCCUAAUUUAAGUUCUUCUUUUCCUAUAUCUAUCCCUUUAAUUUCUUUCAUCUGUCUAAUUGCUCUGGCUAGUGUUUCAAUAACUAUGUUAAAUAGAAGUGUUGAAAGAGGGCAUCCCUGUCUUGUUCCAGUUUUUAGAAGGAAUGCUUUCAAUUUUUCUCCAUUUAGAAUGAUGUUGAUCUGGGGCUUAGCAUAGAUAGCUUUUACGACGUUAGGACAUGUUUCUGUUAUCCCUAGUUUUUCUAGUGUUUUGAAUAAGAAGGCGUGCUAUAUUUUAUUGAAUGCUUUUUCUGCAUCUAUUAUGCUGCAUCUAUUAUUUCUGCAUCUAUUAUAUGAUUAUAUGUCUUACCUUUAAGUCUCUUGAUGUGAUGAAUUGCAUUUAUUGAUUUCUGUAUGUUGAAGCAACCUUGCAUCCCUGGGAUGAACCCCAUUUGAUCAUGGUGUACCAUCUUUUUGAUAUGUUUUUGUAUUCAAUUUGCCAGAAUUUUACUGAGAAUUUUUGCAUCUAUGUUCAUUAGAGAUUUUGAUCUGAAGUUCUCUUUUUCUGAUGUGUCUUUGCCUGGUUUUGGAAUCAGUGAGAUAUUGACCUCAUAGAAUGUGUUUGGAAGUGGUCCCUCUUCUUCUAUUUCCUGAAAUAAAUUGACGAGUAUUGGUGUUGGUUCUUCUUUAAAGGUCUUAUAGAACUCAGCUGUAUCCAUCUGGUCCUGGGCUUUUCUUUUCUUUUUUUGGUUGGUAGGCUUCUGAUGGUGUCUUCUAUUUUGUCACUUGAAAUUGAUCUGUUUAAAUGUGUCUAUCAUCCUGAUUCAAUUUGGAGAAAUCAUAUGACUCUAGAAAUUUGUUGAUGCCUUCGAUAUUUUCUAUUUUAUUGGAGUACAAGUUUUCAAAAUAAUUUCUAAUUAUUUUGAAGAUAAUUUCUAAUUAUCUUCUGUAUUUCUGUAGUGUCAUUCAUGAUAUUUCCUUUUUUAUCACGUAUGUUAGUAAUUUGAUUUUUUUCUCUCCUUCUCUUUGUUGCAUGGCUGACGGUCUGUCAAUUUUAUUUAUGUUUUCAAAGAACCAACUUUUUGUUUUGCAUUUUUUUCAGUUGUUUCUUUUGUUUCAAUUUCAUUGAUUUCAGCUCUGAUUUUAGUUAUUUCCUGUCUUCUAUGCUUUUGGAAUAAAUUUGUUCUUUUUUUUCUAGGACUUUGAAAUGUAAAGUCAUUUAUCUGUUGACUUUUUCUUCUUUUAAGGAAUAAACUCCAUGAAGUGAACUCUCCUCUUAGAACUGCCUUCAUAGUGUCCCAGAGAUUUCGAUAUGUUGUGUCCGUGUUCUCAUUCAUCUCUAAAAUUUUUUUAAUCUCCUCAUUGAUGUCUUCUGCAACCCAUUGUACCUUCAGUAGCAUAUUAUUUAGUCUCCAGGUGUUGGAGUAGAUUUUAUUUCUUACAUUGAUUUCUAAUUUCAUUCCAUUAUGAUCUGAUAGAUGCAGGGUAGUAUCUUUACUUUUUUAUAUUUGCUAAGGGUUGCUUUGUGGCAUAAUAUAUGUUCUAUUUUAGAAAAGGAUCCAUAUGCUGCUGAGAAGAAAGUGUAUUCUCUUGUUGAAGGAUAAGAUAUUCUAUAUAUGUCCUUUAAGUCUAAGUUAUUGAUUGUGUUUUUGAGUUCUAUAGUUUCUUUGUUCAGCUUUUGUUUGGAAGAUCUAUCUAGUGGUGAAAGAGGUGUGUUAAAGUCACCCAAAAUUAUUGUGUUGUGGUCUAUUUGAUUCUUGAACUUGAGAAGAGUUUGUUUGUUGAAUGUAGAUACUCCAUUGUUUGGAGCACAUAUAUUUAUAAUGGUUAUGUCUUGUUGAUGUAUGGUUUACUUGAGCAGUAUGUAGUGUCCUUCUGUAUCCCUUUUGGUUUACUUUAGCUUGAAGUCUACUUUAUUUAAUAUGAGGAUGGAAUCCCCUGAUUGUUUCUGCAUUCCAUGUGAGGGGUAUGAUUUUUCCCAACCUUUCACCUUCAGUCUGAAUGUUUUUUCCUAUGAGAUGAGUCUCUUGGAGGCAGCAUAUUGUUGGGUCUGCUAGUUUAUAUCUUUUGAUCCAUGAGUUUAGGCCAUUAACAUACAGGGUUAUUAUUGAGGCAUGCUUUGUAUUCCCAGCCAUUUUUAAAUUUUUGAUAUUUAACUUGACUUGAUUUCUCCUCGGAUUAGUUUUUCCUUUAGUGUAAUACCUCCCUCUGCUGAUUUUCAUCAUUGUUUUUCAUUUCCUCUUCAUGGAAUAUUUUGCCAAGGAUGUUCUGUAGUGUAGGCUUUCUAGUUGUGAAUUCUUUUAACUUUUGUUUAUCAUGGAAGAUUUUUAUUUCAUGAAAUAAAACUAAAGUUUAAUUUUGAAAACUAAAGUUUAAUUUUGCUGGGUAUAAGAUUCUUGGUUGGCAUCCAUUUUCUUUUAGAGCUUGGCAUAUGUUGUUCCAUGAUCUCCUGGCUUUGAGGGUCUGGGUUGAAAAAUCUGCUGAGAUAUGCAUUGGUCUCCUUGUAUACAUGAUCUGAUUCUUCUCUCUUGCGGCCUUUAAGAUUCUAUCCUUAUUCGGUAUGCUAUAAUGUGCCUUGGUGUAGAUCUGUUGUAAUUUUGUAAAUUUGGUGUCCAGUAAGCCUCUUUAUUUGGUUUUCCAAUUCAUUCUUCAUACUUGGGAAAUUUUCUGAUAUUAUCUCAUUGAAGAUUUUGUGCAUUCCUUUGGUUUGAAACUCUGUACCUUCCUCUAUCCCAAUAACUCUUAUAUUAAGUCUUUUGAUGGAUAGCAAGAAUUAUGGGAUACCAUACCAAGAUUCUUGAUGUUCUGUUCAUGGUUUCUUACUAUCUUCACUUUGUGGUCAACUUUAUUUUCCAGAUUGUAUACUUUGUCUUUAUUAUCUGACAUUCUUUCUUCCAAGUGAUCUAGUCUGUUGGUUAUACUUUCCAUUGAGUUUUUUAUUUGGUUUAUUAUUUCCUUCAUUUCAAGGAUUUCUGAUUGGUUUUUUUUUCAGAGUCUCUAUCUCUUUCUUGAAGUAUUUGCUCUCUUAUCUCUUUGUUGGAGUGAUCAAUUUUUGACUGUAUUCGCUCACUUAGGUCAUUCUUUAAUUCACAGAUCAUUUUAAUUAUGAACCUUCUGAACUCCUUCUCUGACAUUUCAUCAACUUCACUGUCCAUGGGUUCUGUUAUUGUAGUAUCCUGGUUUGUUUAUGGCACUUUCCUCCCCUUUUUUUUUUUCAUGUUGCUGCAGUACUGAUCAGAUUUGUAGUUACUGAUAUCCUUUCGAGGCCAUUUAUCUAUGUGUCUUCCUUUCUUGCAGUGUGGAUCUGAGAUAUUACAGUUUCUACCCCAUAUUCUUAUAGUACCCGUGUAGAUUGUCUGUACCUCACCUUGAUGUUGGGCUUCCAGACCCUGCUGGUGUCCCUCAAUGUAUGCUACUGCAACUAAAGGUGGUGGCAGCAAUAGCAGAGGUAACAUGAGAUAAUAGUGGGGGUACCCCAAGAUGGAUGCAAUGUCUUACAGAGAUGGGGCUGAAAGGGUGGGCCUUACACUGUCUUUGGGAUGCCUGCUCUGAGAUGCAGCUGCUUCUAGGCCCUGACUGUUGUCAAAAGGCAGGGGCUACUGUGUGGGGAAGGCUAUGGCGAUGUCUGCAGUGUCUCAAGAUCAAAGUGGGUUAGGCUUGGGCAUCCAGGUGUGUGUGUGGGGGUGGUGAACUUGGACCUACUCUGGGCCUGUCCCACAUAUGUUGAUGUGGGUGGAUCUAGGCCAGGCCUGGGCUCCCAUGGUGUUCUGUUGGUCUGAAGAGGUGGUCCUGUGCCAGAGCCUGAGUUCCGGGGAGUGUCUGCGGAUGGCGGAAUGGACCCAGGCCUACUGUCCAUUGCAUAUUUUUUACCCUACUUUCCUACAGAAUAUUUUUUAAAGAGUAGGCAAAUAAAUUCAGUGAUCAUAUGCAAAUGACUCUUUGAGUUAAGGGGAAAGCAAGUCAGGAGAUCAUGUGGUAAAGACAGUGGUGGCUUCUUUUUCCUGUGUCUUCUCUUCUACAGUUUUUGCAGUACUGAUCAGAUUUGUAGUUGCUGAUGUCCUCUCCAGGCCAGUUAUCCAGAAAGAUAGACCAUCAAAACAGAAAAUUCCUUAGAAAGAAAUUCCUUAGAACUUUUCAUGCUCAAAGAUUCCUGGAACUAAGUUGCAUGUGGGAAAGGGCAACCAUCCUGGCAACCCCCACUGAAAUUCCAAUUUUAGGUUUAUAGAAGGUGGUAGGACUGGAGAAAAUUUGACUGGGUACUUCUCAGUGGUCUUUAAGUUCAUCUCAGUCAAUUGUCUUUUGAAGGUUUUAGGAGCCAGCUUCAGGAGGACACAAUGUCUUAGUUUGACUUUUCCAUUUAGUUAACAGGCUUUAAAGAGUGGGAGAUCAAUCUGAAAGGCUGUUCAUUUGAUUUCUUUUAAUAUAUAAGAAAAUUGUAUGAAGUCUGUGGCUCUAUUUUAAAUUGUAGAAUUUUGAAACUGGAAGAGAGGCUAGAAAUAACAAGUCAUUUUGUACUUUUACCAGUGGAAAAAAUAAGCCCUGAGAGGACAAGGAAGUUGCUGAUGGUUUCAUAAGAAUUCAGAGUUCAUGUCAGAAAUAAAGGCCAUGUGUUUUGUCUCCUGGGAUGCUUAUACUAGCUCUUCUUAUACCAAGCAUUCUCACCCUACUCGCCCCACCCCCCUGAAUUCUCUACUCAUUUUAGAACAUAGAUUGAAUCUUGCCACUCUCCACAGGAUUUUUGGCACAUUGAGCAUAAAAUCCAGACUCCCUUCCCAGGCUCCUUCUGGCACCUGCCUCACUUUUCUCCUUGUUUAUCAUCUCUCUUCUUCUUAGCUUAUCACAUUCCAGUCACACUGUCUUCCUGUUGUUCCUCAAAUACAGAAACACUGCUUCUCAGGGUCUUCCACCUGACUUUUCAUUGCCUCCGCUUGGAGUAUUCUUCCCCCCCCCCCCAGAUCUUUGCCUGGCUUGUUCUCUCUCAUCAUUGAUGUUGUGGCUGAAUAUUGUUUCUUCAGGAGGAGGCUUCUUCCCAUGUGCUCUCCCCUUAUUUUGUUUUAUUUUUAGUCAUAUAAAAUUAAAUUGUUUAUUUGCUGUCUAACUCCUUUUUGGCAUGCAAAUGCCAUGAAGGCAUGGAGUUUGUCUUGCUCACUGCAGACUCACAGACAUGCACAAAAGCAUCUGGCUCAUAGCCAAUGCUCAGUGUGUGUGUUGUUUCAACAAAUGUUGGUGGCUGGAUCAAAUAGAGUUCAGUUUAUGAACAUUUAGGAUCUGUUUGUAUUCUAAUUUCCUUAUCUAUAAAACAGUGUUGCAAGGCUGUUGAGAGAUCAGAUAAUCAAACAAGGCUAUGCCCAUUCUUUGUAAAUGGUGAGGAAUGGGCUUAUGUUUGUGGUUGUUACAGAAUGAUCCUGUGCUCUUAAGGCAAUAGGAAAGGCCAGGCCCUCUCCAGUAAUCCCGCCCCUGAUGCUUUUCCUUUGCAGAGACACACCCUGCUUGGCAGGGGAGGAGGAGUGGACUACUGCCCCAGUUCCCCAGACCAUCAUGGACCUCUUCCAAAACGGGAACUGGACAAUGCAGAACCCUUCACCUGCCUGCCAGUGUAGCAGUGACAAAAUCAAAAAGAUGCUGCCUGUGUGUCCCCCAGGGGCAGGGGGGAUGCCACCUCCACAGGUGAGUCCCCAUCAGAGUAAGACUGCAUAGUUCAUGCAGGGUCAGCAGCCAGCAUCUGCUGGGAGCAGGAAUGAGUGAGAUGUGAGAUUAGGAUAGUUUAUUUCAGCCUCGAGGUUAAUGCUUAUCAUAAGGAAAAGCAAGGGAGUUUUGAGGGAAGGGGAUUUGGACCACAGUGUACCUAUGCCUGUCCCACAGUGUUGGUGUCAUAGGAAAGAGAGUGGUAGGCAUGGCUUCUAACCCUCGUUCUGCCACAAAUUAACUGGUGGCCUUCCAAAAGGCCAUUUUAAUUCUCUGGGCUUCCUUCUUAACUGCUAGAUUAGGGAGGCUGAACCAGAAAACUUUCAAUGGGCCUUACCAGUUCUGAAAUUUUUCUGCGAUUCUGAGUUUAGGACAGUUAUCUGAGCCUUUUUGUUUCUUCCUCACAAUUUUAGGAAGUCUUGUUUGUGCUACCUUUCUGCUGCUUUAUCAGCAUCCAAGUUGAAGGGUGAGAAUAAGGCAUUUUAAGCAGAUGUAAGAAGUCAUGGUUACCACUCUAAGUAGCUAAUCCACUCAAUGAACUCCAAUGAACACAAGAAUUCACUAGGCAAAGUUUGUGAUUCUGUGCCCCAAUAUCUCUUGUGGUAAAGAAAAAUCACAUCUCAGUGCUUAUUGUUUAGUUAUUCCAAAUAAUUCCCUAGGGAAGACCUUGGUGUGGUAUAAGUGCAUGACCAGUACUGAGGGCAGCAUGGACCAGAUCUUGGUGGUGGUUGGUGGAGGGUGAUGCCUGGGCCCUGUGGUUAGGGCUCCAGUCACACAGUGGCAUGUGUUGGAGGAACAUCUGUCACUGUAGCCCUUGAUAUGUUUUAUGUGCCAAUUCUUGUCUAAGAAGACACACAUGCUUGAUUUUUAUGUCGUGACAGAGAAAACAGAACACUGCAGACAUCCUUCAGAAUCUGACGGGAAGGAACAUCUCGGAUUACCUGGUGAAGACGUAUGUGCAGAUCAUAGCCAAAAGGUGAUUAUUUACGCAGUGUGGCCUGUGUUUUAUCAUCCCUGAUUAGAGGAGUUAAAGGCCUACAAAUAGUGGACCCACAUGGUGGGGAGAUUGCCAGAGUAUGGCUUGAUGUUUCUACUGGAAGUUUAGGAUGUCAUCCUAAACUAGAAAUGAUGCGUAGAGGUACUGUGAGCAUUCAGUUUUUAGCUUAAAGGUUGAGGCAGCAUUGUCUAGAAUGAAAGUAAGUAUGCAUUCAAAUUUGAAUUCUACCACUAACUAGUUGCUUGACCAGGAGCAUUAUCAGGCAGAACCUUAAUCUGAAAAAGGGAGUGGUGGUGGUUUACCUCCAGGUUAAGGGGACAACUCUGAGUGACAGUAAUCAAAAUUUUCUCUUUGUUAUCCUUUUAAAACUCUAAUUUGGGGGCUGGGAAUAUAGCUCCAUGGUAGAGUGCCUGCCUACUAUGCACGACACUCUGGGUUCGAUCUCCAGUAUUGUGGAAAAAAAGUCUUAAUUUAUAUAAAAGUGAUAUUACUGUUGCUCCUACAAGUUUGUUGUGAGAACUAAAUGAAGUGAAUUAUGUGAAGUGUCUUAGAUGCUCAUGUGAUAUCAUGGGGAGAACCUUGAGAAGAUACAGUAGCUCGUGGCUAUGGAACUUUGAAGCUUCUGGGACCUGGUGGCAUAGUGUCAAAUGUUUAGUUAAUGCUCAGAAAAUUUGUGUUCUGGUUCCCUUCCCAGCAGCUUGAUAAAGAGGGGUAUCUGUGUUAGAAGCUCAUUAUCUUUAAAUGAUAAAGCUGAUCAAAAAUGUAAUGACCUUGAGUCAUUAACAUAACUUCUCCAUAUGUCAUUUAUAACUGAUGUAUUAGUUGAAUUGAAAAAUCUUCUAGUUAAUUCAUGCCUUGGUUUGUAAGGUGGUUUUUAAAACUGGCUCAACCCAAGUAUGACCUUAAUGUAAGGUUUUUAAGAUAGAAUACAAGGUAUGUUGAGAUUAGGCUUCUUUCCACUGGUACAGUCCUGUAGUGCCAGCCUGAUGAUAGGAUUACUUCUGGUCCUUUCUUUUGUCUUCAGGUAGAUGUUUACUCCUUUUGCAUCAUCAGGUAUAGCAUCAGUCUUUCUAGAACUGAUUUUUGGUUUUUGUCUUUAUUUCUGCAGCUUAAAGAAUAAGAUCUGGGUGAAUGAGUUUAGGUAAGUUGAUCUCAAGAUUUUCCCUGGUGCUUCUAGUCUUGGGAGAAUGAUUUUUAUGCAGGCAUAUUGGAUGGAGGGAAGCUGUUGGUUUCGGGAUUGUUUGCCCCUCACACACUCCUGGGUGCCACAUCACUGUGAGGAGAGAAAGGCCCUGUAGAAUCUAUGGAGCAUGUGGGGUAUAGACAGGCUUAUAUUAGACUUGGAUUUUCUGCCCAGAGCAUUUCUACUCAGUGUCCAGCUGCCACUUCAGAGGCCUUUGAACAAUCCGGUUCACUGAUUUCCUUAAGGGCACUUAGAAAUCUCUUGUGAGUCUCCAGGGACUAGUAACAUUAUGAGGGAAAUACCUAUCCUAGUUGCAGUUUUACCCAAUCAGAUUCCCACGGGUUCCCAGGGACUCAAGAACAAUUUUUCAGGCCUUUGGCAUAAGAUAAAGAAGGUCUUGGAGAAAAUAAAAAACAUUUUCAUAUUUUAAUCCAUUUGUCCCUCUGGGUCUUGAAGAUGUGAGGGGGUAAGGAAGCAUCUUUGGAUCCAGUUUGUAUAAUCAUGGAAAUGAGAUGGCUGGUGUGACUUCCUCAGGAGACCUUAAAGGCUCCCUGUUACUGUUUCACACUUUUCUUCCUUGCCUUGUCCCCAAGGGCCAGGAUCUUUGAAAACUCUGGGCAGAGCAGAGUAGCCCUCAUGCUAGUAAAGAUACAAGGUCUCUUAUCCCCAUCUGGCCCACUUGCGACAGUGUCCCUCACCACCUACCCUUCUACCCCAUCUGCUUGCCUACAAAGACAGUAGUGAAUGUGAAAUAAAUGACCUUACUUUUCUCAGUGUCUCAGAUAUCUAACUAUAAUCAGACCCAGGACCUCCCUACUGGGCAGCAACCCAGUUAAUAGCUUGCUAGAAUCCAAGGUAUAACUUGUCUGAAUCAAACUUUGGUUGAAUAAGAAAUGGGUCUCUAAGAGGCUUGUCCACACUCAUGUGGUGUCUGCUGCUGGUGAUCACAUGUGGCAUACUGGGUUUUAAUGUCAGGCUGUUCUUCUAGGUAUGGUGGGUUUUCCCUCGGUGUCAGUAACUCUCAAGCACUUCCUCCAAGUCAAGAAGUUAAUGAUGCCAUCAAGCAAAUGAAGAAACACUUGAAGCUGGCCAAGGUAGUAUAUCCAUCUUGAGACAUGUUGGAAGAAAGGGCUUGGAGCUACUGGGACAUGAGCAUAGUGGGCAGAUAGAUCUGACCAGCUAGCAGCUCAUUGUUCAGAUUAUCUUUGACUACUGAGCCAUCAUUGGUAUUCUGUGACUUCAACAAGACGGGAUUGAAUUAUUCAGUGUAUACUUAAAAUCCUGAAAGUGUAGACCACAAAUAGAUUCAGAGAUUUAAAAGUUCUUAGAAUAACUGUUUGUCAGUUUGGCCAGUAGUAAAUAAACUGGCCUUCAAGCAGACUUCCAAAACAAUCACUAACUAAACAGAAAUGGAUGAGUUUCAUUUUUAAGUUGGCUGGCUGGUCUUCAGGUCCUAGUGAGCACACACUUCAUUUCUCUGUAUCUCAUAUUUCCCAUUUUGAACUGAGAAUUGAGGGAGUCAUAUGACAUGGAUUUUGUGAUCCUGGACAGCAGUGAUAGUCCUAGAGUCCAGUCUGUACUUCUGCCUUUGGAACACAGGCCCUAAUGUCUGACACAUCUGCACAUAAAUUGUGUUUGUGGUUCUUGGGAUGAUGCCAGGGGAACACUUGGAAGAAAUUCUCAUUGCCAGGUUAUACAGACAACAGUCUUGGGACUUCAAGCCACAGGAUUUCUCAGAUAUUUUUAAGACUGUGGCAUUAUGGAAACAUUCAUGCUGUAGGCUUCUGGUCAGUUGGUUCUCAGGAAUCAUUUAAUGGCUUUAAAUUUAAUUUUAGUGUGGUAGUGGUGGUGUUGCUCUUGAUAGGGGUGUCUUGUUGUCCACAGCUUCCGGACUGACUGUUGCCCUUUACCUGUUUGAAUCAUCACAAUUGAGGUGGGUUUCUGUUGUUUACAGGACAGUUCUGCAGAUCGAUUUCUCAACAACUUGGGAAGGUUCAUGACAGGACUGGACACCAAAAAUAAUGUCAAGGUAAAAUGCUGUCUGUGUUUUACUAACUUUUUGGUAACCUAUCCUGUUCCCUGAAGUAUUUUCAGCCAUAGUAAAAUUGGAGGGGUAUUCAUGACAGAAAAGAGCAAAUGGUUAAAUCCACUAGGGAGGCUGUAUAGUGGAGUGAUUAAGAGAAUUUGUUUUGUUGCCAGACUUUGACUUGAAUUACUUAACCUUCAGUUUUCUCAUCUGUAAAAUGGGGAUAAUAAUCAUGGCUCUCUCCAAAUAGUUAUGGUGAAUAUAUGAAUUAAAGAUACAAGGUCCUCAGUACAACCCUGGGCCCCAUAGUCGGUGGUUGUAUCCUUGUGUUAUCAUCACUCUGCCAUGUUCUGCAGUGUUUUGUAUUGGUAUAUGACUUGAGUUUCUAAAAUUUAGGUGCAUGAUUUGUGUGUGUGUGUAUGUGUGUGUGUGUGUAUGUACCUACUUCUGAGAGUAGUGUUUAGGAACAUUAUCUUUUACCUGCUAUGUUUUAUCUCAGGUGUGGUUCAAUAACAAAGGCUGGCAUGCUAUCAGCUCUUUCCUGAAUGUCAUCAACAAUGCCAUUCUCCGGGCCAACCUGCAGAAGGGAGAGAACCCUAGCCAGUAUGGGAUUACUGCUUUCAAUCACCCCCUGAAUCUCACCAAGCAGCAGCUUUCAGAAGUGGCUCUGUAAGUAUGGCUGUGUCUAAAAGAAUGGGGUGAGGAGAGAGUACUGGGGAAAUCUGGAGCAGGAGAGGGAAAUAGAAGGCUCCUUGUAGGGUAGCUGUUGCAGAGUCAAGUACAGUAUGUAAGUCUGGGUCCAUCCAGACUCUGGGCAGAAAAGAUCACUUUACAAAUUGACCAGCAGGGCCUUUUUGAAUUGUAGAAGAAAAUGGCACAGAUAUGCAAAAAUCAUUAUAUUUGGUGAUUCAUAUAAAGCAAGUUGAAAAUUGUUAAUACAAUCCUAAAAUAAGUAUAUUCACCAUUAACACAUAAAAGUCAGUUUCAUUUGUUUUAAAACUGUUUUAACCCAGUGAAAUAUGCUUUAAAUAGUUUGACUUGAAUUUGUCUUGAAUUUGUGUGUGUGUGUGUGUGUGUGUGUGUGAAGUUUAAAGCCAGUACAGUCUUUGGAAUUAUAGAGAUCUGGGUUUAAAUCUAGACUGUCAACUUUCUAGAUGUCUGAUAUUAAAUGAGGCCAUUUAUGUAAAUUGCCAAGCCAAGCUCCCAGCACAGAGUUGACAUUCAAUAUGUCAUAUCCCCUUUCUAUAAAUGGAGCAUGAUGCAGUUAGUUUCUACUUAAUUCCUAUAGAAUAUCAAUAAUGGACACUAGGGAUCUUUAUACCAACACCUUCUUAAUUGGCUUGUAAAGUGUCUUAUAAAAAGAAUCUGAUAGAAUUGUUAUAUGUGUUAGAUUGAUAUACUACAUUGUGUUGUUCUAAAACUUACUUAGAGCAAUAAAUAUUAACUUAUUUGAGUAGUUUCAUACCAUUAUUUUUUGUGUGUAUGGAUAUUUAUUAUUUAUUGCUCUUACAAUGUUAAGAACAAUGGACAAGGGGCUGGGGUUGUAGCUCAGUGGCAGAGCACUUGUCUAUCACAUGUGAGGCACUGUGUUUGAUCCUUAGCACCACAUUAAAAAAAUAAAGGUAUUGUGUCCAUCUACAAAUACAAUAUUUUUAAGAAAGAACAAUGGAUAAAAUUGAAUAUUGUUAGACCACACCCAGACUUCCUUUAACAGCUUCAUAUGGCAGUGGACUCUUUAACCUUAGUGAAAUCAGCUUUGCAUAUGAUUUUUAAAAAAUAAUACCAGGAAUUAAAUCCAGGGGAAGUUUACCACUUAGUUACACCCCUAGCCCUUUUUAUUUUGACACAGGGUCUUACUAAGUUGUUUAGGGCCUCACUAAAUUUCUGAGGCUGAUCUUGAACUUGCGAUCUCUUGCCUCAGCCUCUCUAGUUGCUGGGAUCAUAAGGGUACACCACUAUACCGGGCUCAGGUUUGCAUUUGAAUUGUCAUUUUUUUAAACUUGCAAAUGAUCAUAUUUAACCUUGAAUAAAACAUAUUUGGUGAACAGAUGUUUUUCCCUGAGCUUUCUUUGGAUGUGUGUGUUUAUGUCUCUCUCUCUGUGUAUGUCUCCUCAUUUGUUGUAUUUCCACAAUAAAUGCAUCAAAGACAUCUCUGAUUUUCACUGCCUUUUUUCUUUCUAGGAUGACCACGUCAGUAGAUGUACUUGUGUCCAUAUGUGUCAUCUUUGCGAUGUCCUUUGUCCCAGCCAGCUUUGUUGUGUUCCUGAUCCAGGAGCGGGUCAGCAAAGCCAAGCACCUACAGUUUAUCAGUGGAGUGAAGCCUGUCAUCUACUGGCUUUCCAAUUUUGUCUGGGAUAUGGUAAGGGCACAGGCCUACUAUCUUUGUAUGAAUCUCCAUCAGGGCCAUGAAAUGGCAUAUAUAAGACAGAGCACCUGUCACUGAGAAUUGUUCCAGUUAUUCUAAAGGUGCAUGAGAAAAGGAAUGGGAGAGACACUUAUACACUUAUACACUUCCAUAACUCCAAAUAUGGUGCUGGAUGCAGAGCUGACUUCACACAGGAAAGAAUAUCUGACUAUACUGAUGACAGUUAUUACCUAAUUUCCUAUUUGAAAACUUUCCCAAGAAACAGAAAUGGAAGGACCUUAGUCUCUCCCAAGCCAGUACUUUUAACUUCUCUGAUAAAUUUUGACCUAUAGAGUCAAGAUAUUCUUUAUCUUGUUAGGAAAGCCAUAUGUUCUUUAAAAACUCCAUACAUUUUACCAUAAAUUUAUUCAUUCAUUUGCAAAUGUAUUUUUGUACCAGCUAUAAUUAAUAUAUUGCUUCUAUUUGGACCAAUAUGGAAGCCUUCAAAGAAUUUUGAAGUUCUAAUUUAAUAAUAAAGUGAAGUUGACCUAUAUUUCCUUAUGAAUUCCAUGAAUUCUAAGCCAUAAGGAACAAAUCUAGUUCUUUCCUCUUUGGAUGGCUCCUCAGAUAUUUAAAGACAACUCUCAUCUAACCAAAGUCUUCCACAGAUGAGAUGAUAUAUGAGAACACACUUAGUCAUCUCUAAAGCACUGUAACAAUGUGAUAAUGAUGGAGAUGAUGAUGAUGUCUUUACUUAUUAUACCAAGACUCUAAGACUGGCCCCAUAUUCCAUAUUGUUAAUGUCCCUUUUGAAAAGCAAAGUCCAGAAUUAACCUUGUAUUCAGGCGAUGGUUUGAAUGGUUACAAGUCUAGAGGGAAUUGAUCUUUCUUCCAUACUUCUAUUCUGCAUUUUAGAAAGAGCACUGUCUUAUUGGCAACUUGAUAGUGAACUGGAAUCUUACUUCACAAAAAUGACUGUUAAAUUGGAAAGCUUUUGUGUUAUGCUAAUACAAUUAACUUUUUAGAACUUAAACUUUACACUUAUCCCUUUUAAACUGCAUCUAGUUAAGUGUCUAUUGUGUUUUGUUUUUGUUUUAUCUUGGUCCAGUAAUUACUUCAUUCAUUUAAAAUAUACUGAGUGCUUACUCUGUGUCUGACUAUGCCAGGCAUAGGAGAUUCAGAGAUGAGAUGGAGUCCCUACCUUCAGGGACAUCACUUAUAUUCUUGUAUAUUAUCUGCCUCUACCUGGUUUAGAAUCUGCAAUUUGCUAUCAGCAUAUCUUCAUCUAAGUUGUUGAUAAACACAUUGAAUAGGAUAGGACUAAUGCAGAGUCCGGUAGCCUUAAGCUGCAAUUCUUUUAACAGCUGACAAAAAUCACUGUCACCUCCCUGCCUGUGCUUUGCCCUGCCAGCUAUGAAAUCUCAUAAUCGUUCUAUGGUCAGGUCUUUAUUUCUGCAUUUUAAUGCCUGAAGCACUGUCAGAACAGACUUUCAAAUUAUUCUCAGUGUGAUGAAACAAUUCUGACAUUCAUGUUAUGAGCGCUUACCUUACAAAUAGAUUACAUGUGAGAUUGAACUUGGGCAGACUAUAAUAUAGCAUUAAUGAUGAAACAGACACAAUCAUCUCUGGGAAGAAUAAUGGAAGCUUAUUUGUCUCCUGUGAAAUUGAAAUUCCUCCGACUGAGGAUCCAUCGUUCAGUGAGUUUACUGAGCGUGACACCUUGGCUUAGUUGUGAGAAAGACAGAAAGGGCAUGCAGUUUAUAAAACCAACCAAGGGUAAAAUGCUUGUCACAAUGUAUUGUCCGUAUUUUGAUUAAUAGUUUAUGUGGCUUCAUUAAUUCAAUAUUAUUCUCCAAUAUGUUUGUCUGCCCUUUCUUGUCUGGUGAUGGUAAAGACUUGGAAUGUGCUGUAUUUUUGACUUACGAGUUAACUUUAUUUCCUUGUUUUCUCUUUUAGUGCAAUUAUGUGGUUCCUGCUACAUUGGUCAUUAUCAUCUUCAUCUGCUUUCAGCAGAAGUCCUAUGUGUCCUCCACCAACCUGCCUGUGCUAGCCCUUCUUCUUUUGCUAUAUGGGUAAGGCACUUUUGGGUAGAGGACUCUAAAAGUGGGUAAGGCAUAUAGUACCCAAUGUCAUAGGGAGGGUAGAGGACUCCAAUGGACAUUUAUCUUCUUGUCUCACCAGGUGGUCAAUCACACCUCUUAUGUACCCAGCCUCCUUUGUGUUCAAGAUCCCCAGCACAGCCUAUGUGGUGCUCACCAGUGUGAACCUCUUCAUCGGCAUCAAUGGCAGUGUGGCCACUUUUGUGCUAGAGCUCUUUACCAACAAUGUGAGUUCUGUAGAAAGAGCACCUCCUACUGGGAUGGGCACUUCUGGGUGCCAGAGGACAGUGGUUAAUUAGGAUCCUAUUCCACUUCUCUGUGACUUUGACUCUGCUGACUACUCCGUCCUCUUUCAGAUACAGCCUUCCGUGGUCUACACAAUACCUUUGUCUCCUGCUGUGCCUUAUAUUUCCCUGGCCAAACAUUUCAGUUUCUUCUGUCAAGUUCUUUUAUGCUUCCAUUUCAGUGUCACUUUGCCCAAGGCUCAGUCCUCUGUCAGCUUUGCUUUCCACUUGAGACACCAUAUCUGGGCAAUGCCAUUCAAUCCCAAGGCGUGCACCACUGCCUUUCUCAGUGUCUUAUUGUUCUCUCAGAUUUAUGCCUUGAUUGUUCCCUCGAACUCUACUCUCCCAUUUUCACAUACCUGGUGGAUGGCUUCAUUUAAAUAACUUAUAGAUACCCAGAACUGGAUAUGUCGUCAUCUUUCCCCUUAGAACCUAGUGUUUCUCUUGCCAUCCCUGUCAUACUUGCUGGCAUUACCAUCCAAUGCAGUUGCCUAACCCAGCUCUCUUGGAAUCAUCCUUGAUGCUUUGCUAUUGCUUAUUUCACAUGUUUGACUGGUCCCAUCAGUUCUUUCAGUUACACGUCGCAUAAACAAGACUCCUUCCAUUCCUGUUGUCACUGCCUUUGUCCAAAUACCUUAGCUCAGCACACAAGGGUUUCAUAGAUGAACAACCUUUCCUGGCCGCUUCCCACUACACCCUUUCUCAAAGCCCUGUAACUUUAGCAGAGUUGUCCCGUAAACUCAGUAUAAUCCUGUAGGCUUGGCUUGAAAUGCCCUUCUUGUAUUGCAGAGCCUGGUACUAUUCUCCCUGCCCUUCAAGAUUUAGCUCAAAGGUGAUGUUGUGCUACUCUGCCCUUUGGGAUGUGCUCUCUUUUUCCCUGGGCCCUCAGAGCCCUCCGUUCUGCCUCUAGUACCACACAUAUCCAGUUACAUAGUCAUUUCCUAUUUCCAUGUUUCUCUUCCUAACCACAGAGACUAUUUAUUCAUUAGCUUUUACCUCUCCCAUGCCCCAGCACAGUGCAUCUUACAAAUAGUAACUUCCUUAAUCCCUGGAUAUGUGGCCAAUGUUGGCUGGGUAUCAUAAUAAUUUUUGAUGUAUUUAAGAAGAUUUUUAUAAAAUUCUAGCAAAAUCCUAAAAUUCAAAUAUUGACCCAGACACAAGCAAUUUGCUUUUAAAAUAUUAAGCAAAUAUUUUGUUAUGGAUUUGCUUCUGGUCAAACAUAGCCUUGUUGCUAUUCUUUGUUCAUUUCUUUAUACCCACAGCAUUACUCCAAAGUUUUUUAAAAAUAUGGAAAAUGCCUACUCCUAUUUAUUGGUAUCCGAAUUCAAAGGUUCAUUUUAUUCUCAGGGAAUCAAAUUGUUUCUUUACUCCCAUAUUUCAGACUUGGAUACAUUUUUAGCCUAAACUAUGAUUGAUAUCCAUACUUUCUCUCUCUGUUAUCUUUUUAGAAGCUGAAUAACAUCAAUGAUAUCCUGAAGUCUGUGUUCUUGAUCUUCCCACAUUUUUGCUUGGGACGAGGGCUCAUUGAUAUGGUGAAAAACCAGGCAAUGGCUGAUGCCCUGGAAAGAUUUGGUGAGUGGAGCAGUGGCUGCUAGAGGUUUCAGAAGAGAUGGCAAUUGCAUGGGCCUUGGGCCCUAGCUUUUGUUUUGGAAAGGGACUGAUGAAUGGGCACUGGAUGUCCAUAUUCCUCUUGCCCCCCUGAAUGUUUAUGCCAGUACAGCUGUUCUGGUGUAGUGUGACAUAGCUAUUUAUCUGUGAAAGGGCAUUUUUGGGAGUAAGGAAAAUGCUGGCAUUUGCUUGUACCCAGUGCCUCAUGCUACUACUUGAGUUUAUUGGAAUUACUGAAAAAGUAACACAGCAUUGGGACUUAGAUACAGAACAAGAAUCAGAAGGAGAGAUGUACACUUUGACUCUAUUAGGAAAAUCACAGGCCUGGAGGUCAUAUAUUAUCUUUUACACAAUCUAUAAAAAGAUAAUUCACUGCAGCUCUUUCUACCUUUAGAGUGGUUAAAAAUAUUUCUCAUAUCAUCAUAUGACUGUCAUUCAUCUACUGGCUAAUGUAGUUAGAUGGGCCAUGUCAUUUGACGGACAUAGAAGAGGGACUUUCUUCAACUUGGAGGUACAAAGGAGAUGUAUAAGGAAUUUAAGGAAUAGUUAGAUAAAAUCAGGUGACUUAAUUGAGUCACUGGGUUACAUUAUGUGCCGUUGAAAUGGUCAUCUUUUUAAUGUGCUUUCUAGUAUUUCUUAUUACUAAAAACUUGGAAUUCAUUAAAAUACUGACCUUAAAAAUUAUCCUGGAUUGUUUGCCUUAUCUAAAAGGAUUUUUGGCCUAUCUCAUUCAAAAGAUAUUAGCUAUCUGACAUGAAGUUAUAGAUCUAAGACAUGUUGGCUCUAAAAUUCUGAUUGAUACAGGGUAGUAGUAUGUUCCCACAAGUCAGAUUUGAAAAGUAGUCACUCUCAUUAUUUUUUCUCCUUUUCUUUGGUAAUAGCCAUUGGUGUUUCUAGGAAAAUAGGUGAACUGGACCCCAUGUUUGAAGAAGGACAUGGUUCUUGACACCUUCAUUCUGACUUGAUUUCUGAAUUUUGUUUACUAGGGGAGAAUCGCUUUGUGUCACCACUCUCUUGGGACUUGGUAGGACGAAACCUUUUUGCCAUGGCUGUGGAAGGGGUGGUAUUUUUCCUCAUUACAGUUCUGAUCCAGUACAGAUUCUUCAUCAGGCCCAGGUAAGCUUUUGCUCAGAACUCAUGGAGCACUUGGUAGAGGGUCACAGAGGGGACACAGGGAAACACUUGCCAAGGAUGGUUGGAUCGAAUUUGAACUCAAGAAAAUCAAAUUGAUUUUCCUAUUAUGGGCAUCCUGCAACGCCUACCCUGCCAAGGCUGGAAGUUGUGGCAAGCAGGUUUUAGGAGAUUGCUUUAGAGACUGGAUUUUGUUUUUAAAAAGAGUUUGAAAGGUUGUUUUUCUUAAAAUUUUUCUUCUAAGACCAGUGAAAGCAAAGCUUCCUCCUUUGAAUGAUGAGGAUGAAGAUGUAAGGCGGGAAAGACAGAGAAUUCUGGAUGGUGGAGGACAGAAUGAUAUCUUGGAAAUCAAGGAGUUGACUAAGGUGAGAUAGUGAGUAGGGGCUAUUACAGGCUUAAUUUUUCAGUUGUAUGUGCUGGAAACUACCCUAGUUGCUUAAUGAAAAAGCUUGCUUCCCCAAAUGUGCAUCUAUACUAAGCUACUGUCAAUUUAAUUUUAUUUUAAAGAUACAUGGAAACUUCUUAAUUAGAGAGUCUACUGAGAAUACUUUUGUAAUGUGAAUUUCCAUUCUCAAAUUUAUUUCUUUUACUUAUAUUUAUUUGUGUGUUAGUUAUUAAAACAUUAUAUUGUUAUGUUGUAUGCAUGUACAGAUAUGUAACAACAAAUCCCAUCAAUAUGUACAACUAUAAUGCACCAAUAAAAAAUGAAGAAAAAACAUACUAAUAUUAUAUAUCUAGUCAAAACUGAGGUAUGGAGAAUAAAUUGUUGAUUUUAAAUUUUAUAAUCACCAAAGCUGACAUGUCUCUAAUGCCCGCUUAGAUGGCAGAAUCCCAAAUUUCACUUUUUGUAACACAUAGAAUAUUUGAAAUACUUUGAUUGCAAAAUUUUAUCCUGUAGAAUCUAAUUUUAGGCUGGGGUUGUGACUCAGUGGAAGAGUGCUUGCCUAGCACAUGUGAGGAACUGGGUUUAAUCCCUGGCAUCACGUAAAAAUGAACAAAUGAAGUAAAGGUAUUAUGUCCCCCUACAACUAAAAAAAAUUUUAAAAAAAUUAAAAAUGAACUAUAAAUAAUACAUGGAAAAAAUAUGUAGAUAUUAGUGUCUGAUAUAUUUUUUAAAAGACCCAAAUUAAAAAUUAAAAAGAAAUUCACUUUUAUUUUGAGCUUCAAAGUUACACCUGGUUGGCAGAGAGAGAAAUGGCUCUUAGCACAUCAUAUAUGACUUAGUCUUAUUGACAGAGUCUUAUUUCAUGGCGUGUUUGGGUUAUAAUCCUCUCUGCCACAGUUGCUUGGAAGAGCUGUGAGUCACUGAAGCUCAUGAAUUUGCAUUUUGUCUGUUGCAGAUAUAUAGGAGGAAGAGGAAGCCUGCUGUUGACAGGAUUUGUGUUGGCAUUCCUCCUGGUGAGGUAAACACACUUUGUCUGCAUUGUGUUUGUUAAUUCACACUGUAUCUAUCCAAUCAAAUAACCAUGUUUAUAAAGGAUGAAAAUGGCUUUCAAAGUUUCUCUCCUUAUGCCUGUGUGAAGCAAUCAGUCAUCAAGAGAUUGGGGACCCCUUAUAUCAAGAGAAUGAUUUUGGAUAAUCUCGGGCAUUUUAAGAAAAGCAUGUACACCCAAAAUGUGCUUUUGUGAUCUAUUUCAGAGGAUGAGGGAAUUCAAAUAGAUUUUUCUCCUUCUCAUUUCUGAUGUGUCCUUUUAUGCCCUUUAGUCAAAUAAGGUGGUAUAAUUUGACUAACUGGCUUUCAUUACUGUUUUUCACACAUCCAUUAACUUGGUCUUAAUCUGACAACUCAAAUGGUACUUAAAAAUACAGACUUGCUGAAAAUGAUCCCAUUAUAAAAUACAUAUUUAAUAUCUGUAUGAUGUCCUAAACCAAAAAGAUAUUUGUCAUUGAUAUUUAAGAAUGAUGUUUCAGGAUGAUGUCAUAUAAAAAUGAAGCUCAGUUGGCUAUUUUCUAGGGUUGUUCAAAUUUAGUUUUAGUAGUUUGAUUAUACAACUCACCUGGUCUUAUUCUUUCAGUGCUUUGGACUUCUGGGAGUUAAUGGUGCUGGGAAAUCAUCCACUUUCAAGAUGCUAACUGGAGACACCACUGUUACCAGAGGGGAUGCUUUCCUUAACAAAAAUAGGUGAGAAAAGAAGUGAUCUGUAUUUUGUUACAAGGACUUUUUUUAGUUUUAAAGAAACACAUUGUUAUUUUUUGAUUAUAAUAGUACACUUUAGAUUUCAUAAAAAUGAAACUGUUAAAUAUAGUAAAGUUUAAAGAAGAACAAAAAAAAUCAUCCAUAAUUUCACUACCUGGAGAUAACCACUCUACAUUUUCUUUCAGUCUUACUGCAUCACUUUUAUCAGCUUUUUCAUACGUGUAAAUUACUUGUUUUUAUUUUUUAUUUUUUUAAAUAAUUACUUUUUAGUUUUAGGUGGACACAUAUCUUUAUUUUACAUUUAUGUGGUGCUGAGGAUCGAACCCAGUGCCUCGUGCGUGCUAGGCGAGCACUCUACCACUGAUCCACGACCCCAGCCCAAUUACUUGUUUUUAAAGAACAAUUCAGUAAUUCUUAGUGAAUUCACAGAAUUGUGCCAUCAUCACUACAAUCCAGUUUUAGAUGUUUUCUAUCACCCCAAAUCUGUCUUUCUACACAUAUAAAUGUAUCAUAAAAUUGAGAUUAUUCUGCAUAUAGGUUUAAAAUUAGUUUUUAUUGUUAAUGGUUAUAUUAUGAAUAUUUUCCAGUGGGUUAAAAAUACAUUGCUCCAUAAAAUUCCUCUGUGUACAUGUACCUAUAAUUUGUUUAAUCAAUUCCUUAUAAAUGUUGGGCAUUUAUUAAUUUUUAUUUUUUACUAUAUAAAUAUGUGCUUGUAUACAACUUUUAUUGUUUCUUUGUAUUAGUUUCUACAAGGUAUUACCUGCUAGCUCAUCUUCUAGAAAGAGUGGACCCACUGAUGAAGCCAUCACUAGGCUGUUUUCUGAGACUGUACAGUUACAAAGCAGUCUGAUCUUUGGGAGUACAGCAACACAUUAGAGGCCUGUUAGGCAGUAUUAACAUUGAAUGCUCUAAAUAUGUGGGGUUUCUUCAGGCUUUCUAUAUGGAUACAUGGUACAAAGGCAGUGACCUUUAAACUCUUCUGAACCAUGAUCCAUGUAGGAUAUAAUAUUUUAUACUUCAGCCUGAUACACACAAGAUACAUUAACACACAUAUGAUUUAAUGAAAUUUUUCAUAAAUAGUACCUGCUGUUACUACUUAAAAUACACUCUAAUAACUCUUAUUUUAUUCUCUAUCAUGUCAUUUAAUUUUGUUGUUGUUGUUGUUACUGGGGAUUGAACUUAGGGGCACUCAACCAUUGAGCCACGUCCCCAGCCUAAUUUUAUAUUUUGACUAGAGACAGGGUCUCACUGAGUUGCCUAGUGACUUGCUGUUACUGAGGCUGUCUUUGAACUCAAGAUCCUCCUGCUUCAGUCUCCAAAGCCUGUGGGGUUACAGGUGUGCGCCACUGCGCCCGGCAUAUCAUAUCAUUUAAAAAGUGCUGGUUGUGGAUUUAUUUUAUAAAUCACUAAUGGGAGAUGACUCUAAAUUUGAAAACACUGAACAGGGGAAUAGCCAAUAAUAUUGAAGAGUGAGGAAACUGAUGUACUCGUUGAUCUUUUUUCCCCCUUAUCAAUCAUUUCAGUAGCAACUUAAGAACCUUAAAAGAACAGAACUUUUGGGAAUACCACUGUUCCCUAGGCUUAUUUCUAAUGCUCCUGGGGCACUUAGCAAUGGCAGCAGUAACUGGCUCAACCUAAGGUUUAUCAUAGUAAUGGGUUAUAAGAACUGACUCAGUCAUAAUUCUGGAGAAAGCUGACACUGGGAGUUCUAAAUAGAUAAGCAGAGAUGAAUGACCACUGCCAAAAGGCCAAGUUCAAGUAGGUCACAACCAGUACUUUUCAAAUGACAUGUUAGAGAAUAGAAUAAGAAUUAUCAGAAUGUACUAUUAGUAGUAACAACAGGUACCAUUUUAUGAAACAUUUCAUUAAAUCAUAUGUGUGAGUGUUAAUGUAUCUUAUUGAGGGUGUGAAGUGCAGGCAUGAAAAUGGGAUAUAGACACUGAAAUUUUCAUACAUUAGGGAUUCUUAACCUUAUUGGCAUCAAAGAACCUAAAAAUUGCCCCCACCUGUAAGAUUGUAGGUGUAUUUUUCUGUUUCCACAUGUUCAGAGGGUCUACGAUAAAGGAACAAGCAAAAAACCCUUAAAAGCUAGGAGGGUUUCUGGGCUAGGUAUUUGGUAGGACCAGAAUAUGUGGAAUAUGCACACUGUGGUUGAGUCAAUGUAUGGCUCAGCAGAAGGCAGAAGGGAGCUCACACCCAGGAUUUCUGGGUCCAGAUGGUCAUGAAGACAACUUUGGGCUGACAAUGCACUUGGUACAUAUGACCACAGGAGCAAGUCUGGGAUGAAGAUGUUAAAGCUCCAGAUAGUGUUAUUUAGGUUGUUGGUAAAGACUGCUGCAGUGGGCAUGGACUCAGGGAUUUUGAAACAGGACCAAGCAUGCAUGUUUGAAAUGCUGGGAGAUACAGAUGCAAAGAUAAGGCAGGGUAGAGACAGAAACCCUGACAGAUGGGAACAGCUAUCAUCCGAGGGGCAGAAAGGCUGUUCCUUUAAGCAGCAGAUAUUGGUAUCUUUGUAAAGCACAAGCAUACUCUAUAGGAAUGUUAACCCAGAUUGUCUGAUUAGAAUAUGUCUAAAUGCUUAAAACCUAACAAGUUUUAUUUUCAUUUGCAGUAUCUUGUCAAAUAUCCAUGAAGUACAUCAGAACAUGGGAUAUUGCCCUCAGUUUGAUGCUAUCACAGAGCUGCUGACUGGAAGAGAGCAUGUAGAGUUCUUUGCCCUCUUGAGAGGAGUCCCAGAGAAAGAAGUUGGCAAGGUACCAUGGAUACUAGAAAGCCAACCUGCCUCUUUGGCAUCCUGACACCAUACCUUAUGGAUUUUCCACAUAUGACUACUUCAGGCUGUUUUCCUCAUGCAUGGGUGGGAACCCAUAAUGGUGGGGGAGUAGGGGUGGGUAGGCAUGCAUUGGUUGGGGGUGUGCAGAGAGGGAGUACUGCUCCCAUCACAUAAAUUUCCUCUCCUUUUUUCUGGUACCUCUGUAGUUGCAGGUCAUGAUUAUAGAAUCCAGUCUUAAUCAAAGAACUUUCACAUAUAAGUGUAACAAAGCAUGCUAAAAUUACCAAGGCAGACAAAAGUCAAGGUGCUUUAUCUCUCCAGGUUGGUGAAUGGGCAAUUCGGAAACUGGGCCUUGUGAAGUAUGGAGAAAAAUAUGCUGGUAACUAUAGUGGAGGCAACAAGCGCAAGCUUUCAACAGCCAUGGCUUUGAUUGGUGGGCCACCUGUGGUAUUUCUGGUAAGUGUGACUUUGGGUGGAAAACUACUGGUCUGGCCUGAAUGGAAAAUAGGCCAUUGACUGUGUGGCAGAGCAACCUUCAAGAAGAGGGGAGUUUCUUUCUUGGCACAAAUAGGGGUGACUCUGUCAAAUAGACACCCCACGUACCUGGCUUGGAGAAUCCCUAUAAGUCUGUGAGGCUGAAUGUGUGAUUUGGUCCUUCUCUGGAACAUUCUUUCUGAUCAUCUAUGUGUUCAUAACCUGAAUAUGGAGAGUGAGGACACAGCUUCAGAUCCCCUUUGUAGCUGGGUGUGGUUGUGUACAUCUGUAAGUCCAGUUACAUGGAAGACUGAGGCAGGAAAAUCACAAGCUGGAGGUCAGCCUGGGCAACUUAAUGAUACCCUGUCUCAAAGUAUUAAAAAAGGGCUGACAGUGUAUCUCAGGGGUAGAACAUUCCUGGGUUUCAUCCCCAGUAUUAAUAACAACAAAUAAAGAUCUCUUCACUGGAUCAUAGUUCCUUAAGAGAGAUAAAUGAAAAAUACAUUAGACAGCAGUGGCCUUUGAUCUCCUUUCUUUGCUAGAGAAGAACACUGAAGUUAUUAUAGGAAGAAACCUUGGGUUAAGGUUAUAGAAUAAUCUAGAUCAUAUGAAUGGUCUAGACUAUAACCAGAUAAGCUGAAGUAGACUAGAAUAAAAAAAGAAGAAAAGGAAUUUUACUCAAACCUUAUCCUGACAAAGAGAAUUUUUAGUAUAUACUUGUUAGUAAUGAAAAGAUGAUUGAAACUAAUGGCUCUUUUCCUUCCCUAUUUAUUUGAAGAAAUUUGUUUAAUUUUUAAAAAAUUUCCUUAGAAUAUUUGAGUUUCUUGCUUCAAUGAGACAUUCAUAAAAGUGAACUUGUUCUAAGUGAGUUUGAAAUUUAUUCUGUUAUUUUGGUUCAAAAUAACUAAAAUAGUAAGUUAAAACUUAUGAUGUUUAAGAAUGCUUCAGCUUUUAAAAACAAGUCUAUCUUUGGUGUUUUAUUUAUAGCAAAUGAUAAAACUUAUUUUACUUUAAUUUCAGGAUGAACCAACCACAGGCAUGGAUCCCAAAGCCCGAAGAUUCUUGUGGAAUUGUGCCCUAAGCAUCGUCAAGGAGGGGAGAUCAGUAGUGCUUACAUCUCAUAGGUCUGUAGUGAAGUCUUGGCUUGGCUUUUACAUUGUGUUAUUUGUAAAUCUGCUAAAUAGUAUACAUGUUCAUUUAGUAAAAGCUAGAAAGUACAGCAAGGCCAAGGUUACAUUUAUCACCUGAAAUUGUAUUACUUGAAAACAUCUAUUGUUCUCAUUGGCUUAUGCAUGUUUGCAGGGAUUUCCUAUGCAAACCUAUGUGUACUUGUGUGUAUGUAUUUUUACAAACAAAAAUGCAAGCAUAGUGUAUAUAUAUACUCUGAUCUUUUUCACUUAAUAUUAUUGUGAACAUUAUUCUAAGUCAGUAAAUUUAAGUAUGUCAUCAUCUCUUAUAGCUGAAUGGUAUUCCAUUAGUAUAUAUCCUAAUUUAUUUAAUUCUUUCCAUUUGUUAGACAUUUGAAUUGUUUCCAACUUAUUCACAAUUCUAAAUGGCACUGCAGAGAGGAGCUUCAUCUGUAUAUCGACAUGUCUUUAGAAUAGGAUGUGAUUAUGCACUGGAAGCUGGGAAACUUUUUUCUUUGAAAUGCCAGAUGUCAUGGUGAUGUUGUGAUGUUUAUGGGAGCAUGUCUCUGAAACUAAAACUUUGUUCUGUUUUCCCACAGUAUGGAGGAAUGUGAAGCUCUUUGUACUAGGAUGGCAAUUAUGGUCAAUGGGAGGUUCAGGUGCCUUGGCAGUGUACAACAUCUGAAAAAUAGGUAAAAGAGACUAUUUCUUUAGGAUAGCACCUAUUUAGAAACCUUGAUGAUUAUUCUUUCAUUGGUGUAUAAAUGGUAGCUUAAAAAUAAAGAGAAAUUAAACUGGGAAAAAUAGUAUGGUGCAAAGAAUCAGGGCUUUGAAGUCAAACUGAACCAUAGUCAAAUUCUGUCUUUAUUAUAUACUGGUUGUUUGACUCAUAAGCAAGUUACUUAGCCUUUCUGAGAGUCUAUUUCCCAAGAAUAAUACUUCCUGGCUUUGCUUUAUUUAUGAAAUUAAAAAACUCACAUGACAGUGUGAUUAACAGCACAAGUUUUGGCGUCUAUGCAAAUGGGUUUGCUUCCCCUCUACCACUUAGGAACUUUGUAUCAUGGGCAAGUGACUAACUCCCUGGGCUUAAGUAACAUCUGUCAGACUUCAUGGAUCCAGGUGAGGAUUAAAGACACUGAGAAACAGGGCACUCAGCAUCAGGGCACUGAGCAUCUGGCACUGCUCAUAGAUUCUCAAUAAAUGAUAACUGGUUCCUUCUCUCUGAAACUGAUCUCUGGGUUUUUCAGGGACCUCCCAUUUUCAUGGCACAAGUUGGUUUCUCAGAGGUAAAUAUUCUUCUGAGAAGUUUCCUGGGGAUACUUCAUUUGGGUGUUUUUUUUUUUUUUUUCCUGCUUUCAGGUUUGGAGAUGGUUAUACAAUAGUUGUACGAAUAGCAGGAUCCAAUCCUGACCUGAAGCCUGUCCAGGAAUUCUUUGGACUUGCCUUCCCAGGAAGCGUCCUAAAAGAGAAACACCGGAACAUGCUACAGUACCAGCUUCCCUCUUCAUUAUCUUCUCUGGCCAGGAUAUUCAGUAUCCUCUCCCAGAGCAAAAAGCGACUCCACAUAGAAGACUACUCUGUUUCUCAGACAACACUUGACCAAGUAAGCUUUUAGUGUCAAAAAUAGAUUUUCUUCCCAGGUUGAUGAUUCCUGCCUACUCACACCUUCACCACAAGCCUGAGCACAGUUCAGACUAUCUGUGCUUGAAUUCCUCAUCUAUGAUUACUAGCAAUGCAUUUUACUAAACCUCUGUGAACCAAAAAGGAAGAUAAUGCUUUCUACCUGACAGAAUUAUUAUGAGAAUUUACUGAAUUAAUACUCCAAACAACUAUAAUUUAUUGAGUACCUAUCAUAGAUAGGGCAUUUUGCUAUGUGCCUUGUCCCAUUUAGAUAACAAAAACUACUAAACAGAUCCUGGCAUUUGAUAGGUUUUCAGUAAAUGUUCUCUUCACUCUUCCCUUUAAUCAAUGGAAGUUGGUGAUGUGGGAUUAACACAGAAUAUGAAUUUUUAAAUGAUUAUUAAUGUUUUUCAAGUAUCUUAUCUUCCCUCACACAGUUUUCUAGUUAAUCUACUUAUGCAAUUCUGUAUUCUCCUGCCUGACCUAAUUUCAACAUGAGGACAAUGCAAUUAGAAUAAAACUGCAGCUAGAAUAAAGAAAGAACAAGUCAAGAGGUACUUAUAAAGCCCUUCUUUGUUUUGACAGGUAUUUGUGAACUUUGCCAAGGACCAAAGUGAUGAUGACCACUUAAAGGACUUGUCAUUACACAAAAACCAGACAGUAGUGGAUGUUUCAGUUCUCACAUCUUUUCUACAGGACGAGAAAGUGAAAGAAAGUUAUGUAUGAAGAAUGUCGUUCAUACUGGAUGGCUGAACAUAAGGAAGAACGAGAUCUUCCUUUACACUGUGUGAAGUGUUCCAGAGGAACAGGCUGGAAGUUUUUGUGGGAAGAAGUAAACUGGAUACUGUACUGAUACUAUUCAAUGCAAUGCAAUUCAAUGCAAUGAAAACAAAAUUCCAUUACAGGGGCAGUGCCUUUGUAGCCUAUGUCUUGUAUGGCUCUAUGUGAAAAAGACUUGAAUUUAGUUUAUUACCUUUACCUAUGUGAAACUCUAGUAUGGAACCCAGUGGACAUUUGGGUUUGAAGUCAUACUUUUUUGUUCCUGUGUAUCCUCACUGGGAUUGCAGCAACAAUUCAUCAAAUAACCAUGGCCAGUGAUUAUCAAAAUCAAAGGCGUACAUCCUCAUCCAUUAAGCCAUCCCAUUCCAGGAGACCGGUUUCCUGGUGACACAACCAUUGCUGGCAAUGAGUGUGCCAGAAUUACUAGUGCCAAGUUGCUCAGAAAGUCUGAAACACCAUAGUGUGUAACAUACACCUUUGUAAAGCUGCUCUUCUCAGAGUCUAUCAACAUCAUUAAAUAUCAGGUGACAAAAUGGUGCCAUGUACGGCUAACGUCCUUCUUUGAGUCCCUUUUUGAUGAGCUGCUUUGGUGGCUGUAAUAUGUAAAGUAUGGAUAUCUCUACACACAGGAAACUUGGUUCCAUUGUUAUGUUGCCCCAUUCUUGGGAGCCAUGGGUUUCUAGGGUCUUUCUGGGACUGUUUAAAUCUACUUAGAUCCUGGUAAGAAGCAAAGGCUCAGCAGCCAAACUGUUGGAACUGUAAGUUGCUGAAGUCAAGGCAUGGGAUUAAAGAGAUGGUGUAUUCAAACCUAGUGCCCAUUUGUCCUGAUUGCUAACACGGUACACUGCAUCUCAAAAAUUUUGUUAUUUGACACAGGUGUAGUAUUAUUUCUGGCUUUUCGAAUUAAUCUAGAAAUGAAAAGAUUGAGUUAUAUUUUGACAAAAAUCUUUGUACUAUUAUGUCAUUUGGAAUUUUCAGUUAUAUCAGUGAUUUCUGAAACCUUAGAAUGACCUCUUUUAGGACCUGUGGUAUAGAGGAGUAUGGUCACACUGCCUCACUAGCUUUAUUUUUCCUAUACAAAUUUGCAGAUAGAAUGUCUGACUAGUGCCUAGUGACUAGAAAACAACAUGGUGGUCAAGAUCUCAUGAUAUUGUUGUUGAAUUUAAAAUCACGUAGAAUACUCUUAAAUCAGUUCAUCAAUCAAGUAUUUUUUGAGUAUAUGCUAUAGCUGAAUGUGUACGUAUAGAUGGAUGGAUAGAGAGGAGAAAUUAAGAAGAGAAAUUAAGUCUCAGUAGAUUUCCCAUGCCAUGUUAUUCAGCUAACUGGUUUACAAAAGAUAGGUUGUUUUAUUGUGAUUAUGGAAGCCCACUUAAAGAAUAUUGGCUAGACUUUUUUUUUCUUUUAAUAGCAACAGUGCAAAAGCCAGAAAAGGUCGCAAGGCUGAACAAUGGAUUCUUUCAAAGAGAAAUCAGCUAGCUUGGGAACUUGUUGAAUACAACUUGUACUUAUGACAUUUAGUACCUCCACAUAAUUGGUUCUGCAGAAAUGUUAGACACCCCAUUAAAUCUCUGACAAUCUCAAAUUUUGCAUCUCUUUAAUCAUUAAACUAUCCUGAAAAAAAUAAAAACAGCAAAUGCUUCCACAAAGAAUAGUUUUCAGACUUAAUCUUAUUUUAAUUUUUAAAUUAAAAAUAUUAUUUCACUAAUGCUCAGUGUCAUCUUUCUUGAGACAAAACAAAAAUAUGAGGGAAUUGCUAUUUGGCAAAGUUCAAGUGAACUUUCAAUAUCAUCAUUAAUUUAUUUUAACUAUUUCUAAAAUUUAAAUAUUAACUCUAAAGGUAUACAAUUUCAGAUAUAUUUCAAAUGUGUAUGUAUAUAUAUGUGAAUAUAUAUACAUAUAUAUUUAGAUUCAUAGACUGUUAAGUAACUCCUUGCUUUAAAAGAAAAAUGAUUUUCAAAAAAUUAAUGUCAUUAUUUUCUAAAAUGAUAAAGCAUAUUUUCAAUAACUGUUAGCAUGAGAUUACUACAUUCAUGACAUUUUCAAAGAUAUAAGAAUAAUUUAGUUUUUAAGAAUAAUUUAGUUUUUAAGAAUAAUUUAGUUUCUCAUUAAUUUUAAAAAUAAAAUAAAAAUCUGGUGGUUUUCUCAUUUCACCAUGAAUCACUCUCAUUCAUGAUAUUAAAUCCAUGAGUGACUCUUUGCUUCUAAUUACUCUGACUUCAAGGUCACAUUUUAAAACUUCAAAGGCACUGUGAACUAUUUUGAGAAAAAAAAAUUAAAUGUAGAUUUAAAAGAGUCUUUCUGAAGCUAGAAAUAAUAUACAGUUCUACAUUAACUUCAUUGUUAUUGUGUUACCUUUUAGACUAUCCAAAUAGUAAUCUUAAAGUUCCCUGUGUAAACUUAAUUAUGGUAGAAAUUUUUACCAACUCUAUCCUUAGAUAAAAUUUCUGUAUAUUAACUGUGGAAAUGUAACUAUGUGAGUUUCAUAAAUUCUCAAAAAGUGUUCAAAGAUUUCUGCUCUUGCAUCUUUUGGAUACCUUGGAAAACUUACUAACUGUGAAUAUAAAAAAUACAAAAGAAAAUAACAAGUCCUCUCUAUAUAAAUACCCAGCACUAUUCAUUGUUAUAAAACAAACAACCAAACCUCAACUACUGUAUUUUGAUAUCUGUACUGAAAGCAUUUCUUUGUGACUAUUAAAUGUUGCACAUCAUUCAUUCACUGUAUAGUAAUCAUUGACUAAAGGGAUUUGUCUAUGUUUUCUUCUCAUGGUUGUAUAUAUCAGGUAAAAUUUUUUCCAAAGAGCCAUGUGUUAUGUAAUAAUGAACCACUUUGAUACUGAGAUAUUAAUUUGUAUUUACUAGUAAUAAUGUAAUACCAUAGUUAAUACUGCUCUAAUUCUUUUCAAAAUUGUUGCAUCCCUUUUUAUAGAAUGUUUAUAUUUCCAUAAGGAUUAGGUAUGCUAUUAUUCCUUCUUAUACCCUUGGGUAAAGCUGUUUUUGUGCUUUUUCUUUAUCAUUGGCCCUUCAUUCCAAGCACUUUAUGCUAUCUGUAAUGGAUCUAUUUUUGCACUGGAAUAUCUGAGAAUUGCAAAACUAGACAAAAGUUUCACAAUAGAUUUCUAAGUUAAAUCAUUUUCAUUAAAAGGAAAAAAAAAACAAAAAAAUUUGUAUUGUCAAUAACUUUAUAUGAUGUAUUAAAAAGGCUUAUUUCUAUGUUGUAUUGAGUCACGAAAUAAACCUGUGACAGUUCUGUUGUCUAUGCAAAUUUACUUUUGUGGAUUCACAGCACCACCUGCUGUUGAAGUGUUAAUAAAGCCUUGCAAAAGUAAGAAGAAAUGUCCCACAUAGAUCUGGGGAUGCUAUUUGGAUCAAAAGUAAAAAUUUUAGAAAAGGUUCAAAUAUCUUAUUAAUCAAAACAGAACUCGGGACCACUUGAAUAGAAAGUGGUGUUAUGCUCUUUCAUGAUUCAGUUGAGAUAAGAAUAACUGAUAUUAAGAAAGUUUAAGAGGUUUGUAGAUGAACUUAUUCUGUGCAAUGACUGUUAACCCAUUAAGUCUCAAGCUUUCAAUUCUGAUAACUUAAUACUCAAAUAUUAUUUCAAGGUUAUCAAAGAGGCAUAUUUGUUGCUUAAUUUAAGUUUUUAUAGGUGUUCCACAUCUGGGAUGAUGGAAUAAAAUGAGCUAAGCUGCAGAGAUGUCUGAAAAUACUCUGUAGCUAAGCUUCUUUAAUAAAAAUUUCACUUUGGUUUUGAGGCAGUUACAAAGGCAGCCUUUGUUGUGCUUCUGUUUAACAAAAAAUACAAGAACAUAGUAUGGCAUGUCUACUGGCAAGGUGCAGUGAUGAAAAAGGUGAGCACACAGCAAGAGUGGCAAUGUGGGAAGAGAAAUACCAACAUCAAGAUGCCUUCACCUGAAAUAAGUGCUGUGCAGUCUAUGCACAAGUGGGUGUUAUGAUGAGACAAUGCGGAUGUACUUUUGAUAGCUCAUUAAGAACCAGUCUCAUAAACCGAUGUAUGCUUAUGUUGAUACUUGAAGAACUUCUGUCAAACAGUCCUUUUUCUGGCAGCACAUGAGUCCUGGUUCCACUGUGAUCUCUUUGGAAUAGCUGCAAUGACACAUGGUUAAGUGGUCCUUCUGCUGAGGCACAGAUCUGAACUUUGUGUACAGAAGUUUCUUGGCUAUUGAGUAGCUUAGAUGCCUCCUCUGUAUCUGCAUCACAACUUCACCCUCCCCUGCAAUGUUCCCAUCAAGUGACUUUAACAGAAUGAUAGAAAACACUGUUUGCAAAAAAUCCCAAUAGAGAGGGAAACAAACAAAAAACUAUAGAAAAACAAAACAGCAGUUAAUGUAGAUGAAAAUAAAGGUUACCUAUCAGUACUGUCCAAAACCUAGACAAAAGCCUAUAUGGACUUUUUCUAGAUUCUAAGAAUUCUAGACCCUUUGGAAUGCAUAUAUUAAGAAUGGAAAAGUCUAAGAAAACCAGCAACUUCUUUCAAGUUUUUACUGUGUUGUCAGACACUUUCUUUGAUCUUCAACUGAUCCUGUUCUGUGAGUUAAGUAGUAUCAUUUUACAUGUGAAUAAUUUGUAACUCAGAGAAUAAGGAAUUUGUACAAAGUUAUAGGGCGAAAUGAUAUAGGUUCUUUUUGUUUAAGUUAGAUACCAGAUUUGUCCUUGUAAAAUCUGCUUUCACCAUCAUUGUUCAUAAUUUAAAUAAUAUCUAGUUUUAUGUGUCAAUCACUCUUCUAGAUUCUGGGGCUACAACGUUGAAAACAGAAUUCUGGCUUUACUAAAGUAAUAUAUUGGUGGAGAAGCACAAUGUAUGUGUAGACAAACAAAUCUGAUGCAAUAAGUGCUACAAAAAAAAAAUGUGGUGAUGGGUUAAUGAUGGUAAGGAGUCAGAAACAGCCUGAGGAGUGGCCUUUAAGUUUAGAUCCAAGUUUAAUAAGCAGGAGCAACAUUUGAAGGUGGGUGACAAGAAUACUCCUGGAAGAAAGAACACCUAAUACAAAACUCUAAGGGGAAAAAAGCUUUGCAAGUUGAGGGAGAUUAAAAGAGAGAGAAUAUUCCAAUGUUCCUGGUGCAGAGUUAGCAAGGAGAGAAGUCAUAGGAGAUGGAAUCCUAGAGAGGGCAGGAACCAAGUCUCAUAGGAUUUUGCCACCAAGGUAUUUGGAUUUCACUAUGGGGCUCAUGAGACAAUGACAGAAGAUAAAAAUGUGCAAAUCAACCAUAUGUACAUAUGAGUUUUAAGUCAUGAGACUGAAUGAACUUAGGUAAAGUGAGCAAAAAAUAGGGAAUGUUCUUGAGCCUGAGAUUUAUAAGAAAAGCCAGCAAAGGUAAUGGAGAAGGACUGGCCACAGAGGAGGAGGAAAAUUGGAGUAUGAUGCCAUACGUUGAAAUUCAAAACAUUAUGUUUGGGGAAGGCAGUUGUAAAUUAUGUCCAAAAACUUCUGAGAAGAUGAGUAAGGUAAAGGCUAAGAAUGACCACUACACUUGAUAAGAAGUCUCUUUUGUAAAUCACUGCAGCAGAUUGACAGGAUGCAGACCUAUCUAGAAUGGAUUCAGGAAGAACAAGAGAUGAGGAUACAGUGAAUAUACACAAAUCUGCAGGGGGUUUUGAAGAGAAGCAGAAAAACAGGACAAUAGCUGAGUUACAAAAACUUUUAUUUGAAUUAUUUACUUGUCUGUUAAUAGUAUAGGCUACAGCUGGCAUCAUCUCUUCUUUCCUUUAUGGAUUUUUUUUAGCUUUGUUUUUAGUCCUUUAGGAUAUAUAUAUUUUUUUCAUCAGAAGCUUUACACACAUUAUGAUUCACUUUACCUUAGGGUCUUGGGCCACUACCUCAAACAAGAAACCAAACCAUGGUCUCCUGGAAUAAUGUGUGCUUCUUUUAAGAUGAUACCCAGAAAAAUAGCAUUCUAGGUGAUGGAAGUUAUGAAAAAAUGUCUCUCUAAGGAGCGUUAUGCUUCUUCUAACAUACUGCAGGUUCACACUCCUUUGAGGACUGAAUCAACUGCGAUUUCAGUUGCCAUAACAGUCAGCUGUGUAGGAUUUGCUCAGUUGGUAAGGAGCUAGUGCUGAGAAUGAAGUUCAGAGGGUGAGUCUAUAAACAGCAUUUACUUUUCCUCUGGGAGUUAUGUGGUGGGUGUGGAACCAGAUCAGAUGGGUCACAUAAUCUGUUUCUCUUCCUCCACAGUCUGGGAUAAUAACUUAUAACCAGCAGGCAAUUAGUAUUAUUUUUGCACCUACAGCAAGAACUUUCAUUGAAUCGAUCAUUCACUGUGUGUUUCAGGAAUACUUUCCAGAGGUUGGUAAGGCACCUCCAAUAUCAGUCAGGUAAACCACUGUUAAUGGUGGGCAACAUAAAGUGUGUGGAGGAUGAUGAACUUUUUUUUUUUAAACUCAAACAUCUUGUAUUAGUCUGUUUUCUAUUGUUACAGCAAAAUAUCUGAAGCUGGGUAAUAUAUAAAGCUCAUAGUUUUAGAGGAUGAAAGUCCAAGAUCAGGUGGCCCCUGAUCAAGCCCCUGUUAAAAGGCCUCAUAGAAAAUGGCAUUAUGGUGGAAGUAUGUGAAAGAGGGAGAGAUCACACAAGACAGGAACCCAGAGAGAUUGAGAGGUAGGCUUGCUCUUUUUAUAACAACUUACUCUCAAGAGAACAAAGGUCCCAAGAAAACUACGUUAGUCAUCUUAUGUAUACCCCAUGACCUAACUACCUUACACUAGGCCUCAUAGUUUAAAUGUUCCACCAUCACACUGAAGCCAGAAUUAGACGGGCAGUCAGUGUAAUAGGUAAAUUGAGUCAGGUAGGAUCAAGAAGGCCAAUUUUGAGUCUAAGAAAUUGGAGACUGUCCCCUGAGGGAUUAAAAUGUUAAUUCCUUCAGAGCCCUUCCUCCACCCUUAUCAAGAAUCUGUUCCUGAUCCAACCUGCUUCCCAGGUAAACUUUCCCAGGUAAUCUUUCCCAGGAUUUUCCCCUUCCUACAGUGAGCUAUAAGGUUGUUAAUGUGUCUUGGCUACUCCAUCCAGCUCUCCCCCGCUUCAGCCCAUCUGUUACCCACCUUUUGGCCCUCCCACUGAGCAUUCCUGGGCCUAGUCACCUAUGCAGGAAGGAGAAAGAUAAAGAGGAAAAGGCAGGAGAACAAAGAAAGCCUAGGACAUAUAAAAAGGUCAGAACAUCUCCACUCUGGGGAUACCAGGAUACCAGCUAUGGCCCCUUUCUCCCUUGCGGGAGAAGUCUAUGUUACCCCUUUUAAAAUAAACCCUGCUUCAUAUGCUUGCCUUGGCGUGCUUCUCUAAUGUUCAAACUUCAACAUGUGGGGAAGCAGGAUUCAUCAUCGAUAACAGGCAGAAUCAACACCACCACUAUAAUGGGAAACCAGCUUCCAGGACAUGAAUCUUAGGAGGACAUACUCAAACCAUAUUUAAACCACAGCACAUUCCAUGUGUUAAUUCAAUCAACAAAUAGUGAGGGCUUACCAUGUUCCAGGCAGUGAUGACACUACAAAGAUUAAAACAAUAACCCCCACUGUCAUGGAAUUUAGUUUCUAGUAGAAGAAGACAUAUAAUAACAAAUCAUAAAUAUGCAAUAUAUUAAUUAUGAUAAGUGACAAAAAUAAGGCAGGGGUGAUAGACAAUGUCUUACUUUAGGCUGCCAUAACAGAAGAACAUAGACUGUAGUUUAAACAACAAACAUUUUUCACAGUUCCAGAGUCUAGGAAGUCUGAGAUAACAGUACCCGCAUGAUUGAGUUCCAAUGAGGUCCCUUUUUCUAGUUUCUUCACAUGGCACAAAGGAAAAAGAACUCAGGGCUUGUCAUUCCCUUAUAAGUUAGGGCAUCAAUUCUAUCUUGGAGGUUCCAAUUCCUCACAGAAACAUAGUUACCUCCCAAUGGCCCCAUCUCCAAGUACCACUGAAGCCAGAUUUAAAGUUAGGUAGUCAGUGUAGUUAGGUAAAUCGGGUCUAAUAUCCAGUAAGAUCUAAAAUGGAGGCCAUGUUGAGAAUGAAUGCCUGAAACAACUCAUGGAAUGUUAAUGAAGUCCAAGAAAAAGCCCAAGGCCAGAGCCCAUCCCAAAGAGGUGUUAAUGAACAGCCCCCAGCAAACAUGAAGAUAGCUUAUUCCAAAGAAGUGUUAAUGAACAGCCCCCAGCAAACUUGAAGGUGCUAACUCAGAAGUCCUUCCUAACCAGAUUACUUCUUUGGCCUACCUGUGUCCCACCCCUCGGGCCUUCCCACCUACAUUCCAUCACUGAAAGAAACUAUAAAAUGGAGAGACAACCGCACUUCCAUCUCUUGGGUCCCCUUCUUCCUCUAGGAGAAGUCUUUUCUGGUGUCCUUUAAUAAACUUAUAAUUUUCCACUCUGACCUUGCCUCUGCGUGCUUCUCUGGUGUUAUUCUUCAACAUUGGGGAAGCAAGGACUUGUCACCGGUCAACAGCAGUAACACCAUCAUGGACAGAAUACUGAGGCAGUCUAUGUAAACUGCCAUGGCCUACCUUUCCUGAAUAAUAUCACCUUGCAUAAUAGUUCAGAUAAACUACAGAGCACAUGGAGCAUGACAGAUGAGAGGAAACUCUACUCUCCAUUUUCCUUAAAAAGCUAAUUAAUUAUUUACUAUUUAAGUUUCAAAAUAUUUUAGAAACAUAAAAUAACAUAGCUAUAAAUACAGAAUAUCAAGAGAGCCUUGGAGUACUAAACCUGGUUUAGAAUGUAGUGGCAUUAAGUAAAAUGGAAAUUAAAGAGGUUUCAAAGAAAAUGCAGUAUGGUAGUACUAAAGGAACUCUGCUUCUGGGGGUUGUCAGAAUGGUGUUUUCAUGAUGUAACUUAGUAUUUACGGUAAAGUAUUACUAUGUUACUAUAGCAAUAGUAAGGGCUCCAGAGAGAGGAUAUAACUAUAAAACACAAAGUCAAAAAAAUCAGAAUGAAUAUAUAUAUUUUUUAUUACAGUAAACAUGUCUAUAAUCAUAAAUAUUUCUUUAAAAAAAAGGUCUUAAGAUCUUUGUGACACAAGGUAAGUAAAAAUUAGUAAAAUUAAUUAUAAAUGAACAUAUUUCAGCAUAUAAACCAAGUCUUCCUUGAAACUGUAAUAAUGUGAGCUAAUUAUAUUAUUUUCUAGAAUGACCUAAUAAUUAAUGUGAAGCCCACAGUUAAUACAGAUGACACAUAUGAUACUGUACUUUUCCAAAGUAAAGAAAUAUAUUUAAUUUAAUAUUUUUGUCAAUCCCAUUUAAUAUCACAAAGUAAACUUUACUGGGUAAAAAUAUAGUUUUAGAUAUCAGAAAAAACAAACAUGAAAAGAUAGAUAUAUUAUAUGUACUUAAUUUAAAAAUAUUGUCAGACGAGGAAAUGUAAAUCAUUAUUUGAAUUUGAGAAAAUAUUAUAAAGCAAAGGGCUUUCAAAAUACAGAAGAUAUUCUGAAUCAAGUGAAAAAAUCAAGAUCAUGAAGUAGUGACAACUAUGUCUCACAUAUAACAAACACCGACACAUCAUGGAGAAAAUGAAUAGAACUAUUUCCUUAAGUGGUGAUAAAUAGAUGACAGAGUUGGCUUUAAAAAAAUGCAAGGAACAUAGUAAAUUAACUUACCACCUCAUUAAAAUAAAAGUGAGAAUAAUUCUCUUGGAAGAACUUAAGCACCAUUAGCAGACACAUCUUAGGCCAAUUAAUGAAAUCUUUUGUGUUUCAGUAGAAAACUAUUUCAAUGGUGAAAAUGAUGCAGGAAUCAGAAGCAUAUUCUGCUGAGACACUAGGUAGUUGACACUUUCCCGAACUGGAAAACAUUUCAUAAGAAGGCAUAUAAAGUUAUUGAGCAAAUCAAGUUUGUUGUAAAAAUAACCCAUGCCUAGUGAAAUAGCUUACCAGCUGCCACGACCCUGGGAUCCUCAUGAGACUGAUGCCUCCCAGCUGCACGACUAUCUGCACUCUCAUUCCACCACAGAACAUGAACUGCAGAAAUAAACCACACAGUAGUUUUACAUUAGUUUCUCUAUAAUAGUUCUAAAUAAUAGAUCAUAGACAAUUGUGCAUGCUGUAGAAAAUUUAUAUACAAAGAAGAAAACUAAAAACUAGAAUCAUCUUAACUAUCUAGAUAAACCUCUGUUAAUAUAUAGUGAAAUUCCUUUUAAAAAAUGGUGGUACUGGGAAUUGAACCCAUGAGCUAUAUCCCUAACCCUUUUUAAUUUUUUUUAAUUGUUGAAAAUUUUUUUUAUAUCUUUAUUUAUUUUUAUAUGGUGCUGAGGAUCAAACCCAGUGCCUCACACGUGCAAGGCAGGCGCUCUACUGCUGAGCUACAGCCCCAGUCCCACUUUUUUUUUUUUAAGACAGGAUCUCCCUAAGUUGCUGAUUCUGUCCUCAAACUUCAAUAUUCCUGCCUAAGCCUCCUCAAAAUCACUGAGAUUAUAAGUCUGUGUCACCACAACCAGCAAUAAUAUGAUAACUUUCUGUCAAUGAUAUUAAUUUAAAAAAAUAAAUUUUGCCUGCUACAUAAAAACAUGAAAAUGUAUACAUUAAUGGCAUACCAUGUAAUGUUAAUAUUAUUUUCAAUGACUAUAUAAAUUUCUUCUUAUAACAUCUUUUUUUACUCCAAUUUCAAUUGUUGAUUAUUUAGAUUAUUCUCAAUAUUGCAGUAUUCUACACAAUCUUUUCUCCCAACUUCUUAUUGUUGAUUUUUAAAUUCUCAACAUUGUAGUAUUCUACAAAAUGCUAAAAUAAAUGGGUUUUUUUUGUACAUUAUUACUUAUAGUUUUUUAUAAUUAAAAAUUUCUUUUUUCUUUGCUACUCAGGAUUGAACUCAGAGGCACUUGACCACUGAGCCACAUCCCCAGCCCUAUUUUUUAUUUUAUUUAGAGAAAUGGUGGAUGAACUUUACAAUGAGUUGCUUAAUGCCCUACCAUUGCUGAGGCUGGCUUUGAACUUGUAAUCUUCCUGUUUCAGCCUCCAGAGUUGUUAGGAUUACAGGCGUGCAUCAUCAUGCCUGCUUUUAUCAUUAAAAUUUACUAUAAUAGUUAUAUAGCUUUUGGAAAAUAAAAGAAGAUCAUAACAAACAUAUUUAAUCCUACCACUCUGAAACAACCACUUUUCUAUUUGGCAUAUUCUUUACAUAUUUAUAUGUAUAUAUGCACUUAAUAUUUAUGUUUCUGUAUCUACACCAUAUAUAUAUACAUAAUUUAUAUAUAUUUCUAGUUAAGAAUUAUGAGUUUAUUUAUUACAUAAACAGGGUCAAACCGUGUUAUUUCCAGUAUUUUUCUACUAUAAACAAAGCUGGCAUAAACCUCAUUAGAGCAGUACCUACAUGUAUAUCUAUAAUACAAAUGUCAUUAAGAUUAAUUAUGAUUAAUAUGAAUUUGUACAAAAUAUGAAUACUUAUUUUUUCCUGACCAAAUAGUAUAUCCAUAUAAGCACAUUAAUUAAAAUGUGACAUCUCGGUAUGUCUUAAUCUGCAUUUUCUUUAACAUAUAGGUGGUUGUUACUUGUAUGUCUACCUUGAUGUAAAUUUUUAUUUUCCUUUUUGCUUUUGAAUUUUACUCAUGCUGAUAUGGAGCAUGUGGAAAGUUUAGGCCUUUGUAUAAUAAAGGCAUCAAGUUGAUAUUUUUCCUCUUACAUAGUUUUUUCAUUUACGUUUUGGCUUAGAAAUAUAGUCUCCAUCCGUAUUAUUACCAAAAUUAAUUGAUAUUUUAUUUUAACAAUUCUGACUUUUACAUUGAAUCUACAUUCCAUUUUAAUUUACUUUCAUUUUAAUACAUGGUGGGAGAUAGAAAUCUAAUAAUAUUCACAAUUCUUAUCUUCUUCAUAUAUUCCUCAUCUUAAAAAUACAUUUUUAAAAAUAUAUUCUGGUUAGUUUCUUUGGACAUAUGACUAGGCAAUUUCUGGGUAAAGAUCAGGAGCUCAGCUUUGAUUGGGGUAGGCCUGAGAUAUCUAUUGAACAUUCAAGUGAAAAGUAGAGAAGGCAAUUGGAUACAAUGGAUCUUUCAAAUAUUUUAUUAGCUCUUCUUAAUCUUCUAUCCAAUGGGUGAACUUUACACAGAUAUUUUAGAGUUAGCCACAGAAAAACCUCUCUGAAAUUUUCACUGAAAUUAUAUUCAGCUUUAAGAGUUAAAUGCUCCAGAUAUGCUUUAUUAAAAUUUGUUUCUUUAUAUCUAUUUUUCUAUCUAUUUAUCUAUCCAUCCAUGCAUCCAUCUAUCAUCUAUCCAUCCAUGCUACAAUGUUAUGAAGUUAUUACCAGUCAUAGAUAUACAUUGUUUCUAUCCUUCUUAUAUCUGAUAACAUUUUGGUUUUUACAUUCCUGAUAUGUAUGCAUUAUUUUGAAAUAAUGGGAAAUGAGUAAUUUUUUUCCUUUGGGCUUCUCCAUGUGUUUAGCAUUUGUAAACGUAUUUAUUAAAUUUUCAUUCAAAAAAAUCUCUCUAAACUAAGUAAUGUUAUUUUGAAAAAAAAUCAAGAAAAAUAUAUUUUGAGAAAAAAAGACAAAAAUAGUAUUUUCUUAAGGAUCCUUCCAGUUUAUAAAUUUUAAACCAACAGAAGAAACAUAGAUCACCAAUGUACAUUACACCUCCAUAGAAGACAUGUACCUCUGUUGAGUGUUCCAUAUUCUGUGUGGAAAACACCAAUUAGUCUUGUGUAGCCUCUAUCAACAUGGGCAUUAAUUGCCCUUUUAAAUGCAUCACCCCACAGAGCUGGGCCACCAGGUUUCAUCUGAAAAGUAGCCAGCUCAUAGACUCCUAAAAUAGGGAAAAAAAUAAUUAUUUUACAGAGGAUCUUGAAAUAAUUUUUAAUCAGUUGUGCUUGAUUCCAGUAGUGAAGGACUAACAUAUAUACAUCUACAUAACCUAUAUAAACAUAUAUUUAUGUCAUAUUAAUUAAUUCUUUGCAUUAUUUUUCCUUGCUUUCAUGUUUAGAAAGUUCUUGUCCAUGUUUAAGGGCCACUUGUUAAGUUUAAUCAAAGAGAAGAAAAGGAAAAAAAGACCAGAAACUAUAUACAAAGCUAUUAUCUAAAAUAUUUUUAAUCUAUAAAACUUUGUUGAUGCAACAGAUAUUGAGAAUUUAUAAUGAAGUCAAAUUUUGAGUUUCUCAAGUCUAUAAGAAAAUAAAUUGACAAAAGAAGUAUUUUGUGAUCUCCUAUGUUUCCCUCUUUUUAAUUUGGAGAGCAGAUAUUUUAUUCUUUGUAUAUUUUUCCAUUACAGAAUUCCAUUUUAACAGGAAUUAGCAAGCAAAUGGUUGACCUGAAGUCAUAUCAGAGAAGACAUUCGGCAUUUGUUUUUUAGGGAUUGGGGGGAGAAAAAGUCUGAAAGAGGAUUUUAUGAUUCCUAAAUAUCCAUAUAAUAUUGAAAAGUUUUAUACCUAUAGUCACAAGUAUAGAGAGGAUAGAGACAAAGAAAAUAGGGAAUGAGAAGAUCAGACAAUAGAAGGAAAAAAAUUCCAGAGUUACUAAAGAAUUAUGAACAAUACAGAGAAAGUUAACUAAAAUUUGACAGUACUACAGAAGACAACUAUUUUUAGAUAGUACUGAAACCAGAGGGGAAAUAUAAGUGAAUAAGAAUCCCAAUAGAUGUUUCAAAUUUCUUAUAAUAUAAAAUACACUACAAGUUGGCAAUAAUAUAGAAAAUAAUAAGAAAUUUAAGUUAGUUUAUGCUUUUCUAAUCUGACCUUUGUUUAAAAGUAGAUUGAGGUAAUAGUUUCUUUAAAUCAGUAAGAAGUAAAAGCAGCAUGAAGACAUCUUAAGGAAUUAUUUUCAAACUGAGAAACUUUCUUUUUUUUUCUUUUUUUAUUAGUUGCACAUGACAAUACAAUGAUCUUGACAUAUCAUACAUUUGAAUCAAAUGGGAUACAAUUUCUCAUUUUUCUGAGAGUAUAGGUUGCAGAAUCACAUUGGUUAUACAGACACGUAUAUACAUACAGCAAUACUAGUGUCUAUUUUAUUCUGCUGCCCUUCCUAUCCCCUUUCCCUUCCCCUCCCCUCCCAUCACUUCUGUCUACCCAAUCUAAUGUGACACACUUCUUUUUUUUUACCCCUCACAUCAUCAUACAUGUAUUUUGUAUAACGAUGAGGGUCUCCUUCCAUCUUCCGUGCAAUUCCCCUUCUCCCUCCCUUUCCCUCCUACCUCUCUUCCUUAUCUAGAGGUAAUUUUCUUCUCAUGCUCUUCCUCCCAACCCCAUUUUGAGUCACCUCCCUUAUAUCAGAGAAGACAUUUGGCAUUUGUUUUUUAGGGAUUGGCUGAGAAACUUUCUUGACACAAAAGUUAGACUACACUAAUACAGCUUGGCAGUUUCAGUAAAUACAUUCUCCCCAGUCAAUUUUAUGAACAAAGAUAUACUUAAUGAUUUAAGAUUAGUUGUAAUUUGUGAAAAAAUAUUUUUUGCAAUACUGGGAUUCCAUCUGGGGCCUCACACAUGAUAGGCAAGUGCUAUCCCACUGAGCUAUAUAUAGCCCAGCCCUUUCUAAAUUUUACUAUGAGACAGUGACAGUCAAAUUGCCAGGCUGGAUUUCAAUUUGGGAUCCUCCUACCUCAGCCUCUCAAGUAGCUAAGGAUUAUUGGUUGUGCACCACCAUUCCCAGCUAUUGAAUAUAUUUUUUUUACAUUUAAAUGUUUUAUUACUUUGAAAUUAUAACAAAACUUCAUAUACUAUUCCUUAUUACCUGCCCCCAAAGUGAAAUUUCUUAAACUUUAGCAGCUACAUCAAUCUUCUACAGUGUAACUAAAUUUACCAAUCAACAAAAAUCUCAAUUUGGAAAAAAAUCUUAAUACUCAUAUUUUAAGAAUAAACAAAAAGGCAUAAUUUAAUUUUAUCUCAACAAUCAAAGUAUGUUACCAUAAAAUAAAGAAUUAGCUUCCUUGUUUGCUAAUGGAACUUCACCUUUUAUCACUUAAAAUCUUUAGUAUUUCAUUCAUCUAAAUUCCAAGUGGUGAAGAAGGAAGAUGACUUACCCUCUUUUGGAGGCUUUUCUAAUUUGCACCAUGGCACCAGGUAAGUAAUCUCACUCUCUUGCUUAUCAAUGAGAGCCAAAUUUGGAAUGAGGAAUUGUUCUUGCCAUUCCUUAUCUUUAGCCAAGGCUUUCCGAACUGCAGUUCGAUGAGCAAAAUUAUCUAGGGGAGACAAGAAUUAAGAAAAAGAAACAUUUACAACUUAAAAUCUCCUAUGCUUCUCUGGAUUUCAUCCAAAUCUUCAAACAUUCACCUGUAGCAUAGAGGAACACUGUUAUGCUUUUGGAUAUACUAACAUAAGGAGAUGUGACAUCUGUACUCAAAUUGCUCAUGGGCUUACGGGGAAUAGAAUUGCAAAUGACUAGUGUAAUGUCACAGAAUUGACUUCAUAGGUUCUAUGACUUUGCAGGAGGAAGUUUUUGUAUCCUUCUGCAUUCAGUUUCUUAGUCUGUGUAAUGGAGAGAAUGCAACAUUGUUCUCCAGGCUUGUUAUGAAGGUUAACUGAAUUAAUACACAAAAAGAGCUUAGAACAAUGUUUAGCAUCUAGUUAAUUUCAAUAUUUGUGGAAUAUUCUUAUUAAUUCAACUGAGGCAUUUAACUGAUAGUGCUAGUUCAGAGAAAGAAGAUUUUUCUUUCAUGGUGGCAGGUGCUCAGGUCAAGGUACACCUUGAAUCAAAUUACAAUAAAUGAAAUUAAAAUGUAUUUGGUGAGUCUCUUCUCCUUUGAACAAAGAGCCUUCAAAGAAAUAGUGUUGAUUCUCUUACUUAUUACCAGCCAUUUCCUCCCCCCGCCAGCACUUAUUUUUCUUCUGAGUUAUUCCAACAGGUAUCGACGUUUACCCACAUAUGGGCCUAGUACUGUAUUUACUAUGAAAACCUUAUAAGACUAAUGAUAAGAGUUUUAUAUGGUUUAUGAUGGUGAUAAGAAAUAACAUCUAUCUCACAGCUUAAGUGAGGUAGAUCAGGACUUCAUUAGUUUUCUUAGUGGGCCAUGAUUUAACUUGUAGCACAUCUAAAGCACAAGUUGUGUUUUAAUGGGGCUUGUUCUAUUACAAUAGGUAAAAAUCCUAUACUGUGCCCAUGAUAAGUGUAGAAUGAAUAUAUUUUUAUAAUAAAAUAUUUUAUGAAUAUUAAUUUGGGCACUGAUCAAAUAAACCAUUCCAUUUUUUUAUGAGAAUAGAAGUUUACCAUAUUAUGAUUUAUGACACAACAAGUUCUCAUUCAUAAUAACUGAAGAAUUUGAGCCAGAGGUUGUUAGAGAUGGACCAAUGGAAGAAUUAAUCACUAAAUACACACACACACACACACACACAUAAAGGUGUCAUAUAUUUUAAAAGAUUUACUUAACCUGUAUGUAUCGCUAGUAAUAUAAAUCCAAGAACUAAGUCUUAUACUCAUGUAACAUGGAAUGCAAUGAAAAUCUGUACUGAACACUUAACCAGGAUGAUUCAUACCAUACUUCCAAAUGUGAAACACUUUAUUUAUUCUGCCUCCAAAUUCUACACUCCAAUAUCCAACCAAUUCAGAGUGAGCUGUCCGAAGAUGCACAUUUUUCUUGAAGUUUUCUAGGAACUCAUUCACCUUUGAGGGUUUAAGAGCAUAGGUACGAAAUUCAUAGAACAUUCCAUCAUUUUGUCUGGGGCCUGUAGCAAAAGAUGAGCACACCUGAAGAAAGAUAAGGCAAAUUUAAAGAUUUUGGGAAAGGUAGGAUGUAUCAUGUUACAAAACAAGCAGAACAUACAGCUACUCUUUCCUGGCAAGAGUUCACAAACUUAGCCACUUUUCCAUGAGAAAUUGCUUAUAUGAAGGCAUUGGUAUCAAUGAUACUUCUGUACUGGAGAACUACAAUUGAAAUUCGCAUAAAUUUACAGUUUUCCUUACUUGGCCAAUAUUCAAUUUUUACUUGGUAGUAUAUGUGCUAGUUAUGCAUCUGAAAGAACUUUGUAAAUUCAGUAUGUAUGUCAUUUGGCAGGCACAAUGAAAUGUUUACUAGAAGACCUUUUAAAAAGUGGAAACUGCCACACGUCUGUAAUCCCAGUAGCUUGGGGAAGCUGAGGCAGGAAGAUGGUGAGUUCAAAACCAGACUCAGCAAGUGAGGUGCUAAGCAACUCAAUGAGACCCUGUCUGUAAAUAAUACAAAAUAGGGCUGGGGAUGUGGCUCAAUGGUUGAGUGCUCCUGAGUUCAAUCCCUGGUACCCCCCACCAAAAAAAAAAAAAAAAUAGAAAUUGCUAUUUAGGUCAAAGUAUUUGCUACAUUCAGUGAAUUAAACCAUUGGUCAAAAAUGUAGAAGGUGCUAUGUGUUAUUCAAUUAAUGGUAAUAUAGUGGUGGGCUGUAUGAAUGCUGAAGAAGAAAAAUUCAAGAUGAAUUGUAUGACUCAUUAUUAGUUUCUAAUGACAGAUGCAAAAUGAAGCACAUUUAAUGCAUCAGUCAUACCAGUUUGAUGGACACAUCCCCUAAGAGCCAGUAGUUCCUUUUGUAAUAGUAAUAUGCUCAGUAUGAAAAUCUCUAAUUCGUGUUGUCAGUGAACUUAAUAUUCAUUAGGGCACAUCUUGCCAUAAAUUAUCCUGUAUAUGUAUAUGUCUAUAUACAUACAUAUGUGUGUAUGUGUAUAUAUAUAUAUAUAUAUAUAUAUAUGCACAUUCAUAUGGCACAUAUAUGUACAUGUGUAUAUACAUGUAUAUAUGUAUAUUAUACACAUAUAUUAUAUAUAUAUGUGUAUAAUAUAUACACAUAUAUACAUACACACACACACACACAUAUAUAUGCACAUUCAUAUGGCAUUCUAAUUUACAAAUACAUGUUAUGUAGGUUUCACUAGCCUGAACUAUGUACACCAGAAAAAUAUUUUAAAACAGUUUUGGUACCCACAAAUCUACAAAUUAGGAUUGACAUUUAUAACUUUGUAUAUCCCUUUUUUUUUGCUCUGAUUUUUUAAAAAACUUUAUUAUAUGGUGCUGAAAGUCGAACCAGUGCCUCACAGAUGCUAGGCAAAUACUCUACCACUGAGCCACAACCCCAGCCCCUGCUCUGAUACAUUUAUCUAGAAAACACAAUAGCAUAUGGGUUUCAUUUAAUUGUAUAUAAAGUUAAUAUCAACAUCUCACUUGAAUUCAUUCCACUCAUGUCUAUUAGGAGUUAUAGUCAUAUGCCUAAAAUGACUGUUUGCCAUCAAUCACAACUGCAGCUGGUCUUGUUUGGUGGAAAUUCUGUACUUUUAAACCAAAUUAUAAUAACAGAAUGUUAGUGGAACAAACAACUUUUGUCCACAGUUUAAAAAAUAUGAUAAAUAAAAUAUGUCAAAAAUGAACCAAUAGUACAUAAGGAACUGCACAUUUUAGGUUGGUUAAUGAAUUUCUAUUUGGAAACAGUUAUUCAAACACACACACUAAAGUAUAAUCUUUCUCAGGAGAAUGUGUAUGUGUGUGUGUGUGUCUGUGCACAUAUACGUAUUUAUACACACAUAUACACACACAGAGUUAGAGAACCUGCAUUGAGGGUAAGGGGCUUGGCUGGGGAAUGACGUCAUUUCCUGAUUUUUGCUGCAGGACUAAAACCUUGCUGGGGCAGAAAUCAUCAGUGCUUCAUACUCCCUUUAAGUUAGGACUCAUUCUUGCGAGCAAUGACUAACAAUUCAUUGAGUACCUUUGUAGAAAUGUAAAGUUUACAGAAAAGUUGUAAGGAAAUAAAUGUUGGCCCUGCUCCACCUGAGAGAACCAAUAGGAUAGAGACUGCAUUGUUAGCCAGGCAAGGUGGCCCAUGCCUGUAAUCCCUGCGACUCCAUAUUCUGAGGCAGGAGGAUAGAAAGAUCCAGGCCAGCCUCAGCAACUAUAUGGGACCCUGUCUCAAAACAAAAAAAUUAAAAGGGCUGGGGAUGUACCUCACCGGUAAAGCGACCGUGGGUUCAAUCCCCAGUACAAACAAAACAAAAAUCUGCUUCUCCUUUUCCAUUGUUUUUGGAAAGGAAUUUUAAGCCUAAACAUGGAAAGGAAUACAAUCUCGACGAUAAAUCCACUGGACCACACACAACAAGCCGAUUCCCACGGUUCAGAUCCAAUCCCUGGCUUCUUUUUGGACCUUUCUCAUCUAAGGCUGAAGCAGGUCACGUUUACGGUCCUCAGGCUCAGGCCCCCGCUGGGCUUGGGGACCACCGCAGGACACAGGGAGGGCGGCAAGGUGCCCCACACUGGGACCCUGGCCGACUCUCCAAGGUUCUCGGCAAAAUGCUCGCAAGCUGCGCCUUCCUUUCAAAGGUGAAGGCUGGUGGGGUCGCCAGUCGUCGGUGGUCCUCUCCCGCACCUUUAGUGUGGACGGAGCGAAGACUUGUCAAACCCACACCUACGCGAGGCCGACGGCUACAAGGCCCCGCCUCGAAGCAGGGCGAGCUCCCGGAGCCGCAGCCGCCACGGUGCUGGCGGCAAAAUCGCAACCGCCAGUGCUUUGGGAGCGACUUUGGGGCUGGCUGCUUGGCUCCCAUGCCAGAAAAGACUUCUGUCCACCGGGUAGACGACUCUGACCCAAGGGAUCCCUUUUCCUCCGUGGCCGCCGCCCCAUAUCCACUAGGCAGAGCCGCGUCCGGCGCGCGCGUGCGUGGGACUCGCUUACCAGCCCCGCUUCCGCCCUGGCCCCACCCCGCCCCACUCUGCAGCUCGGGCGCGCCCCCCGGCGGCCGGUACCUGGGGCGCGAGCGUGCGUGCGGUCAGAGCCCGGGCCAGGACGCUUCGGAGGGGCAGCAUGGCGCAGCGUGGGGCCAGGACACUUCGGAGGAGCAGCAUGGCGCAGCGUGGGGCGCCCAGGAAGGCAGCCAGCUGGCAUCCGACGUGAGACUCUCCUCGUACGGCUUCCUGACUGGAAAGGCGCAGCGAAGGGACAGUUAGAGGACAUGGGCUGGGGCGGGACUGGCGCGUCAGCUCCGCCCCCGCCCUGGAGGUGCACCCCGGGGCCCAGUGUGCAGGAGUGUGGUGCCAGCCCUGACCCAGUAUUUCCCCUUUGUUUCCACGACAGUUCUUGCCCCAAACGUUAGAGUUGAUGUUGCAGUAGCUGAAAGCGGAGUUCGUACUGUUCCACCUUCUGGUCUGUCGCCUCCUCAGAGCCCUGUUGUGCAAAUGUUCCGGGUAGAUCGCGUGUGUCUAUGAGCAGGAAGGUGCUGUAUGGAUGCCUGCGUGUGCAGGCUUUGCAUUUAAAAUCAUGAUGUUUUUUUUUUUUUUUCUUUUUUGUUGACAGAGAGCAGAGCUGGGAGCCUUCACUUGUCUUCACUGCAGAUAUUCUCCAUCCCACUUGCCAGGCCAGCAUGGCUUUGAAGAGAUUCAGAUUAGUUUUUUUAUGCACUUAGAGGAAUGGGGGCACUGAAACUGGUAUGAAAAUUCAAAUUUCAGCAUACAUAGAUUGAGAUUAAAUAAUUCAGUAAGACUCAAUACAGUCAACCUCUCACGUGGUCCUGUCUGUGUAAUUAUUGGUUCCUAUAGUAACUAUUUUAUGUUUUAAAGCUGUUUCCUGUAAUUCGUGUUUCUAUCUUUAUCAAACAGGCAUAUUGUAGUGCUUCAUAAUUUUUCAGUUGUAAAUAAUGUUACAAGGCACCUGCCUGCUGAGAGACUGUCAGCUGGGAACACCUCUGGAUUCUUGCAUUCAAGCCAUAAAGAGACCUGUCACUCUGAGUGAUCAGCAUGAGUUUAUGAGAAGGGCUAGGAAAAGGGGAUACUCUCAAGGAAGAGAGCGGGUCCUCUCAGAGAGAAGAAGGAUGGCUUGCUCUUCCAGCCUUCUGGUUUUAUUGGGGGGUCCUAGGGAAGUUUUCAGAAAGCCUGGCCUAGGUUCACCUCUUGACUUUUGACUGACAGCAGGAUGACAUCAGACUUUCAAGUCUCCAUUGCACAUGACAACUCUAGAUUACUUUGGCUCAUGCUGACUGGUUUGUUUAAGAGUCACAAAAGCUUUCCCCUCUACCCUACCAGGCAGGGUUGCAGGUAAAUUUUUUCUUGGGAAGCAUGUGGGGGUCAGCAUAGUGGGCCCACCACUCACAUAUGUCUGUUCCAUAUCUAUAGUAUCUAUUGAUUUGUAAGAUAAAGAUUUAGAUUUCUUCAUCCCACUCCCCAAAAUACACUUCUUUUCCCAUGUUUACUAAUGCUUACAUUAAAAGUAAUUCUUUGAUUGUCACAUUAAUGUACUUUAGUCUAUGUUUAUAUUUACUAACAGUUAUAUAGUACACAUGUUUAAUAAUAUUGUUUAGGUCAUUAGGACUACAGAAUUACAGAGAUCUCAUUGUAUAAGUUGUGUUUUUUGGGAAGGGCUUUUGAGUCAUCUCUUCAGUGGAAAGGAUCCUUUAUAAAAUUAUUAAUUCUGGAUGUGUUGCCUCAGUUUUCCCGGAAGAGAAGAUCCAUUUUUAACCAAGCAAGACUAAAUAAUGCAUUGUUUGUCAGAACUGGAUCUAGAUGAUUAAAUUUAUUUCCAAUUAGCAAUUUGAUUAACUAAUCACUCACUAAUUCAAUUAAUAGUUAAUAAAUUCCUUCCGUGCUUCAGGCCUUUUUCCAGAUACUGUGGUACUGAGGGAAACAAAAGUCAAAGUUCUAGUACUUUGGGGGCAGGCAUAUAGGGUAGGAGAAGAGAAAAUAUAUCAGGGAUUAAUAAAUAUCCAAUAUAGCAGGAUAUAGGGCAAUUAAUUCAGUCGGAUAUGGAGAAUAGAAAGUACCAGAGGAAGACAGCAGAGACUGCCAACUAUUUCUCAAUAUCCACUCUUCCCUCACACUUUUAAAAAGAUGAGUAAUAGAAUACUUAGCUUACUGAGGCUGUGUGAUAGAGUCCUGACCAGUGGGAAGUGUUAGUGCAUUAAUGACCUGUAAGUGAUCUAAAGGGGUGCAGGAGAGAAGAGUUGUUCCUGUCUUUGUUCCUUCCUUAUUUUUUUUUUUGCUACUAUAUAGGCAUAAUGGCUUGAGUCCUUGGCCUACAAGAUAGAAGGCACAUGCUGUUGAUGAUGGAAUAAGAGAGGAGCAGUUUAGGUUUCUUAUACCAUGAAGCAUUAGGAAUCCUGAACUUCUCUCCUUUGGAUUUCUUUUACAAGGAAAUCGCCUUCUAGUUUAAGCCACUGUUGUAUGUCUUAAACAUGUACUUUAUUUUUUAAAAUUUUUUAUUAUUUGUUUUAAUUAGUUAUACAUGACAGUAGAAUGCACUUAUAUUCUUUGAUGUAUAUUACAUAGAUGGGAUAUAAUUUCUCAUUUUUCUGAGUAUACAUAUUGUAGAAUUAUAUUGGUCAUAGAGUCACAUACAUACAUACAGUAAUAAUGUCUGUUUCAUUCUACUAUUUUUCUUAUCCCACAUCCCCUGCCUUCUCCUCCUUUCACUUCCCUCUACCUAAUCUAAGGUAACAUUAUUUGAUUUUUUGCAUUACAAUUCUUAAUACACAUAAAUACCACACUUUUUGUAUUUCUGUUUGUAUAUAAAGUAUGUUGACAUCCAAUUUAAGUCUUCAUACGUGUACUUUGUAUAAUGAUGUCCAUCACAUUCCACCAUCCUUGUUCAUCCAUGUACUUUAAAUGAGAGGGUGAAUGUUUCUUCUUUCUCUUUCUCUCUUUUACUUAUUUGCUUGUAUUCUUUUUUUAUACCUAUCAUUUAUUAAUCACUAAAUUCUGUGCUAAAGUCAUAAAUUUUUUCUCACCAGGAUUAAACCCAUUCAUCAGUUUAUCAUUUUGAUACUCUGGAAUUAACAUCUCAGGACUCCUACUUCUCUUGCUUCAGGGUGUACUAGUUAUUUAAGAUGGUAUAACAGAGAUUCAGGGAUCUCCUUUUACUGGUGUCCCAGGGAAUUUAAUUUUCCUUGUGUUGUACCACCAUUUCAGGCUCUUAUAUUUCCCUAUGUCCAAAUUUUAGGGGAGGGUACAUAGCAAUUAAACUUUUGAAACUUGCGUCUCUAAAAUUAUCUUUAUUCUGCCAAAUUUAUUCAUGGUUUGGAAAUUCUACACUAGAAAUCUUUUGUCCUCAUAUUUUUAAGGCAAUGCUUCAUUGAUAGAUUCUAGUAUGAAAUUGUUUCUUUUUUAAAAUAAUUUUUUAAAUUUAUUUUUAAAUUUUAAUUGUUAUAUAUGACAGCAGAAUGCAUUACAAUUCAUAUUACACAUAUAGAGCAUAGUUUUUCAUAUUUCUGGUUGUAGAGUCACACCAUUCGUGUCUUCAUACAUGUACUUAGGGCAAUGAUAUCCAUCUCAUUCCACCAUCUUUUUUUACCCCCUUGUCCCUUCCCUUGCCCUCCUGCUAAGAGCCACAGCCAAGUAAUAUGAUGCAUGGCAUUUUUGGUUGAAAGGUGAUGCCAGCAAGCCAUUGAGAUGAUAUGAUUAUGUUAAGAUUUGCAUUCAUAUGGAUAUUGGACUCCUGCUGUUCACCUAGGCCUGCUAUGGGACUCCUGGAGAGUUCCCAUUGGUUGGGGAAGUGCGGUAGGAGGGAAUUCCGGAGGAGGAACUUCCUCUUGGGAUCCGGGAGAACGCUGUGAGCACCGGUCAGUCGGCAAUCUUCCUGAGAGCAUACGGGGGCAUUGGCGGCAGUUUCAAAAAUAAAGUUUGUUCCUGCUUAAGUGGCUCGUGAUUUUGUGCCCAGCCAGACUGCAGCACCCUCCCUCCCCUUUGCCCUAUCUAGAGUUCAUCUAAUCUUCCCAUGCUCCCCCUCCCAACCCCACUGUGAAUCAGCCUCCUUAUAUCAGAGAAAACAUUUGGCAUUUGUUUUUUGGGGCUUGACUUCACUUAGCAUUAUAUGAAAUUGUUUCUUAUUCUCAAUGGGAGUUGAUGUGCCUUGGAGGAGGUUUAUUUUUUUCCUUAAGGUACUAACUGACAAAUCUAACGGUGGGUGUAAGAGAUACACUUAUGAAGUCAUAAUGAGCAUAAAAGGAAUUCAAGUGUACUUGUUACAACUACAAGUUAGAAUUUGACAAUAUCUAUGAUUUUUAUUGGCUAAAAUGUCACAGGUCUUGUAGCUCAUUGCCUCUCUUCAUACAUAAAGGAGAUGCUUAAUUUCAGAUAGAAGUUGGUGACAAUAAAGAUGCAAUUUUUAACUGUCGAGGUUAACAGACCCUUUGAGUUCUGUCAGUACUGUCCCUUGAGUUCUGUGUACUGGAGAUUACAAACCUCUUCAGUAGACUACAUAUGCAGCAGUGGAAAUCCUGGACCAUAAGUUAUGUGCAUAUUCAUCUUUACCAAAUAGCGACAAUAUGUUUUGUAAAUUUAUACUCUUAUUGGCAGUGAUGAAGUUAUUUUUUUUAAAGAAUGUUGUCUUUUUCCACAUUUAUCUUGUUCAUUUAUUUAUUUUUUUUAUGUGGUACUGGGAAUAGAAACCAGUGCUUGACGCAUACUAGGCAAACGCUCUAUCACUGAGCCCCAGCCCCAGCCCUGAAGUUAUUAUUAUUUUAUAAUAAGAACAAACUUUAUUGCCCAUCUGGGCUGAUGAAUGUGAAGAUACAUUUUUAUGUCUCAUUACAAACAGGUAUGACUUGCAAGGUGACGGAAAUUAUGAGGUGGCUUAGUGUGGUGAUAGUGCUCCUGCUUGGUUUUGUCCAAAGACUGGGCUCAUGAAGGUGUGCAGAAGAAAGCAGGAGAGGUAGAUCCAAUGCUGGCCCAGCUGAGUAGGAAGGUAGCAGCUACAGGUCAAUUAUAGAUGCUGCAUCUGGUGCUGCAUUCCUGGGGAUUUGUCCCCUCUCCCCCACUUCUCUAUUCUGCAGCUACCAAAUGGUGGCAUAGACCACUGUUCCUUCCACUAGGUGUUAAACUGCACACAUCUAUUUUUGAGUUCCUGUAAUUUAAACAAUAUUUAUUUAAAUUUAGUGGAGAUAAUUUAAUAGUUUUAUGAUACUUACACAUGUAUCAGAGAAGAAAUUUCAGUAAAGGUUGAGUUACUAUCAUAAUGUUUAUGGGUUGCUUUUUUAUUAUUAUUAUUAUUAAAAGGCACUUAUAAUAAAACUCAGUUUCAUUCAGGAUUCCUCAAUAACUGUCCUACUCCUGUUACCAAAUAUUUUCUAAGUGUCUUUGGGGUGUUGAAUAUUGAAUGAAAUGCUGUGUAGAAGGAUAAAGACCAAAUCUUUCCUCUUGAAUUUGCCAAUACCUGUUUUUAUUUCUGUCUCAGCCUAUUUGCUGAUAUCCUUAUUAGAAUCAGUGGUAGGAAAGAGUCAUGAGCAUCUUAAUAUUUAACUAUAUAUACAUUUAUUUGUUAUUGUUUCUAUUAAUAAAACAAAGUAUCUUUAGCACUAAAACACAUUUAUAUAUCCAUUUGAUAUAUUCAUUACAUCCUUUCAAGAUUCUUUUUUUUUUUUUUUUUGGUUACUCUCAUUUCAUUGUGAAAUCUAGAUUUUUAUUUUAUGGAGUUAAACAUAUAGAAAACAUUCAUUCAAAGAGGUUAAGUACUUGCCAAAGGUAAUAAGCAGUUUAGAGCUGGUUCAUUCAUUACUCUCCACUCUUCCAGGGGAUGACUAUACCAAAAUUUUGUUAUUCCUUUUCUACUUAUGUUUACAUGUUUCCAUAUAUUUAUUGUACAAAUACUGCUUCACUUAAAAACUUUGUUUCUAUCUCCCUGGGCAUACCUGUAAAUAGAAUUACUGACUCAAUUCCACUAGAUCCUGCUUAUUUUAAGUAUCAACUCAUAUUCUGACAGGCAGUGAAUAGGAUUUCCUUUCUUUUCAUCUUUGCCAUUUUUUUCCUACUAUGUGAGACUACUAUUUGCCUUGAUUUGCUAUUUAAAUUGCAGUAACUCACUGUUAAUAAAUUCUCUGAUUUCUGGCAAAUUAAUCAUCUUUUUGCAUUUUUAUUUUUUAAAGUCCUAGUUUAUUGCAUUUGUUCAGUUUUCAGUUCAUAUUUUUUCUUAUUGACUUGAAGGUUUACUGAAGAUACUGGAGGGAGGAACAAACAACUGUUAGAAAUACCAAAAAUGACUUUUAGUGUUGGCUUCUUGCAGAAGCCUGAGAGACAUACCUGCUCAGUAGAUGAAUGGCAAAGUCUCCUACCAGUGAAGAGCUAGAAACUCACACAGCAACAAGUUAUAGCCCUUUCAUGGAAGAGGCUUCUGAUUCCCAGAUGGAGUUGGAAAGGACUUUUUGCUCAAACAAGAUCUGUUGUUCCAGGCUAAGCAAUCUGGGUUCAUGAUUGGGCUGUAGGUUGGACCACUGAAGUCAGAAUAUGGUCAUAGUUUAAUUCUGGAACCAGAUUUUCUUUUUUUGUAUUUCAUUUGCAGUUCUACUUCUUGCCAUUUGUGUAUCUGCUGGUAAUUUACUUCUCUGCACCUUAGUUUCCUAAUCUGUAAAAUGGGUCUAACAGUGUUACCUAUGUUACAGCAUUGUUAUGAGGGAAAAAUGAGUAAGUUCUUAGAGUGGGGACUGAUACUAAUAAGGACUUUUUCUUUAAACUUUCAUAAUAUGAGAGAUGUUAUGCUAGCUAGAUGCACUCAGCAUAUGACCUAUUGGAACAUUGAUUUUCUUUCCAAAGUUGAUGUUUAACUCAAGCUGAUAGAAAAGUUAGGGAGAUUAGAAAAUAAUUGGCCAACAGAGAAUACUCUUUACACCAUUGCCCACAAGUCAAUUUUGCAUGCUAACUUUCUUGAUUAGGAGGGAAAAAGUUAUUUCACUCUAUAAAAUUAAAACAUAUAGAUAAUGGUCUGCAGAGAAUCUUCCCUAGUAGAUGCAAAAAACCUAGCACACAGUCUUAGUUUUGAAUACUGGUUCUGUAAAUUAUUAGCUAUGUGUCCUUGGGCAGGUUACUUAGUAUCUCUCAGUCCAGUUACAUUGUUUGUUGAUUGCUGAAAAUGAUACUACUAUUUAGGGUAGUAAUGACAAUGAAAUGUUUUCAUAUAGUAUUUUCCCAUAGCAUUGCAGUAAUGUGUCAUUUAAAAACAAAAAUACAUUCUGAGAAAUGCAUAGUAGGUGAUUUUUUUUGUUCUUGUGUGAAUACCAUAGUAGAGUGUACUUACAAAAACUAAGACUGCUGUGAUGUCACUAGGCAAUACAAUCUUAUGGGAUCACUGCUGUUUAUGCAGUCCAUAAUUAGCAAGACAUGCAGUAUAUGACUGUAUUCAUUAAAGGAUAAUUUCCUAUAUUGAAACCUCACAACACUAGAACCAAGGACUUCAUUUGAAUCUUAAGUUUGUAAAGAAUAAAUUUCUCAGCAACAGAUGGAACAACCUUUGAAUUUACUUGCAAAGUUGUGCAAGUAUUAUUUUCAGAGAAGGUUUGUAUAAAAAAUUUGAGGAAUUUCAAGGAGUUACAUGUUUAUGCUUUUUGAUGUGAUCAUGGCAGGCAAUGGCUGCUAUUGUCUGUGAUUGGAGUCACUGCUAUAGAGUUGGUUUCAGGACUGUGGAAUUAGAAUUUCUUCUCAGUCCUCAGAUUACAAGUGAGAACAGUGAGGCCUUAUGGAGAAGUGAUUUCAUGUGAGUACACUUGUAGUACAGUUAGACCCCGGAUUCAGGACUUGUGGCUCCUAGUCCAGGGCUUGUUCACUCAGUUUUCUUCUGAGCUGAACUGGGCUCAUGGCCUAGUGUGGUCUUUCUCAGUCUUCAGGGGAAGAAAUGCAGGACCCAGCAUUCUGAGUCACCCUAACGUGGGGUUGCUCUUUACUCUGUGAAGUUCCUAGCCUAGUGCUUCUGCCAGGUGACUAGAGACUCUGGCAUUGUACUGCCAGCUUCUAGAAAGUCCUGGAGGGAAGAGGUUUAGUGUUCAGGAUCCAUUGCUUUCACUCUGCCCACAAGGUCUUGGGCCAGCCAUGGGCCCUGUCACCCUCCUUCCUGUGCUGCCUGGUCUGGGAACCUGGCUGGACUUGCAGGGAUUUGCUCUUUGGACUUCUUUCUAACCUUAUCUUUUCCUGCCAUCCCCUUACCCCCUCCACUGCUGGGUUACAGAUUGUCCUGCCAGUUGUGUUUGUCUGCAUUGCCCUGCUGUUCAGCCUGAUUGUGCCACCCUUUGGUAAGUACCCUAGCCUGGAACUUUAGCCCUGGAUGUACAAUGAGCAGUGUACGUUUGUCAGGUACGUGUUUGUCUUCUGAGCCCAGGGGAGAGGAGGAUUCAAGUAGAUCAAGGGUGAUCACUGUGCUGAGGGUCAAAAGAAUAGAGUCAAGAAUUGCACAGUGGAAGGGGUUUUACCAGCUGUGGCUCAGGCCCCUAUGCAAGCUACUACUGCAUGCAAAGAAUAGAGAACUACUGAAAUAACAGUCUAGUUUUCUGGUGAGUACUUCAGUCAAUAUCUCUAACUGCUGUUUGAUGAACCCAGCCUAAUUCCAUUUUAAGAUUAGGAGCCAUCUCAUCACAAAGUCAUGGAAAGUUAAUUUCUGUUUUACUAUAAAUUACUGCGAUUUCUAAACUUGUUUGGAAUUUCUGCCCAUGCCUUGAACUUACCCAUGCCUGGCUUUCCCUGACCAGAUAACAACACUCUCUAAAACCUUAGUGGCACCUCGUAAAUCCUGGCUCCCCAUGACCAGAUAACAACCCUCUCUGAAACCUCAGUGGCGCCUUAUAAAUUUUGAUGUUGGGAUCUAAAUUUUUUCCCUACCUUGAAAUGUUAAGCCAGGUAGAUCAUUAACCUACUAUAUGCCUUUGUAUUAUGCUUGUCGAAAUCCUUUUAUCUGUAAGUUAACAACCCCUCUUUGCAACUUUUUGUGCUAUAAAACUAUGUUCCUAGAGAGCUGGGGUACUGAUUUCUAGUCCAGAGUUUUGGGAGAGACAGUCCUGGCUAGCUACUGUGUACACAAAUAUAAGCUUGCUUUAAAUUGAUUGAAAGUUGGAGUCAGUGGUCUUUUCUUUCCGUCGUGGUUUAAUACUGUUGUGGGGAACAACCAUAUGUGCCUUAGGUAAAGUAAUCUGCCCUCAAUAAAAAUCUAUGAUUAUUAAAUUUUUAGAAAUGUGCUUUAAUUUCAUGUUCAUCACAGGGCUUUCCUACACUGCAUAAAUUUCCACAAACUUGAUUUCUGCACAGUGUGAUUCUCAUAAUUGUUAUCUGUUAAGCUGUACUUAUUAGCUAGUUUGUAUUCUUUAGACAAAAAUAUCUUUAACUCCAUAGCAAUCUAGUGCUUUAAUUAAGAACAAACGAAUUAUAUGAAUGUUGUUAGGCAAGCUUUUUAUUUUUAGUCCUGUAAGAUUAAUGGCUCUGCUGACAGGGAAGUAUGCUAGUAAUACAGAAGAGAAAGGAAGCUUUUUUAAACAAAAUUCCUACACACACGCACACACGCAUGCACUCAUGUAUUUAUUAGCUCAUUUGCUUUCUUCGAACUCUGUUUUCCAAGCUUAGGUUGUGUUUCCCAGAGCUAUAGAACACAGUUUAUUUUGUGUUUGUUACCUAUACCCAUUAUUGUUUGUGCUUUCUAUUUUCAAUGCAACUACUUGGUCAAUAAAAUCUGUAUACCUUUUCCAGGAAAAUCCUGAUGUAUGUCGAUAAUGGAUAAUUGUGAAAGCCCCUUCUAAAUACUGAUUUUUAAUAUACUGACAUUUAAUACACACACAUAUACACAUACCUUCAUACAUAUUUAUAAAACCUCUAAUUUGGAGUAUUCUAUAUUACCUUGAUGCCAAAUAUUUGGGCAGAGUCUCAGUUUUUCAUAGGUGGUUUCUAUAUUUUAUUCAUUUUGAUUUUAAAACCUGGCUCCCAGAAAGUGCUUAGUAGAUUAUUCUAUGUAGAAAAACAUUUCUUCCUCCCAAUUCCUGAUUUGAAUGAAUUACUGAAUUUGCUUGUAGUUACAGUAAUAAUGCUUCUGAAGACAUAGGCUCCCAGGAACUCUUGAAUACCCUCUCCAGAACACCCUUGCUUUGGGACCUAAAGUAUGGAGAAUGCCAUGUUGGCCACGAGAUUCUCCAUGGCUGGCUUCUUAUGCUUGUCACCUGCUUUGAUUUCUGAUACACUAAAAUUUACCAGCUACAUGCCACAUUAUCAUCAUCAUUUGCCCUUUGAGUUAUUUUUUAUUCUAAAGAGAGUAACUAUAGUAACUUACUCAGAACAUCUGGGAGUAAACAUUUGGAGAGUCUAACAUCCUGGGAAGCAAAUCAUUAUAGACCUUUUUUCACUGCUUUAGAACAUUAAGAUUUAUGUAGCACUUCAUAUUUACUUGUCAAAUGCUUUCUCCUUCUUCCACUUUUCCCAAGUCUUUCACCUACCUGGUACAACAGGCUUUCAUUAUAUAUAAUCUGAAGUUUUGUUGAAUUCUUCCCAUGAAACCUGAAAAUAUCAUACAUUAACUUUUUAUAAUAAUCAAUUUCUUCUUAAGAGUUUCAUAUUUUUAUUAUACUGUCCAUCAGAAUCCCUUUUUAAGGCCUAUAUAAAUUCAGUGAUGACUCAGGAUUCCAACUAUGUUGGUGGGGGAAUGUAAGUCAGAUCACUGAGUAAAGACCAUGAGAAUAGGUAGGCAAUUAUGAGUCCAGUGAUGGCAUGUUUUCAACUCCCUGGGUACAAAGACAAAAGAGACACUGCACCUGAUGCGAAGAGUUCUGUGUUAGUGAAGAACACCACUGAUGUGUGUUGGAGACUAAAUGAAGGAAGAGACUCUGCCCUGACAACUUUGAAUGAAAUUCAAAUGUUAAAGUGUUUGAAUCUGUGUUGGGAUUGAGGGAAAUCUGACUAGGACAUGCCCAUGGGUAUUUAAAUUUUUCUCACCAGUCAUCUUUUAAAAGUUUGCACUACAAGAGGGUACUGUAACUAGUUUGGCUUUUCUAUUUAUUUAAGGAACGUUAAAGAUAACAAACCUCAAAAUUAUUCAUUUGAUGGAUUAUUCAGUACAUAUGAAAAUAACAAAUAUUGUGGCUCUUUAUCGAAUUCUGGAACUGGAAGAGACAUAGGUACAACUCAAUGAAACAACUCAUAUUUUAAUUUUACUAGUGAAGAAAAUAAUCCUACAGAGAGGGCAAGUGACUUGCUGAUGUUUUCUCAGUAAUUCAGAGCUUAAGUCUGAGAUAAAAUCUCCUGGGGUAUUUUAAACAACCUAGCUUUCCUAUACCAAGCACUGUGUCUUAUUCCACUCAGGCUGCUAUUUUAACAACACACAACAAGAUGAGUGGUUUAUAAACAACAAACAUUUAUUCUCAUACUUCUGGAGGCUGCAGAUUCCAAGAUCAGGAUGCUGGCAGAUUUGGUGUCUGGUGUAAAGAUCUGCUCUUUAUAUAUUUGCUGCUUUACUGUAUCCUUACAUGUUGUAAUGGGCAAGGCACUCUCUGGGUCCUUCUUAUAAGGGCACUAAUCCUGUUAAGACCUAAUCACCUCCCCACAGAUCCCACCUCCUAGUCCCACAACGUUGGGGGUUAAGAUUCAGACAUUCAGACUACAGCUCACUCUCAUUCCCUCUCUUCCUCCAGUUCUGUACUCAUUUUCAAAACUGAAGUGAGUCUUGUCAUUCUCCAGAAGAUUUUUAGCACAUUGAACAGGCCUGUGUCAUCUGACUCCUCUGUUUCCCUCUUCCUCAUUUCCCAUUAUUCCUCCUUUUAGUUCAUCACCUUCUAGCCCUACUGCAUCCCCUGUUGUUCCUUGUAUAUAAAAACUCAUUCUUUCUGAGGAUAUUUGUACCUAUGCUUUUGUUGACUUUGGUUGUAGUGCUUUAGUGUAUAACUGAGCAAAUGGAGGGGUGGGCUGGUAGUUUCUGUUUGUGAUCAGGAAUGAAUGAAAUAUCAUGUCAUGUUUGAGCUGUGAUCUUAAAAAGCAUAUGAGCUUCGAGGGGAGGAGUUUUGGACCACAUUGUGCCUCUGUGUGAGGGAACUUAGCUUUUUUCUCUUGAGAUCAGCAUAGGUUUGUUUUAGUUAAAAUCAGAGCAAAAUACUCUGGAUGAAUGGGCUAUGGAAGACAUGCUAUGGCCUGUUCCAAAGUGGUGGAGCCAUAGGAGACUGUCACAGAUCUAACAUCUAACUGCCACAAGUUAGCUAUGGGCCUUCUACAGGUGAAAUUAACACAUAGGCCUCUUUCUCUUUUUUUUUUUUUUUUUUUUGUGGUGCUGGGGAUUGAACCCAGGGCCUUGUGCAUGCAGGGCAAGCAGUUUGCCAACUGAGCUAUAUCCCCAGCCCACGUAGGCCUCUUUCUUCACUUCUGGAUUAGGGAGGCUGAAUCAGAAAACUUUUGUAGGCCUUAUCAAUUCUGUCAUUUUCUGAUAUUCUAACUUUGGGAAGGACAUCUGAGCCAUUUUUUUUCCUGACAAUUUCAGGAAUGGGGUAUUGAUUGUGAUGGCUCUCUGCAAUUUUAUCAGCAUAUAGGUUGCAAGGUAAGGACAAUCGAUUUUAAGUGGAUGUGAGAAGUCAUGGUUACCACCCUAAAAUAACUGCUAAUCCAGACAUCAGUAUAACCCCAAUGAACACAAAAACUCAAUAGGCAUAGUUUACAGUUUUGCUCCUUAACAUCUCUUGUGGUGAAGAAAAAUCACAUCUCAGUGCUUAUUGUUUAGCUAUUUAGAGUAAUUCCCCAGGGAAGAUCUUGGCAUGCUAUAUAUGAACGACCAGUACUGAGGGCAGCAUGGACCAGAUCUUGGUGGUGGUUGGUGGAGGGUGAUGCCUGGGCCCUGUGGUUAGGGCUCCAGUCAUAUAAUGGCAUGUGUUGGAAGAACAUGUGUCACUGUAGCCCUUGAUAUGUUUUUUGUGCCAAUUCUUGUCUAAGAAGACACACAUGCUUGAUUUUUAUGUGGUGACAGAGAAAACAGAACACUGCAGACAUCCUUCAGAAUCUGAUGGGAAGGAACAUCUCAGAUUACCUAGUGAAAAUGUAUGUGCAGAUCAUAGCCAAAAGGUAACUCUUUACUAAUUGUAGUCCAUGCUUUAUCAUCAUUGAUUAGAGGAAAUGAAGGCCUACAAAUAGUGCACCCCCUGGGGGGAUUGUCAGAUUAUGGUUUGAUGUUUCUACUGCAAAGUUAGGAUGUUAUCCCUAACUAGACAUGAUGGCGAGAGCUAUCGGUGAAUAUUCAAUUUUCAGCUAAAAGUUUGAGGCAGGCUGGUCUAGAAUGAAACAAAGUAUGGAUUCAAAUUUGACUUCUGCCACUUACUAGUUGCUUGAUCAGAGACAACCCAUUAUCCUUUUAAAGUUCUUGUUUAUAUAAAAUAUAAUGUUAAUGUUAUUCAUAAAACUUUGUUGUUAGGAUUAAGUGAAAUGAUGUACAUAAAGUGUUUUAGAUCCUUUCUCACAGAUGGACUCUAAUACAUGGAAUCAUGAGGAGAGCCCUGGGACGACUGAGCCUAUUUUGACUGUGGAAUUUUUUUUUAAACAGCCUUAUAGUUUCCAGACAUCAUAGUACACUGUUGAAUACUUAGCUGAUGCUCUAGAAUGCUUUUUUAAAUUUUCUUCCCAACACCUUGGUCAGCUGAGUCUCUAGGUUAGUAGUUCUCAAUGACUUCAGAUGGUAAGAAUGUGCUGGAGUGAUAAUGAGCAUGAAUUUCAGAGAAAGAGGCAUGAUGUACAAAUAUGUCAUGUAUAAUGCAAAUAUUACUUUGAAAUGAAAAAGCUUCUAGUUGGUCAAACUUUGAUCUGUAAGGUGGUUUUUAAAAUUUGGCUCAUUCAAGGAAUGUUUUUCAUCUCCUACUUACUCUUUCCCCAAAGUCAGAUUUCCAGUUGAUCAUAGGGACUCAAGAAGUAUUCAGGCCUUUGGCAUGGGCCCAAGAAGGACUGGAAUAAUAGAGGUAUCAAAACUGCCUAUAUUCCUUUCUUUUCCUUCUGGGUUUUGAAGGACCAUCAGGAACUAAGGAAGACUAGGGAAAAGAAUAAUUCUUAAAGUCAAUUUAUACCACUGGAAAACAAAGUACCUUACAUGGCUGCCUCAAAAAUUAUCUCUAUUAUUGCUUCUCAGCUUUCCUUUGUGCCAUUUCCCCAAGGUCCAGGACCCAUAGAACUCUUGAGCAGAACAGAAGCAGACCCUUAUAGUUAGCUUGUCUCAUACUAGAGAGAAAGUCUGUCCACGGUGACUGCAAUUAAUACUACCUCCACCACCCAGUUUCCUAUGUGAAAUCUUUUCAAAGGAACAUCAAGAAAAAAACUCUUAAAUAUAAAUCAGAGCUAAUGGCUCUAAUGUCUUUGAUAGGUUUUUACCUCCAGAGUCAAAAGUAUUCUUUGCCUUACUAUGAAAUUAAUCUGUCCUUUGGAUUUCUGAGGGCUCAAUAAGUGAGAAGUGACAUACUUCUUGUUUUUCAAUUUUAUCUCAGACAUAAUUCAUUAUGUUAUAUUUUCAAUACAUGUUAAGAAUUAACAUAAUAAAAUCAAUAAAAAAUUAAAAUAAUAUAGUUGUAAAUACAGCUAUGAGGAAACUUGGAAGUAUGAAAUCUCUUUUAAGUUGGAAGCACUCAAAACAAAAACUAAAUUUGUAGCACAUCUGUGGAAGUACUAAAGAAGUCUCAUCCUGAGUUUGGUAGCAUACUGUUAAAGCAACAGCUUCAGAGAUGAUAAAAAUAUAAAACUUAGAAAAAUAAUCAGAAUAUACAGGUAGGCUUUUAUUAGGUCAAACAUUUCCAUAUCCAUGAAGAUCACAUUCAAACAAAGAUAUCUCAAGCAUCUUAUGUUAAGUAGGAUCCAAAAUAAAGUAAAUAUUUGUAAAAUUAAUUAUAAAUGAAGACAUUUCAGCAUACAAACCAAAGAGUCUUCAAAGACUUUAAAUACCAGGACCUAAUAAUUUUAUUUUCCAGUUCAGUGACAAUAGAGCUAAUGUGUGACCAUAAUUAACACAGAUGACACAAAUGAUAAUGUACUUUUCCAUGGCAAAUAAAUAUGUUUAAUAUUCUCAUGAAUACCAUUUGAUAUUACAAAAUAAACUUUACUUGACAAAAAUUUGGAAAAUCAGGAAAACAGACACGAUUAAAAGUUUGACAAUGUAUAUUAAUAAUUUAAAACUAUUGUUUCAAUCAUGGAAAUAUAACAUUAGUAUUUGAAUAAAGGUUUGUCAACAUACAGAAGACAUCCUCUGAAAUGAAUGAAAAAUCAAGAUCUUGAAAUAGUGGCAAGUAUCUUUGUUAAGUAGAAUGCAAAAUGAAGUAAAUAUUAGUACAAUUAAUUAUAAAUGAAGGCAUUUCAGCAUGUAAACCAAAGAGUCCUCAAAGAUUUUUAAUCUCAGGACUGAAUAACAUUAUUUUCCAAAUGGUAGAUAUUUUUAAUGUGUGAUAGAUAUUGAAAUGCCUUGGGAAAAAUGAACUUUUUACUUCCUAAAGUGGUGGUGACAAACAAGGGAGAGCUUUAUAAAAUGCAAGGGACAUAGUAAAUUAAUUUAUCACCUCCUUAAAAUAAAAGUGAGAAUAAUUCUCUUGGGAGAACUUAAACACCAUUAGCAGACACAUUUUAUACCAAUUAAUGAAAUCUUUUGUGUUUCAGUAGAACACUAUUUCAAUGGUGAAAAUGAUGCAGGAAUCAGAAGCAUAUUCUGCUGAGACACUAGGUAGUUGACACUUUCCCGAACUGGAAAAACAUUUCAUAAGAAGGCAUAUAAAGUUAUUGAGCAAAUCAAGUUUAUUGUAAAAAUAACCCAUGCCUAGUGAAAUAGCUUACCAGCUGCCACGACUCUGGGAUCCUCAUGGGAAUGAUGCCUCCCAGCUGCACGACUAUCUGCACUCUCAUUCCACCAAAGAACAUGAACUGCAGAAAUAAACCAAAAUUGUUUCUAAAGAGUAUGACAUUGACAUUGCCAUGGGCAAAAGAAUAAUUCUUAAAGUGAGAGUGAGUAAAAAAAUCCUAUUAUUUUAAAUUAAAAUGUCAGUAAAUAAAUAUUUAGAUGAUAAGAUUUCAGAGGAAUCAGAGACUUGAGAAAGAAAUUUAUACAUGAAUUAAUCAAACUCUCUCUCUCUCUCUUUUUUUAGGUGUAAAAACAGAAAGCUGGAAAAGGAAAGUAAGGUAAGACAGUUAAAGACACACUCAAAUUUCAUGACUUCCCACUACAGUUGACUUUAUUGCAAAAAACCAAGGUUAUAAAAAUUGUGUUUAUUAUAGAAAAUUUAUAUGAAACAAACAGGAAAACAAAAAAUAGCAUAAUGUUAACUACCUAGAGAAAACCCCUAGGGCAUUUCCUUUAAAAGUUAACUUAGGGUCUAUUGUAUAUUAUGCUUACUAAUAGAUUCUUUAAAAUUAACAGUGAUUAUCUUCUGUGGCAAUAAUAUUAUUUUUUAAUGAUGAUAUGGAUUCCUUCAUAAUACACAGCAACUUUUUAUACUAAUCUUUAUUGUUGGCCAUUUAGAUUAUUUCCAAUAUUUCACUAUUCUAUAAAAUUCUGGAAUAAAUAUUCUUGUAUAUAAUUAUUUAUACAUUUUUUUAUAAUUGCAAUGUAAUACAAAGUAGAGGUAUAGAAAAAUACAGAUAAACACAAAGAGAAGCUAGGAAUCAUUUCUGGACUUCCCAGAAAUAACUAGUUUUAUAUUUGGUUUAUGUCUUUCCAUACUAAUACAUAUUAUAUAUACGUUGUUAUGUAUAUGAAAUAUAUGAAUAUUUACAGACAUAUCUAUACAUAUAUUUAUAUCUAUGCAUACAUUUUAUACUACAAAUAUAUAUAGCAUAUUUCUAUAUCACAAAAUAUAUUACAUAAAGAAGGUCAUACCACAUUAUUUAUUAUAUAAACAAUAUUUACAUAAAUUUCAUUUGAACACACCUAUGUAUGUAUCUAUAAUAAUGAUGAUGGUGACUACUAUUGCUAACAUUUAAUUGCCUGGAAUGUGUUUGUCUCUAGUGAUGGAACCUGUCAGGCCUUGGGCAUGCUAAGCAUGUGUUCUACCACUGAAUUAUAUUUGUAGUGCUUUUUAUUUUUAUUUUUAGAUAGAAUCUUGCUAAGUUGCCCAGACUGGCCUUGAAGUUGUAAUCCUCCUGCCUCAGUCUCCUGAUAGCUAGGAUUUCACAUGUGUAAUACCUUGCUUGAUUUUAAACAUUUUUCAUGUGUUAACUCAUUUAGUCCUCAUAAUAAUCUAGAUGGUAGGUUAUUACUAUCAUCAUUGUAUAGAUGAGGAAACUAAGGCCCAGUGAGGUUAACUUACCCAAGGUCAUAAAAUUACUAAGCAAUGGUGCUGGGAUUAAAUCCAGGCUGUUUGUAUCUGUUUAUUUCCUUAACAAAAUCUCCUAAAAUGUAAAGUGAGAGAUCCAAGGAGUAUAUCUUAUAUACAUAUAUAUUUUAAAUUUUCAAAUAGUGUAUAUAUUAUACUGUCUAUAUAUUGUAUGUAUUAUACACUAUCUUCCUAAAAUGGAAGAUAAAUAUAAAAAGAAGCUGUACUGAUUUAUACUCAUCAUGCCACAUUUUCUUAGGAUACUGAAAAUGAAUUUAAGAAUAAAAAAGUUAUAAAAAUCAUACAUACACAAUAUCAGAGAUUAAAAGACAGACUUUCAGUAAUCUUUAAUCUCAUCACUCAAAUAUGACUACUUUACAUACUUUCAAAUUUCUUUCGUAUAUAACUGAAAGCCCUUAUAAAUAUAUGCACUCCUGCAUAUUUUCUAGAAUACUGCCAAAGACAAUGAAAAUAAUUUUUUAUUUAUAUGGCCCAAUUUGGGAAGGAAAGAUUAAUGUGAACCGUAUAUAUUAUAUGAGUACUUAUUUACUCCUGAUCUAACAUUAUACCCAUGUAAGCAAGUCUACAUUAAGUAAAAAGUGAUAUCUGCUUACUAUUUUUAAUCUGCCUCUUCUUUUAUAUUUGACAGUCAUAUGUGUUACUACCUUUACAUAAAUUUUCAUUUCCUUUUUGCUUUUGAAUUUAACUUAUGAUGAUUUGUUCCACAUAUAGAGAGUUUGAGCCUUUUUAUAAUAAAGUCAUCAAAUUUUUUCUUCAUUUUUGUUUCUAUUUUUAGCUUAGGAAUAUAGUCCCCAUUCAUAUUUUUAAGUAAGUUCAUCUACAUAAAGUUUUAGCAACUCUAUGAAUUAAAUUUUCUCAUUGAAAUCUAUUAAAGUCUUGGUUUUAUUUUAGCAUAUAGUAUGAGAUAAUUUUUAUAAUAAUUUUUCUCCUCCAUUAUUUUCCAACGUAAAUAUACAUCUGUUUUUGUAUAUUAUGACCAUUUUCUUAUGAUAAACAGGCUGAAUAUCCCUAAUCCAAAAAUCAAAAAUCUGACAUACUUCUGGUCCAUGCAUUUCAGAAAAGAGAUGAAUUUUCUGUGUUGAGUUGGAAGCUCAGCACUGACUAUAUUAGGUUUCAGAUUUCCAUUGUACAUAAAAUAGAGAAGAUAAAAGGUAACUGCGUAUUAUCAGUCUUUCAAAUAUUUACUAGCUAUUCUUUGUCAUCUGUCCUUUCAGAUAAGCUUUACAAGUAUUUUCAGAAUUUGUCAAAAAAAAUCUUGAAAUUCUGAUGGUAAUAUCUUUCAAAUUUAAAAGUUAAAAUACUCUGGGCUGGGGAUAUAGUCCAGUGGUAGAGCAUUGCCUAGCAUGUGCAUCGUCCUGAGUUCAAUCACCAGGGCUAUGCACACAAAAAAAUACAUUUAAAAGUUAAAUACUCCAAAUACGUAUUUUAUUAAAGAAAUUUAUAUUUACAAAUUUACCAAUGGAUAUGUACAUACAUGUAUAUAAAUACAUGCCUCAAAUAAAAAUGGGUGAAUUUUUAUGGGGCGACUUUAGUAUAAAUAAAUUAAUUAAUACAUGAAUGAAUAAAUAAAUUAUGUUUUUACUCAGAAACAAUCUCCCCAGAAAUGUUGUUUCAAAAAUCAAUAAAAAAAUUCAGAAGAAAAAAUAUUUAAAAGGAAUAGGUUAUUUCUUGAGAUUCUGGCACCUAUUAAAAUUUAAUCAUUUUGAUAAUCAGGAAAAUAGCAGUUUUGUGUUUGAAAAGGCUUCAUAAAGAUGUUAACAUUCUAAAUAAAAAGAUGUGACACAGGUUUUUUUCAACCCUUAAAAUUGACAAAAAUACAAAAAUUUGGCAAUAAAAAAUAAAAUGUACAGUAUGAGAGAGAGAAACGUAUCCAAGGAACUUAUUAGUAGAUCACCACUGAAAUUUUAUAGAUGAAACAGAUAACUAUACCUGUGUUGAGUGCUCCAUAUUCUGCAUGGAAAACACCAACUAAUUUUGUAUAGCCUAGAUUUACAUGGGCAUGAACUGCCCUUUUAAAUGCAUCACCCCACAGAGCUGGGCCACCAGGUUUCAUCUGAAAAGAAGCCAAUUCAUAGACUCCUAAAAUAGAAAGAAAAAGGACUAUUUUACAGAAGACAUUCCAGCAUUUUCUAAUCAUGUCUGUCUUGUUUCCAUGGAAAACUAAUCUACAAAUACAGAUUUAGAGGAUCAUAUAUGGUUACAUAGACAUAUUUAUUGUAUUUGCAUUAUUUUUCUUUGCUUUGGUUAUCAUGCAGAUGAUAAAAAGUCUGGAGUUAUAAAUAUAUAAACUAUGAUCUGAAAUAUUUUAAUAUAAAAAUCUAUUAAUAAAACAGAUAUUAAGAAUUUAUAAUGAAAUUGGAUUUUUGAGCCAAGUCUAUACUUUCAGAAAAGAAUAAAAUAAUUUUCCAAUGUCUCCUAUAUUUUCAUUCUUCUUUCCAAUUUGUACUUUUUUCCAUUUAUAUUUCUCUCUCCUUAAGUUUCUUUUUCUAACAGGAAGAACAUAGAAAACAAUGAAAAUAAAGAAAUGUCUCUAAGUUUUGGAGGAAAAAAACCCAAACAAACCUAAUGAGAUUUUAUUGUCCCUAAAUAUCCAAGUAUGUAGUUGAAAUGUAUCUUAUCUUCUGGACAGAAAUAAAGGACUGGUAGAAAGAAACUAGAGACAAGUAGAUUUGAAAGGUACAGGAAAACAUGCAAAGAUUACUCAGGUUAAUAAAAAAGAGGAAGAGGAUCAACGUUAGACACUGAGAAGUCAACUAUUUUAUCUAGAUAGUGCUGACAGAGAAAGAGAUCUAACUAGGAUCUAAAUAAUUCUUGUCAAGUUUCUUUGUAGUGUAGUCUAAAAACAGAGUUGGAAAUAAAAUAAAUCUAAAUUGAUUUUUCUAUUCUGACCUUGGUUUAAUACUGGAUUGAAGCAAUAGUUUCUUUAAAUCAUCAAGAAGUGAAAUCAGCAAGAAGAUAUAUCUUAAGGAAUUAUUUUCAAACUGAGAAGAAAGAGGAAGACACAAAAGUUAGACACAAAAACUAUAGUGAUAUAGCUUGGUAGAUUCAGUAAAUUCACCCCCCUCAAAUAGUUAAUUUUAUAAGCAAAGGUGUACUAAUGACUUAAGAUUAAUUAUAUUUUGUGGAAAAUAUUCUUAUUUAAAUAUUUAUGUUACCUUAAAAUUAUUCUUUAUUUUCCCACAUGUGGUCCCUAUUUCUAAUGUGCAAUUUCUCAUCUUUAACUGACUAUGUAGACUUUUUCUGUAACAGCUAAACUUAGCAAUGUGUAAAAUUUCAAUUUGGAAAAAUUCCUCAUUAUUUAAUUCUCAUUUUAAGCAUAAGCUGGAAGAUUCAACUUCGUUUUAUCUUAACAACCACAGUAUGUUCCCAUAAAACAAAGGAUUAAUUUCCUUGUUUGCCAGUGGAACUUCACCUUUUAUCACUUAAGAUCUUUAGUAUUUCAUUCAUCUAAAUUCUAAGUGGUGAAGAAGGAAAGUGACUUACCCUCUUUUGGAGGCUUUUCUAAUUUGCACCAUGGCACCAGGUAAGUAAUCUCACUCUCUUGCUUAUCAAUGAGAGCCAAAUUUGGAAUGAGGAAUUGUUCUUGCCAUUCCUUAUCUUUAGCCAAGGCUUUCUGAACUGCAGUUCGAUGAGCAAAAUUCUCUAUGGGAGAAAAGAAUUAAGAAAAAGAAACAUUUACAACUUAAAAUCACCUAUGCUUCUCUGGAUUUCAUCCAAACAACAUUCACCUGCAGCAUAGAGGAACAUUGUUAUGCCUUUGGAGAUAUCAUCACGAAAAGAUGUGACAUCUGUCCUCAAGUUGUUCUUGGGCUUAAGGGGAAUAGAAAUACAAAAUGUCACAGAAUUGGCUUCAUGGGUUCUAUGACUUUGCAGAAACUUGUGUGAAUUAGGUAAGUUACUGUAUCUUUCUGCAUUCUGUUUUUCAGUCUGUAUAAUGGAGAGAAUAUAACAUUGUUGUGAAGGUUAACUGAAUUAACACACAAAAAGAGCCUAGAACAAUGUUUAGCACCCAGUUAGUAUCAACAUUUGUGGACUAAUUAAUUCAGUUGAGGCAUUUAACUGAUAGUGCUAGUUCAGAGAAAGAUCUUUCUUUGGUGGUGGCAGGUGCCCAGGUCAAGAUAAACCUUGAAUCAAAUUACAAUAAAUGAAAUUAAAAUGUAUUUGGUGAGUCUCUUCUCCUUUGAACAAAGAGCCUUCAAAAAAUAGUGUUGAUUCUCUUACUUAUUACCAGCCAUUUUCCCCCCAGCACUUAUUUUUUUUCUGAGUUAUUCCAACAGGUAUCGACAUUUACCCAUAUAUGGGCCUAGCAUUGUAUUUACUAUGAAGACCUUAUAAGACUAAUGAGAAAAGUUUUAUAUGGUUUAUGAUGGUGAUAAUGAAUAACACCUAUCUCACAGCUUAAGUGAGGUAUAUCAGGACUUCAUUAGUUUUCUUAGUGGGCCAUGAUUUAACUUGUAGCACAUCUAAAGCACAAGUUGUGUUUUAAUGGGGCUUGUUUUACUACACUAGGUAAAAACCCUACACUGUGCCCAUAGUUAGGUGUAGAAUGAAUAUUUUUCAUAAUAAAACAUUUAUGAAUAUUAAUCUGGACACUGAUGAUCAAAUUGUAAAUAAAAUUAUUACCAGGUCUUUGGAUAUCCACAAGUCCUGAUAUGACCCUAACAGACUAGAUUGUGGAGAAACAAACAUUCUGGUGACUCUUGAAACUUCUUUUCCUUCCUCAGGGGUAGGUCAGUGUGACAUGGGAAGAACUGAUUCCUUUUCCUUUUGAGUAGUAUGAAAGUAAAUUCCUUGAAACUCUGGGGUGUAAGAAAUGAAACAAAAAAUUGGUUUCUAAACAUAACGGAAAUAUUAAAUCUCAUGGUUGAAUGAAGUUUAAAAUCUGUGAUCCUCUCUAAAUCUCAAUUUACUUAAUGGCCCUAAAUUUUUAAAUUAUUAGACUUCCUCUUUCCUUUUGUGAUCUUAACACGUUUGGGCUUUUUCAAACACCACCUUAAAAUUUUUAUCAACCAUCUUUGUAAUAAACCAUUCUAAAUUUUCUGAGUGUUAAAGCUAGUUUAUAAUUUUAUCAUUUCAUAUAUGAGAAUUAAUGUUUUCCAAGUUAUGGUAAUAUAAGACUUUGAGCAAGGAAUUGUUAGAAGUAGACCAUUGGUGAGAGUAAUCACUGAAUUUACUUUUUUGGUACUGUAUUCCUUUUUAAAUUAAGAUUUUACUUAACCUGUACGUAUCUAUAAAUAUAUAGAUUUAUAAAUAUAGUUUAUAAAUAUAGAUUUAAGAACUAAAUUUCAUGAAACAUGGAACAGAAUGAAAAUCUAUAACAAACACUUAAGUGGAAUGACUCCUACCAUACUUCCAAAUGUGAAACACUUUAUUCAUUCUGCCUCCAAAUUCUACACUCCAACAUCCAACCAAUUCAGAGUGAGCUGUCCGAAGAUGCAUGUUUUUCUUGAUGUUUUCCAGGAACUCAUUCAUCUUCGAGGGUUUAAGUGAAUAGGUAUGAAACUCAUAGAAUGUUCCAUCAUUUUGUCUGGGGCCUGUAGCAAAAGAUGAGCAUACCUGAAGAAAGAUAAGACAAAUUUAAAGAUUUUAGAGAGAGAGAAUUUAUUAUGUUAUAACCAAAUCUAUGUUUGUACUUGUCAAUUCUCUAUAGACUUUUUGUUAUGCAGAGAUUAAAGAUAAAAAUCAUUUUUUGAGGCUAUUGUAAAAAGAGUAGUUUUCCUAAUUUCUCUUUCAGAGGAUUCAAUACUGAUGUACAGAAAUGCAUUUGAUUUAUGGGUGUUGAUUUUAUAUCCUACUUUACUGAAUUGAUUUAUUAGUUCUAGAAGGUUUCUGGUGGAAUUUUUCAGAUCCUCUAAGUAUAGAACCAUGUCGUCAGCCAAAAGUGAUAGUUUGAGUUCUUCUUUUCCUAUUUGUAUCCCUUUAAUUUCUUUUGUCUUUCUAAUUGCUCUGGCUAGAGUUUCAAAAACUAUGUUAAAUGUAAGUGGUGAAAGACGGCAAUCCUGUUGUGUUCCAGUUUUUAGAGGGAAUGCUUUCAAUUUUUCUCCAUUUAGAAUGAUGUUGGCCUUGGCCUUAGCAUAGAUAACUUUUACAAUGUUGAGAUGUUUCCAUUUUCCCUAGUUUUUCUAGUGUUUUGAAAUGAAGGGGUGCUGUAUUUUGUCAAAUGCUUUUUCUGCAUCUGUUAUGAUGAUAUGAUUCUUAUCUUAAGUCUAUUGAUGGGAUGAUGAAUUACAUUUAAUGAUUUCUCUAUGUCGAACCAACCUUGCAUCUCUCAGAUGAACCUCACUUAAUUGUGGUACACUAUUUUUUUUAAAGAGAAAUUAGGAAAACUACUCCAUUUACAAUAGCCUCAAAAAAAAAAAAACUUGGAAAUCAACUUAAUGAAAGAGGUGAAAGAACUCUAUAAUGAAAACUAUAGAACGCUACAGAAAGAAAUUAAAGAAAACCUUACAAGAUGGAAAGAUCUACCUUGUUCUUGGAUAGGCAGAAUUAAUAUUGUAAAAUGACCAUAGUACCAAAAACACUAUGCAGAUUUAAUGCAAUUUCAAUCAAAAUUCCAAUGACAUUCCUCAUAGAAAAAGCUAUCAUGUAAUUCAUCUGGAAAAAUAAGAGACCAGAAUAGCCAAAGCAAUACUUAGUGAGUGAAGCAGGUGGCAUCACAAUACCAGACCUUAAACUAUACUACAGAGCAAUAGUAACAAAAACAUCAUUGUAUUGGCACCAAAAUAGAUUGGUAUACCAAAUGGUACAGAUAGAGGACACAGAGACAAACCCACAUAAAAACAGUUAUCUCAUACUAGACAAAGGCACCAAAAACAUAUACUGGAGAAAAGAUAGCCUCUUCAACAAAUGGUGCUGGGAAAACUGGAAAUUCAUAUGCAUCAAAAUGAAAUUAAGCCCCUAUUUCUCACCAUGCACAAAAUUCAACUCAAAGUGGACAAAGGACCUAGGAAUUAGACCAGAAACCCUAUGCCCCAAAGAAGAAAAAGUAGGCCCAAAUCUUCAUCAUGUUGGAUUAGGCCAUGAGUUCCUGAAUAAGACUCCUAAAGUGCAAGAAAUAAAAUCAAGAAUCAAUAAAUGGGAUGGAUUCAAACUAAAAAGCUUCUUGUCAGCAAAAGAAACAAUCAGUGAGGUAAAGAGAGAGCCUACAGAAUAGGAGGAAAUUUUUACCACACACACAUCAGAGAGAGCACUAAUCUCCAGGUAUAUAAAGAACUCAAAAAACUUAGCACCAAAAACAUAAAUAACCCAAUCAAUAAAUGGGCUAAGAAACUGAACAGACAUUUCUCAGAAGAUAUACUGUCAGUUAACAAACAUAUGAAAAAUAUUCAACAUCUCUAGCAAUUAGUGAAAUGCAAAUCAAAACUAAGAUUUCAUCUCACUCCAGUCAGAAAGCCAGUUAUUAAGAAUACAGGUAACAAUAAGUGUUGGUAAGGAUGUGGGGGAAAAAGCACACUCGUACAUUGCUGGUGAGACUGCAAAGUAUUGCAACCAAUCUGGGAAGCAGUAUGGAGAUUCCUUAGAAAACUUAGAAUGGAACCAUCAUUUGACCCAGCUAUCCCACUCCUGGGUUUAUACCCAAAGGACUGAAAAUCAACAUACUACAGUGACGUAGCCACAUCAAUGUUUAUAACAGCACAAUUCACAAUAACUAAAUUGUGGAACCAACCUAGAUGCCCUUCAAUAGAUAAAUGGAUUAAGAAAGUUGGUAUAUAUACACAAUGGAAUACUACUCAGUGUUAAGAGAGAAUAAAACCAUGGCAUUUGCAGGUAAAUGGAUGGAGUUGAAGAAUAUCAUGCUAAGUGAAGCCAAGCCCACAAAACCAAUGUUUUCUCUGAUAAGUGGAUGCUGAUCCAUAAUGCGUGGUGUGUGUGUGUGUGGGGGGGGGAGGCGGCAGGAUGGGAGGAAUGGAAGAACUUUGAAUAAGGCAAAGGAGUGGUAGGGAAGGGAGGAGGCAUAAGGGUAGGAAAGAUGGUAGAAUGAGAUGGACAUCAUUACCCUAGGUACAUGUAUGAAUACACAAAUGGUGUGAUUCUAUUUUGUGUACAACCAGAGAAAUGAAAAAUUGUGCAAUUGUGCACCAUUUGUGUACUAAGAAUCAAAAUGCAUUUUGUUGUCAUGUAUAACGAGUUAGAAAAAAUAAAUUUAAAAAAGAUAAAAAUCACACAGAAUAUAUAUCUGCUCUUUUACUGGAAAGGGUUUACAACCUUUAGUCAUUUGUUUCAUGAGAAGUUGCUCAUAUGAAGGCAUUGGUGUCUUGAUGAUAUUCCUGUACUGGAGAACUAUAAUUAGAAUUCCCAUAAAUUUAGAAAGAGCUUUCCUUUAUUCAGCCAAUAUUUGAUUUUUAGUUGAUAGCAUAUGUGUAGAGUUAUGCAUCUGAAAGAACUUUAUAAAUUCAGUAUGCAUGCUUUUGGCAGGCAAAAUUAUUUUAAAAUAUAGUACUAAUAGAAAAUUCCACUUUUAUUUUCUUAAAAAAUGGAAAUUUCUCUUCAAGUCAAAGUAUUUCCUACAUUAAAUGAAGUAAACCAGUGGCCAAAAAUAAGACUGGAAUUUUAAGCAUUAGGAAACUAUGUGCUAACUCCAUUGUAAUAUAGUGAUAGACUUUAUGAAUGCUGAAAAAGAUUAAAUUCAAGGAGUCAGGAUUUUCAGAAUCAUCAUUAGGUUCUUAAGACAGAUGCAAUGUAAAGUGCAUUUAAUGCAUCCAGUUAUAUUGGUUUGAUGGGAAUUAUUUUUUUAAGAACCAUUAACUUGUUAAAAUGUUUAUAUGCUCACUAUAUAAAUUUCUAAAUCUAUUUCUGAGUGAACUUAAUUUUUACUAGGCAGAAUUAUCAUAACUUGCCAGAAUUAUCAUCUGUGUACGUAUAUGUGUAUAUUAAAAAUGCACACAUACAGAUACUUAUAUAGCAUUCCACUUUACAAACUCAUGAAGUGUGAUUAGUAGGUGUAGGUGCCUAUUUCCAAAGUAAUUAUACCAGAAAAAUCUGUUAAAGAAGACUUGGUCCCUACAAAACUAUGGACAAAUUAGUGCUUACACUGACCACCUUGCAUGUUUAGAGAAACAGGAGGCUUUGUUCUUAUAUAUUCUUAUAUUGUUGAGUAUAGACUUAAUAUAAUCAUUUCAAUUGAGUUUAUUCCACUCAUGACUGUCAUAACUCUUAAGUUAUUUUCCUAUUGCCCAAAGGACAAAGCUUUCUAUCAAAAACAACCGCAGCAGUCUCUGCCACAGGUAGAUAUUCUUUUUUUGUGCAUUUUAACCAGAUUAUAAUAAUGUUAGUAGAAUAAACAAUAACCUAAUAUGUACAAUCUAAAAAUUACAAGUAAGAUAUAUCAGCUGUAGACUAAUGGGCAUUUGUAUUAUUUUUCAAUGAGACGAUACACAGAAGGGACACCGUAGUGAUAAAGACGGGUGUAUGUGUGAGGAAGUGAAGAGAUUUUGUAGGUUUUUGUUGCAAAGCUAGUUAGAAAUAUGCUGGGGCAGAAAUCUUCACCAUUUGACCUUCCCUUAUCACCAAGUUAGGAUUAAUUCUUGUGAGCAAUUACUAAGAAUUCACUUAUACGAGAAUGCUGCUAGAAAUGUAAAAAAGAAAAGUCGCAAAGAAAUAAUUCUUGGCCCUGCCCCACUAGAGAGAGCAGAAUAGACUGCAUUGUUUUUUUUAAUUUAAUUUUAUAUUUUUUUUAUUGGUUGUUCAAAACAUUACAAAGCUCUUUACAUAUCAUAUUUCAUACAUUUGAUUCAGGUGGGUUUUGAACUCCCAAUUUUACCCCAAAUACAGAUUGCAGAAUCACAUUGGUUACACAUCUACAUUUUUACAUAAUGCCCUAUUAGUAACUGUUGUAUUCUGCUACCUUUCCUAUCCUCUACUAUUUCCCCUCCCCUCCCCUCCCAUCUUCUCUCUCUACCCCAUCUACUGUAAUUCAUUUCUCUCCUUGUUUAUUUUCCCAUUCCCCUCACAACCUCUUAUAUGUAAUUUUGUAUAACAAUGAGGAUCUCCCUCCAUUACCAUGCAAUUUCCCUUUUCUCUCCCUUUCCCUCCCACCUCAUGUAUCUGUUUAAUGUUAAUCUUUUCUUCCUGCUCUUCCUCCCUGCUUUGUUCUUAGUUGCUCUCAUUAUCAAAGAAGACACGGGGUGAAAGGCCAUUAAUGGCUCUUCCUUACUCUUCUCCUGAAAGUCUGUCUCCAGAAGCGGCUAAGCCCACAGCCAGCAUCUUGCUGGCUGAGAAAGGAGUAAAAGCCUCAAGAUGGAAAGGAGAGACUCCCUAGGAUGAAUCGGAACAAGCAGGUGCCCACAGUUCAGGCUUGAUCCCUGGCUCCAUUUUGGAUCUUUCUCAUCUAAGGCUGAAGCAGGUCACGUUUGAGGGUCUUCAGGCUCAGGUCCCUGCUGGGCUUGGGGAUCACCGCAGGACACGGGGAGGGCGGGCACGAUGCCCCACACUGGGACCCUGGCCUACACCAAGGUUCUCGGCAAAAUGCUCGCAAGCUGUGCACUUCGUUACAAAGGAAAAGGCCGGUCGGGUCGCCACUCCUUGUUGGUGGUCCUCUUCCAGCACCUUCAGUGUGGACGGAGCGAAGGCUCUUCAAACCCACACCUACGCGAGGCCAAUGGCGCCUGGGCCCCGCCACGAAGCGGCGAGCGCUCCCGGAGCCACAGCUGCCAAAGUGCUGGCGGCAAAGCCGCAACCGCUAGCGCUUCGGGAGCGACCUCGGAGCGGUCAGGCUCCCAAGCCAGAGAAAGCCUCGCUCCGGUGGGUAAACGACCCUGCCCCGCAAGGACCCCUCCUCCACGGGCGCGGACCCUCAGCCGACAGAGCUGACCGCGCGGCACGCAUGCGCAGGGCUCACGCCCUCCCAGCCCUGCGCCUGGCAAAGGGCGCGCCCACCCGGAGGCCGAUACCUGAAGCGCGGGCGUUCGCGAGGUCAGAGCCCGGGCCAGGACGCUUCGGAGGGGCAGCAUGGCGCAGCGUGGGCCGCUGAGGAAGGCAGCCAGCUGGCGUCCGACGUGACGCUCUCCUCGUACGGCUUCCUGACUGGAAAGGCGCAGCGAAGGGACAGUUAGAGGGCGUGGGCGGGGGCGGGACUCGGCGGGUCAGCUCCGCCCCCGCCCUGGAGGUGCAUCCCUGGGGCCAGUGUGCAGGAGUGUGGUGCCAGCCCUGACUCAGGGUUUCCCCUUUGUUUCCUCGACGGUUUGUGCCCCAGACGUCAGAGUUGAUGUUAGUGUAGCUGAAAGCGGAGUUCAUGCUUGUUUCACCUUCUGGUCUGUCGCCUCCUCAGGGCGCUGUUGUGUAAACGUUCCGGGUAGAGCGCCUAUGAGCAGGAAGGUGCUGUAUGGAUGCCUGCAUGUGCAGGCUUUGCAUUUAGUCAUGGUUUUUUUAAUUUAUUUAUUUAUUUAUUUAUUUAUUUAUUUUAUUUUACAGAGAGCAGAGCUGGGAGUCUUAACUUGUCUUCACUGAAGGUAUUCUCCAUCCCACUUGCCAGCCCAGCAUGGCUUUGAAGGCUCCCAAAGGUUUGAAUUAAACUUUCCAAGAGCCAAAAGAAUGGGUGCACUGAACCUGACAUAUGAAACUCAAAUUUAAACUUGCAUAGAUUGAAAUAAAAUAUUUCUAUAAUACUUGAAAUAGAACUGCUGACUUCUCAGGUGGUCCUCUGAUUAUUGGUCCCCCCCCAUCUUGGUUUAACAAUUUUAAAGCUGUUACUCUCAUUAAUGUUCAUAUUAAAAUUAAUUUUCUUGUUAACUUAUAUUAGUAUACAUUAUAUUAAUAUUUACAUUAUUCUUGCUAGUAGUCACUUUAUGCACAUGUUUAAGCAACAUUGUUUACAUCAUGAAGCUGUAAUUAUUACAACCUUACCACCUGUGCUUAUGAAAGGAAGACUUUUUUAAAAAAUUUAUUUGUUCUAAUUAGUUAUGCAUUACAGCAGAAUUCGUUUCAAUACGUUGUAUGCAAAUGGAGCACAAUUUCUAAUUUCUCUGGCUGUACAUGAUGCAGUCACACUGGUGCUGCAAUCAUACAUAUACACAAGGUAAUGAUGUCCCUCUCCUUCUACCAUUCUUCCCACCCUUACACUCCCUCUCCUCCCCUCACUCGCUUCUGCCCAAUCCAAAGUUCCUCCAUUUUUCCCUAGCUCUACUCCUCCAUUAUGGAUCAGCAUCCACAUAAUCAGAAAACAUUUGGCCUUUGGAUUUUUGUGGAUUUUUGUAUUAUUUCACUUAGCAUGAUAUUCUCCAACUUCAUCCAUUUACCUGCAAAUGCCAUAAUUUUAUUCUUCUUUAAGGCUGAGUAAUAUUCUACAGUUUGUUUGUCCAUUCAUCUGUUGAAAGACAUCUAGGUUGGUUCCAUAGUCUAGCUAUUAUGAAUUGAGCUUCUAUAAACAUGGAUGUGGCUGCAUCACUGUAGUAUGCUGAUUUUAAGUCCUUUGGGUAUAAACUGAGGAGUGGGAUAGCUGGGCCAAGUGCUGGUUCUGUUCCAAGUUUCUAAGGAAUCUCCAUACUGUUUUCUAGAGUGGUUGCACCAAUUUGCAGUCCCACCAGCAAUGUAUGAGUGUACCUUUUCCCCUACAUCCUUGCCAACACUUAUUGUUGCUUAUAUUCUUAAUAUUUGCCAUUCUGAUUGUAAUGAGAUGAAAUCUUAGAGUAGUUUUAAAUUGUAUUUCUCUUUGCUAAACAUGUUGAAUUUUUUUUCAUAUAUUUGUUGAUCAAUUGUAUAUCUUCUUCUGUGAAGUGCCUGCUCAGUUUCUUAGCCCAUUUAUUGAUUGGGUUAUUUGGGCUUUUUUUUUUUGGUGUUAAGUUUUUUGAAUUCUUUAUAUAUCCUGGAUAUCACUGCUGUAUAUGAGAUUGGAGUGGUAAUCUUCCAUUCUGUAGGCUCUCUCUUCAUGUUAUUGAUUGUUAAGACUUCUUUAGGGCCGGGGAUGUGGCUCAAGUGGUAGUGUGCUCGCCUGGCAUGCGCAGGGCGCUGGGUUUGAUCCUCAGCACCACAUAAAAAUAAAAUAAAGAUGUUGUGUCACCGAAAUCUAAAAAAUAAAUAUUAAAAAAUUCUCUCUCUCUUUAAAAAAAAAGACUUUUUAAAAGUAGUAAUUCUGGUGGAGGUGCUUCAGGAUGUUUUAGAAUGGAUUUUAUAAGUAAGUUCAUUUUCUUAGCCUUCUUUCAUCCUGAAAUUAACAAUUCAUUUUCUCAUUGAUAAAAUAUUUUAAAAAUUCCUUCUAUUCUCUAGGUACUUUUCCAGAAAUGGAUCCAGAACUUUACAUAAGACAUAAUUCAUUUCCUCUUGAAACUUUCAGCUAGCACAAAACAGAAAUACAGUCACUUCUCAUAUUCACAAGUCCAGAAUUGGUGGACUCAACCAAAGAUGGAAGGAGAAUAUUGGUAAAAAUGUUGUGUCUGUACUGAAUAUAUACAGAUUUUUUCCCCCUGGACAUUAUUAACUAAACGAUAUAGUUUAACAAUCAUCUAAAGAUGAUUGAAAGCAUUCAGGAAGAUAAGUGUAAUGUUGUUUGCAUUUUAUAUAAAGGAUCUGGGCUGGGUGAGAUGGCACAUACCUGUAAUCCAAGCAGCUUGGGAGGCUGAGACAGGAGGAUCAGGAGUUCAAAACCAGCCUCAGCAAAAGUGAGGUGCUAAGCAACUCAGUGAAACCUUACCUGUAAAUAAAAUACAAAAUAGGGCUGGGGAUGUGGCUCAGCGGUCUCGUGCCCCUGAAUUCAAUCCCUGGUACACUCCCCCUAACCCCCCAAAAAAGAAUUUGGCCAUCUGUGAAUUUUGUUAUCCUCUUUGUAUCCUGAAUCCAGUAACUUACAGAUACUGUGGGUCAGCUGUCUAUCAGAGUUUAAUAAAUAGUGUGAAGAAAAUAUAGUAGAAUAUGAAGAGCAGAAAGUACUGGAGGAGAUAAAAGAGACUCCUGGCUAUUUCUCAAUAUAUAUUCUUUCCUUUCACCUUUUAUUUUCUUUAUUAAAUGUUUGUAUUAGUGCAUUAUAGUUAUACAAAAUAGUGGGGUUCAUUUUGACACAAUCAUACCUGCAUGGAAUAUAAUUUUCUCCAUUUUAGUUCUCAGUGCUUCCUCUUUCCUUCCCUUUUACCCUCCAUUUCCCUUCCUCUACUCUGCUGGGCUUCCUUCUGUUAAAUUAUUGUCUUUAAAAAUUGAUACACAUACUGGUGAAAUUUUUAGAUACACAUAUAGGUGGAAUUCACGGUGGUACACUCAUAUAUGUACAUAGCAUAAUUUUGUCAGUUUCAUUCCACAUUUCUUCUACUUUCUGGUUCCUCAUUCCCACCUCUCAAUCUCCUUCUUCUCCUCCACUGAUAUUCCCUCUAUUUUCAUGUAACUCACCGCCCCGACCACUUUCCCCCCUUACUUUGCUCUGCAUUCUGCAUAUGAGAGAAAACAUUUGACCAUUGACUGAGUUUGGCUUAUUUCGCUUAGCAUGAUGCUCUCCAUUUCCAUCCAUUUACCAUUAAGUACCAUAAUUUCAUUCUUCUUUAUGGCUGAUAAAACUCUUUUGUGUAUAUAUACCACAUUUUCUUAAUCAGUUCAUUUGUUGUUGGGCACCUGGGCUGGUCUCAUAAGUUGGCUAUUGUGAAUUGUGCUACUAUAAACAUUGAUGUGCCUAUAUCACUGUAGUAUGCUGAUUUUAGUUCUGUUGGAUAAAUAUUUAGGAAUUGGAUGGGUGGAUCAUAUGAUGGUUCUAUUUCUAGUCUUUUGAGGAAUCUCCAAACUGCUUUCCAAAGUGAUUGUACUAACUUAUAACCUCACCCACAGUGUAUGAGUGUACCUUUCUUUCUACGUCCUUGCCAGAAUUUGUUAUUACCUAGUUCAGGGUGAACUCUCAGUGUAGUUUUGUUUUGUAUUUUCCUGAUUGUCAGGGAUGUUGAACUUUUUUUCAUACAUUUUUUUUCUUGGUGUAGAACAUUUAUUUUAUUUUUUCCAUGAAACACUCAAAAGUUCAGAUCUGUGGGAAAUAAUUUUAAUCAAAGAAUUAUACAUUUUCUUCCCACAUAUCCUGCUUUGUAUUAUGAAAUGACAUUGUGAUCCAUUUCACUACAAGUAAAAUUAUUACAAAAUAUUUACAGGAAAAUAUUAAAAAUAACCCAAACACAAAAGGCAAGAUGAAAUAAACUGGGUUUUCAGAAAUCUCUACUCCAGUGCCCACAGCACACAAGAAGAGAGUCAAAACAAAUAAGUAACUAAGACUCCCCUGAUCACAAAUUUCCAAAGAACUGGAGAAGGGGAAAAAACUGAACGAAGAUGGUAGUGUGAAAGGAAAUGGAUGUUAGCAGCACUGCUGCAAUAGCCAAUCUAUUCUGAGUGAAAUAACCUCUUAUGUGCAGUAAAUUCUGAACAAGGCUAUAUUUUAGGAUUUUCCUUGAACUGAAAUUAGAAAAUAACCUGACAGUGGAAGUAGCUCUUUCACCUAAGUUUAAUAAGAGCCUCUUGCUCCACAAACCACUGUGGUGAACAGAAGCCUGUUCUGACAUCAAAAGCUGUCACAGCAGCCCUUCUGUUUCUUUCAUGAAAGCUUCAUAAACAUCAUCCUUAGUUUGUACUGAGAUAGGGACAGAAGGACCAGAUUUGGGGGCUGCUUUGGCAAGAGGCACAGCAGAAUCAUCCUCUGACUUUCUUUGGGUGUAGCAGUAGCCCCUUUUUUCUCCCGAUGUACAAAUCGAGUAAUCUCUGCCUUGGGAUUAGUGAUCUGUGGCUUGGCACUGAUAGUUGCUGUGGCUUUCUUCUCAGUGGUGGCUGCACUUGUAUCAUCCG
rnacentral:lncRNA from 1 species